rnacentral:lncRNA from 1 species
UCCUCUCGACUACUUCGCCGCCGUCGUCCUUCGAUCUGGUGACAUCGCCGUCGCCGUCGGCUCUCUGCCUCUCUCCCUGAGUUCCCUGCUCCCUGCCUCCCUCUCCCUAUCUGUCUCCCUUCUUCCUCUAUCCUGUCCAUGAGCAUGUGAGUCCGCCUCCCCGUCUCCGUUCCGUAGUCGCUCGUCGUCCUUCUUAAUCUCGUCUUCUCCGGCGCCGGGCUCCGGUUGCGCAGGUAAGAUCUAACCCUAGAUCUCGUCUUCUUCGUCAUUUUUCUUUUCCCCCAUUCUAAUCUAACCCUAGAUCUGUUCUUUUUGCAGGUCUGUUGCCGAUGCCUCGUCGUCAACUAGCCUUGGUGGCGUAGACGGACGACGGGCUAGGGCAAUGGCACCGCGGCCAAGUCGUGGCCACGCACCGUUGAGGAAUGGUGCUGGAGGAGGAGGAGUACAGUCGUCCGCGGCCGAGGGCCCCUUGGCGACGACGUGCGACGAGUGGACAGGGAAUGACGACUUCAUCGCUGCUGGGCUGUCCCCGGAGAGGGACGAUGACGGCCGUGACCCCUUUGAUGUGUUUGUCGACGCAUCCGGUGGCGGCGGGUCACAGCCUCCCGUGAACGACGUCGAUCCCGUCGAUGCGGUGGACUCCAACACCCACACCAUGAGCACUGGUGUUAAUGGUAAUGGUGAUGGUAAUGCUACUCCUUCCUCUGGUACAUGUGGUAAGCGACGGUCUAAGUGUUGGGAAACAUUUGAUGAGGUUUUUGAGAUGAUAAAUGGUAAUCGUGUGCGUGUUAAAGCUAUCUGUAAGAUUUGUAAAAAAGUUUUGAGUGGUAGAUCUGCUGCUGGUACUGGUCAUAUUCUUAGGCACGCUAAAGGUUGCCUUGCUAAACUUGAUUAGCAAAAUAAGGUUCAGUCUCGACUAGCUUUUAGUUCUGAUGGGGCUUUGCAUAAUUGGAACUAUGAUCCUACUGUUGCUAGAACUGAACUGUGUAGAUUGAUUGCUAGGCUUGAUCUUCCUCUUGGUUUUGGUGACACUGAUGCAUUUGAAGAAUACAUUGUUCGUGCUCAUAAUCCAAGAUUUGUUAGAUCAUCUAGAAGAACCACCACUAGAGAUCUAGAUAAGUUAUUUGCUGAACGUCGUGCUAUGAUUAGGAACUGUGUGCAUGCUUCAUCAUCUGUUGCUUUGACUUCUGACAUAUGGUCUGGUAAUGCUAAGGAGGAUUACAUAUGUGUUGUUGCUCACUAUGUAAAUUCUAACUGGGAGUCGCAAAAGAAGAUUAUAGGUCUUAGGUUGAUUGAAGUUAAGCAUAAUGGUGAAAACAUUUCUGCUGCCAUUGCAUCUGUGGUUGAGGAAUAUGGCUUGAUUGAUAAGAUCUUUUCUAUCACUUUAGAUAAUGCAUCUUCCAAUGCUAAGGCAAUGGAAACUUUGACACCCAUGUUUGCUGGUUAUCUUGGUCCUGACCCUGCACCUGAUGAUGAUGAUCCUAUUAAUAGAUCUUACAGUCUUGUGCAUCAACGUUGUGCUUGUCACAUUAUUAAUCUGAUAGUUAAAUCUGCACUAAAAAGAAUCAAACCUUAUAUAGAGGACUUUAGAACUGCAAUUAAUUUCUUGAACUCCUCUAAUCAAAGAGUUGCUAUGUUUAAGAACUACUGUGAAGCUAAAGGUAUGAGGCCUAGAAAAUUUGGCUUAGACAUGGAUGUUAGAUGGAAUGCUACUUAUCUCAUGCUUAAACAUUUGGUUCCUUAUCGUGAAGUAUUUUCUGUGUUCAUAAAUUCAAAUUAUGGUAGUGCCCUGUUGUCUCAAGCUCAUUGGCAUGUGGCUGAGAAAAUAUUGGAGUUCCUGGAACUCUUUUAUGAAUGUACUGUUACACUAUCUGGUGUUUAUUGUCCUACCAGUCCUCUUGUUCUGCACCAUGUUCUGGAGAUUGCAACUCAUUUACAUGCUUGUGAAAGAGAUCUUAAUCUGAGAGCCUUUGUGUUUCCUAUGCAAAGUAAGUUUCUUAAGUAUUGGAAGACAUUCCUAUGUUAUAUUCAUUUGCAUUCAUUCUUGACCCUAGAGCUAAGCUCAGAGGUAUGCAAAGGGUCCUCCAUUUACUUCAUGAAUGUAGUGGUACUGAUUACACUGCUUACUAUGCUGAUGUGAAAACUGAGUUGCAUAAAUUGUUUGAGAAAUAUUUGAGAAAGUAUGGUGCAUCCUCUAAUCAAAGAGUUGCUGGUCCUACCCCAGUCACAGGUAAGAGAAAACAGGCUUGGGGGAGAAUUUUUGGAGGAUCAGAUCUACCUGGUCCUUCAUCUGCCUGUUCUUCUUCUCAAUCUACUGCUUCUGAACUUGCAAGCUAUUUGGACAGCGACUGCAUAACUUCUUAUGAGGAUGGUUUUGACAUUAUCCUAUGGUGGCGUGAUCACAAACUAACCUAUCCCAUCCUGGCUAUUAUGGCCAGAGAUAUCAUGUCAGUUCCUGUUUCCACCUGUUCUUCAGAGUCUUGUUUCAGUUUAUCUGGAAGGAUCCUAGAAGAACGACGCCGAAGCUUGAAACCCGAACAUGUGGAGAUGCUAACCUUGUUGAAGGACUGGGAGCUAGGAGAGAAGAGGGAGCAACAUCAAGCUGCUGAUAACAAGGAAAUCGAAGAUGCCUUUGAGAAUUUGUUCCUGGAUGAACCUGAAGUUGCAGAUGAGGGUACUGGUGGCUGAGGGGUGGUCAUUUCAUUUGUUUGCUGGGAGUGUUGGUGCUUUUGUGUGAGUUGAGAGUGGUAGUGAGUAGUGACCCUCACUCACUUAGUUUUCAUUUGAACAUUUGAACAAUGGUCUGUAAUAUUGUUAAGACAGUAAGACUUAAGACAUUUAGAGCUGGCUGCACUCUUUUUUCCUGCCUAGGGUUUCUCACAAGGGUGAGUUUUACCUAGGUAGGUUUUUAAUGAGGCAGCAUUGCACCAAACAGCUCAUUUUGAUAUUUACAUCUGUCAACUCUCAUCUGUGUUUGAAUCUGUUAUCUAAGUAUCUAACUGAUGAUUGAUGAAUAUGAAUAUGUUUGAAAUCUGAUUUUAAAUAUGUAUUUAUUGAGAUGUUAUCUUUCAACGGGCUAUGGGCUGGCCCGGCCCUCUAUUUUUACCGUGCCUGUCGGGCCAGCCCGGUACGCAAAACGGCCCGCCGUGCCGUGCCUGGGCCGAAGGUCAGGCACGCAGGCCGGUAAGGCACGGCCCGCAGGGCACGACGUGCCCCCUCGGCCCGUUAAGUAACGUGCCGUGCCGGCCCGUUGUCGUGCCGGCCCGUUGUCGUGCCGUGCCGGGCCGGGCCGGCCCGAUGCCCAGGUAUACCAACGUACUAGCUAGCAGCUGAUUGUGAUUGCAUGCUGGCACACCCUACUUUGCUGCCUGUCCUGCAUGUGAAGAACUUGGGGUCUUGGACACCAAUCAGCAUGGCUGCAUGGGCGCCCCUGCUGCUUGGACAUACUUCCUCCGUCCCAAAAAGAGUGUCGUUUUGGGUUUUUUGGCCACAAGUUUGACUCGAUUUGUAGAAAAUAUAUACAAUAUUUAUAUCUCUAAAUAAAUUUGUUAAAAAACUAGACUUAAAGAUCUUUCUAAUGAUACUAAUUAUAUACUAUAAAUACUAAUAUUUUUUACUAUAUAUUUAGUUAAAGUUAUUUCUUGGGAAGCGAAAACGACACUUAUUUUGGGACGGAGGGAGUAUAUAUAUGUACAUAUACACAGCAUAUCGUUGCAAUACACAUGCAUGGUUCAGAACAUGUUCAAAUGUACAGUACACGUAAGAGCUCGCAGAGUUUGGAGGUGGGCUCUGUCAGUCGUUUACGAGUUGUAUAAUUGUGGUGGUGGUUUCUCACUCCACAAGAUAAGCAGAAUAUUGGUUCUCUGUUUAUCCACCAUGUGCUUUCAUCAAGAAAAUUAGGUCAGUCUCAAUGUAGAAUUUCAUGUCUCAGUUUUUAACCUAUCUGAUUUUGAAAAUAGUGCAAAAGAGUUUUAUGAGGGAUGAAACUCGAUCUCUUUGCUCCCAUGAAACUCUUAUCAUCUCCCACUUCAUUAAUACAGUGCCACAUCAGUAUAUUUAAUGUCCAUAAAACUCUAAUGAAAUCGCAUUGAGAGUGGCCUUAGAACUUUUUGAGUCUUAGAGUGAUCCUCCAGCAGUGCAGCGUCCAACAACUAGCUUUCCCUGUGUCAACCCCGAGGUAGAUACCAACUAGGACAGUCCCAAUGCUAGAAACUACAUAUAAUUUCUAUACUUAUUAAUUUGUAUAGACACUAUAUAUAUUAGAAACCAUGUCACAAUGGAUAGUUUCUACGAAACAAUUUUUUAUCCAAUCACGUACAUUCUCUCUCCAUUCUCUACCAAUCACAUUCCUUCAUGUCUUAAAUCUCGUGUAGACAUGGUUUCUAACUUAGACCCAGUUUCUAAGAUUUUCGCGCUCUCUCUCUCUUCAAUAACUACAACUGCCACAUUAGCAAAAAUACUUAGGUGACAGUAUAAUUAAUGUCCAUAGAAACUAUAGUGGUUUCUAUAUUGGGAGUGCUUUUACUCCCUCCAUAUAGGAUUUAGAUGUCGUUUAGGACAGCGACACGGUCUCCAAAACACAACUGUGACCUCUUAUUUUUAUAAAAAUAUUUAGAAAAAAGUGAUAUACGUAUACUUUUAUGAAAGUAUAUUUUUCAAGAUAAAUCUAUUCAUAUAACUUUCACAUUUACAAACUCAAUAAUUUAAAAGUUAUUGAUGAUUUAUAUUCUCAAUAUUUGACCUAAACCUUGUCCAAAGUGAUAUCUAAAUUCUAUACGGAGGGAGUACCUGUGUAUAAGAGACUCACUAUAUUCCUAAGAAAUCUUCACUCGGAAGACAUUACGUGAUCUACUUCUCGUCUGUCACUUUAUAAAGUGUGGUCAAACUUCCUUAAGUUUGACUAAAUUUAUAAAAAAUAACAAUAACAGUGACAUUUUUGUAUCUCCAAAUUAAUGUAUUAUUAAAAUGUAUACAAUAAUUAAUCUAAUAUGAUACUUAUUACGUACCAUAGCGCUACAGUACCAUCUCAGGUACAAUAGUUGGCCUAUUCAUUUUUUCCUAUUGCCGUGAUCAGCUCCUAGUUAGUUUCGGAGACCGUCAGUGUAUUCAUGGACGAGAUACGAGAGUCCGAUCCUACUUCAUUUCUGUGGUACCCAUCGUCCACCAAACCUAGCUGUCCCUUCCACAACACGCAAGGGAGAAAGAAUUCGGAGAAGGGAGAAGAGGAAAGAAACAAGUUAGAGUUUAAGUAAGGUUGGUAUCAUCUGUGGUGCAGUUUUUUUUUUUGAAAAUGGGUUAGGCAUCAUCUUCUAUUCCUGUUUUUGCCCUCAAUUUCUUAUUCCCUCACUAUUCAUGAUGGAUGUACUGCGUACGACAUAGAUCGGAACAACGACCUAGUCAUAGUGACAAGGACCACCAUGAGAUGGAGAAGAGGAAGGAAGGGAGGAGUGGAUCACUAGGGCUUGUCGUCAUGCUCGUUGUUGUUAUUCUAGGUGAUUUAUCAAAUUCUAAUCCACUUCUUUCUAUCAAGUUUUGUGUAUCGAGUAAUCUAAUUAGAAAGGGUUUAGUGGAAGUAAUUCCCAAAAUUAAUCCCGUCCAUGUUCUAAAAUUGGUAUCUUAGUGGCCUUAAUAAUUUUUUCCAUUUUCGGCAAAGUACUAGAGGACUUUGAUAUCUUUCUCUUGACACCAAGAUCACCCUCAUAACCUCUAUAUUUUAGGAGAUAUGAUGGUUUUAAGAAGGUGAUUUUCACGUACCUCACACUAGCCAGAUAGUCUAAAUUUGAAGUUGUUUAUUUACUUUCAAGUAUGCUAUUUUCAUAGCUUGUGGUGUUUUACUCUCUAAAUUAAGAAUUAUGAAUUACAAAGUAUGUGAAGUGCAUAGAUUGCAACAUUACAUCUACACUUUUCGCAUUUGAAGAAACCGUAGCCAGAUUGCGGUAAGUGCCGGUGCAACAAUGCACGUUGAGAUAAGAAAUGUGGUUGUAGUGUGCACUCACUUUUCUUGAGACACGUGGGUAGAAGUGAAGUCAUGCAUUGCAUUGCAUGAUUGGAAGUAUUGUAUAUUUAUAAAGAAAUUGAUGUCUUUAUAGAGGCGCCACUACUAGCAUUGGCCACUAUAGAGGCGCAACUAUUAUCUUUUGCCUUAGAGUUGGGCAUUCACUAUACCACAGCCAAACUAUAGCGACUCUAAAAGAGUCGCUAUAAGCCGUUAUAGCGACCGAUGAUUGGUCACUAUAAGUUUAUAGCGACCGAUGUAUAAGUCGUUGUAAGUGGCGUCGCUAUAAGUCUAUAGCGACCGACAAGAUUUAUAGCAACCGAUUGGUUGACGCAAAUAUUUAUAGCGACCAAUGAUCUGCCACAUGUUUUAGCGACCAAUGGUUUGAGGAUAUCAAACUUUUUAGCAACCAAUGACCAGUCGCUAUGAACUGGCACAAUUUUGUAUAAUACUAAUUUCACAUUAAUCAUAUAACUAUAGACUUGUUUAACAUCCAUACAUGUUCACAUUACACGUCACAUAAUUGUACAAACAUAUCUCAUAUAUUUCAUUGAAGUCAACAUUUGUACAAUUAUACUUUGGAUAAAUUCUAUGAGUCACCUAUCACACAGCACAUGAACUUCUAAAGAGUUCACUCUAAAGAAGGCUAAGCAUGUACACCAUAGCAACCCCACUCCUACAAACCUAAAAACUACAGACCAGGAACACAUCUGACCGCUCCAUGCCUUUUAAUCUAUCUUCCAUGAGGACUCCCAUGGCUUUUUGACACCAUCAAGCAUGAUGCUUACUGUACCUCCCAGAACUACAUGCCUGAAAUCCACAGUUAAAUCCAAUAUCAACAUUCUGGUUUUAAGCUAGGACCCAAUGGGAUAAACAUUGCACAGUACAUUAACACAUGAAAAAUAAAGAUUGUGUUACUAGCUAUCUCAGGCCUUGCUCACAAUUUCAGCAUUUAUUUCCCGGUCCUUUCAAGAACUAAACAAAAGUUGAAAACCGAGGUCAAGGCUUCCUUUCAAUCCCAACUACUAAGCUAGAAACAUUUCUAAAAAGGGCAAGCUACGCCCCUCUUCUAGAUAUAUCAAAAUAGUAUGGAAUUUGUUCAAACAUAACAAUACUAACUAUUAAGCUUAACCAUGGCUAGAUAAUAUUGCAGAAAUAAACAAAUGAUUUACCAUGGUCAGCUACACAGUUGCCCAAAAUCUGUGUCUGCUGGACAUCUAGGCCAUGGGCACCAUCCUAUGCCUUGCAGUUAUGGUGGAGAGGGGUGUAGGCAAGGAAGUCCCUGUGAUGCAAGUGAGGAAAGCCGGUGAUGGUGCACGUGAGGAACCUACUUGCUGCUGCGAGAGUUGCUGCCACACACCUUUCCUGCAUAAGAACCACACCAGCCACUGUGCCAACCUUGCCUCCGCCGCUAGACAAUACUGUAGUAAGUUCAGUAAAUGACACGAGUUCAGUAAAAUAGCCUAGAUGUAAACAAGAUAUUUGUUAUAUGGAUGGGCACAAUUGCACUUGAUCGUACCAUAGAACACACAAAUAUGAAUGGUUAGGAUUUAGGAAACAAAACCAUAAAGUUCAGACAGUAAGGCAGACCUGACAACAAGUAGCGAUGCAUGGAUGACAUAUGCUCCUCGCUUGGCACAUGUUCUGUAGCUGACCUUUCCUUGGCAUGGCCACCAGCCUUGUAUAGACGCACGCAGGCCAUUGACUGAUAGCCUCUGAUAUCACCCAACCGCAGGAGAUUGCCUAUCAUUGAGCAAAAAGAUAGUAAAAAAGUACAGACACAUUUAGCAAAUAAAUAAAGAUUUGUCUUGGCAACGCUCGAGUAAUCAGAAAGGGAUAUUGCAAAAUGCAGAAGCUUCAUGUUUUGGCGUCACUUAUUUUGGUAGGGCUAUAUUGUAGGUGUAGAGUAAUUAGAUCCAAAGAUUACAAUAACUAGUUGUAUUACAAAUUUCUAAUGCAACUGCUCCUUCUAAUCUACCUGUGCCAUUUCAUAGGUGCAGUAUCGGAUGAAUUCAAGCCAUAAGAUAAGAAAAAAGAUUGCAACAAAGCUCACUCACCUACUUGUACAUGAAAGCAUGCAUAUAAUCAGGUUUCUAAGCUAACCCAGUAACUGUAGAGUUGUCUUUUUAGCCUUCCCGUCUAAGAGCUGUUCAGCCUUAUAAUUUUACCGUCCCUUCCUGCAUGAAACAAUAAUGGAAAUAAGUAAACAUUGUGCCCCCUAAACCAACUUAGUUGGUACCAAAUAAAUAAAGAAGAAAUGGGAGGAACUGCUGUUAUUAGAAACUUAAAAGUAAAGGUGAUGCCAAAGGAUAACUCCAUGUCAGAAAUCCAUUUUCUGCAACAAACAAUUAUUAUAUAAGCUUUUGCUUCACAACUAUAUAUAAUUGUUAUUGUUCCUCUAUUUUUCUCAUCCAUGUCAUUUAAAGAAAUUUAUACAUAAUCAUUUGUCUCUACUCCACUUUGCAAACAGAUAACAUAUUCACAGGUAGGCACUAAGCACUAGGCAGUAAAGUGCCUGCUGAAUUGCACAUGUGUGGCUUCUUUAACCAGAGCUAGCAUUACCUACCACACAAGAAUCGUAAAUACCAAAACCUGGUCUGUAGUGGUGAUAGCUGAGGAUGAGAUCUGGCUUGCCCCUUGCUGCACCAGAUCUUGUGCCUCAGUUCCCCAACCUAAUCCCAGGAACCAUGCACUUCAAUCGAGAUUGAAUGCAAGGUCACCGAAUCUUGACACAGAGAGACAACACGAGGAAGGAAGAGUGGGGAUUCACCUGGAUCUCAUCCCUGCAAAGAAGCGUGGGAUCCUGCUGCUGUCGCCGGCGCCGAUGCGCGCAUGCCGAGAAUCCGCCGCAACCACCGUCGUCGCUCAUGCCGGGAUUCAGAAACUGCCGCCAUUGGGAUCCGCCCGCCACAUGCACCACAGCCGACGCCCACGCCGGAUUGCUCUGUCACCCAUGUCAAGAUCCCGCCGCCCUAAGCCCUCUGCCACUGCUUGUGGAUUUGAGAAGAGGAAGGAAACGAUAGGAAAGUUGAAGACAGAGAGUGAGGCGAAAGGGAGAGGAGACACGAGGGGAGCGACGGUGGUGGGCUGGCAGGCCGGCAGCGGCAAAGACGGCUACCCCAGUGAGCUCACAGCGAUGAUGGAGAAGAGCCACCCUGAGAUCUCGACAAGCGGCGCUGAGUACUGAGUCUGUGUGGCGGCUGCUGGGUGGAUGAGUACGGUGCUGGAGAUAGGGUGUUGGGUGUUACUGUAUGAUUGGUGGGCCACGCAAAUUUAACCUAACAAUCCGGAGGCACGCCCUGCGCAGGGAGACCGGCCACGUCGCCUGAAAUUCUCUGAUUCGUCCACGCCAGCGCCAUCUCAUCCCUGCAGAUUUCUAUUGGUCCACAUCGUCAAGGCCAUCUCCAAAUAUAAGCAGCCCCCUCGUGUCUGCAAAAAAAAAAGAGACAAACGGAGACGGGAAACUUCUCGCUCUCUCCGACUCCGACACCGCCACCAGGCCGAACGCGACGGCGAUUGGCGUGCCGUGGCCGCCGUCGUCCUCCGCCACCGCCUCCUCCUUCGCCUCCUCCUCCUCCUCCUCCUCCUCCUUUUUCCCCUUUCCUCCGGCGGCGGCGGCGUGGGCACCAGGCGACGGCGAGGCUUCCAGAUGGCGCGGCAACGCAGGUGAGGCCCGACGACCUCCUCCCUCUCCUCCAUCCUUCGUGCGGCCUCCUCGGUGCCUCCUCCUGUCGGGACGCCUUCACUCCUCCUGUGGCCGAAACCCUAGCUGGCCAAACCCUAAGCUUGGUAUGCUGGCGCAGCAGGAGGGCCAAGCUUGGCGGCGACCGGCGCGAUGGUGCUCCCCUCUCUGUUUCCUCUCUCCUUCUCCCCUUCUGUACCCUCCACAGGGCUCCUCGAUGCCGCGGCCGUCGGAGACCGUGAGCUCCUCAGCUUAGCGAAACCCUAAGCACUAUGUCGGGCCUCGAUCUAUUUUCCUAUUUGCCUGAUGUCAAUUGCCGGCAGGCUGCAGGCUGCACGCGUCGUGCUGCAAGCAGUGGCUAUAGACUGCCAUGUCGAGUUCACCUAAUGCCUUUGGUAUAUUAAUAUGUUUUAUGCACAUAGUUGUUUUUUGGGUUCCAUCCAAAACUAACAGUGAUGCAAUCUUUUUCCUUUCUCUACUACAUCUUCUAAGAUCAUGCAGGAUACUGAAAGGUAUUUAGAGCUAUUUUUUAAUACGACACAAUCUACCGUGUUGCCGCCAUGUGUUAUGCUCUUGAUGCUAAAUAAAUAGGUGUCUACAUGUAAGUUUGAUUUUGUUUUCCAGAAUUUUUUAUGAAUUAUGUUACAUUAUAUGCACAUGCAGUACUUCACACACUUUGAAUUAUUACCUAAAUAAAAGCUGCAUGUAUAAUAUUUCCAUGACAAAAACAACAUCUUCCCAUCUAUUGUUCUUUAGUGGUGUUAAAUUUAUUCUCAGCUGCUCCUGCAUACAUCUAGUGUUAUGCUAUUUCAGUUUCUACAACUUCUAAAAAUAUGUGCUUCCAUGUUGUUGUCUUCUGUUAGAUUGGGACACAUCUAGCAAGACUCAUUAUCAAUCUGGCUGCUCGACUUAUGGAUAUAGGCUGCUCCUAUGGUAAGAUAUUGACUCCAUGUAGUUUCAAAGCCAUGUAUACAAAUCCAGUAUUAAUCUCUUUUGGCAUUAACGAAGGAGCUUGUGUAUUCACUAUAUUUCAUAUCCUAUUGGGUUUGCACUGUUACACAGCUGGAGUCUAAUGAUUCAUUUCUUACCGUUGGUUUUCAUAGCAUGUGCCCUCUGAAUCUCAGCAUGUCUCAAUGCACUGUACUGCUAUCGCAAUCUUUUCAGUAUACAUAAGUAUGUGCCUAUGGUACUCUUUAUUUAUUUUAGUCCGAGCAUAUAUAUGCAGUUGCGGAUGAUGUACUUAUUCCAAAUUUGAUCAUAUGACAGUACCUGUGGGAUGUUUCUGAUACACCUGAUCAUAUUUUCAAGGCAUUGCUACUUUGCAUUUUUUUUUGUUGACCCUAUGUCCAUGCCAAUAAUGCUAGAAACAAAUGUCUUUUUCCAAAAUAUAAUUGGCAUCUGUUAAGCCUGACCAUGGGCAAUGGUGCUGGAAAUAAAAUGAUAUGUCAUGUACACACAUUAGAAUCUUUGCUUUUUCCUGCUUAUACUCAUAUAUCAAAACAGAAGUUGUUAAAUAGAUUUCUACAUAUUCUUAUUUCUUUCACAUGGUGAUUCUAACGAUUUCUCAAAUGAGAUGGUGCAUGAGACGGAUCAAGGAUCACCAUACACCCGAUUUGCAUAUAAUUUGAUUUAUUUUAGGACCUUACAUAAAGACAUGUAAUCUUUCCCCAUUCUAAUGAUUCUGCUUUUUUCCACUUGCUGAUUUUAGAUUUAUUUUUCAGGGCCUACAUUCAGGGCUACAACACAGAUCGUCCAUCAGGUUACGUUUUCAUCCUACUCUUUUUUUGGGUUCUAAAAUUAUUAUAUCUGCUCAGUUUUUAGCGUUAUGAUUUUUGUUCUUCCUUCCCUGCGGUGACUGAAUUAUAUUUGUUACUACCAUUUCUGUAGUUGGUCAGUAAAUUGCCUAUUUUUCUGGUUCCUGCAUUCUAACACUAAUUAUAUUAAUGUACUUUUUGUGCAGCCCUUGUUUGAUACUUUAUGCUGAUUUUUGAUCCUCGGCAAUUCCUCAGCUAUCUUCUUAUUUGUUCUUUAGGUUCUGAUCCUCUUUCCCUGUUUUACUGUUCAUUCUUAAAGUUUCUUCAUCUUUCAUGUGUGUACGUACGUUCAUGCAAUCUUUGUGUUCCACUCGAUGGUUCCAACCUUCAUUACUAAAUCGUCGGUGUGUUUGUAUUCUUUUAUUACUUCUCUUUCAUUGUAGUAGCUCCGCGAUUUCUUAGUCAUGCCUAAAUGCUAUGUUCUUUACCUGUCUUCAUAGCUUCCAGAUUGUAAUUUUGUUAGCCUAUCCAUAACCUUCUUUUUUCCAUAGCCGAAAAAUACACACAUCUGUUUCUAUACCUAAAUAAUUCAUUAUUUUUUGUCACUGAAUACUAUAGCGUGUCGGUGCUAAUUUCUAACCUUUUCGUGCUGCAGUUAAAGGGUGGCGUUCCCUGUCAACACAACCACUAAUAUGACGAUCUUGAUGUUUUUUUUCGCCGUUGGUGCAUACCCAUUACCUUAUGACCUCUGGCUUAAAUAGUUAAAGUUGUGCAUUUAUUUCCAGUUUGUAUUCACUUCAUUGCAGCAUCCCUAUGAUGGUGUCAUAUUUCUUUCAUUACAGGUUUUCCCUAAUAAGUGUCGGCUCCCUAAGAAUAAAAAUAUAAAAACAUUUUCUAGGCCCCUCUAGAUAAAAUAAAUACACAUGUAUUUUUAAACAAAGAAAUCACUUAACAGGUCCACCUGAGAUUAACAGGCUAUAUGGGUAUUGACAAUGAACCAACCUAAAAAUGCAGAACGAUAUUGUUGAGAUGCAUAUCCCUUAAUUUUGCCCUCAGACAUGUGCUUAUAUACUCAUUUUUGAUAGGCAAUAUAUUUCCUUUUCAUUCAUCUACAAACUAUAUUAUUCUCAGCCAAUAUAAGGCAGACAACAUAUUCUAAAUGACUAUUAGGUUACAUCUUGACUUCAUCUUUCAUCUAUGUAGAUGGGUCUGAGUUGGGAGGACUGCUGCACCCAUGAAGGCCUCAUUAUUUUUAGAGGCUUUGGCAUCUGCCUACAACCACGGUCGCUCAGCAUGUCUUAGUCGUUGGUGGAAUUUGGCAGCAAGCCCAAGAUCUUGCAUCAGGUUAACACGAUUGCUCCAUCUCUACAACAAAUUUUGUUUCUUUUAGUCAUUAGAUAUCGUGUAGGGGAGAACUGGAGAGGUUACUUUUAAAGAAUUGGCUAUGGUUGACCGAUCUGAGUUGUUACAAGUUGUAAAUGAAACUUAUGUCCUCCAUAUCAUGCUUUGAUGAGAUGGAUCCUUGUGAAUAGAUUUCUCACAGAAAUAGUCGUCUACCUGUCCUGCUGCCACUGUGUUUCUCGGUGACAAAUAAUUAUAGAAUAAAGCAUGGGUGGCUUUGAUAUGAUUUAAACUUACAAGUCAUUAAAAAACAUGUAGCUUCACUUUCGAGUUCCAUGUUGUUGAAUGAUAACUAUAAAUGGUUUCAAGCAAUAGUGGGUGAAUUGUUGUCACCAGUUACUAUAAUUGCUAGCUCUGAACAUUUGCUUUGUUUUUCUGAACUUUACCAUUGAUCUUGCCACACUUACAAGAUACAUAGGGUUGUUUCUCCACAGUUAGUUCCUCCUAGAGCCUAUUUGUAGUGACAAUUAACCUGUUGUUGCCAAACCAGAGAAAAAGGAUACAUAGUUUUCUUUUGGUUUACCAAAUUGAGUGUUCUUUUGUUUGUCAAAUUCAAUGAUACCGCUCUGUUCCUCAGAGCGUUGGACCUAAGAGAGCUGUUGUGUCAUACUUUUGGAUAUAUUGCGUCCAUUUUAUAUAGAUGGAUAUGAAGCCUUAACACCUGACAAACAUUGAAGUGUAUUUAAUCAUCGUCCAGGUAGCGUAAACGAAUCAUCAUCCAAAUCAACCUUCACUACUUGGUAUAGUACGUAUAGUUACCAACAAAUUUAGAGAUCAAUAAUUUAAAUAUAUAUUGAAUGCUUUGCACUACAAAGUUUACCUGUUGAUUUGUCUCACCUUUAAUUUUCAGCUAUUUAUCCUCACCUCUUGUCUUUAAAAAUUACUGAUGUAAGAAGUUUUUUUAAUGAAUGAGUACUUGCUAAAUCACUCAUUUUUCAAAGGUUUGUUUUCCUGCUUUUAUUUCUGAAUUUUGAUGCAGCUUAGUUGCUGCCCUGUUUUCAGAAGUCUUAUUCAAUGGUUUAAGUUUUAGAGAUAUUGGUUGACAUAUACAACUGGUUGUUUCAUUUCAUAGCCUAAAGCCUCAAUCGCCUUCAGUUUUUUUUUAAAAAAUUGUACCCUUUAUUUUCACUCCCCAACCUAGUGGCCAUAGAAGGAUGGCAGCAUGAAGCAGCUUCCCCAUUUCUCAAGGAGAUGUACCCAGAAGCACACCCCACACCCAAUUGGAUACUGCAGACUACAAUUGCCUCAUUGCAUUUUAUGGUGCCAAUAUAACAUAGUGCAAAAGAAUAAAGCUGGAGUUACUUAGUUUAUGGCUUGGUCUUUUUAUUUGUAGUGCAGAUUAUUCUCCUAUUUUGUGAGCAAAUUAUAGAGGACAAACACAGUUCCACAUAUAUUUGGUUAUCUGUUAUGAAUAGAAUGGUGUCCUCAAGAAUAAUUUUACUCUAUUGCCCCCAACGUGCAGCUUCCUGGGCGUGCGAAGGUGCGUCCAUUCUACUAAACACGUCACGGUAAUGAAACUACUUCGGAACUCAGAGGUACAUGCCCCAUCAUAAAUUCAGCACACAUUUACCAUUAUCAAUACACCAACACUUAUCCUGUGUAUAUGUUUCUACAGAAUCAUCAAACCACAUUUCAGAUUAUGAUGGUACGUGCAUACUACUUCCAAUAAACAAAAUGCUUUUCCAUGCUUUCCUACAUCUAUUAACAUCCAACAUUGUUAAGAUCCAAGUAAUACAACAUGUUUAUAAUUAUACAAACACUUCUACAGUUACACCACAACGCAAUUCUGAUGGCUACGAACCAGGUUGGGAAUUAUACCGCAGUUACUGCAAAGCAGACUAAGCAAUCUUACCUUCGGCACCACAUGAACGGAAAAAAAGGGAAAAAAAUCCAAUGUGAUGCCAACCUUUUGUAACAGCAAUAUCACGCAGUGAACAAAGUCCACUCAUACUUACUAAAUUUUCUAAUGUACUACAUCUAUAGCCUAUCCCUCACAGAAGUACUCUAUGUCAUGUAUACUUAUGUGAUCUCCCCACUUAUGUCUUACCGUGAUGUAUAUUCCCUUCUACUAUCCGACAUAUAUAUUUCUAAAGUCCAUUCUUAUUAAUCUUAACCUAUACUUAGUCCGCACUGGCGCGCAAGGGCGCGCCACUCCUACUAGUUAUAAUACAUGCCGGUGGGCCGGGCUGAGUACGCCAAAAUAAAACCAUUUGCAUUUGAGUAAGGUCUUGUUUAUUUCCAAAAUAUUUUGGGCAAAAUAUAAAUUUUUUUGCUAUUUUGCAUUUUGGAAGUAAACAUGUCCAAACUAUUUUGGCCCUAAACUUUUUGCAAAAUUAAAUAGGAACAUUGGUCUUGUUUAGUUCCAAAAUUUUUUGCAAAAUGAACACUAUACCACUAUCGUUUGUAUUUGACAAAUAUUAUCCAAUAAUGGAAUAAUUAGGCUCAAAAGAUUCAUCUCGUAAAUUACAUAUAAACCGUGUAAUCAGUUAUUUUUUAUCUAUAUUUAAUGCUCUAUACAUGUGCCGUAAGAUUCGAUGUGAAGGAAAUCUGAAAAGUUUUGCAAAAAUUUUUUGGGAAGUGAACACCAAAACCAAAAAAUUUUGGUGCUAGAAUUUUGGUGGGAGUCUCAAGGUUUUGAGUUUUUGGGUUUUCUGCAAAAUACUUCAUGAACUAAACACGACCUAAUUUGCUAAAAAGCUCCAAAAGAGGCAUCCAACGGUUUUGCAUUUGGAGUUUGCAAUUUGGGCAACUUGGCAUAUAAGGGAGCAAACUUGGCAAAAAUGCCAAGCUGUGGACGGCUUUGCAAAUCCGAUCGCGCAAGCAAAAGUCACGCGCGAGGAAAGCGCACGCGCCUGGAGACCUCCUAUUUUUAUCCUUUGCCAAGUCUAAAUGCCAAUUCCCUUGGAGAUGACCUAUUUUCAUCCUUUGCAUUUUGUUAUAGGAGUUUGCAAACAACAACAAAUGCCAAGUCAAUUUGCCAAAGUCUUUGGAGAUGCUCUUAUAGCGACCAAUCGUUGGACCUUAAUAUGCAUUUUUAGCGACCAAUUAUCCGAGGAAACUGCGGAAUAUAUAUACCCACUCAUUAUCGGUCGCUAUAAGGAAAAAUAGCGAAUGAUGCUUCGUUAGAAAUUUGUAGCGACCAAUUAUUUGUUGUUAAUGCUAUGUUUUAGCUACUGUUGUCCGACGCUAAUUAUUGGCUGUGGUAUAGUGCUUCUACAUGAUGUCACGGAGCCGGGGUUUGACACACUGAUGUGUAUGUGGUGUGUCCUGGUGUUGAUGACCUGGCAAGAACCUAGCUAAUACAGCCCACUGAUGUUGAUGACGAACAACUAAAGUGAACUGCCCUGCAGAUGGCAGAGUGGACUAAGGAUGCAUGCCUUAAAAUAAUGGUGAAUGAGAAUGGUUGAGAACCUUUGUAAAUUAGUUACAGUAAUAAUUGAAUUAUGAAUACAUGUCAAUGUCACUCUUCACAUGAUCGAUAUCACUUUACAAAGGUGUCUGUUAAUAGAAUGGACUGUGAGCAACCGUCCAAUUUAAUUUACCUAAGCCAAGCUAUCAAUCCAUCGAUCACUCCACUAGUCGAGUUUGGUCAAAUUAACCCCAGUAGUCCUUAGUAUGUGUCCCCCAAAAAAUCAUCUAGGUCCACAUGCAUACCGUUUGCAUAUCAUGGCAACUGUUAUAAGGAUACAUAUGAGAGCAAGUUUUAAAUGUUUAAUUACAAGUCUUGCUCAUAUUACAGGUUCUCAAAUUAAAUUCACAAGCUUAUAUAUAAAUAUACAUAUCCUUCUAUACAUGAUAUAUCUACAUGUACCAAGUUAAGAUGAUAUCAACAGUAGAUGCUAUUAGUUGAGCAAGAUGACCAUCCUACUAGAUUAUCCUAGGCUACGCUGGCAUGCCACAUCAACAUGGAAUACCACGUGGCUGACAUGGACCUACCCUUCACCACUUAACAAGUUUAGGGACCAGAAAUGCAUUUUCAAAGUACGUGGACCUAAGUGACACUCUUAGAAGUUUGACUCCUCAAUUCGUGAGAAUGACAAUUAAAAAGAGAUAGAUGAAAUAUAAUUUUCUUUUGGCAAUUCUGUGUGGAACUUCACACGCCGGGAAAAAGAUCUCUUUCACCUCUUCCAUACCAUCAUGGAGCACAUAAACCUCAGUCCAUUUAUGCAUAACCUAGAUGUGCUACUAUUAGUAGUACCGAGGAGCUGCACCACUCACAGAGAUGGAUGAUACUGAUAGGGCAAAUGUUGGUCUGGAGCGAAUUCCCCAAUAAUAUGCAACAGGCAUCUUCUGUUCCAAAGGUACAUCACACAGAUCGUGUAAAAAACAAAACAGAGCAUGCUGAAACCAUUCCUCCAGGUUUUCACUUAGAGUGCAAAAUAUGCUGGCCACUACAUAUAUACACCAAAAUGCUGAUUGCUAAUAAUAGUGAAAAUCAAUGGACCGAUUCCUGGUUACCUUGUUCAGAUUUACUUACGGGGUUUCACUUUCCUUGAUGAUCUUCUUGUAACCUGAUCUGAUUUAUUGACAGCAUUACUGUUGGGUUGGUCCAAAAUUUGCUCACCGUUGCUUUCGGUGACAACUGUUUCUGGUUCAGCAGGCUCAACAUCGGCAUCUGGUUUCUUAGUGGCACCAGCAUUUCCCCUUGCUUUUCUCGAACUGGCGCCCACAGUAUCUUUGUUUUGUUGUCCCCUGGCAGCCCUGGAUGUUGCGACUCGCUUUUUUGGCUUCAAAAUAUCUGCAUCUUCUCCCUCAGUCCCUGAAUCCUUGGUAUCAACGUUCUCAGCUAGUUGUUCCAGGUUAGCGGAUACCAUUUUGCUGGACUGGAUUCCAAUCAGUUUUUGCAAUUGCGGCACGUAGGCAGUAGUCUGAGUAAACAAAGUAGUAUAAGAAGUUAGUAGUCUGAGUAAACAAAGUAGUAUAAGAAGUUAGACGUGUCUGACCAUAGCCGAAGGUCUAGUACUGAAGUGGAUAAUUACUUACCCUGCCACCAGCUGUGAUGAAUUCAAUUUUCUUUCCUGCAGGGCCAAAAACUUAAUUAAUCCUCAGAAGGAAUCAAGGUCUGAUGUGAGUGUGUAUGCAGCAAUGGAAUUAACAAGUUUUAUUUGUCUUAUACAUCAUCAUAUAAAAAGACAGAUAUCAGAAAACACCGUAAGCGAAGGCUUUGCCCAAGUAUGUUGACGGAAAUCAUGACUAAAAGUGAGGAAAGUACCAUUGACUUUGCCAGGCUUCUUGCCCCAACGAUGAUGAAAUAACCAUUCCUUUGGAAAGCGGUCCAUGUCAGCAUCAACUUCAACAGCAUAUUUCACAACCUAGUAAAUUAUUAAUCAGGAGUUCGGUAUGCUACAAGGCUACUUCAGUAGAAUGUAAUUCAGUACAAAGCGUUGUCCAAUUAGACGCACCUCUUGGAUACUUCGGUGCAGUGCUUCACAACUCUCCCUAGGUAGAUUCGAAGCAAUCUGUAAUGGAUGGAUCCUUGACUGAAAAAAAUAUAUCAAAUUUAAUUGCUACAGUUUGUGAGCCACACCAACUGCUGUAGAAUGUACGAAUACCUGGUAAAGCACCUCGUCUGCAAUCCAAUUACCAAUGCCUGAUAUAAAGCUCUGCCCAUUUUAUAAAAAACUGCAACAAGUCAAGUGUGUACAUUGCAGGGAAAAUAUUUUUGCAUGGGGAGUAUUGGUUGGAUGCUGAUCACCUGAUCAAGUAAAAGAGCUUUUAUCCCAAUCUUCUUUCUACCCAGGGAGUCCAAGAAAUCGUCAACAGACAUUGGCUCAAACAGAGCAUCUGGACCCAGCUCAGAAAUUGGGGGUACAGUUUCAGGCUGCAAACAUUACUUUGGUGAGAAAAUCUGUAUGAGAAACAGGAAAGCAAUCUUCAGAUUUUUUAAAAAAUACCUACAUCUUCAAACAAACGAACUCUUGCAAAGCGCCGUUUAUCAGUGAAAGAGAACUCCAAACCAUCAUCAAGCUACAAAUGAAGCAAAAGAGUUUAGAAAUAACGAGGUUCAAAACCAACAUCCCACAAGCCAAUUUUUAAAAUUUACACAAAAAUGGGCAAGUAUGAAACUGGAAUGAGGUUCAUACCAAAUGUGCAUUUGACUCUUUGAACUGAACAACCAUUAGACGAGCCAUCAGAGAUCAAACUGUGAUUAAUGAACAAUACAAUCUGUUCCCCAAGUUUCUUUCUAUAUCCUAAUUAGCAAGUGGGGGGCAUCCACACCCACUGUCCAUGUGGUUUUGUUGAAUGAUUAGUUACUGGCUCAUCUGAAGAUGUAUUUUUUUACUAAGUUAACUGGAAUACAUUUCUUACUUUUUGAGUGUAAUGUCCUAAUCAAUAAUAGUGUGCAAGAACAAGGAUUCAAUGUUGAUUUAAACUUGAUAAGUUGUAACACUGGACAUAACAUUUUAUCAGUCUAUACAAUCCCCAGUUGCAAAAGUAACAUAUAACCAACAAGAGCGUGAGUGUCAUGCUACAAAACAAAAUUGAUGUGACAAUAUGUUUGGGAUCAUUACCUCAGCAAAGAAUUUAGAGUAUUUGGAUGGCCACUCCUCUUCGGAAUUGACAACGGAUCUGCAGCCUUGAGAAGAAUUAUUUCCUAAAAGCCGAUUGCAGGACUCAAAUAAUCACAAAGUACAUAACAGAAAAGGUCGCUUGCCUCUUAUAAUUUGUCACAGGAACGCCUUUGAUAUAUAUCGCGCCUGCCAUCCCUGCAAUCCAAAGCAUGCUCUUAUAAGUCCUCACUUCCUAAGUGUUAGACCAGCGCAACAAAGUAGCAGAAUUCAUGCGAUUGCUAAGGAUAAUUAAACAUAAAUCAAAAUUAAUCAGGGUAAUUUUCGAUCAAAUGCAUAGCAGCAUAAACCAAAGGUAUCAAUUCAACUACCAAUGUCCUGAAUCACAAUGGCAAGCAAGCACUAGCAGGGCACCGAAGCUAUGGGCCUAUGGCAGUACCAAAGACUGGCCAACUCUAGAGGCCGCCACGGAGUAAGUAGUACGCGCGGGCUAACCGAACUGGAAGGACGGGAAGGGCGGCGCGUCGAGCUGGAGCCAGAGGUUCUUGCCCCUCCGGCGCGCGGCGACGAUGGUCCGGCCGACCAUGGCGCGCUCGAAGGCCGCGCGUCCGGCGGCGGCCACGACCACCUUGUCGUCGUCCGCCACGGCGCAGCGCGCGAUGCGCCUCCCCACGCAGUGCGCCUGCAGCGCCCGCCGCGCCGCCUCCACCUCCGGCAGCUCCGGCAUCCCCGCGGCCCGCGCGUUAACUUCCCUCUCUCCGUUCCUCUCUCCCUCCCUCUCUCUCUCUCUCUCUCUCGCUCGCUCGUCGUGGGUCGUUAGGGCCUUCCCUGUUUCCUUCUUCUCCCCACACCCCGGCCCAGUGGGCCCAUGUGUUCUGAGCAGUACGGCCCAUGCUACAUGCACACUGACCAAGUUUUUUUUUUUUGAGCAGGACAACAACAACCUUUGUUACACGGAUAUUCUAGGGGUGAUGUAAUACUUGUCGGAUACUUGGAUACGGAUACUUGGAUAUAUUUUAGUAGAUUUUUUUUUUGAGAAAGUGUAUAUCUACGUAUUCAAUACGUAUUACUUGUACCCGUACUCGUGUAAUGUAGACGACAACAACCAAGGUUCGCAAGUGGGCAAAUCGCAAGAGUCUCCCCGGCGUUGAGCGGCCAGCAGUAGUGAAACCGAGAAAGCACGCGGGGCUGUUGGCCUGCUGCGCGCGCGGGCAGCUCACUGCUCACACGGCGGUGGCAGGAAUGCCUCGCGGUCGCACCAUGAUUGGGUUGGCACUCGACAGCGCCGGCCCGGGCGAAGGCGACGGCGCCGGCCGACGAACAAUGGCGCGCGUGGACGUAGGGGGGACGUCGGGACGGCUGGCCGGUCUACUGGACCGACAGCUGCGGGCUGCACGGAGUGAGAGGUCAGAGGUCCGUCCGUUCCGGCCGGUUGUUGGACGGGUCGACCGCCCAUUUAUGAGCCCGGCCGGUGAGGAUCGCUGUAGCCUGGUGGCUGGAGCUCGACGGCUCCAUCUGUACUGAACUGUACUGUGCCGGCCACCGGCCUCGACGUCGCGUCUAGGCUACUCGUCCGCCUGAACUGAAAGCAACGGGUACUGGACGAGUAGCUAGCUCUGUCGCUGGCUCGCGUUGUCGGAUGGCAACACAGCCAGCCAGACAGACAGACGCGAAACAUCUAUUGCCUGCAUUCAGUUUUUACAUAAAAAGAAUAAUCUUUCGAAUUUUGCAAAUUCCAAACCGAUCGAAAGAAUGCAUUAAUCAAUCAUGACUCGAUGAGCUUCUUCAGUUCUUCUAUGUACAAAUUGAGAAGGAAUAUAAUCUGUAACGCCAAUCAACUGUCAUUCCAACGGCCAACGGUAAUUAACGAUCAAUCAUGCUUGCACACUUGCUUGCUUGCUGCUGCUGCUGCUGUAAGUAAAGCUGUAAACAAAAUGGUUUGAUUUCGUCUCCCCAAUCCUCGCUUAGCUGGCCGGGCACCCCAUCUCGUCGCGGGCCUUGAGGAACACGAUGGCGGCGCCGUAGUGCGCGAGCGCGCCGGCGAUGACGAGCGCGUGGAAGAUCUGGUGGCUAUGCCCCGCCAGGUCGAACGCGCCGGGCCUCCACCGCUCGGGCACCCGGGUGAGGUAGAACGCGGUGCCGACGAGGUAGGACACGGCCAUGGCGCCCUCGUAGGCCAGCGUGACGUUCCGGGCGGGCUCGUGCCAGUUCACGGCGGCCGCGUGCACGGCGGGCACCACGCCCGACAGGCCCAUCCCGACGAAGAGCAGCGCGCGGUGGGCGCGGUACCGCGCCGCGCUGAGGCGAGGGGACAUGAGCGCGUACACCGUGCCCACCCCCGCCGCCGUGAUCGCCGACAGGUACACCACCUGCCAGUGCGGCUCGCACUGGAAGAUGUAGUAGAUGGGCGGGAAGAAGGACACCACGAUCAUCACCGCGAUGCCCGUGUAGUCGAGGCGGAUCAGGAACAGGUUCAGGCUGUGCGAGUGGCACGACAGCAGGUGGCACGCGCUGCUGCUCAGCAGGCAGAACAUGGCGCCGGCGAGGAACACGAAGAAGGGCCACCGCGUCGUCUGCGACGUCACCGCCGCGCCGUAGGAGACCAGCGUCGGGUUCGUCUGGAUGAACAUGGCCGCGCCCUGGACGGACGGACCACACAUGACAAUUCCAAUUCCAAGUUAAUAUCAUCAUUAUUUUUCAUGGCAGGUUAGUAGGUUACCAGAAUCAACAACUAGACUCUGCUACUACUACUAGCAUGAUUUUGGCAUUAAACAUCUGAAAGCAAUAUGAUGCAUGCUCCAAAUAAUUGUCAAGGUACAGCCUGAAUACUACAUCCAACCAUAUCCCAUUCAGGUUUGUACUCAUUGAAUACUUUUGUUGCCAAACAGUGACGGCAAUUACUAUCAAUUCAGACUAAGGUCUGCUAUACUAUACAUACAUGAUCCAUUAUUAAGUAGGACCACUGUACCACAGUACCAGCUUGUUGGAAUAGAAGAAUCAACAGAAAAAUUAAUCAUGUGUGUGUGAAAUGGAAGGUCAAUAACUUGGCAGGAAUUCCUUCAUGAAACAUGGCUUGGCAUGAAACUACUUGUCACAUGGCAUGACAUCUAUGCAUGAUCAUGUUGCAAUCUAUUGAAAGAGGAAGGUUGGUAUGAAAUCCUCUAGGAAAUAUGGCUCCAUACAAUAACUUAGUAAUUAGUAUACAUAUGGCAUGAUGGCAAUAUAGCAUAGCCUCCAAGAUCACGCAAAUUGCAUUGUAUGGUAGGAUACACUGGCAGAGCCACCGCCCGGCCACCCCGGGCGGCCGGCCGGGCUCCUCGCCAAAAUGCAAAAGAAAUCUUCUUUAUAUUUAUAUAAAAUUCUGUGAUUUUAUAGUUAAACAUUUUUGCUUAAUGAGAAUUGCCCGGGCUCCUGAAAUCUUCUGUCUUCGCCACUGGUAGGAUACGUGACAUUUUUCACACCACCUAACCUCCAAACAAUAUUGUUUCAUACGGUGUCUUUCUUCUACUGAUUAGGUGGGCGACCAUGACAAUCCUGAAUGUUCAAGGAGCCGUGAGAACACAAGAACCGCGAGAACACAAGAGCCGUGUCUGUGGCGGUCAUGAUGCCAGAGUGGCGACAAUCACAUAGAUCACAAUACAAUCCUCCUAACACAUCAUGAAAACUUAACUUAUUGUGAUGAUGUGAAGCAACAGCACAUUUUUGCUUUCUAACACGAGGACCAGAUAAAAGGCAGGCACCAUAAAAAAGUUUAAUCUAACAAGGCUCACCAAGUCAGGCAAUCGGGAAGCUCACCCACCCUUGCCUUCCAUAUCAUGCACAUCAGAACAAACAAAAGGCAACAAACCAGUACAAAAUUUUGUUUGAUGCAUUCAAAGUAGCAGGCAGGAUGUCCUACUCAUGCAAAUCUAACCAGGACAUUUUUACUGCAAUCUAGUUUAUUCUCCUAGAAUUACCGCAUGGACCAGAUAAAAUGUUGCAGGAAGUGCAAGUUACUCACUGAUAGGACAUCUCCAAUAUUGCUGGAGACAUUUUCAGCAACCUUUGAGAUUGGCCUGCAGAAAUAAAAAAACAGAGAAGAAUUUUUAUAAGUAAAAUAACGCAACUUCUCAAUUAUAGAGUAUACAACUACUUUCUUUACUCAACAAUCUCAUCAUAGCUGAAGCAAACAUAUGUACUAUCGUUGUCGAGGUUACGUCACGUGUUUUGGAAUUGAGCUCAAUUGACUUUAGAGUACAGCUUAAGUUACUAGCACAGAAGUUUCAGUACAAACCCACAACAACUGUGUGCCUUUGAACCAGAAGCUGAGCAUGGUGUAAAAUCCUAGUAGAUAUUUAACUCAUGGUGUCCUCCAUUGUCACUGAAUGGCUGAAAGCCUGAAACCUGUUGUUGCACUACUCUACUAGUAAUUCCUAACAAAUCAACCAAUUUGCACUGACAUGAGAUUUAGUAGCAAAAUCUGAAUAGCAGUAGCUCACCAGGAGAGGUGUCCAAUCAGAUCAGCCACCUGGGGGAAGUACUGGCCGAGAUGCACCAGGGUGAGGCCGAAGAACAGCAUAAACCCAAGAAGGUGCCUGCACCCACAACCACGAGGCCAUUAAUUUCAGCAGCAAGAUUCAGGCAGAAAUGGUUCAGGCCGGCAAGAUUCAGGCAGUGAACCCGGCCGUACGUACGUCCAGAUGUUGAUGGUCUCGUUGUGCCAGGAGAAGAGGCUGAGCACGGCAUUGAGGAUGGGCCACUCGGAGCGGUAGUAGUUGAGGAUGAACUCGUUCUCCUUCAUGUACUCCGGCAGCUCGUGGUAGCUCACCAGCGCGUACUUCUUCCUCCCUCCGCCGCCCCCUCCCUGCUUCCUCUGCUGCUUCCUCCUCCUCUUUCCCCCUCCUCCUGCUUCCUUCAUGGCCGCCGCCGCCUCCGCCGCCGCCGCCGCUUCUUCUUGGUGGGCGUGGGCACACACUACCGUGGCGCCCUCCUCACUCUCCAUGCCCACCACGCCUUCCGCCCUCUCUCUCUCUCUCUCUCUCUCUCUCUCUCUCUCUCUCUCUACACACCUCUUGCUGUCACCUCUCUGCCUGCUUCUCUCUCUAGAACUAUCACGGGGCCAAGAAGGCUUUGCUAUAAAGGCCUGGAGGCUGAGAUGGGUGCACAGCACAGACAACGCAGUGAUAUGAUGAGCUGCACUGCACGCAAGCAACCAAGCAACAAUGCAAGAAGUUGUUGCAAACAAGGCAAGGAACGCGCGAGGCUGCAGUGGGAUUUAAGCUGCUUUUGUUUCCACUUUCAUGGCCUGGAUUUUAUCUCCGAUCGAUGCCUCCAAGCUGAAGCGAAAACGUCCAGCGCUGUGUUGCUCCAGGCAGGGCUCGGCUCACAUGUCGCUGGCCCUGGCCACGUAUAUAAUUGCAGGAGAUGAGAUGAGAUGAUGGUGUGUAUCUUCUGGUGUGGUAAUGUGUGCAGCACACACGAGGGGUAGAGGGAGAGAGGCCUGACUGAUGACUGCUUCUGCUUUGAAGGGGACAUGGACAAAUACAGGUAGGGCAGGAGGACAACCCACAUCGACACUGUUGUCAAGGUCCUCAUCACAGAAGGAAGAGCUGGGGGAGAACACUGUUGGUGUUGGGAAGGAAAAUUCAAAAGAGCCCCACAUCAAUCCUCUUUCUUUUUUGGUUUUAAUAUAAGAACAUAAAAAGGGAAAUCAAAUAGUACUAACAUUAUUAGGACAGAGUUCACUGGCAUACUUAAUUCUGAUGACUGGACCAUUUUAAUGUCACAGAAACUUCAAUAUGCUAGAUUGCCACUAGUUGCUAGUGGCAGGGAAGUGUAUUCUUUCCCAAGCCUGAGGAGUGAGGACACAGUACAUAGCAGCUGUAAAUUUCCAAUUUUGAGACAACUGUAAAUUUCCAAUUCUCAGGUCAGAGUGUAUCUGAACUGACAAAUAUGGACUUCGGAUAAAUCCCAUGUGUGUUUACAUCGUCCAUAAAUAUAAAGUACGAACAUUUCUGCACCGACUGUGAAUUCAAGAAAUUAAUUAAUUGAGUUCUUGCUCAAACCUCAAACCUAGCUGAACCACACACUUCAUCCUAUAUAACAAAUCCAAGUCCAUGAAUUGGGCACCGACGUAGUGAAAAACUUCAUCCUAUAACAAAUACAAGUCCAUAGGACGAGGACAUCCCUAUUGCCAAUCUUAGGCCUUGUUUACUUGCAAAAAAUUUUGCAAAAUAGGAAUAGUAGCACUUUCGUUUGUAUUUGACAAAUAUUGUCUAAUUAUACACUAAUUAGGCUCAAAAGAUUCGUCUCGUCAAUUUCGACCAAACUGUGCAAUUAGUUUUUAUUUUCACCUAUAUUUAAUACUCCAUCCAUACGUCUAAAGAUUCGAUGUGAUGGGGAAUCUGAAAAAUUUUGCAAAAUUUUUCGCGAACUAAACAAGGCCUUAUAAUCAAAAUCGCUUUGCGAAUCCAUCACGGUGGCAUGGCAUUGGCCAUUUGGCAUUUGGCAGAAGAAUACAGGUAGGUGUAGUUGUUGUCUUUGCUUGCUCCUCGCCGUCGCCGCGGGUCCCCUGAAGCUGAAGCCCUUGCAGUUGAGUUUGACCUCGCCGUCUGCUUGCUGGCCACCCAUCCAUCCAUCCAUCCAUCUUCCCAACCGCCGCAAUGAAUUCUCCAGCAAACUCGCCCCCGGAGGAGAACCUGGCGACCUGCAGGCUGCCGAUCUCUCUUCCCGGUCCCGCUGUGGUGUGGCGUGCGGACAACCCGUUGGAAUUGGAACGCUCAGAGAAAGCGCGGCGGCGAGCCCGCGUCAUGGUCCGCGGCGGCCGACCCGGUUGGUUGGGAGCUCGCAACCAACUCGGCCCGGCAUUCCGGCAAGACAGCAUGAGGGGUGGCUGCCUGCUGCUGCUUCUGCGUUCUGAGUUCUGACGGAUGGCUGGCUGCUUCCUUUCCUGUCACCGACAGCGACAUGGUUAGAGCAGGCUGAGUCAGUUUAGGCGCAAAAACCAAAAAACUUUAUGAGAUAGAUAAGUGGAUGAAGAGCUAACUAUCGUAUGUGCGGGCUGGGAGAAGGCUGAAAAAACCUUAGAGCCAGCAAGUAGGCUGUAUUAUUAAACUUGCUCUUAUGACUCAAGCUGGCUUUAGAGCAAGUAUUAUAGUGGCUGUAAGCUGGCUAAAUGCUGAGGUGGAGGAGAGAAGGGAGGAGAGAGAAGAGAAGCGAGCUAUAAGUUUACAGCCAGCCUAGGCUUAGGGUUUAAGAAACUUUGUGAGAGAGACAAGUAGGCCAUGUAUUAAUAGUUAUACCUUACAGCCAGAAAGUGGGCUGUAUUAUUAAACUUGCUCUUACCUGAAAAAAUGUGUGGGUAAGUUUCAUGACGAGGUGAUCGGUGCAGCCAGCAGUCAGCAGCCAGCAGCAGCGCCGGUGAUGAUUCGGGAAUGAUGACGGCCAUUGCAGUGCAGUAGUGCGCGCACAAGGGUUUCCCUUGUUGUCGGACCAGGAUCAGGGUCAGAGAUGGCUUUGGAUCGUGCAUGACGAGAAGCGAGACUAGAGUGGUAAUGGAUUAGAGUCCGAAUCCGAAUGAAAGCUCGAUUGAAAAUCCAAGGAAUUGAAAAGAAGAGUUUCAAAUGAUUAAUAAUGCUCAAUCCGUUUCCUCAAAAAAAUAAUGCUCAAUCCAAUUCGACGAUCUGGUUAUUUUAAAGUCCAAAUUUAUCCAUGACGAUCUAAUAAUAACAAAAGUACGAUGCCUAGAUGAUGAUCUCAUGUCUAAAGUUGGACUGUGUAGAAUUAGAACUUCAGCUACUGGUGUGUCUAUAAAUAAUUGUUGGCUCACAUCAAAAGCUAGCUACACCGUAAAACUAAAAACGAUAUCUCAUCCACUCUAAAGUUUUAGCAAAAUUAACUGAAAUUUAUUUGAAAUGACUUGGUAUAACAGUCAACUACUCUAUGUAUAGCAAAAUCAACAUGUGAGUCCUACAUUAGAAAUCUAAGCUGGACAUUAGGGACCGAUUUCUCAAGUCAAAGAUAUCCAAUGGGCAUUGGAUUUUUUUAGUUGCUCUCCUGUGAAUUUAGGAAGGAUGGAUAUAUCCAAAUCCAAAUGGAUCUUAUCCAAGUAUAUCUUAUUUGCUGUACGCAUGUGUUGUAUUUGUAUCCGAAAUGUGAGAGGUCAUCCACAUUAUGUUUAGAAACCUUAGCCACGCAUCUAUUUUGUUGUACGAGGAUGAUAGUGAUAUGUUUCAUCACCAAAAGCGUUGACGAUCCUUUGCAGUUAUUCUCACAGAGAAGACAGUGGUUGAGUAUUUGUAUUAAAUCCGCUGUUGGCUAUGAACAGAAAUGGCAAGUAGUGUUCAUACUUGGUAGUUGGUACGGAGUACCUAGAAACUGAACCAACCGAGUGCAGGCGCGCAACUCAUUUUAUUUGGCCAACAUUUCCUCCAUCUGAGCCAAAUAAAUGCACAAACACACACCUGGAGCUAUCACGACUUUGACUCUGAUAUUAUCAUUCCAUGUAUGUGUUCAAGAAAAGCAGCCAAAUCACAGUCGUUCCUGAUACAGAUGGCCAACCAUAAACCGAUAACCAAUCGGUCCAACUGGUCCCCAUUUAUUUUUUAUUUAUUUUGGCAACAGGUAUUGGUUAGCUUCAAGAUCAAACUCUUUAACACAGAGGGGAAAAGAAAAAGGAAGUAAACGGUUCAAUGGGUUCACAAGAACAAGCAAAAGAAGACCAAAUCAGGUCAAACAAAUGGCAAAAGUAAAAACGUGAUCAUCCGGGGGCAAAUGAUAGGAGGAGAGCAGAUGGGCGUGGUGUAAUUGUUGCAGCUACUACACCAAACUUAGAAGCUGCUUUGAGUGCAAGUCAUAGCAACUAAUGAUGUUUAAGCAGGAUAAUGUAAGGCAUCAAUACAUGCAUGAUGAAGUCAUAGUUGGGAGCACCACAGUUGCUACAAUAAUUUCAUAACUACUAGAGCAGCAGAUGGAUAAAGGUAUUAAUGAUGUAACCACAAGACAGGUUGGAAAAAAACAUAUAAAAGAGAGUAAACACUUGGGGCAUAUUAAUUCAAGAAAACAAGAUGUAUGGUGCUAAAUUUAUGUGACACUGUAUUUACACAAUAUAAGGCACCCCUCCUAGAAUGAAAAAAAAAAGAGUUUAGAGGGUUGUGCUGUAAUCAUAAGCUCCACUUUGAAGUGAUGGAAAAAGUGUGAGCUUUGUAUAUUGGAAGCUUGUUUGCUGAAAAUGCUUCCACAAAAUGUUUCCACUAUCAACAUUUAAACAAAUUUGUUUCGUCUGUACAGCUGGAUGUAUCCAUUAACAUGCUCUUCGCUCCAAAAAUUUCCAGUGCGGGGAUCCAAGGGAAUGUCAUUCAUAACCCAUGCAGGGACCACACACAUAGAUUAAAUGACUGGCAGGCAAAAUCGGACGUUUCCAAUAGAAUGGAAACAAAGUGUUUGUAUCGUAUAUUCGUGUUGUUCAUUUGUUUCUUUCUUUAUAUUAAUAACAAAACAGAUUGCACUUGGUGUCAUUGUGUGGGUAUACCAAGCUGUUGCAUAGCAGACCUGAUGUCACCAGUGCUGAAUCCCUCAAUUCCAAUGAUAUUUGAGCUAUCAAGAGCAACAACAUCCUGUAAAGGGUACCUUCUGACUGUAUGGAUCCUAUUCGCAGGAGUGUUGAAUCCACCCUUAAGGAUGACUGUCUUGUGAAGACCUCCAAACAGUUCCUCGUAAUCAGAAUCACCAGUUUCACCAACAAUGACCACAGCAUCUGGCAACUCUAUGCCCCAGCGAAUAGACAAAUACCUAUAAUAGAAAAUUUUGUUAGUGGGUUUGUACACAUGUUUGCUGCAAGGUGGAUAUGGAAAUAAAUACAUAAAAUGUUUCCCAAAGACAAUAAUCAAAAGUACAGAUCCCAGACCAGACCAGUGAAAAUUUUUAGUGAUGGUGGCAGUAUUAUCUAUUGCAGAACUUCUUACACUGUUAGGGUUUUAGGGCUGCACAAAACAUUUGAAAGGUAAAAAAUACAAAAAAAGAACUCAUAUUUUAUAGGGAAUAAAACACCCCAUGCAUUAGCUACUUAAACUCUCACUAUAGCCAGAAGCGCCAGAGUUCUGUAUAUCAAAAUAUUAUUAUAGGAUUUCUUACACAUCCAGGUUCAUAACCAACCUGAUCAUGUGGCUUAUAGUUAAACUGGUUUAGGCAAGGAUACAGAUCCCCCAUAUGAACUCAAAACUGGUUCGCAGCCUGCAUUAACACCUAUUUAGCAUUUACACCUGAUCCUGACCCGUUUUGACCAAGUUAUAAACUUAUAGUUUCCCUGUUAUAUUCUGGUAACCACCCAAUUCCCAACCAAUUACAGAGCAGUUUAGGAGACCAGUAAGGAGAGAGCCACAUACAGCUUCACUAAUUUUAAGUUUUUAAUCCUGGUGACAGGUAAUCAGCUGGUACUAAACAAAGCAAUAGGGUCCAGCUUCUCACUCCCACUGCUUUUUUUUGGAACCGGAAGGAGAACUGCUGGUCACUAUAAGAAGUAAUAAAGAGCAAACCAAAGAAUAACAUUGAACACCACACACAUGCCAACUGUACAAAAGGGAGGAAAAGAAACAGAGAAGAGAAGAGGCAAACAAAAAAUGGGUCCUAACCAGUGUAAAUACCAAGUUUCUCACUCCUACUAGUCUAGUCUUCUGUUGAAACAGUUCAUGAUUGGAAUAAAUCAUCCAACGGCCAACACGAAGGGAAAUAUUGCUCAGUGCCAUCAGCAUGGACACCAAGUUGAUAAAUAGAAUCCAAUGUGUACUUGAAACAUGGUUGUCAGACUCACAGUACAUGUAAUAUUCAAUUGAUACCUUUUUUAUAAUGGUAUUGAGCUACUUUUCUCAUAAAUUUAAGGAAAAGAAAAUUCCACAUCUUGAAAACAGUUUUUUUAAAUGCUCCACACGCCAUGAUACUGCAACUAAUUUGCAACAUAAAAGAUAAAUGAUUUUCCUUUAAAAAGGAAGAGUUAAUUAAUAGACAAAUGAAGAAAAUCAAGCACCAGACCUUAGAGCCUGAGAUCGCGAUGCAUGAAUUGGAAUUACAGAUAGCCUGGUGGCGCCAUGGUUAUACAGAGCAUGACAACGCAGUGACUGGAUUCUCAUCAACUUUUGCAGCUCCUUCAAAGGAGGCAACUACAAUAUAUAAACAAAGUCAAAUAAAAAGUUGCACACUUAAACUGUAAUAAAGUGGUCCAAAUAAUGAGUGGGCAAAAUUUCAACCAAAUGUUAGAGGAUCUGGAAAGAAGCUUACAUGAUUUGGAUUAACCACUCUAAAUGCAAGACAAUAUGUUGAAGAGUGUUCUGAAUCUUCAAAGAUGAUUUGCUUUUCUGUUCUCCCCCUUCUUUCUACUACUGAAGAAGCCCACUUAACUAAGUACUUCCUUAAACCUUCUCCUCCCCAACGAUACUCGAUAUGUGAUCGGUAGUUAUGGUCCAAUGCAAAUGUAACACGGGAAUUGCUUGGCACAUCACUAGAUUGUGAUGGAUAAUAUAUAUCACUCCCACUAUUGCAUAUAAAGGCAUCAAAGUCAGUAGGGAGCAUGCCUGUGCGUACUAUUACAGACUGUAGCUCUGCUAUUGUCAGUGAAGUCGACAACACAAAACCUGUAGAACCUGACAUAGUUCCAGUGCGUGUGGCCUCAACAGAAUUUCUGAUAAUUUGAAUUAAAUCUUCCUUGUUAACAGAGUCUACAGCAAUAACAAAUAUAUGCUUCCUGCACUUCACAGGCACCUUCUGGUCUUCUUUGCAUGCGAAAGCAGGAUGUCUUGGACCCAGAGUUAAUAUCCUUGACAAGUAAUUCUUGCAAUGUUCAGGCCAAGAAAAUUGGUGUAUAUUUUUCAAUCCAUUAUCUCGACAUCUUGACCAAAACUGCUUUUCAGAAAGCAUCUUAUAGAGGGCAUCUGCAAUUGCAUGCUGAUCAUGGGGAUCAACAAGGAGACCAUUUUCCAGAACCUACAUCAACAUCCACCAGAAAGGAUCCAAUCUAUUACAGCUGUAAGUCAAUACGCUAUUAAUUCAAUAAAUGGUACAAUGUGAUUCAUGAACCUGAUGAAUUUCAACAGGAGCCCCAUGUUUUGUUGCAAUAACAGGCAACCCGUGCAUGGCAGCCUGCUCACAAAAAGAACAGAUAGGUAAUAAGGGCAUGGAAAUGGUGAGAUACAUAAAUGAAUUUCUGAUUUCAAAAGUUCUGACCUCUAUCAAGGUGACACCAAAUUGUUCAAAGUAGGCAACAUUUACAAAAGCACCCUGGCAUACAUAUGACAAGAAAAGUUGUAUCAGCGAAUACUUAAAAUAAGAUAAUGGCUACUGUAUUUCAGUUGGAUAUACCAUGAAUGCUUGUUGGAAGAAAAACAAAGCAGAUAGAUAUUAAAGAUAAGUGCUUCAAUUCUUGGCAUUCAAAAGAAGGGGGGAAAUAUGGAACUUUUUUUUGGUUAAAAACAUUAUACCUUUGUUCUUGCUGCUAAACGAUAAAUAUCAGGAACUUCAGAGUGCUUGUGAUGCUUUGGGUAUGCCACUUGACCAUAUAAAUCGUAUUCAUCAAUCAAUGUAAGCACCGAUGUCAAAACAGCUGCACUGACUUUGUUCAUUUUGGAAAUAGCCUCACGGUUGCCCAUUAUCAAUGUCUGGAAAUGCAAAAUCAAAAGGUACCAAGGAAAACGUAUCAAAAUUCCAUAUUACUAACAUAUUCAAUACAAUUAUGAUAUCGGAACGCAAUAUACCCAAAACACUCAAAUGUCAGGUUCCAGUGUUAUCUUACAAGGUUAGCAAGUUCCCUCAACGGAUGGCAUUCACCAAAUGCCUUCACAAGCGUUGCAAUAUUCUUUUCAGCAUAUGGACGGGCAAUAGCCAGAAUCAUAGGUUUCCUAGGAUUUGUGAAGAACCGCAUUAUCUGUCAUCACAUACAUACCAUCAGCACAUGAACUUUAAAAACACACACAGGAUCAACAGGAAUAAACAAAUUGAUGUAUCAAGUAAAAUAAAAAGUAAAAUCUUGAAUGUAGGCAUCUUAAAAUAAUUUCACAACCUCAAACCAAAUAGAUGGAUCCUCAGAGGCUGGAGAUGGGUUAUCUUCAUCUCCAUAGAUAUCAAAAUCAUGAAUCAAUUGGCCAAAUUCAACUCCUGGAGGAAUUAUCUGCAGAGCAAGUAAUAGAGAACUAGAGCAUUUAAAACCUCUAUAUUACGACAGCAAGAAAGCAUAAUGCUAAUUGCCCACCUAUAAAAUAUGACAAAAAUGCAACUAGUGAGUAAUUGUUUACGGAAUCAGAGGAAUAGUUUACUUACAACCAUACGAGGCAUAUAACGACCAUAACAGUGAGCGCCACGCUUGACUAACGCACGGAGCUUCCUCGCAAGCAUGACUUCAAAACCAUCGUACAAGUUCCAUUGUUCUUCUAUUUCUUGCCUUGUGCUUGCGAUAACUAUUUCAGAUGCAUCAAGUGACAACUCCUCUGCCUCAAUUCGGCGCAUUAUUUUGUAUGUCACGUUUAUUUGUUCUCUUGUCUGUCUCCCUUGCUUGAGAAGCCCUUCGAGCUUAUCUUUCCCAAGAAAAUGACCGGUAAACACCAUGGGAACAUUAAGUGCUCCAGAUAGUAGAGCAGCAGCAACUCCUGCACUGGAAUAAUGGCCAUGAAUCACAGCAGGCCACACUGGACACACACUGCCAGUUUCUUUGCCUAUAGUUUUUGACAUGCGCACAAUAUGAGCUAGCGCACCAUCAACAAAUUCUUGAAUGAAAGGCCAGAUAUUUUCUUUAGCUAGAUGCUUGUCUUUGGGGCCAAAUGGUAUUCUGAUGAUAUGUGCACCACUGUUUUCUCCUCGUUCGCAUUUAAAGUUCUUGAAACUUGUCGAAGCCAGCAUCUCAUCUGGUUCACCAUAGCCACGAUCAAAAUUUGGGGCUAAGAUUUGUCUUGUCAAUAGAUCAACCCGGUAAACUCCAGGACAAGAACUUAAUGCUUUAGCAAGUUCCACGACAUAUUUGACCUAUGAAACAGCACACAGUGGAUGAAAGUGAAAUCAUGUCCUUGUAUGAUACUAGUAUCUUUUUAGUGAAUAUCUUCGAAACAUCAAAUGGAAUAUAUAGCUGCUCCGUUAACUACAGGAUAAAGUUUGAGUUAUUCAUUCUGAAGAAAGAAUUGCAGUUAUACUUGAUUCUAUAAAUAAAUGCACCGACGAUACCAUUACCUGGCCACCAGUAUCUGAAUCACGGCCAAGCUCCAUAUUCUCUCCACGUAUCAGGCCAUGAAGACUACAGUAUAAUACAUCAUAACACAAAUUCAAUGGCAAAUAUAUUUCAACACAAAUACCAGCAAGCCAAAGGAUUACAUCAUAUUUAAAUUGGAUUAUAUGCCAACUUGUGAAACCACCGAUUCUAAGAAUAGUAUGAACAGUAUGCAGUGUUCAGGCUAAAUCUGUGGAAGUGAAUUUCCUUAUGAACUUCUUUCAAUUUAAUGUAAAUCAUUUUGCAACAGAUAUGAAUAGCAUACUGUCACAUGAUGAAUUAGUUACAUGCAGCUUAAUCAAUCUGUAGCAUGUACAUAAAAGUGUCAAAAAAAUAUUAUAGAAGAUAAAUAAACUAUUAUGUACCUGAUUAAGACUAUGUAUAGCUUGUCAAAUGAACUGAUCCUAGGUGUGUUCCCAGUUGUGCUGUCACCGUAGGCAACAGAUGGAUCACCAGCGUCUUCUCCCUUCACUCCUUCAAAAAGAUCUUCAGACAUUUCUGCAGUAGCAUCAUUCCGUGGCUUCUCAGUCUCUAGACGGCGUUUGGACAAGCGAUUGGCUUCUUCUUUCUCAAACUGAAUAUUGGAAUUUACAUAACAAAGAAAAACUAUAUUAAAUGGAAGAGAUAGAAGUUCAAAUGCAACCUAACAUGUAAUUAUCACAUAACAAGAUAAAGCAGAAAUGUGAAAAAAAAAAACUGAACAACAAAAUCACUUCUGGUAACAACAUUAUCAGAUUAGAAAUCAAAACAUUAAAUGCACAAAGAAAUACACUAUAAUGUCAAUAUAUCUUGUGAGUUGUGAAGUGUGCACUAGUGAGAGCUGUUGGAACAUUUGAAGUACAAGUAAAAAUAGGGACUGUAAACCCAUGAUGCCAAUUUUAUUUAGCAUGCAUGUUAAACUAAUUCAAUGAGUUUUGUUGAACUGAACAAUCGAUUCCUUUUUUAUGACUACUUAGAGAAGGACCAGUAAGCUAUGAACACCACGCAUUAACAAGUAACAACACAUCAAAUUUCAAUAAAAAAAAAGUAACAACACAUCAAACAGCAAAUGUCAUAGGGCCACUCAUAAGUAACUUUUCAUAGCAUGGUUUAUGUGCAUACAACCUUUACACAAAGAAAAUAACUUCUAUUGAAGUGAAGAGUGUAAAGCAGUAUGUUAGGGAAAAAAACAAACUUUAAUAAGUCAAACAAAUAGCCAAUGACAGUGUACUUGUAGAAAAAAUAGUUUGCUUGUAACAAUCUGAUUUUGUGGUCUUAGAGGAUCUACAUGCCAGUAUGCCACCUCUUUAAAUAAUAAAAAAUUAGAUCCCUCAUCUUCCGCCAAAAAAGAAUCCUACAUCUCUUGAUCUAUUCACUUCCACUCAAAUCCCACAUUUUCACUUCCACGUGAUAUUCUACACAUUCUAUAAUAUUUUUAAUCAUAUCUUCACACAUAUAUGCCUAAACAGACAAAGGUCUCUGAACAUAAAAGGCCAUGCACAUUGGACGAUCAUCCAUGUUGCCAAACCCAACUGAGGUCUCCCUGCCCCUGAUUCCACUUGCUUUGCAUAGUGCUUAAGAAAGUUGUCAUCAAGCCAGUGGUUAGAAGCAUUGAAAAACUAACAUUUAUCUUGUAUCUUUAUAUCACAAGCAGCCCAUGAGCCCAGACUCAUCUAGGCCCUUGAUAUCCAUACUGCAGGUUACCAAGAGGAAUUGAAGAUUCAUAAAAGGCCAAAACUCAUGUAGUGUAGUGGUAACCUCUGUAGUUGAGGGAGACCCUGGCUAGGGCUCAAAUCCUCAUGGCACCAAAAAAGUCCCCUCGCUGGCAACCCAAUAAAUAUUCAUAGGGCACCAACCUGUGACACUAGUGGUUGAUUGGGGCCCUCCUACCAGGGGAUACUUGCAAUGGUCGCCAUCCCAGAGGGUCAUGGUUGGCCGAGGUUAGAGUGCAACCCUAUAGGUGAAGCCAUGGUUCGGGGAAUUUCUCUGUCGGUUUGUCUGAGAGCUCUUAGUGCAAUACUGGGCAAUCUUUCCCCAUUGGCCAAAGGCUUUCUCUUCUUUUCUUUUCUUUUCUUUUCUUUUUUCCUUUUCUUUUCUUUUUUUUUUUGGUGAGGAGGAUGGCCAUGUACCAUCUACAGCUGGACACUUUAGACAAAGACCACAAUAUGGACUUGUUACAUUCUAAUACAAUCACAACAACUAAAAGAACAUCCGUUGUUUGGGAUCACCGUUUUACCCCUGCAACUAUCUUGAAUACUCUUUUGUAACAGGUAAGUAUGAUGGCAAACAGAAUAAGGCAAGAGCAAGCAUCAGGUGGGACCGUGGGAGGAGCUCCAGUGACAUGGUGCCUCUGUUGACACUGGGGCAGGUCUCACGAAAGACCUUAAUUGUAAUAAUGAAGUGAAGUACCUUGCUAAAGGAGUAAAGAUUGAUUGAUGUUAUCCUCCUAGAUGUGUACAAAUGAAUAACUGCACAGCACUGAUUGUUGCUCAAUAGGACAAAUUUGUAUUACAUUGUUUCCAACUUCUACCAGGUAAAACACCCGCAGUUUAGAGGUUCAGGUUAGGUGAAGACUGAAGAGUAGAAGGGCAAAUCUUGGAAGUUUAGGUUCUUAGGACCUGUUGAUCUUCAAAGUGUUCAAAAUAGAAGAAAGUCUAGUAGAUGUUAACUUGUGGUAAAAAAUACUGAUAUGGAUCUCUGAGACUAAUUAAAAUGUACCAAAAUAGUUCAAUUACAUUGAUAAUGUGCUACGAAUGCUACAUAGCCAAUUUUACUAUACUAAAUCUUCAUCGCAGUAAAAUCAAAACUUGCAAUGAAGAUCUUGAAACAAGGUGUACACAAAGUUGUUUUGUAUAAUUCUUACUGGUUCAAAAUUCUACUUCAGCUUGUUUUCAUAAACCUUAAAUUGUAGCCUUAUAGGUUUAGAGUGUAAGCGGAACUCUCAAAUAUACUUUCUGGGUAGCGCGCGCGCUGACAUGUGAGAAAUUCUUAGUCUACUAUACAGAUUUAAAUUUAAAUCUUCAGUUUUUUUCGACCACAUAAGGCACACCUCAGUCGCUUAGUCUGCAUUAAAUGGUGAAUGGACUGAAGGGGCAGAAUUAAACGCACAAGUAAAAAUUAUUGGAAUUGAUCAGAGAAAAUGGAAUAUUAGAAUUUGUGUGCAAAACAGAGAAAUACUGUCUUGAUAGAUAAGAGUUCCUGCUUUUUGAGGUUGCAAUGCACAUAAACAACCUGAGUGAACCUGACACUCCUACCAAACAUGAUGUCCAGCACAAUUCAUCAUAGUUAUCCGUUAGACUAUUAGAAAAACCCUUUUCCAGAAUACAAUGGAGAACAUGUGCCUGGACUCUAUUAGCUGACAUGAGUAUGCAGUUAUUACAGAUUUUCCAAAGGAAUAGCAUAUUUUUUGGAGAUUUUGGUGACACUGAUACCAGUGAAACAUGCUUUGGUCCAUCAACCUUGGUAGAUAACCUAAUGCCUCUGGCUAAUUUCCACUAUUCUUUCCUUACAUGCUCAACUUGUUGCUGCUGAAAACAAACAUAGACUAAUAUGAAUAGAUGUUUUGUGCUUUGCAGUGUAGUGUAUCCUAUUGUGGGGUCAGUGCGAUCCAUCAACACAUACUGAUCAUUACUGUAUUUCCAUACAUCUGUAGUGGAAGAGCUAAAUUAUCUUUCACACUCUAACACUUCAGCAAGCAGUUUUUGAUGAAUUGAAGAAGUAACCACAGGGAGAAGGUGACAAACUGGAGGACAGGUGAUGAUAAUAAUAGCUAACUUACAAACCCAAUCACACAUAUGGAGCUUGAAAAGCUUGGCAUUUUGGUCCAAUGUCUUAUCCCAUCAUAAGUAGCGAUCAGACAAAGCAGAAACAUCCUAGGCGUGCUACCUGGUCCAAAUCAAUUUGGAACUGGAACUUCUGCUCAAUACCUUUGCAAAGCUCAUUGAGAAGGACCAUAGCUCGAUGAACACUCCACUGAAACAUUUUGUGGAGCAGAUCCUGAUGCUCUCUAAAAUGCACCUAUGCCAAGAUCAAUCCUAGUUCCAGCUAAACGCUAAUCUAACCCACGCACGUCUCCUCUUUCCGGAGCCCAACCCAGCUUGCGGAUUGAAUUAUCAAAACCGAGAUGGGCACAAGCUGCGAGGAACAUAAGAAGCAGCACGACGAAGGGAGAGAAGAGGAGAAACGAACCAAGAGCAAAAAGGCGCACCUCCUUCUUCUUCCUGGCGAGGUUCCAGAUCCUCCAGGUCAUGUUCUCCAGCCGCGUGUUCUUCUCCUGCGGGCUCCGCAUCGCGUUCGCCUGCGCGCACCCACCACCACCACCACCACGUGCACACGCGGCCGCACACACACACAGGCACAGAUCGAUCAACACAUCCCGCGGAUCACCAGCGAGGAAGGAGGGAGCCAGGGAUUCGGGGAGCGCGAGCUCGCUCGCCCUCCGCGCACGCGCACGGGGAGGAGCGGAGCCGCGCGCGUACGUACCCGGAGCCAGGUCUUGUAGAGGUCGGUCUCGUCGUAGCCGGUGAUGACCUCCUCGACGAAGUAUCGCGCGGGGGAGAAGUGGCCGCGCUCGCGGAGGAGCAGCGAGGGCCGGUCCCCGCCGCCGCCUCCGCCCCGGCCCCUGGCGGCGGCGGCGGCGCCGGCACCCGCUGCCGCUGCGCCCUUGCCGGCAUCGAGGAUGGCGUCGAGGUAGCUGUUGAUCCAGUUGUCGUUGCCGUACAUCGCCGCCGGCGAAAUCGAGGCCGAAUGGGGUGGGCGUUCGGCGGGUGCGGGUGGGGGCGAGGGAAGUGGUGGUGGUGGUGGUGGUGGCGAGGACGAGGGCGGCGACGGGAAAAGAGAGAGAGAGAGGAACAGAAAUGGAAAGGAAAUGCGACAUGGAAUUGGAAAUGGGUUGUGGUUAUUGCCCUUCCUACCCGCCUGCCUGCCAGCGGGUGCGCGGAUUCGUGCGGUCUCGGCCGUUGGAUCUGGAUCCGACGGUGGAGUCCUGAUCGUAACGUAUCCCAGUGGGAGAGCGCAGCGCAGCGCUUCGCUUUUUUGUUUGGCAUUGUGCUGCUGUGUUGCGCAGUUUUUGUGUAGCAACUUGGAAAUAGGAUAUUCACAAGUAUAGCGUCGAAAUCAAGAAAAUGGUGUGGUGCAGUACGUCUCAUGGCAUAGCUGAUAAAAGUUGGAGUUUGUGAUGUUACCCCUGAUGCUAACAUUGAAACAGACGACAAACAUGUACAUCUGGCUCGCGAUUUGGUUUUCUCAUUGAAAAAAACUAGUUCAUCCACUCAAAUUCACGAGGAAAAUUAACGUGCCAAAAAGAAUUGGCAGGAGAUUCGUCUGGUGAUAGCUUUUUGUUCCUGGAUCGAAAGACCAGCCCCCCAAGCUGUUGGCGACUUGGCGUCCACUCCACACACAAUAAUGCAUUCAUGUGACAUAUUAUGAAUUCCGGUUGACCUUGUUCAGGAGAAGAGAUUCUUGUUGUGGCAGUUGGAUUAGGCCUUGUUUAGAUGUGAAAAAAAUUUGGAUUUUUUUACUGUAGCACUUUGCUUUGUUUAUGGUAAAUAUUUUUCAAUCAUAGACUAACUAGGAUUAAAAGAUUUGUCUCGCGAUUUACAGUUAAACUGUGUGAUUAGUUUUUGUUUUCGUCUAUAUUUAAUACUUCAUGCGUGUGCUGCAAGAUUCGAUGUGACAGGAAAUUUCGAAAACUUUUUGAAUUUCGGGGUGAACUAUUUAGAUACACCGAAAAACCCAAAACUUUACAAGAUUCCCCGUCACAUCGAAUCUUACGGCACAUGCAUGAAGUAUUAAAUAUAGAUAAAAAAUAACUAAUUGCACAGUUUACUUGUAAAUCACGAGAUGAAUCUUUUAAGCCUAGUUACUCCAUAAUUAGACAAUAUUUGUCAAAUAAAAACAAAAAUGCUACAGUGUCAAAAUCCCAAAACUUUUUGCAUCUAAACAAGGCCUUAGUUUACCCAAAAACCAAAAACUUUUCAAGAUUCCCCGUCACAUCGAAUCUUACAACAUAUGCAUAAAACAUUAAAUAUAGACAAAAAUAAAAACUAACUAUACAGUUUGUCUGUAAAUCACGAGAUGAAUUUUUUGAGCCUAGUUAGUCCAUGAUUGGAUAAUAUUUGUCAAAUAAAAAUGAAAAUGCUAGACCAAAAUUCAAAAUAUGUUCGGAACUAAAUAAGGCCUUAGUCUAGUACUGUACUACCUAAACUACCAGGGUCUUAUUUAGUUUACCCGAAAACCAAAACUUUUCAAGAUUUUCCCGUCACACGAAUCUUGCGGCACAUGCAUGGAGCACUAAAAUAUAGACGAAAAUAAAAAGUAAUUGCACGGUUUAUCUGUAAAUCGCGAGAUGAAUCUUUUAAGCCUAGUUACUCCAUGAUUAGACAAUAUUUGUCAAUUAAAACGAAAGUGCUACAAAACCGAAAACCAAAAAAAUUUCGGAACAAGACCCAGAUAACUGUUCCUUCAUUUAAUUUUUGUCUACAAAGUCUAUUGCCCUGCUCUGUAGGAAAAGGCAUUUUCGGCGAGACCAUUUAAUUUCGCCGGCAUAAAUAAACACGACCUGGGCCUUGUUUAGUUUUCAAAAAAAUUUGCAAAAAAUUUCAGAUUCCCCGACACAUCAAAUCUUUAGACACAUGCAUAGAGUAUUAAAUAUAGACAAAAAUAAAAACUAAUUGCACAGUUUGGUCGAAAUUGACGAGACGAAUCUUUUAAGCCUAGUUAGUCUAUGAUUGGACAAUAUUUGUCAAAUACAAACGAAAUUGCUACAGUGUCGAUUUUUUAAAAAAUUUUAGAAGACCCUGGUAUAUUCCGAAAAGGGAAAUUUCAAUUUGAAUCCGAGUCAUGUGACGCUGCAAGCUGCUUGCCAGCCACUGUGUGCUGAGCUGAUUCGGAGACUUUCCGGUUCCAGCCAGGUCCAUCCCAGUCCAGGUGUGACCGCGGCGGCAGGCAGCAGCAUCUUUUACCGUUCCCGCUUGCCAAGGCAAUUGAGUUUGACCCGUGCAGGGCUGCUCCCACGCCGACUCGCCGUCGGAUCGGAGACCAUGCACGCCACGGACAGGAGAUUACAGUCUGAUUGCUCGCUCGUUCCGUAUACUACCAAACUACUACUAGGACUAGGAUAGGAGGAGUAGUAGUACCAAUGAAUAAUACCCUUUCCCCUUCGUAGCGAUUGGUCAACCACAAGCAACUCUACAAUAUACAACAUGCAACACCACAUGUGACGUAGCGUAUAGCAUUGUGUAAGAUCAGUUUGGUAAGCGCGUCAUUUGUUAAUUUUCAAAGGUUGUUCGAUAAUGCCCAUAAUGCUCUUUCAUGGCUUCAAGAGGUGCGUGCUAUUUCAAAUAAAGUCCAUAUCAUGUUCUUCACGACUACUUCAACGAUACUUCACAACAAUGUUUUUUUCUUUCACAACAAAUUAGACAGUUCUCAAAAAUUUUCAAAAUUUUUCCAUCACAUUGAAUUUUGAACCCAUGCAUGCAGCAUUAAAUAUAGAUAAAAAAUAACUAACUGCACAGUUUAUCUGUAAUUUGAGAAAUAAAUUUUUUAAGCCUAGUUUGUCCAUAGUUAGACGAUAGUUGUCAAAUACUCCCUCUAUCCCAAUUUAUAAAUCAUUCCAAAAAUCUUGUAGAGUUAAAGCAUUUUAAGUUUGACCAACAUUAUAGAAAAGAUAGAAAAGUUUAUGACAUCAAAUAGAUAUUACUAUGAAAAUAUAACUAAUGAAGAACCUAAUGAUACUUAGAUUGUAUCAUAAAUGUUAUUAUGUUAUCAUAUAAAUUUGCUCAAACUUGAAAUGCUUUGACUCUCCAAUAUUCUUGGAAUGACUUAUAAUUUAGGAUGAACGAAGUACAAACGAAAAUGCUACAGUAACUGAACGCAAAAAAUCGCAAACUAAACAAGGCCUUAGCAAAAACAACAACAUCGACCAAAUUUCAGAUGGAUUUAUAAAACAUGUUUUUUGACUGUUAAAAAAACUGACAGCUAUGUUUCACUUGAAGAUUUCAAAGGUGGUUUUCUAUUUUAAAAAAUAAUGUCUUAUUUAAUCUCAGAAGCUUCAUAGCUAAUCUAUUGGAAUUGGAAAAACAUGAAACUAGUAGCAUUUUAAAAGAAAAAAUUUAUAUAUUAGUUUGUGGUCUAUUUAAGUUAUUUGGAACAUCCUAUUCCUUUAUUACUUGUAGUCAUGUUCAUUAUCUUUAAACAAACAAAUAAGAUUCAAAUAGCUCCAUAUAGAGCAUCAAGUGAUAGAUAACCUUUUUAGAAGAAAACAGACACUAGUUUACAAUAGAUUAUGUGUGAAUUUUUAGAGACUAAACGGCUUUUGUUAUAUAGAUACAAAAUUUAUAGAGGGCUAAAAUCAUCUAGUUUUGAUAGUUAGAGACGGUGUUCAUUUCUAGGGUUCAAAAAAUAGUCUGCUGCCCAAGUUGGAGAUUGAAACAAUAUGGAAGUCCCGUUCCUAUGAGAGAUUACCCAUUGCAGAGAAUAUACACAUUCACUAGAGCUACGUUUGAUCAUUCGUCAACAAAUCACUUGGGGUCAAAAAAAAAUCUUGCAUGUUACCAUUUUCAUCCUUAUGUUAAAUAUACAACCCAUUGAUUGUUCAAUUAGUAGUGUUGGAUUUGAUAAAGACGAGGCAUUUCCAUGUUCUUGAGUUGCAAUUCAAAGAUGAUGAUACUGGAAAACGCAAUUAGAAGGAGGGCUAAAAUUGAAAGGGACCUUACUCCUUAGGAAAGGUAUACAUCUCUACUAUAAUGGAAUACUUAAAUUAUAUUUGGUCCAUCCAAUAAAAUGUCUCUUGCUGAGAGUCCUCAACCAUUGUUGUUGGGUACCAUAAAAAGAGAUACCCAAAUCAGAGUAAUAAAAAACGCAAAAAACAUACUAACCACAAUCACCAGGGUACGGGCCCCAGUUCAUUCAACUCGUCCGACCCCCGAGGGCCUCGGGCGCAAGUUCCGACUCGCCCGACCCCUCAGGGCCUCGGGCGCAAGUUCCGACUCGCCCGACCCCUCAGGGCCUCGGAAGCAAGUUCCGACUCGCCCGACCCCUUAGGGCCUCGGACGCAGGUUCCGACUCGCCCGACCCCUCAGGGCCUCGGACGCAAGUUCCGACUCGCCCGAUCCCAUCUGGGCUCAGGUGCCGGACCCCGCUCCACCAGGUCGACAAGACUUCCACCAGUCGGCGCCCGUACCCCCGAAGUGACAAGCGCGAUGACUCCCAUACCGCAGCAGGGCAGGGCGCCGACUGUUCCAACCACCCCGGUCACUGUAGCCUUACCUCUGUCACUAUGCAUCCUUCCCUCUCUCACUGUGGCGUACUGCCUCACAGUAGAAAGGGAAUGGAGGAGGUUAAUUAGCACCACUAUUUGAGGUCAUUUCCCCACUGUUGACAGGAUGUGCAGCAGUGCCGGCGAUCCGACCCCUGCGACCCCUACAGGGCUCGGUAACCCUCUAUAGGAGCAGCCAUACUAUCAACCAUCCCCCAAGGACGAGAUGGACCAGCUUCAACAGGGUCGGGACUGUGGUUUCACCAUUCAACAGAAGAAAUCUACUCAUGUAAAAACCUGUCUUCCCUUGAGGCUAUAAAAGGGGAGCCAGGGUUCACAACUAAGGACAGGUUCAGAAGGUUCAUGCACACGCCCACCGCACUCUUUCACAGAGCAACGAUCACCACUCUGUCCACCACUAAGCCGAGACCUGGGACUUAGCCCUCUCUCGCGAUCAGCUUGUACCCCCUACUACAAGCACCUUCGGUGCAAGGUUAUACAGAAUCCGCGACCACACUGGACGUAGGGCAUUCUUGGCCCGAACCAGUAUAAACCCUCUGUGUCUCACUUGCAUCACCAUCCAAGUUUGGGUAGUCACACAGACUUAUACUUGUUAGUGCCUAGACCACGAGUCUAGACGCCGACAGUUGGCGCGCCAGGUAGGGGCCUUCUGCGUGACGCUCGCCUGUCCCUACUGGGAAGGCUUGGAUGGCAGACGGAUUUCACCCGCUCCGCCGCGGCACCAUCAUGACGUUUGGGAGUUUGGAGUUCAUGUCCCUCGGUUCCGGCUACGACAUGAUCCUCCUCCCGCCACGUGGUGAUGUCGAGCCUAAUCCCGAGCCGAUCCCACCUCAGUCAGUGCGUGGGAGCCGUUCGGGACACCCUACGGGGGGCACACGGCGGGGGCGUCAGAGAUCUAGGAUCUUCGACCCUACCACUGAGGCUAGGACCCGUCCGGCCCUCCCCCCACAUAUUCCUCACCAGAUCGCCCGCUCCUCCGGCCUGACAGGCGCGAGAGGAAGGGCUCGCGGGGCAUUAAGCUCCGCUCCCAGGACCAAUAGAGGAUCAUCGCGGCUACCCGUCCCACCCCGUUCGAAGGGGAAGGGACGGCCCGCGCCCGUCCCCCGCAAGGGGGACAAAGGGGCCUCAACAUCCCGACAUCCUCCACCCAUGGGUAAAGGAAGAACAGCGGCACCCCCCGAGUUACCUUUUGGGCUCAGGAACGCCGCCGCCACCUACGCCUCUUCCGCGAGCACUUCGCUAAGUGCAUACGUGGAACUUCCAGGUCACCACUUGAGGUCUACACUGGACCUCAUCUCCACGCCGCCCGUUUCGUCAUACUCGGAGGAUCCUACCUCAGGCGACGACGAGCGGGCCGGCGCUUCCGGGUGCGGCGACCCGGAAACCUUCAUGCGCUUCUUGGAAGCCAGCAACUACUGUCUCGGCUACUCCGACUCCGACGACGGGAGCUACGACCCGACACGAGAAUGCUUCAACCUGGAAGUCGGGGGCACACCGCAUAACGCCCAGGGGGACGCAGGGCCCUCUAGGCAAGAGAAUGCAACUCCACCUCCCAACCCAACUCCCGGAACCGACCUUGGAGCCCGUGGGGUAGCAUCAGCCCCCGUUGGGGGGAACCGCCCUGACCUCGAACAGCUCGAUGAGCUGGAGGCUAGGCUCGAAGAAGAACGCGCACGCCUCCGCCAACUCCGCGAAGCCCUGGUCCGAGACCCAUCCGGCCGCGGAGACGGGGGUGAGGCUAGACGCCGCGCCCGUGACGUCAACCGCCGUAUUGUCGAGGACCAAGGGGGUGACGCCCCAGUCUUCAGCACGGCCAGCCAGAAUGUGAUAGCCGCUGCACUCCUCCUCAGGGCGAUGCCCGAGCCGUCGACUCCUGAGGGAAGGAGAGUGCGCCAGGGGCUGCGUGGCCUCCUGGAGCAGGCUGUGGUGCAAAACGCGGAGAGUUCUGCCUCACAAUCCCACGGCACGAGACGUCGUGAGGAACGACCACCUCCUAACAAGGCACCAACGGUACAGGGUCCGCCGCCCCCUAACCCACAAGGGGGCAACAGGGCCCCGUCAGUACACGAGCGCGUCGGAGCCGACGCGGACGUGCGGGCGACCCUCGAGGCCAGGCGACGUGACAGGGACGAGGCCGAGUCCCGACGAUACCGACCGCGCCGAGGCGGGAGGUACGACCCCGAUCACGACCGCAGCACGUCACCAGAGCCUCCGAGUCCCCGCGUCUUCAGCGAGGCCAUACGAAGGGCCAAGUUCUCGGCGCGAUUCCGACAGCCCGCCAACCUCACCAAGUACUCAGGGGAAACUAACCCUGAGCUCUGGUUGGCGGAUUAUCGCCUAGCAUGCCAGCUAGGCGGCGCGGACGACGACCUGCUCAUCAUCCGCAACCUCCCACUCUAUCUGGCCGAUACGGCCAGCGCAUGGCUCGAGCACCUCCCUGAGCGCAUGAUCCACGACUGGGCUGACCUGGUCAGGAUCUUUGUCGGGAACUUCCAGGGCACAUACGUGCGCCCUGGGAACUCCUGGGACCUCAGGAGCUGUCGGCAGAAGCCCGAUGAGUCUCUCCGAGACUUCAUCAGGCGAUUCUCCAAACAGUGCACUGAGCUCCCCAACAUCACGGACUCCGAUGUCAUCGGAGCCUUUAUUUCCGGCACCACUUGCAAAGAGCUUGUGCACGAGCUCGGACGCAAGACCCCCACGAGCACUAGCCAGCUACUUGACAUUGCCACCAACUUUGCCUCAGGCGAAGAGGCAGUUGGCGCCAUUUUCUCCGACAGCAUGGCCAAGGGGAAACAGAAGGCCGAGGCCACCGAGGCCUCAGAAUCACGCGACCCCAAGAAGAAGAAGAAGGGACGCAAAGGGAGAUAGGGUCAGCCGGACGACAACUUAGUCGCCGCCGCCGAUCGUAAGAACCCAAAGCGGGCUCCCGCUGGCCCCGGUCUCUUCGACGAGAUGUUGAAGAAACCAUGCCCCUAUCACAGAGGGCCAACCAAGCACACCCUUGAGGAGUGCUGUUGACACUGUUUUUGGGCACGUGUCUAGGAUGGCAGGACAGGAUGGCAGUACUAUGCGGGUUGCUGAUGAGGAUGAUUGCCGAUGAGGGAGAGUUUGAAUAUGAUUAAGUCCGCAGGCAAUAAUAUGGUGCCGAUGGCCGGAUAAAAAGGUCUGCCGAUGACUAUGGCAAGGGGAUUGCCGAUGAUGCUAAGGAGGAGUCCAGAAGCUGCCAGUUGUCAUGUGGAGAAGUUUCGGUCCGUCACGAAGGAUAGUUUUAUUGUUUCCUUAAUUAUUUGCAUCGUUUUGUAUACGGAUUCCGUGUAAUUUGGAAUUCGAAUUCUAAUCGUGUCUGGUUGUAGCUCUUUGAGCAGGGUAUAAAAUAAACCCUAGGACCUUGUAAUAAGGGAAUCAAUCAAGAAAUCAAUCAAACAUACGUUUUUACUCAUAUUCCAGCAUCUACUUUUCGACGACUUCGUCAUACUUUUUCUUUUUAUUACGAGUUCUUAGGAAUUUGUCGACUUAAGCUCGACGUGUUCUUGAGUUCCGCGUGAGUACCUCUUAGCCGUGACAUCCGGGCGCAUCGCUGUUGUCAGGACUAAAGUAUUCGAGUUAUCACCUUUGCCGAUAGUAAGGUCAAAUUGGCUGGCACGCCUUAACGUUUGAAUCGGGUAUUAGCCCUUUGUGUUUGUAGACCCUUUUUGCAUCAACACAUCUUUUGGCACGCCCAGUGGGACUAGAUUCAAGAUCAAGAUCAACAUGUCGAUCUCUGACCUCGAUCAAGACAACGUCAUCCCCGUGACGGAGGCCAACCUCAAGGAUGAGCAGAAGCAGGCUAUUGCCCAAGCCAUGGAAGAGUUCAAGCAGCAAUGCCUGAGGUCUUUCAGCAUAAACAGGAGCGGCGAAGUGGUCCAGAAAGACGCACUGCCGGCACCACGGCAGGUCACCUUUGACGCCAAUCCCGGCAUGCUUCAAGAUAUGGUUGACAAUGCCAUCAAUCGAGCGUUGAUUAACCAAGCUGGUGUAUUGUCUAAUACGGUUUUCAACGCCGUGGCAAGAACUUUCAAGGAAGGACAAAUCCCGCCGGAUUAUGUGGGCCCCUCCCAUCAUCAGCCCACGGCACCCGAGGUCACGGCUCCAUCGGCUGCCUUGACGGAUGCAAGUGCACAGUCUGCCGUCCCUCCAAGUACAUUGGGGACUGCUGGUGCACUAUCUAUGUCGAUGACAACCAACCCACAAAUUUCAUUGGCAUCGGCAAUGUCAGGGUUGACUCUUCCUCCCAACUGGUGGGGUUAUGGUAUGCCUCCAGAGUUGACGCCGGGAACGUCACAAAUAACUGACAUGAGGGGCAAAACUCCUAUGACCUCGGCACUUCCCAAUGCGCCGGUGAACCAGAGUCCUCGGUAUACCACAACUACUACUGCAAGACCUCACACUGGAAAUCCUCAAGAUUCAAUGUUCCAGAUGCCCAACGCAUCGGCAGAGUCAAUGCUGAUGCAACAGAGGUCUAUGGCCCAGUCGGGGUAUGUCAAUUCAACGACGGUACCCAAUUACCAAUCAUCGGCAGCACAUAGGCCGAUGAAUGCUAAUAAUGGAUGGCUUGGACCGCAAGCCUUUCCACAAUCGCCCCAGCAGGGUUAUCAGACUGCAGGGUUCCAGCAAGGGCAAGUCUAUCCCGGGUUCCAAGGUCAGGGGAUUCCCAACCAGCCAAUAAAUUUUGGACAGCAACUCGGAGGACAGCCAAUCGGUGGACAGCAGUUUGGUGGUCCGCAGAUUGGAGGACAGGUGACCAAUACAAUGUUACAUGCAGGUCACGUCCCGAACAGGCACGUGGAGGUUCGCCACCAAAUGCCGGAUCCACAGACGCCUCAUCGGCAAGAUGCCGAUGCGUAUUGGGCCGAUAAGAUUGCUGAAGUAAUGAGGGAACAAUUUGGGAUAAAACCCAAGGUCAAUACUUAUUCUUAUCGGACACCGUAUCCUCCAGCGUAUGAUUUGAUCCCGCUUCCACAUCGGUACAAGGUACCGGAUUUUACAAAGUUUUCCGGACAGGACGACACAUCAACCAUGGAGCAUGUCAACAGGUUCAUUAUUCAAUGUGGAGAGGCUGGUAACAGGGACGAAUUGAGGGUUCGUCUAUUUUCAUCAUCAUUGUCCGGAUCGGCCUUUACUUGGUUCAUAUCAUUACCUCCCAACUCAGUAAUUACUUGGGCCGAUCUAGAGAAGCAGUUCCACAAAUACUUCUUCUCGGGGGUUCAUGAGAAGAAGAUCACCGACUUGGUCAAGUUGAGGCAACGUAAUGAUGAGUCGGUUGAGGGAUUUGUGCAGAGGAUACGAGAGGUCAAGAAUAAAUGCUAUAGCCUGGUUCUGGAUGAUCGGCAGCUAGCCGACUUGGCUUUCCAGGGUUUGUUGCCACAUAUCAGGGAUAAGUAUGCCUCUCACGAGUUCGAAAGUUUAAGUCAUUUGGUGCAGAGGAUAUCUGAUCAAGACAUCAAGCCUUUCGAGCCCAAGAGGGCAUGGAAUAAGAAAGUAUCAUUUGUUGAUGAAGCAACAAGCUCAGAUUCCGAUGAGGAACCAGUAAUCGGUUUGGCAGAGUGGGUAAAAAAUAAGAAGCCAAUGUCUUGUCCUUUUGGGCAGAAGGAACCAGAGAAGUUUGCCUUUGACACCGCCAAGGCCGAUAGGAUAUUCGACUUUCUACUUCAGGAAGGUCAAAUCAAACUGUCACCUAAUCAUGUGAUCCCAUCGGCAGAAGAGUUGAAGAGGAUGAGAUAUUGCAAGUGGCAUAAUGCAACUUCCCAUGACACCAACGAGUGCAAAGUAUUCAGACAGCAGCUGCAAUCGGCUAUAGAGUCAGGGAGAAUCAAGUUUGACAGUUCCAAAGCCCAGAAGCCGAUGAAGAUAGACCAACAUCCUUUCCCGACAAACAUGUUGGAUGCUAAGGGGAAGGCUAGGGUCUUAACAUCAGAGACAGCUGAAAAGAGUGCAUCGGUAGAUCCUCAGCAUCAAGUUACUACUGCCGAUGCAAGAAGUAAAGGCUUGGUCCAGGAAGGGACUAGCUCGGGAAGGCCUCCUCGAUCUGGUAUCGUCAUAACUCAUAGAAGGCCUCGAGAAAAUUGGCAACAACGGGAAGAUCGGUAUCGGCGCCAGCAGGAAGAUUAUCGACGGGAAGAAGAAAGACGCCGACAGGAGUGGAAUCGGCACAGGGAUCAUUGGAAUUGUCCGUUCUUCAUCCAUUGUUGGGAAGAAAAUAUCAAGCUUCCUACUGUCAGAGACUGCCCUGAGUGCAACGGUUAUGAUCGGUACGAUAGAACCGAUCGGCGUUAUCAUGAUGAUGAAAGGCGAUUUAAUGGGCCAAUCAGAGGAAGGACGUCAGUUCAUGAUCGGCUGGGGGGCAGGCUUAGCGCUCACGAUCGACUUAGUGACCGUGGCCAGUAUUUUCCCAGGAACCAAGAAGAGCUCGAGGAAAUGGCUGAUGCGCGGGUUCCCGAUGAAUUCAUAUUUUGCAGGGAUGCUAACACGCAUCGUAUGGAGUCAAGGGAGAACCGACGCCCGACGGCAAGGCAAAGGCCACUUCCUCCAUGGUGCCCUGGAGGAUUGACCAAGACACAGAAGUGGAGAUUGCAACGUGAAAGGCAGGAGGAGCUAAACAAGGGAGAGAACUCUGGAAGUCGGCAGCCGUCAGACAGUAAGAGGGAAGGUCCAUCGGCAGGCGUCAACAUGGUCUUCAUGUUGCCGAUGGAGUUUCUUGCGCCAGCCAGUGACGGUGAGUUGGAAUGUUCUGAUCAGAUAGCUCAAUUGGCUCUGGAUCCGAUGACGGCUAUCUUUGAGAAACCUGCCGAUGACGAGAGGCAGCAUCUUAAAGCUUUGUUCCUCAAAGGAAGGGUUGAUGGGCAGCCAAUGACCAAGAUCCUAGUUGAUGGUGGAGCUGCUAUUAAUAUUAUGCCGUAUGCAGUAUAUCGGAAGCUUGGGAAAGGGGAUCAAGAUUUGACCAAGACCGAUAUGAUGCUCAAAGACUUUGAAGGAAACGUGUCUCCAGUCAAGGGGGCGAUAUGUGCAGAGUUGACCAUCGGCAGCAAAACCUUGCCGACAACUUUUUUCGUGAUUAGCGGGAAAGGUGCUUACAACUUGUUAUUGGGAAGAGAUUGGAUUCAUGCCAAUUGUUGCAUCCCAUCUACAAUGCAUCAGUGCUUGGUUCAGUGGGUAGGUGACAAGAUUGAGAUUGUCCCAGGAGAUUCUUCUUAUGUUAUCGCAUCGGCAGAGGCGGAUACUUACGAAAGGACUAGGUGCAUUUCAGGAGAAGUUUGGGAGAAGGACUUUCUCAAAGUUGCCGAUUAUGAGAUUCCACCGAUCCAAGCAGUCGGUUCUGACGACGGUUUUUAAUGGAUAGAUUCGCCGAUGAUGGAAAAUUAGGCCAGGGGUUCACAUCGGCCGAUGAUUUGGUAGAAGUAGAUAUAUGUAGUGGUGAUAAGCCUAGGCCUACUUUUAUUAGUGCUAAAUUAGAUCCUGAGAGUAAGCAACAAUUGACUAAUUUGUUAAAGGAAUAUAAGGAUUGCUUUGCUUGGGAUUAUACAGAGAUGCCUGGUUUAGACCGAUCAAUUGUUGAACAUCGGUUACCCAUCAAGUCUGGAUUUCGGCCACAUCAGCAACCAGCCCGCCGAUGUAAUCCUAACAUUCUACCUGAUAUUAAGGCCGAGAUCACUAAACUUAUUGAAGCUAAGUUUAUUCGGCAGUGUCGGUAUGCCGAAUGGAUUUCCAAUAUUGUUCCGGUUUACAAAAAGAAUGGGAAGCUUCGGGUGUGCAUUGAUUUCAGGAAUCUCAAUAAAGCUACGCCGAUGGAUGGAUACCCAAUGCCUGUCGCCGAUCUGCUGGUUGAUGCUGCGGCUGGUCAUCGGGUCAUCAGCUUUAUGGAUGGUAAUGCAGGAUACAAUCAAAUAUUCAUGGCAGAAGAGGAUAUUCCAAAAACCGCAUUCAGGUGUCCUGGUCAUGUUGGGUUAUUUGAAUGGAUAGUCAUGACUUUUGGGUUGAAGAAUGCUGGUGCUACUUAUCAAAGGGCUAUGAAUUUUAUAUUUCAUGAGUUCAUCGGCAAGCUCGUGGAAAUUUAUAUUGAUGAUGUGGUGGUUAAGUCCGGGGAUUUCUCAAAGCAUCUUGCCGAUUUACGAAAAGUGCUAGAAUGCACAAGGAAGCAUGGGUUAAAAAUGAAUCCCAACAAGUGUGCAUUUGGUGUAUCGGCAGGGCAGUUUCUUGGUUUCAUGGUACAUCAGAGGGGUAUUGAAAUUAGUCGAAGAUCCAUUGACGCCAUCAAUAAAAUAGUGGCCCCUACCAACAAAACCGAACUCCAAUCCUUGAUCGGCAAGGUAAAUUUUAUCAGGAGAUUUAUAUCGAAUCUGUCUGGUAGGAUUCGUGCUUUCAGUCCUCUUCUUAAGUUGAAAGCCGAUCAAGAGUUUAUUUGGGGGGAAGAACAGCAGUUGGCUCUGGAAGAAAUCAAGAAGUAUCUAGUAAAUCCUCCAGUUCUAGUUCCACCUCAACAAGGGAAGCCCUUCAGAUUGUAUUUAUCUACCGAUGGAUCGGUUGUCGGUUCAGCUUUAGUUCAAGAAUUUGAAGGGAAAGAAAGGGUAAUUUAUUAUUUGAGUAGGAGGUUGAUUGAUGCUGAAACCAGGUAUUCGGCCAUUGAGAAACUAUGCUUAUGCUUAUAUUUUUCAUGUAUCAAGUUGAGACAUUACCUGUUAUCGGCCGAAUGCACUGUUGUUUGCAAAGAUGACGUGGUCCGAUACAUGCUAUCUAUGCCGAUUAUGAGUGGUAGGAUCGGUAAAUGGAUUUUAGCGUUGUCGGAGUUCGAUUUGCGUUACGAAUCGGCUAAGGCAGUCAAAGGACAGAUUAUGGCCGAUUUUGUGACUCAACAUUGCGGUCUAGUGGAAACCUUGGAAACUGUACCCUGGACGCUCUUCUUUGAUGGAUCUACCUGUGACCGGGGGGUAGGAAUCGGCAUUGUAUUAGUUUCCCCUAAGGGGAGGAAGUAUGAGUUUUCCUUGCCGAUUGUUGCCACGUCAACAAAUAAUCAGGCUGAGUAUCAGGCUCUUAUCAAGGGAUUGGAGUUGUUAAGAGAAGUUCGUGCUGAUGCUGUUGAAAUAUUCGGGGAUUCUAUGUUGGUUAUAAAUCAAUUGGCCGGAAGCUAUGAAUGCCGAAGUGAAGUUCUCAUAACUUAUUUCGAGAGAAGUAUGCAACUGUUAAAGGAAUUCAAGGAUUUCCGAUUGGAGCAUGUUCCCCGAUUGCAUAAUGAAGACGCUAAUCGGUUAGCGCAGCAUGCCUCGGGAUAUCAGCCAAUGAUUAGUGCGACAUCAGUAGUCGGUGCCGAUGAUUGGAGGAAAGAGAUUAUUGAUUAUCUAAAAGAUCCAUCCAAAAAAGUUGAAAGACGGGUUCGAUUUCAAGCAACCAAGUAUGUGCUCCUUGAAAAUGAAUUGUAUUAUCGAACUAUCGAUGGAAUUCUUCUCCGAUGCUUGGGUGAUGAUGAAGCUAGAAGUUUAAUGGGGGAAAUCCAUGAAGGAGUGUGUGGAGCACAUCAGUCGGCUUUUAAGAUGAAGUGGAUGAUUCGAAGGAAUGGAUAUUUUUGGCCAACCAUACUUGAAGAUUGUUUUAAAUAUUUCAAGGGAUGUCAAGGUUGUCAAAGGUUUGGCAAUAUCCAGAGAGCACCCGCAUCGGCUAUGAAUCCUAUAAUAAAGCCUUGGCCGUUCCGGGGAUGGGCCAUCGAUCUGAUCGGCCAGAUUUAUCCACCAUCUAGCAAAGGGCAUAAGUUCAUUCUAGUCGCCACUGAUUAUUUCACUAAGUGGGUUGAAGCUAUUCCUUUGAAGAAAGUCACAUCGGCCAAUAUGAUUGAUUUUGUGAAAGAGCAUAUUAUUUACCGAUUCGGGAUUCCCCAGACGAUUACUACCGAUCAGGGCACCAUGUUCACAUCGGGGGAGUUCGAUGAAUUCGCAAUCGGUAUGGGAAUUAAAGUGUUGAAUUCUUCUCCUUAUUAUGCUCAAGCCAAUGGGCAGGCUGAAGCGUCUAACAAAGGAAUUAUCAAGCUUAUUAAACGAAAGAUUGAAGAAAAUCCUAAGCGAUGGCAUACAUUAUUAAAUGAGGCAUUGUGGUCUUAUCGGAUGGCUUGUCAUGGAUCAACCAAGGUAUCACCCUAUCAAUUGGUGUAUGGGCAUGAUGCAGUGUUGCCUUGGGAAGUUAAGGCCGGAUCUAGGCGAUUAUCUUUUCAAGACCAAUUGACUUCCGAUGGUUAUGCUACUUUGAUGACCGAUGAAUUGGACGAUCUAGCAGGGCAUCGGUUAAAAGCUUUAAUGAGUAUAGAAGAAAAUAAGAAGAGAGUUGCUAGAUGGUAUGAUAAGAAAGUGAAGACUAAGGAGUUUGCCGAUGGGGAUUUGGUAUGGAAAUUAAUUUUACCAAUCGGGACUAAAAGCGCGAAGUUUGGAAAGUGGUCUCCUAAUUGGGAAGGUCCUUAUCGGAUAAGUCGAUCGGCUCCUGGUAAUGCCUAUAUUCUAGAAACUCUCGAAGGAGUUGAAUUUCCCAGAGCAUUAAAUGGCAAAUAUUUAAAGAAGUAUUACCCCAGCAUAUGGGUCGAUGCAUAAAAGUUUAAAUGCCGAUAACACUCCUAUCGGCUGGAUUAAAGUGUAUCUGGGGACGGACUUAAUGUUUCAAAAGAUGCCGAUAACAGUCCUAUCGGCUAGACUAAGACAUUAAGAAAGCUGAAAUGCAGAAGAGCAAAGGUGUGUUGCCGAUGAGAGCUUCAGAUGUUCAGCAGCGCUUGGAUUGCUGAUAUGGCGCGCAGCCGGAUCUGAUUGGCUGUUUCUAUCUCUUUGGUAUCAUCAUCGGCAGAACCUUCUAUCGGCUUCAGCUUCUUCUUCAACUGCAACGCUUUGCGACCGUGAGCAUUUCGUUCUUGCUCGAGGUGCUUGAUGGUCUCCGGCAGUUGGCUUUCUUCUUGCUGGGCCUGAGACAGAGCAUCCUCUACUUGCUUGAGUUCGGCCAACAGGGCUUCUCUUUUUGCCGAUAGAUCAGAAACUUUCUGCUUCAGCGCAUCACCUGAGGACUUUAAGGUGCCGAUGUUCUUAUGCUUCUCAUCGGCUAAGAGUUUUUCUUUCAUCAUCUCCUCAGAAAGCUGGAUUUGAGCAGCUCUAUCAGCAAGGCGUCGAGUGGCUUUCUGGUACUGCAGCUGGCAGCUUUCUAGGUAUGCAGCCUGGAAGAGGGUUUCUUCAGCAUCGGCAGGAAUUUGGCCUCUAAGGGUCUUGAACAGGGCCUUAGCUGGGUCAGAAUCGUUGACCAGUUGAGCUGUGUCUUGAUGAAGUAUGGCCGAUAGCUCUUCCAGCUUAGCCCUGGUUUCUGCUGAUAUAGUCUCAACUGCCCGAGAGGAGCUUGAUUCCUCACCUUCUUCUUCAAGGAUAUCAAUGGCGAAGGAGAAUAAGCUGUCGGGAGAAUCUUGUUCCUGAAAGUGAAGAUGAAAUAAGUCAUUUUUAUGGUCAAAGCUUCGGCAGACGAUACUAGUGGGAAAUUGGAUGACUUACUUGCUUCAAGGCAAUUUCUUGCCUUCGACUGGGAGGUGCUGAUGGAGCUACAGGUUGAUCGGCUGAGAUUGCCGAUGGAACGAUAUCAACUGAAAGAAGACAAAAGGAGUUAUGAGACUAAAUAAAAAUAAGUUCAUCGGUAGUGAUAUUGUUAAAGUAUGUUACCUGGAGGAGGAGCAACGAUUGUCUGCAUCGGGAGAACUGCCGAUGGUAUAACUGGACCCACCGGGCCAGUUGGUCGUUCACCCAUGUCAGCUGAUGUAUCUUCUGUCUGAGACCCUGUCUGCUGGGGUUCUUCUAUCCGUGGUGCUUCCUGCAUAGGUGGGGGAGAUGGUGCUUGCUGUGGCUGGGCUUCUGGAGAAGAAGGAGAAGACUCCACCGGAAUUGGAGAUACCGGAGGAGGAGGUGGAGUUGUUACCUUCUGGCGCUUUGUUCCAGUCUUAGCGCCCGUGGUGCCCUUUCUCUUUGGUUGGCUAGACUGGGGGGCAUCGGUGCUCUCAUGCCUGGAUUUCGCCGAUAUGCCGGUUUGCUGCAAUAAUAAACAAGAGUUUAUAAGCGUAAAUGUAGCCGAUAUAAAGAUAGUCGGCAUAAAGGAAAAGAUUUGACAAAUUGCCUUGAAAGCCCGCGCCAGAGUGGGAGCAGCUACCGUUGGUGAUGUCUGAGUUCUUCUGGUAGUGACUUUCCUGAGGCGUACGCCCCGAUGCACGAUGGAAGCUAGAGUGGGGGCAUUGUGGCCGAUUGAGGAAAUCGGGCCUGAUGGAAACAAGUCAAUCGGCCUGCCACUCUUGCUAACCAGUGGAGGAAUACUAUCGACCUGCAAAAGGAAUACAAGGGUAAGAUGCCGAUAGAAGUGACAUUGAGAAAAUGAAACAUCGGUUUGAGUUACUUACAGUGUCAUCGGGAACUUCGUAUUCGGAGUCAAUCAUGCCGCGGUAUGAAAGUGCCGAUCUGCAGAAUAGAUGCUCUUUCCAUUCUGCCCACCACGACUUGUAUGCCUGAGUGAUAAAAGCAGCCGGAACCCAUUCUGACAGAUCUACAUCUGUAUCGGCAUUUGGUGGUAAUUGGGCUACUCGAGUCCACUCAAGAAGGUUGUUGAUAGUUUCUCUGGGUUUUAUCACAUCGGCAUAAGGAAGUGCAAUCGGCAACUGGCCGAAAGCUAAUUGGCGAGCUAAUGCCGAUGGAUUGUAGAAUUCGUAGGUUUGGGGAGAAGUUUUUGUGCUACCAAAGAAAUUCACCGGAAUGGCCCUGGGAGUCACAAUUGCCAUCAUCGCCUCAUUGUCCCUGUCGAGAGCUUCAUCAAAUGGAUUGAAGGUCAGAGGGAGCAUGCUAUCUGGGUCAUCAUAAGCCAACCAUGGUCGUUCAUCUCUGGCCAAACCCUCAUACAGAGUCUCGAAGAAUCGGCCAAUCUGAUCCGAAUUACCCCCUGAACCAGGUAGGACUAUGACGGCUUCGCCAAAGUUCAAGGGGGCACGCGUUGCCGAUUCCUCUUCACCCAGCACGUGAUUUUCGGCUAUAUCUCUUGGGAAGUGCUGUGAGAACAAGUUGAAGUCAAGGCGUUUAUGCAGGUGCAGAUUGAGCCACAUAUUAAUAAACCACCAGGGGCCUCCCAAGUUGCCGAUGGAUUGGCCAAGCAGGAGUUUCUGGGCUACCUGAUGGAGAAGGUGGUAAACAGCGCCAAGCAAGUAUCGGCCAAGAGGAAAUUGGCCACCGUUAGCCAGUCUCUCUGCUGCCGAUAAAUAGACAGAAGUCGGUCCUGCCGAUCGACCACAGAAUACAAACUUGUCCAGCCACAUGUUCAGAAAGGUGGUUUGCUCUUUUAUGAUGACAGGCCCUCUCCCACGGUACUUCUGAAUGUACCCUGACCAACCGCCGAUAGCGCGAGUCUCCACUUUGGCACUGGGGGCGGUAUCGAAAAAGUGGGUGCUAUCGGCAGAAGAUAUAUCUAGACCAGUGAGCAUGGCUACAUCGGCAAGGGUAGGAGAAGCAGGACCGUGGCCAAAAAUGAAAGCAUUAAGGGUGUCUGACCAAAAGAAGGACGCGGCUAUCAGCAGUGAUUCGUUCCUGUGCAUAUCGGCAAUGGACAGCCUAAUGCAUUGGGCUAGCUUCCUUUCGCCCCACUGGACUUCAUAGAAUUAUUGACCCUCAAGAACCAGUCUUUCCACCCUACGGUAGGGCUGGGCCAAGAGCCAAAAGUGUCUUUCCACAGAUCUAGAGAAAAGUUUUCAGCUCUAAAGGGGAUCCUGUUGGUUUCUGCGUUGAUAAGGCUGGUUGGAUCUGAAUCCCCUAGAGGACCGAGACAUUGAAGGUGUGGUUGAUCGGUAGGGAUGACAAUUUUAUUGGACAACUCCUAGUAAUUUUGGGGGAAUAAAAAUAUAAAGAAAAAAGAAAAGGAGAAUAUUCAGUAAGAUGAAUCGCGGAUGAAUAGGAAUAAAAAUACAGAAGAUGAGAUGGAGAUCUGACCUCAGGGACGACGAAGUCAAUGGCCAUCUUGUCGUGAAGAGGGCGUUGGAGGGCACCGGAGUUGAUAGAGAGGGGUGCUUGUCGGAGAUCUUGAGGGUUGUAAAUAGCGCCGCCGCUGGAAACGCAAAGGUGGAUAGUAGAAUGGUGUAAUGGGGGAGGAGUACCCAAGAAGGAACUAUUUAUAAGACAAGAUGGGCAAGGGCAAAUCUGACUUAUCUCUUUGCCGCAUCCGAGAAACCCGAGGGUACUCAGGUGGAUAUGGUAACUGUUCGCACGGUAAUCCAGGGAUUGUGUAGGUGAUUUGACGGGAAGCGGUCAUUAUUUGAAGAUAUUUUACUGUGCGAGAUCUCCUGGUCGGUCCAUUGGCGAUAUUCUAUAACGGUCAUCUUGCCGAUGGGCGGAUAGAGGGGAGGUAAUUGUUUUUGCGAAUAUCCUGGUCAGAGCAUCGGCAGAUCUUUGCAACGGUAUUGUUGCCGAUGUACGAUCAAGAAGGAUGCCCGUUUAGGAAGUUGGGGAUUUCGAGGAAUCUGCGGAGGAUUAGGAUCGGAGUUGUUCAGAUUGAGGUUGUCGGUUCCCAGAUUAGGAGCAUUAAUUGCGGAGAAGGCAUCAUUACUGCAGAGAAUUUCGGAGCAUUAAUAGUUUUAUACUCCGAAACUGGGGGGCAUGUGUUGACACCGUUUUUGGGCACGUGUCUAGGAUGGCAGGACAGGAUGGCAGUACUAUGCGGGUUGCUGAUGAGGAUGAUUGCCGAUGAGGGAGAGUUUGAAUAUGAUUAAGUCCGCAGGCAAUAAUAUGGUGCCGAUGGCCGGAUAAAAAGGUCUGCCGAUGACUAUGGCAAGGGGAUUGCCGAUGAUGCUAAGGAGGAGUCCAGAAGCUGCCAGUUGUCAUGUGGAGAAGUUUCGGUCCGUCACGAAGGAUAGUUUUAUUGUUUCCUUAAUUAUUUGCAUCGUUUUGUAUACGGAUUCCGUGUAAUUUGGAAUUCGAAUUCUAAUCGUGUCUGGUUGUAGCUCUUUGAGCAGGGUAUAAAAUAAACCCUAGGACCUUGUAAUAAGGGAAUCAAUAAAGAAAUCAAUCAAACAUACGUUUUUACUCAUAUUCCAGCAUCUACUUUUCGACGACUUCGUCAUACUUUUUCUUUUUAUUACGAGUUCUUAGGAAUUUGUCGACUUAAGCUCGACGUGUUCUUGAGUUCCGCGUGAGUACCUCUUAGCCGUGACAUUCGGGCGCAUCGUUGUUGUCAGGACUAAAGUAUUCGAGUUAUCACCUUUGCCGAUAGUAAGGUCAAAUCGGCUGGCACGCCUUAACGUUUGAAUCGGGUAUUAGCCCUUUGUGUUUGCAGACCCUUUUUGCAUCAACACAUCUUUUACUCAUAUUCCAGCAUCUACUUUUCGACGACUUCGUCAUACUUUUUCUUUUUAUUACGAGUUCUUAGGAAUUUGUCGACUUAAGCUCGACGUGUUCUUGAGUUUCGCGUGAGUACCUCUUAGCCGUGACAUCCGGGCGCAUCGCUGUUGUCAGGACUAAAGUAUUCGAGUUAUCACCUUUGCCGAUAGUAAGGUCAAAUCGGCUGGCACGCCUUAACGUUUGAAUCGGGUAUUAGCCCUUUGUGUUUGCAGACCCUUUUUGCAUCAACAAGUGCACAGUCCUGCAUCGGUAUUACACCGACCUCAUCUCUAAGGAGGGCACCGAAGAACCCCCCAAGGACGACGACCCUCAAGGGGAGGGUUUUCCCAAAAUCAAGAACUGUCUCUUGAUCUUUGGCGGACGUGCGGCUCGCCUCACUGCGAGUCAGAGGAAGCGAGAACUCCGAGAGGUUUGCGCAGUCACCGCGGCCACGCCCUCGUACCUUAAGUGGUCCGAGAGCGCGAUCACGUUCGACCGACAGGAUCACCAGGAUCGGAUCCCCAACCCCGGGAGCUAUCCUCUGAUCGUUGAUCCAAUCAUCGCCGAAACCCGUCUCACCAAGGUCCUGAUGGACGGAGGCAGCGGCCUCAACAUCCUUUAUGCCGAGACUCUAGCCCUCAUGGGGAUGAGUAAGUCCCUGCUGAGGAACGACACCGCGCCAUUCCACGGAGUGGUGCCGGGACACCGUGCCCACCCCCUCGGACAAAUCGAUCUGUCUGUCUGCUUCAGGACCCCCGACAACUUUAGAUGAGAGGUCCUGACUUUCGACGUGGUCGGGUUCCCAGGGACCUACCACGCGAUCCUGGGACGACCAUGCUACGCCAAGUUCAUGGCCGUCCCCAACUAUACCUACCUCAAGAUCAAGAUGCCAGGGCCAAAGGGCAUCAUCACCGUCAGCACUACCAGCCAGCACGCCUACCAGUGCGACGUCGAGUGCAUUGAGCAGGCCGAGGCUCUGACUGAGUCUCUGGCCAUCCUCACCGGCCUCGGCGACUGUGACCAGGACGUCCCCGACCCCAAGCGGCACGCCACGAGUUUCGAGCCGGCGGAGGAGACCAAGCUAAUCUCCCUCGACCCCGGGACCUCUACAGGCAAGGCGUUGAGGAUUAGCUCCAGCCUCGACCCCAAAUAGGAAGUGGUGCUCGUCGAAUUUCUCCACGCAAACGCCGACGUAUUUGCGUGGAGUCCCUCGGACAUGCCUGGAAUACCGAGGGAAGUCACCGAGCACUCCUUGGACAUCCGAGCCAGCUCCAAGCCCGUGAAGCAAUGCCUGCGCCGAUUCGACGAGGAGAAGCGUCGGGCCAUCGGGGAGGAGAUCCACAAGCUGCUGGCAGCCGGAUUCAUCAAGGAGGUAUUCCAUCCUGAGUGGUUAGCCAACCCGUGCUAGUAAAAAAGAAAAAUGGGAAGUGGAGGAUGUGUGUAGACUAUACUAGUUUAAAUAAAGCAUGUCCAAAGAACCCCUUUCCAUUACCUCAUAUUGAUCAGAUAGUUGACUCUACCGCGGGAUGCAAAAUUUUGUCUUUUCUUGAUGCUUAUUCCGGCUACCACCAAAUCAAGAUCAAGAUGAAAGAGUCCGACCAGCUUGAGACUUCUUUCAUCACCCCUUUUGGAAUGUAUUGCUACGUAACCAUGCCUUUUGGCCUCAAGAACGCGGGGGCUACAUAUCAACGAUGUAUGCUCUAGGUUUUUGGGAACCUUAUAGGAAAAAUAGUUGAGGCUUACGUAGACGACAUUAUCGUCAAGUCCAGGAAAGCAAGCGGCCUGGUUGCCGACCUGGAAGAAACAUUCCAAUGCCUUAGGGCAAAGAGGAUCAGACUCAACCCCGAAAAAUGCGUUUUUGGGGUCCCUCGAGGCAUGCUCCUCGGGUUCAUUGUGUCUGAACGAGGAAUCGAGGCCAAUCCGGAAAAUGUCUCAGCCAUCGCAAACAUGGGCCCAAUCCGCAACCUAAAGGGAGUACAGAGGGUCAUGGGGUGUCUGGCCUCCCUGAGCCGUUUCGUCUCUCGUCUCGGGGAAAAAGGGCUGCCUCUGUGUAGGUUACUUAGGAAAUCCGAGCACUUUUCCUGGACCCCCGAGGCCCAGGAAGCCCUUGACAAGCUCAAGGCUCUACUCACCAACCCUCCCAUUUUGGUGCCCCCCGCCGAGGGGGAACCACUACUUCUCUACGUCGCAGCCACUGAUCAGGUGGCCAGCGCAGCUAUCGUGGUCGAGAGGAAGGAAGAAGGGCACGCCCUGCCGGUCCAAAGACCGGUGUACUUCAUCAGCGAAGUACUAUCCGACACAAAGACCCGAUACCCCCAGAUCCAAAAAUUACUCUACGCAGUAGUUUUGGCCCGACGCAAGCUCCGCCAUUACUUUGAAUCUCACCCACUCUCAGUGGUCUCGUCCUUCCCUCUAGGAGAAGUGAUUCAGAACCGAGAGGCCAAUGGUAGGAUUGCUAAAUGGGCCAUAGAGCUCAUGGGCGAUGGGAUCACCUAUGAGCCUCGGAAAGCCAUAAAGUCCCAGGUCCUGGCGGACUUUGUGGCAGAGUGGACUGGGACUUAGCUCCCACCACCACAAAUCCAGCACGAGUGCUGGACCAUGUACUUCGAUGGGUCUUUGAUGAAAACUGGGGCCAGCGCAGGCCUUGUCUUCAUCUCACCCCUCGGGGUAAGGAUGCGCUACGCAAUCCGGCUCCAUUUUCCCGCUUCAAACAAUGCAGCAGAGUACGAAGCCCUUGUUAACGGUCUCCACAUCGCGAUCAAACUUGGGAUCAAACGGCUCGACGCUCGAGGCGAUUCUAGACUCAUCAUCGACCAAGUCAUGAAAGAGUCUAGCUGCCACGACCCCAAGAUGGAUGCGUACUGCAAAACGGUCCGACGCCUGGAAGAAAAGUUCAACGGCCUCGAACUUAACCACGUGUUAAGGAAAUAUAAUGAGGCUGCCGACGCGCUCGCCAAGAUGGCAUCCGAGCGGGCCAUGGUCCCCCCGGAUGUUUUCGUUAGCGACCUCUACAAGCCUUCCGUCGACUACAAGGACGACGGGGGGUCGGACGAACCCCCAAGCGAACAGAGUUCCGACCCCAAAGACACUGCCGCUCAAGAACAGGAGGCCAUGGACAUCGAGCCAGAGCCACCUACAUCUGACGACUCGCCCAAUUGGCGCUACCCUUUGCUUCAACGCCUGGUCAACGGCACUUUGCCCCCGGACCAGGCUGAAGCAAGGCGCGUGGCUCGUCGCGCCAAGACCUUUGUUCUCCUUGAUGGGGAGAUGUACAAGCGAAGCCCCUCGGGCGUUCUCAUGCGUUGCAUCCCUCGUCAAGAAGGAAUCAAGCUCCUGUAGGACAUACACUCGGGGGCUUGUGGCCAUCACGCCGCGCCUCGGACGUUGGUAGGAAAUGCCUUCCGACAAGGCUUCUACUGGCCCACCGCCGUGGCCGACGCCACAGAGAUCGUCAGGACCUGUGAGGGAUGCCAGUUUUACGCUCGGCAGAUACAUCUACCCGCUCAGGCCCUGCAGACGAUCCCCAUCACCUAGCCUUUCGUUGUCUGGGGCCUCGACCUGGUCGGGCCUCUGCAGAAAGCCCCCGGGGGCUUCACCCACUUGCUUGUCGCAAUCGACAAGUUCUCCAAGUGGAUCGAAAUCUGACCCAUUACAAGGAUCAAGGCCGAACAAGCGGUGUUGUUCUUCACAGAUAUCAUCCAUCGAUUUGGAGUGCCGAACUCCAUAAUCACCGACAACGGCACACAGUUCACCGGGCGAAAGUUCGUGCAAUUCUGCGACAGACACCACAUACGUGUGGACUGGGCGGCAGUGGCUCACCCCAAGACCAACGGUCAAGUGGAACGUGCCAAUGGCAUGAUCCUCCAGGGUCUGAAGCCCAGGAUCUUCAACCGUCUGAACAAGUUUAGGAAAAGUGGCUCAAACAGCUACCUACCGUGGUCUGGAGUCUGAGAACCUCCCGAAGCUGAGCCACGGGCUUCACCCCGUUCUUCAUGGUCUAUGGGUCGGAAGCCGUCCUCCCCACUGACCUGGAGUACGGGUCCCCAAGAGUACAAGCCUACGACGAAAACAGCGGCAAAAUGUUCCAAGAAGACGCACUGGACCAGCUGGAUGAAGCCAGGGACGUAGCCCUCCUACACUCCGCCAAGUACCAGCAGGCCCUCCGCCGAUACCAUGCGCGACGGAUCCGAGGCCGAGCCUUUCAAGUCGGUGACUUGGUGCUAAGGCUCAGACAGAGCAACAAGGGUCGUCACAAGUUCACACCCCCCUGGGAAGGACCCUUCCCCAUCGCCGAAGUUCUCCGACCCGGCACCUACAAGCUCGCCAAUGAAGCUGGAGAGGUCUUUAAAAACGCGUGGAACAUAGAACAGCUACGUCGCUUUUACCCUUAGAACUUUGUAAAAAUUUCUUCGUUUGUUCAUCACCUUGGAGGAAUAAAUGAAAGUUUAAGUUAUAUGGCCCUUUUCUCUUAUCAGGGAGCCUCGGACCUGCCCAGCAGAGUCCGAGCCUCUCUCGGGGGCUACAUGGGGGGAAACCCCCCAACUCCAAAUCUUCUUCCUUUCCUUUUGUGCAGGUUAAAAGAACCCCGACCCAAGGUCUUCCUCCUUUCUCCUAAAAAGAUUUAAGAAACCGAAAACUCACCCCAUAAAUCUUAAGGCAUGAGCUCUAGGAAAGGUCAGCGCUCACGAGCAAAGACCACUCCUACUCACCUUAGAUUCGGGGGACGGAUUCAGACUUCUAAAUAACUACUAAGGAAAAAGGAAAAGGACUUAGGCUUGGGGACUCUGGCUAGCGCAAAACUCUAAGUAGCUCACCCGACCUCGCGCUGCCGAGGUCGGAUCGGCAUAAGGAAAAAGAAAACAAGACACUUAGGAAAAAAGCUUAAAAAGAGCAAUUACACAAAUAUCUACAUUCGACAAUAACAUUGUAUAUAUGAUACAAGGCCCACCGGCCUCAACACCCACACAAAGAAAAAAGAAAACUAAGGGUCCUGCUGCCCUGCCUCCCCAGGUCCUUGAGCCUCAAGGGACGGAAGCUCCACCUCGUCGUCGAAGAAGGCGGCCAUGGCAUCUCCGGGGGCAGCCGCGGCGUCCUCAAGCCUCUGCACCUCCUCCUGGGCCUCAAUCUCAUCAUCCGGGAGAACGUAGCCCUCACAGACUGCCGGUAAGUCAAUGCCGGCAUAGUGAGAGCUCACCACCGCCAGGGCUUUCUUCACCCCAGCGUGGAGUGCCUCCCUCAUCCUCUCCCCGGCCCGGGAGUAAAGGGCCUCGACUCGACUCCGCAGCGACGAUCCCGACGCCGACACCCCAAGCCCCUCACAUGCCGAGGUGACCACGGCCUCAAGAGCCGAACGGUCCGAAGCCUCGGCGUCAAGAGUCUUCCGCAGGGCCUCGGCAGUAGAGGUUGCCUCGACCACCUUCCUCUCUAACUCUGUCGAAAAAUAGAGUAAGAAACAAAAAGUCAGAAAAGACUAACUCGAAAGUGUAAAGGGGUCCAAGGUAAAGGACGCAAGUCUUACCCUCGGCACGCUUCUCGUGCUCCGCCGAGCUCUGAUGCCAGCGGGCCACCUGGCUCAGAGCCCCGGCUAGGUCAGUCUGAGCUUGGUUCAGGGCAAGGUCUUUUUCGGCGAGCAAAGUUUCUAGCCGAGCAACCUCACCCUUGUACCCCUCAGCCGCCACCUUCCGCACCUCAGAUUCCUGGGCAAGGACUCCAAUCCUCUCCUCCAGGGGGGCGACCUUGUCCCGGGCCUCCCGAGCCUCGGUGGCCAGUGCCGAGCACUUCUGCCGAAGCUCGGCAGAAAUCUUGCACUCCUUCACGAGCUCCCCCUCGGCCGCCUCCCUGACAACCCUCUCGUUCUCAUAAGACGCCCAGGCAUCCCUUUCCCGACGGAGAAAAACUGACUUCUCCAGGGAUGUUGCCUUGAGCGCCUACAGAAUCGGAAGUCACACAGGGAGUUAGCAUUGCAAAAUAAGAACAAAAAUACUUUACAACAUGGGUGAAAGCCUUACCUGGGCCAAAUUGAACAUGUCCCGGGCCACGAGCUGAGAAGCUCGGUUGAUGGCCUCAACGCUGGCACGCCCACAUGAUUCCAGACCCUGCCAGAGCUAAUUCUCCGACGGGUCGUCCAGAACGAAUCUGGCUCCCCCCUCGGCAACGCCGAGGUUAGGCCAGAUUACGGGGCUCUUGCCCCAUCCGGCAUCUUCCUCCCUUCCCGCUGCAGGGGCCUUGGGCGCCGCGCUGGACGCCACGAUGGCUCGGCCUUCCUCAGUAUGCGCAGGUCGGACCGCGCCUCCCAGGUUAGCAUCCUCCGGAGGAGGCGCAGCCCCGGGGGCAAGGGCCGUCUCCUCCGGUCCUUGGGGCUUCGGCGCCCCCGUGUCCUGCCCCUGGUGGCGCCCUCCCUCCUCGUAGCCCGGAGGCGGCGGCGACACAGGCCUAGCCGACCCAGGAGUCGACUGAGCCCCCCUCUUCACAGCCUUCAGGGGGGCCAGCGCCACCGAAGGCGCCUUUUCCUUACGGCUGGGGGAACAACACCAAGUUAGAAGAAAGAGAAAAACAAAAAAUCAGCAGAAGGAUCAGAAAUCCUAUAUGUACCUCGCUCGGGGAGCAGACUUCUUAUGGGAGCUCGGAGCUCCCUGGGUGUAACACCCCAGGUGUUUAUCACUUGCUAAGUACUAGGUUUGAGCUCAAACAUGACAAGUUCAAUGGUAAUAAAGAGGUCAAAGUCAAUCUAUGAAAGUAAACUCCAACUUGGGCUUGGUGUAUGCAACCUUGCUUGCAUAUAUGCCUUUUUAAAAGGUAUGCUUUGAUGAUGCUAAUGGAACCUUUUUCAUGUGUCUUAUAUCCAUCCCAAUCUAUGUUGGUCUCUGGAAAAGUUUGGUGAAGUUUGGAAUCAAGAAGUCACAUGAAAUGAUAAGUUAUAUCCUUGUUGGAAUGGCUCUAUUAAGGAAAUAGAAUCAUGGGUCACCAACCAAACCUUGCAAACUUGCUCAUAUGACUCUAGAUGAAUUAUACAACAAAAGUCGUGAAGGGUUCAUGUUGAGCUUAUGUCAAGAAAAUGCUUCAAUUGGCCUAAAAUCCUAUUUGGAGCUUUAUCGGGUUACUACUUUGACCAAAGUGAAAGAUUGACCUCUGUUGCAGUUAUGAGGUUUGACCCUAAAUGAAAGUUGUAGUAUUGCUUCUGUAGAACAAACUUUAUUUAAGGAUCAAGAGCUAGUUUGGUACCUAUCCUAAUCAAAUUGAGCUCUCAAGAAUCAAUUCAGUGCUGAUUUGCUACCUCCAUAUUUUGGCUAAGUCCCUGAAAGUGACAGCAGUGAGUUAGCUCCUUCAUGACAUUUUAUUAUCCAAAUUCAUAUGGUAACUCAAUUAUAUUCCUUAAUAUGAGUUGGAGUACUCUUCUUGAUGAAAGCAAUGGGUCAAGUAUCAUCAAUUUUGGAGUUCAGUUGGAUAUCUAAAACUAGCUCCCAAAACAGCAAAAGGUUAUUUUAUCGCUAAACGGACGUAUACCCGUUGGCAUGUCGCGUUCUCGUGUUUUUGUUAAGCAACUCAAGUUGGUCCAAAAAUGAAAGUUGUGGAUAAUUAUUUGGAGAAGAGCAUGCAAAAAGUUGUAUCAAGUUUGACAUGGUUUGGACCAUUAAUUCUUGGUUUUUCUAAUCACCAUCAAUACGUUGACACUCGUGACUUGGCAUCUAAUUAUCUCCUAAUCUGUAAGCCUAAUGACCAUGACACUUAAACGAAAAAUGUAGAGCAGCACGAGUUUGACAAACUUUGUUUUUGUCCCAUGACUCAAAUCGGCCUAGAAAUGGCCCAAAUCGGCGUCCCACUCUGGCCACACCGUCGCUCGCCAGCUGUUCGACAAAAUGCGUCAGUGGGAGAACGCGUGGACAGCCAUGCAGAGCUCGCGCCUCCUCGUCUUGCCGCGUGCCCUCCGCGUGUCCGCGCCCGCUGCUGAUGUGGGAAGCCCCGAGCAUCCUCUCCACACUCGCCAACACUCCCUCUGCCACUCCCUCGCCUCGCCCGCGCUUGACACAGCGAGAACGCCGCCGCGUCCGCCAUGGCCGACGGUCGAAGCUCGCACCCGCCGCAAUGCUCGCUGCUCCACGCCUUCUCAGCCCAAACCAAGUAGUUCAGUGCCUCCGCCGCGUCGUGCUGCUCAUCUCGCGCGCGCUCAGCCGAGGUGGAAGACCGCCGGAGUGCCACCACCACUGGCUGCCGCCGUCGCCGUCGACAUGUGCACGUGGCCAAGCCGCCACGGGCCCUCUCCCGGCCAUCCAAGGUGACCAGCGGGUGCGCGAUGACCUCCUGGUGCUUCCCCACCCCUCCAUCGGCGCCGACGAGGCUCCGACCGGCCGGAACAGAAAGCUCCGGCGAGAUCCCCUGUUUUCCUCGCGACCAGGGACCUCAAGGAUAAAUUCGACUAGAUCCAGGGGGUUUUAUGCACUGUCAUUGACUCAUAUGAAUAGUGUUUGUGGUCUGUUGCGUGAUUCGUGGAAAGUCCAGGGUCCCCGGUGAAAGAUCUGUUUUUCUUUUCCUUUGUUUUUGCAGAUUUCAUGGAUGAACUUUGUAAAUGCAUAGAAAUUCGUAGAAAAGUCGUAAAAUAGCAAAUGUGGACUUUUUGGAAUCCUUGGGAAAUUCUCUAUGCAGUAGAUCUAUAAUAUUGCAUAGUUUAGUUUGAAGUUUUAGUCGUAAAAAUAGAUUUAUGCAGUUAGAUUUUAAUUGCUUGUUAUAUUUGUCUUUUUCAUAACUGCUGUGUUGUUGCCCAAAUAAAUGUGAAAAUAUUGUGACAUGUUUUUCAUAUGGUAUUUGAUGACUGGUAAAAGUUUCAUGAAUUUAGGAAUGAUAUAUUAAGAGUUAUAAAAAUAACAAAUGCCCUGUGUUGCUUUGCUCAUAUUCUGAGUGGGUCUGCAUGUUUGUAUUGUUUGGCUCAGUUAAGUUGUGAAUCUUGCCUGGAUGAAAAUAUAUGAGUUGUAGUACUUUUCAUAAGCUUUCCAAAAAGAUAAAUAGCACAAUUUUUGGUUAAGCAUAUGUUUAGUUAUAGUGGUUUAAAUUACUGUUCCAGUUUCUGUCUAAACCCAGACAGGGUUGCAUUGUUUGUUAUGUGAGACCUUGUUAAUUGUAUAUUUAGCUCUAGAUGUUUAUAAAAAAGUUGUUCACAAUUAGAUAAGGUUUCUAGAAAGUAUAUAACCAUAAUUUAUGGACAUAUGAAACUCAUGUUAUGGGUGUUUAAUGUAGCAUGACAGAUUCUGUCUGUGUUUUGGACAGAGAUAUCUUCAUGGGAUUAAUUGACCUUGUUAACUCUAGAUUCAUAUUUAGAUGAUAAUAAUAAAGUUGUAGGUAACUUUAUAAGCUUUCCAAAAAUAUAAGAAUCAUGUUGGCUGGAGGUCUACAACUCCAGUUAUGCUUCUUUGAAUUGCCUACCAGUUUUCUGUUUGUAAUUGUACCCCUACUGUUUGGGCAGCAUGAGCAGUUUUGAUUGUGCAAUUAAUUCCAUGAUACAAAUGAUGUUUUCUGUGAAACUUGUAUAUAUAAAAGAUAUAGAUAACUUACUAAUAUAUCUUGUUGUACAGUUUCAUGUCAUUUGGCUAAGUGGUUUGUGAGUUACAGUAGUAUGAAGUUCAUCCCUUGAAAUGUUUGUUUUCUGGAAAUUCCUGGACCAGAUUAUAUGGUCAUGCAUGUUUGAUUUGGUUAACUUGUUAAUCAUAUUGAUAUGAUUAAAGAUGAAUUGUAGAUAAUUUUAUAUUCUUUCCAGAAUGUCCAAUUGCAUAGUUUUUGGAGUUGUGUAACUCCAGUUAUGAUUUAAUUACCGAGUUGCUGCAUGUAUAUCCAGAGUUUGCUGAAAAUGUAUGAAUGCUUGAUUGCUUACUUUGUGUAUACUAAGUGUGACACAUGUCUUUAGUGGUGAUUAAACAAUAUACUUGUGACCUUAUAAAACGUGUGCCAUGCUUGAUAUGUUGCUAUCCAUAUUUGGUUGUGUGAUGCUAGUUAAAUAACGUUAGAUGCAUGUGUCUUGAAUACUUUUAUGUGAUGCAUGUUGUGUUAUUAUUCUUUAUAUUCAUGCACUUGCAUCUUGCAUCUCAUCUAGGUGCGCUAGAUGAAUCACGUGAAGGUCAUGAUGUCGAAUCAAACUCAAAGAUGGUGUUUGGUGGACCUCUCCCAAAGGUGGAAGGACUAAGCAAGUGUUGUGACCUUAGAUGUCACCAAGAUGGAGCAACUAACUGAACUGACUCCGUGUUGAUCCCAGGCAAGCCCCGGAGCAUUAUAAGUCUCCCACUACUUUUGAAUGCAAUUGAGAAUAUAUGUUAUAUAUGUAUUGUUGCAUUAAGUAUAGGAUUUGGGUGAAACCCUUGCUGCAUAUAUCACUCCUUGUCCAGCAAAUAUACCUAUGACCCUAUGUAGAUUCAGGAUCGAAUCUAAAUGCUUAGCUAUGCUUAGAUCGGUAGAAGCCAGGUGAUGUCCUAUCACCUGAGCGAGAUAGGUGGAUACCUGAAAAGGUUGGCUAUAUAUGCUAUCAUGGAAAUAACCAAGUGAUGAGGAUGAAUAAUUGGAGACCGGGCGAGACGAUGAUAGAGAAGUAACAAGACAUGGAGGUCUUGGGUGCCUAUCUAUCCCCGCCUGUGUCGAUUAAGGACCGAUCGUUGACGGCCCUCUUGUCAUGUUGAACGCAUGCCCCACACUUAGCUGGAAGGAUAAGUCGUUCCGACCACGAAGCCUGAACACUAUCCGGGCCGGGAAUCGGCCCGAUGUACGCGCUGUAUUGGUGAUGGUUGAGGAGAACAACGAGGGCGCGGCGCGCAACCUUGGUAUACCUUGGAUACCUCGGUCGCCGGAACGGUCCUCGGGUACGGGCGGUGCCUGUCGAACCCGCGAAUUGGUCCUGGAUAGUGUAAUAUGGUGACCUGUAGCUCACUUUGGCCGGUGAGUGUGGUUUGUGUGGGGAAUAACUCGCCAGCUGGUCAGAAAUCGAUUCGAAUCGCCAUCGCUCCUGGAUAGUGAGCACUUGACUUGAGCUUCGUCAUCGUAGUAAUGUUUAUGGAACACUUGGAUGGUUAUGGUAUGAUGAUGUUGGAAAUGCCACAUCAAAUAUGGGUACUAUUGUUGAAUCUUAAUCAAGUGAUUGCUUUAGUACAGGUGCUAAUCUAGAUGAUAGGUUAAUGAUUAUUAACUUGAGCUAAAUACCUGAAGGAUUACUUAGUUGCAACUUAAGCUUUUUAUGCAAAAAGUGUUGUCAAGCUAGCUCCACCAAUAAAGCCUUGCAUACUCCUUGGUGUCAUAUUAUUUCUGGUUUAUGACGGGUAAGUCUAGCUGAGUACCUUCUCGUACUCAGAGUUUAUUCCCACUUGUUGCAGGUUGUGAUGUAUCAUGGCAACUGCAAGAGUUGGAUGACUCCUACCAUAUUAGAGGAGUAAGAUCAUGGGCAUGAUCCUUCUUAGUUACCUCAUCUAUGUUGCUUUUGUUGGAGUUGACCUGGAUACUGGCAUGUAUUUGAAAUAAGGGCAAUAUUAGUUUCAAAUUACUUUGCUUCCGCUACUUUUCAACUUAAGUUGUAAUAACUAUCUUGAACUCCGAUGUAUAUCAAACUACUUGUGAAAUGGAUGUAACAUGUGACUUGUUAUGUUGAAUCACUACGAUCUUGGCUUGUAAGAUGGUUGGUUUGAAAUCCCUCGUGAUUUCACGGACUACCGGGUUUAUGAGAGUUCGAUUAUGUUAAAGCAACUGCUUUGGCGGGAGUUUUUCAUAGUUGAUCUCUUGUAAAUUGGGCGGUUCUGUUACACUGGGGGUCCCCCGCGGCGCCAGGGGCCGUCGGUCGGACUCCCGCCUCGCCUGCCGACGGCGCAGGGGGCACCAUGGUGACCUCUACCUGCGACACCUCCUCCGGGGCACCGGUUCCCGCCCCGGACGCAGGGGAGGGCUCGGCCAGACUCUCCGGCACUACCGGAUGAGGGGGCUCCUCGGGCUCGGCCCCCGACGCCUUCUCCCCCCUUGAGGACCCACAGGGGCGGAACCCUCACGAGCGGCGCUGUCCUCGUCAUCCACAAUGAUGUGGGGGACGACCUGUCCGCCCCCCGGCACCUGGGUCCCCUUGGGGGCCUCCGACCCACCUCGGGCCUUUGACCCCUCCGGGGCCUCGAUCCCCCCGGCAGGGGGACUGCGUCGUCCUCCUCCAUCAGCUCGUCAAGCCAGUCGGCGUCGCCACCCCCGCCCUCUAUCUCCGAGACCGAAGUCUCGGGAGAGGGGGGCGGGGCGACCCCCGCCUUCUCGGCUUCACGGUGAUUCUUGGUGGAGAUCUCCCGCCGCUGCGCUUUCCGCGCUGCUUUGGCCUUCUUGUCCUCCUUGGCCUUCUUUUACUCCUCGUUCCGGGCCCGAUUCUUGGCCCGGAUCUCCUUGUCCUCGGGAACAGGGGGCGGGGAAUCCUUGACGACCCCCAUCCGCUGCGAAUAGUCAGGGGUCAAGAAAAAGGCAAAAAGGAAAAGAGAAGAAGACGCAAAAAAAAUUCUACACUUACCAGAGAAAUAUAGCCCUUUUCAGGGCGCAUCGGAACCACCCGGGAAUUUUUCAUGCCCGAGUGUGUCGUCUUCUCCACCCGGGCGGUGAUGUCCGAUGCCGAUAUCGGCUCGGCCAGCAUCCUCGUCCCAGCCCAGGGGACGUCCCGAGUCAUCUCGAACAUAUACGCUCGCCGCUGCGCCAGCGGAAGCGACUCCUCUUGUGGAAGGCGAUUGCCACCGUGGCCGCGGUGACUUCGGCAUCUCGCAACUUCUGAAGCAGAUUCCGUCUCGCCCGACCCCGACACUACAAAAUGAGUUUGAAAAAAGCCUUUCGAGGCCCAAAAUCCCCAGGCCAUGGCCACCUACGUUCCAGAGGUUGCGAGACUGACCUGCGACACAGGUUCGAACAGUCGCCUCAGGAUGACUGAGCGAGGGAUGACUGAAGAUGAGCACAAUAGAGGCCAAGGUCCGAGCCCCACAGGGAGUCGGCGCAUCUUUACAAGUCAUAUCCGAGACCCAUGCGGGUGUCACGUGAGUGGGAUCCCAUCGAGGGAGGCAUCGAGCCCUUGGAACCUAACGAACGGUUCCGACAUCCACCGUGACUGUCCUCAGGUACUUUUUGAGAUGUGCCCAUAAGGCCACUAGCCGACCCCUAUCGAAUGGGACUCGGACAUCCACUUGGAUCUACCCGCCUGCAGCUCCCGGGAAGCGUCGUCACUCGCCCAUCGAGGGUAGUACGGCACGACCCACCCCUCCUCCGAGCGAAAGGAAGAAUGAGAGACGUAACUAUAAGACGAGAAAGAACCUGAUCGACCCUUUUGGGGAAAGGGCUCGGGGGCUUCCUCGCACCAUGGGAACAGGCACUACAUGUAAAGAACGUGCAACCUAUCCCUCAAAAAUACUCCAGACUAUAGCUGCAAGGGGUAAAAGCCUUUGAAGGAAUAAUGCCAUUCCUCCAAAAGGCUCGGGGGCUACACCCGGCGGGUGCGCUCACGCGCACCCUCCGGAGAAAAGUAAAAAGCUCCCAGUCAACAAGCAAUCCCUGGGGAAAGAACCUCUAAAGAGGUGACCCCACCCCUUCAGAGGCUCGGGGGCUACUGUUGGAUACCAUAAAAAGGGAUACCCAAAUCAGAGUAAUAAAAAACGCAAAAAACAUACUAACCACAAUCACCAGGGUAUGGGCCCCAGUUCAUUCAACUCGUCCGACCCCCAGGGCCUCGGGCGCAAGUUCCGACUCGCCCGACCCCUCAGGGCCUCGGGCGCAAGUUCCGACUCGCCCGACCCCUCAGGGCCUCAGACGCAAGUUCUGACUCGCCCGAUCCCAUCUGGGCUCAGGUGCCGGACCCCGCUCCACCAGGUCGACAAGACUUCCACCAGUCGGCGCCCGUACCCCUGCGACCCCUACAGGGCUCGGUAACCCUCUACAGGAGCAGCCAUACUAUCAACCAUCCCCCAAGGACGAGAUGGACCAGCUUCAACAGGGUCGGGACUGUGGUUUCACCAUUCAACAGAAGAAAUCUACUCAUGUAAAAACCUGUCUUCCCUUGAGGCUAUAAAAGGGGAGCCAGGGUUCACAACUAAGGACAGGUUCAGAAGGUUCAUGCACACGCCCACCGCACUCUUUCACAGAGCAACGAUCACCACUCUGUCCACCACUAAGCCGAGACCUGGGACUUAGCCCUCUCUCACGACCAGCUUGUACCCCCUACUACAAGCACCUUCGGUGCAAGGUUAUACAGAAUCCGCGACCACACUGGACGUAGGGCAUUCUUGGCCAGAACCAGUAUAAACCCUCUGUGUCUCACUUGCAUCACCAUCCAAGUUUGGGUAGUCACGCAGACUUAUACUUGUUAGUGCCUAGACCACGAGUCUAGACGCCGACAAUUGUGUACCCAGAAUAAUACACACAAAAAUUCAUCUAUAUUAAAAUUAAAGGCUAAUAAAACACUAUCAUUAAAAUCAAGGGCCACGAUUGGAUGUGGGAAGCCAGCCUUCUCACCCUGUACCAUCCAUCUCAAGACUCGCUAGAGACCGACACGAACGAAGCCGCGAGACCAUGCACGAUCGAAUCAGCAAUGAACCCAAAAAAAUAAAAAUAAAAAUAAAAAUCUUCGUUGGAGACCUUCUAGGCUUUUGACGUAACCUGCUGGGCUGCCGACGUUAGAGACCUGCUGGGCGGCCGCCGCGUCCAUCGUUGAUCCUCCGCGGCCAUCGCGUCUAGCUGCGAUCCUCCGCGGCCAUCGCGGCCAGCUGCGUCCGUUCUUCCGAUUGGAGAUCUGCUGGGCUGCCAACGCGUUCAUCGUCGAUCCUCCGCGGCCAUUGCGACCAAGCUGCAUCUGUUGCGCCGAUCUAAAGGCCGAUCAUCCGAAGCAUCAUCAACGACCCAAAAAAACACUGAGGUGCAAGAGGUAGUUGUUACUCCAAUACGACGUCACAUGAGAUAGUAUCAGAAGAAAAAGGUAACCUCUACGUACAUGCACAACUAUGUUUUUUUUCAGCUAAGUUAGAUUACUAUUUUUAGUCAAUAAGCUAUAUUUGGUUGUUUACCAUCAUCGCAUAUACAUAAAUUUGGUCUCCACAAAUAUUUAAUAUUUUUGCUUUGCUUAUCUGAAUACAGAAGAAAAGAAAACAUAUAUAGAAACUGAGAAAACAAUUGUACCUGUUAGAAAUGCUCAGAUAAUUGUCGAGGAGGAAAUGCUAUCAGCCUCUGACCAAAAAGUGGAUACAACGGGUGAAGAAAAAAUGCCAACAGACGAGAGCAGCAGGAAGCGGAAGCGUUCUCACGAAGAUAUUGUAUGUAACAAUCUCUCGAUGAACUCACAUAUCCCAAAUGAAUAUCUAUAUAUAUGGGUCGUCACUGAUAUUCUAUAAUAUUACAUAUGCAGAUCAAUAUUAUGGAUGAAGACAAAGUGCAUAUCCAAGACAUCGUAUUGAUGAGAGUUGAUAUAGAAAAAGACAAGCAAAGAUAUUAAUCGUGCUGACAAGAAGAUUAAGGCAAUCCCUCAAUAUAAUAAACCUAAGAAGACAAACAAUGCCAAUGUCCUGCCACACGGUGAGACAUCCUCAAUUAGAUUUUUUUAUAUUUGGGAAUUAAUUAAUGUUAAUAUGAAUAAAUGUUUUAUUCGUAAAUUAUGAGUGUACACAAGAAUAUGCUCGUGUAAUUGAAUUUAAAAGUAGUGUUCAACAUGCUUACAGUGAUGUCCAUAUGAUAUUUUUUUGUUGAUUGAAACAUAUGGAAAGAAUUUAGAAAAAACUCAAAUUAUUACAGGUGUUUCUUCCGAUUAAUAUUGACAAGUAUCACUGGUACCUAGCGGUUGUCAAUGCUUUAGAAGGACAAAUACAUAUUUUGGAUUCUUUUGGAGAAAUUAUGUCGGAAUGGCAAGAUCUCGACUACGCGCGGUAUGGCUUAAUGAUUGAUAUAUACACAAAUACAUAAUAUUUUUUUAAAAAAAAUAUUAAUACCGCUUUCUAAAUCUUGGUGUUUCGGUCACAGCAGUUGAUAGGAAUGGAAAGACUAAUAAAAUAUGCAGCAAAACAUAAACAGCUGAACCAAAACAAGUGGGUAAAGGGUAUCGAAGUAUCAUCUUGGCAAAAAAAACAUAAGAUCAUGAAAAGAGUGUACAGAUGGGUAAAGAAACAUCUAACUUUUCACGUAACCUGCUUUUGACGCUAACAUUAUCUAUAUCACCCUGAUUUUAAUUUUUCAAUAUUGCACAGUGUAAGUUGUGGUUUAUGGAUGAUUAAUUUUAUGGAAUAUUGGACUUGAGCUUCUUUAUCUGACCACGUGACCUAGGUAAUUUCAUAGGAAUAUAUUUUUAAAUAUAUGAAUUUUCUGGGCUUGUUUAAUAUAUCAAGGCUUGCUCAUAUUUUUAGGAUGAUAUAAGUAACUUUAGGUUCAAACUACCUGCAAUCUUGUAUAACUCCCCAUUAAACAUGGCGAGAGGGUUACAAGAUGAUGUGCAAGAUAAUGAGACCAACCAAAAUCUGAAUGAUGGUGUCAUAAUACUCAAUGAUAUGGACGACAUAUCUAAUUUACUGUCGGGUACAAUAACAUGGACAAACAAGUAUCCAUAUGAUCGCAGAUGCUGAAGCUUCGGAGUAAGUCAUUCUAAAUAGAAUUGUUUUGUUCUAAUUUAUUUUUUUCCAAUAUUCGUGAUUGAAUUGCUACAAUAAGUAAAUUAUUCCUUGUCAUUGUUUUUUAGCAAAGAAUGGGUCCGAAGCACACAACCCACAACCAUACACAAUUUCUUUAAGUCCUAGAAAAAUUAGAGAUAUUUUAAAUGACAAUAAAGAGUUCGAUCAUGCAUGAUUGUUUCAACAUGGCUGUAAGGAUGGCUGCAUCAAACGCAUCCUUGUUGUUGGAGAAACAAAUACCACUUCAUGGAUCUUCAGUUUGUUGUAAGUUCACCUAAGUCUUAAUUGUAUAAUUCAUAAAUAUCUACUAUAAUAUAUAUAAUUGUAUAAUUAAUAAAAAAAUUAUAAAUUUUACAAACUAGAAAGUCCAUAACUCAAUUUGGACGAGAUCUGUGAUGUUGUGACAAGCUAGACAACAAGAAACUCACAAAAGUACUUCAGUGCUGGCCUAAUAUGGAUUACAAAAUUAAAAGAUUGUAGCAAUGUAAGAUAUGUUCAGUGUAGUCCUGUAAGUGCAUUCGACCCCGAUGUAGGUUUUGAUAAUUAAUGACAACCAAAUUAGGGACUAACAUGUUUAUCGAGCAUAAUCUACAGGUGUUAGUCCAUUGAUGGAAUUGAACGAAAACAUUCGGUGAAUUAUAGCACCCCUAAAUUUCUAAUGGAUGAACGGUGUUUCGACUCAAGUGGCUACAAAGUUUUUAUUCUUUGUUUGAGUUAUAGGAAAUGCCGCACUAUCAAGAGGGAUGCAAAUCAAGUUGGUAAGAUGAGGAUAAGGGUGCUCAGGUCAAUUUACUUCUUGCGCUUGAGAGACACACUUGCACGCACGAAGCACUAGGAAAUUUCUUCUCUGUCAGGGUGUCCCGGUAGUACCAACCCUCAGGGCCGGUGGUACCGGCAGUGCCAGCCUUACUCCUGAGUUUUGCGAGAAAAUGAACUACCGGUAGUACCGGGCUCGGGCCGGUGGUACCGGCCAGCACCAGUAGUACCGGUGUGAAACGCCGGUAGUACCGGCAGGCCAAAUCUGCGCUGACUUUGGUUGCGAAGAUUUGAACUGCCGGUGGUACCGGCCUUCCACCGGUGGUACCGGCAAUGGUCGGUAGUACCGACAAAAGCCCAGUGGUACCGGUAGGCUUAUUUCUCGCAAAUCAUAGAGACUUCUUACCGUUAGAUCUGAGGUAGCCGGUGGUACCGGUGGUUGCCCCGGUAGUACCGGGAGUUGUUCAGGACCUUUGUAUAAAUAGCUCUUCCCUCAUUUCUAACCGUUAGCUCUCCCAUUCCUUCAACUCUAGAUCUGAGAAAUCAGUCUCCAAGCUUUGUCUCACCCACUCUCUCUCCCUCUUUGCUCCUAGACUUCACUCCUUGAAAGAUUCGAGCUAGAGAAGUGAGAUUAGAGAGUUGGGAGCUUCGAUUUGUGACUUGAGCACUUGGAUUCUUCGUCUUGCCGGUUUGGUUUGCAUUUGUUACUCUUGGAUUCUUGGAACCCUAGCCGGCUAGGCGUUCUUCGUGGUUGCCCGUGUUGAUUCAUUUGUGAGGGCACCCCGAAGUGUUUGUAUAACCCUUUGAUUCUUAGUGGAAAUCUUGAGCUAACCUGUGUGGUUGCUUGAGGGAGGAGACCUAAGUGGUCGGACCUUCGUGGUCACCUCAACAACGGGGACGUAGGAACUCCUUUGUGGGGAUUGCCGAACCUCGGGAAAAAUAUCUUGUCUUGCUGUGGAGGUAGCAUCGACUACCCUUGUUCUUGUGUUCUUCGUGUUCUUCCUCUCUACUCCCUUUCACAGGUGAACAAGGGCCGAUCUACGUUUUGGAGAAGAACCGAGCCAAGGGAACCUCAGCAUCACCCUCUACUACAUCUAGGAGAGUGGGGUAACUCUCAGAUCUGAAAUCAAAACUCAAUAUACUCUGAUUUCGUAGCUCUCUUAGGGCGUCGGUAGUACCAGCAGUUACGUCGGUAGUACUGGCUGUCUUACACCAGUAGUACCGGCCCAAACUGUCGGUAGUACCGACAGGCAUUUAACUUCCGCAACUUGAGUUUUUAAGUUUCAGGUUUUUAAGAUACGCCUAUUCACCCCCCCUCUAGGCCAAUCAGAUCCUUUCAAUUGGUAUCAGAGCAAGGUUCCUCGUACAAACGCUUCACCGCGUGAGGAGCAACAUUGGCCAAGAUAGAUCCAAUAGCACAAAAGCAAAUUGUUGAUCAAAUCACAGCACAGAUCACUGCAUCCUUGCAGCUGCAGCAACAAGAGCAAAUGCAGAAGAUGCAAGCAGAGCUUGACAAGAUGAGAGAGCUCCUAGGCAAAAAGAAUCAUGAAUCGGGUAGAAAAGAUGAAAAUGAAGAUAGCAGCAAACCAUCAAAGAACUACAACAAAGCUAGCUUUGACUAUGAUGGUUCAAGCAAGAAUCCAACCUUGCCGAUGAUCAAUCCUGGAAAACCACCUCCAUUUGAUGGUGUAAGGUACACCGAUUGGGCUCAUAGGAUGAAGCUACAUCUCAUAGCCGCAAGAUGUUGGGAAGUGGUGGACAUUGGAGUAAAUCCGCCGCAAGAUCCAAAUGAGUGGACACUUGAAGAUGAGAGAGACUUUCACCUAAAUGCAAUGGCAGCAACCUUGAUCUUGCAAUGCCUCACUCCGGAGGACAACAACAAAGUAAAUGGUAUGGUGAAUGCAAAGCAAAUCUGGGACACUUUGAAGGUGUCAUUUGAAGGAGAUAAAAGUGUAAGAGUUGGAAACAUUGAACUCUUACAAAGUAAGAUUGAGAAUUUUUGCAUGAUUGAGGGAGAAACAACAAAGGCCAUGUUUGAUAGAUUCAUGUCCUUGAUCAACCAAAUUAGAGCACUUGGAGCAACAACAUGGGAUGACAACUCUGUAGCAAGAAAGAUAUGUAGGGUGUAUAGACAAAAGAACAAUAUGCUUGCCUCCGUCAUUAUGGAGAAAGACAAUUACCACACGAUCACACCUCAAGAGAUGCUUGCAAAGUUGAUGCAUCAUGAAGUCUUGGAUGAUGAAGCUAAGGAAGCAAUGAAUCAAAGAAACAACAUUGCACUCACAGCAUCACAUGGAAGUGAUUCAAGUCAUUGUAACAAAGGGUGUUGUGAGCAUAAGCAUAAUGAUGAUGAUGAUCUUGAUAAAGAGCAAGGUAUGCUAGUGGAAAACUACAAGAAUUACUUGAGAAUGAAGAAAGAUAAUAUGAGGAGAUAUGGAGGAAACAAGUCAUACAAGAAGAGGUUUUGCUAUGAGUGUGGUGACACCGGCCAUCUUGCAGCUGAGUGUCCUAACAAAGAGGAGAAGUCAAGAUACACCAAGCAAGGUGAUAAGAAGUAUAAGGACAAGAAGAGAGGUGAAGCACAUCUAGGCCAAGAAUGGCAAUCCGACAGUGAUAGUGAUGAUGACAAUAACAAUAAGAAGAAGAGUAUGGCUACUCUCGCCAUACAAGAGGCAUCUUCCUCAGCAAACAUCUUCACCAACAAUGCUUCAUCGACCUCUCUCUUUACUCGCACUUCUUCAUCACCUAGACUCUUCGCCAACCUCUCCGACGACGACCAUGACACUCCUACAUGCCUUAUGGUAAGAGGAUAUAAGGUACAAUUUGACUCUCCUAUUCACACCACUAGUGAAUAUGAUAGUGAUGACGAAGAUGAUGAAAACUAUGCAUCAAAUCUCAUUAAGAAAUAUGGUAAAGCUGCUGCAACUAAAAUCCUAAAGCUCAUAUAUGCUAAAGAUAAGCUUGAGUCAUGCAUUGAGUCGCAAGGGGAAUUGCUCCUAGAGGAAAGGGAGAAGAACCAAGGACUUGAAGCAUGUCUCUCCAAGGAAAAGGAGAGGGCUGAUAAGUUGAGUGUAGAAUUGUCUUUAGCCAAAAAUGCUAAUGAGCAUUUGUCUAAGGGACAUUCUUCACUUAAUGACUCUUUGGCUAGCCUAAAGAAUGAUCAUAGUUUGGCUCAAGAGAGCCUUACAAGCUUGACAACUAAAUAUCAUGAGCUUGAACUAAACUAUGACAAGCUUUGGACUAGCACCUCUACCAUUUCCAAGGAUUCCAAAGCUUCAACAAGUAAAAGCUGUGAAAGAUGCUUAAAUGUUGAUAUAAAUGCUUGUGUUACUAACCUUGUUGAGCUAGCAAAGAAGGACAAGGAGAUCCAAAGAUUAAACACAAUUGUCAAGAUUGGUUGCAAGUGCAAGGACAAGCAACCGGCAAAUGGGUUCAAGGCAUCAAGACACCCCAUAAUCAAGGAUGGCCUCGGUUACAAUAGGUAUAAUGGUAAGGCCAAUGGAAGAAACAUGAUAAAUGGGGUGGCUUGUGUGAAGUUCAACAAGAGUGUGCCUCUUGUUGACCUUAUUGACAAGGUGAACAAUAUUGCUACUCCUAUAAUUCCACUUACAAACAACAAGAACAUCAAGAAGAAGCAAGUGCAGGUGCCCAAGCAACAAGUGCCUAUUUCACGCAAUCACAUUUGUGAUUACAUGUGUUGUUGGGACAAGGAUGGCAAGAUUGUUGUGAAGUAUGUGGGUGUCCUUAAGAAGAGACAAAUCUUAAGGAGUGUUUGGGUGCCCAAGUCUUAUAUUUCUAACCCCCUAGGUCCCAUCUCGGGACCUAAAACAAUAGCUUAAUCUCGUGUUGUAGGAAUACUCCUCCGGUGGACCAAAAUGGGUGCUUGAUAAUGGAUGCACCAAUCAUAUGACCGGAGAGAAGAAAUUGUUCACCUCCUUUCAACCAAAUCAAGUUGCAUGUGAAAGGAUUGUCUUUGGUGAUAAUAGUAAAGGAGAUAUCCUUGGUUUGGGUAAAAUUGCUUUCUUAAAUGAUAAUUCAAUUUCAAGUGUAUUACUUGUGAAUUCGUUGGGAUACAAUUUGUUGUCUAUCUCACAACUUUGUGAGAAGGGUUACAAUUGUCUCUUUACGGAUAAGGGUGUAGAAGUCUCUAGAAGGUCGGAUGCCUCUAUUGCUUUUACGGGUCAACUUAAGGGCAAGCUCUAUCUAGUUGAUUUCUCAUCUAGUAGAGUGGGGUCCAAGACUUGUUUAGUGGCAAAAUCUAGCAUGGGCUGGUUAUGGCAUCGCUGUCUAGCUCAUGUUGGGAUGAGGAACUUGGCCGAUCUUCAAAGAGGUGGAUACAUCCUAGGACUAACAAAUGUUUCUUUUGAGAAAGAUAGAAUUUGCAGUGCAUGUCAAGCGGGAAAGCAAGUUAGAGACAAGCAUCCCACUAAGAACAUCAUGACUACAUCAAAGACCACUUGAGUUACUUCACAUGGACUUAUUCGGACCCAAUGCUCAUAUAAGUAUUGGAGGUAACAAAUAUGGUUUUGUAAUUGUUGAUGAUUUUUCUCGCUUCACUUGGGUGUUUCUUUUGAGAGAUAAAGGUGAAACCCAAGGGAUCUUCAAGAAGGUUUCAAGAAGAGCUCAAAAUAAGUUUGAAGUGAAGAUCAAGAAAGUGAGAAGUGAUAACGGGAUAGAGUUUAGAAACACCAACAUUGAAGCUUUCCUUGAUGAAGAAGGCAUCAAACAUGAGUUCUCGGUUCCAUACACUCCACAACAAAAUGGUGUUGUGGAGAGGAAGAACCGGACGCUCAUUGAAGCCAUAAUAGCAAUGUUGGAUGAAUACAAGAUUUCACAAAAAGACUAUUGGGCGAAAGCCAUCAACACGUCAUGUCAUGCUAUCAACCACUUGUAACUCCACAAGUUGAGGAAGAAAACCACCUACGAGCUUCUAACCGGUACAAAGCCUAAGGUGGACUACUUUAGAGUUUUUGGAUGCAAGUGUUUCAUACUCAAUAAGAAAUCCAAAAGCUCUAAGUUUUCACCAAAGGUUGAUGGAGGUUUCUUAAUUGGUUAUGGUACUAAUGAACAUGGCUACCGUGUCUUCAAUGAGACCACCGGUCAAAUUGAAAUAGCGGUAGACGUGACUUUUGAUGAAAGCGACGGCUCUCAAAAGGAGCAAGUCAAUGCUGAAAUUUUAGGUGAAGAAGAACCAUCUCAUCAAGUGAUCAAAAAGCUUGCUACCGGUGAAGUGAAACCCGUUGAAGAAUAAAAAGAUGAUGCACAUAUGCAAAUUCCUCAUGAUCCAAACUUGCAUCAUGGGUCAACCAAUGCCCAUGAUGAUACUUCCACUUCAAGAAGGGGUCAUGACUCAAGGGAACAAGCUAGUCAAGAUCCACCACAAGCUCAAGACCCAACCAAGGUGGUGAUCGAGACAGUCAAGAUCUUGAUUCUCCAAUCAACCAAGACUAUGAAGUUGAAGAUGAUGGUCUAAUUCAAACAAGAACAGCAGUGCCUCACCCAAGAGUUCAUCACUCCAUCCAAUGGGAUCAUCUCGUUGACAGCAUUUUGGGAGACACACAACGAGGGGUAACAACACACUCUCAUUUAGUUGGUUUUUGUGAAUAUUACUCUUUUGUCUCCUCGAUGUUGCCAAACAGGGUGAAGAAUGCUUUGAAGGACCCAGAUGGGGUGAUUGCCAUGCAAGAGGAGCUAAACAACUUCACUAAGAAUAAAGUCUAGUCCUUGGUGGAAAGACCCAAGCAAAAUGUGUUAGGUACCAAAUGGGUCUUCCGUAACAAAGAAGAUGAGUAUGGCAUGGUCACAAGGAACAAGGCAUGGUUGGUAGCCAAAGGUUUCACUCAAAUCAAAGGUUUAUAUUUUGGGGAGACCUAUGCACCUGCAGCUAGGCUUAAAUCUAUUCGCAUAUUACUUGCCUUUGCUGCUCUUCAUGAUUUCAAGUUGUUUCAAAUGGACGUGAAAAGUGCAUUCCUCAAUGGCCCCCUCUCCGAAACCGUGUAUGUGGAGCAACCGCCGGGUUUUGAAGAUCCACAUCAUCCCGAUCAUGUCUACAAGCUUUACAAGGCACUUUAUGGGCUCAAACAAGCCCCUAGAGCUUGGUAUGGUUGUAUCAAAGAUUUCCUACUCAAACAAGGGUUGAGAUUGGAAAGGCCGAUCUCACUUUAUUUACUCGCAAAGUCAAUAAUGAUAUUUUUAUAUGCCAAAUAUAUGUCGAUGAUAUUAUAUUUGGUAGUACUAAUGCGGACUUUAGUGAGCAAUUUAGUAGGAUCAUGACCAAGAGGUUCGAGAUGUCCAUGAUGGGGGAGUUGACAUACAUUCUUGGAUUCCAAAUCAAGCAACUCAAAGACGGCAUGUUCAUAAGUCAAACCAAGUACACCACCGACAUGCUAAAGAAGUUUGACAUCGACAAGGCCAAACCCAUAAAGACACCAAUGCCAACAACCGGACAUCUUAACCUUGAUGGAGACGACAAGGCCAUUGAUCAAAAGGUAUAUCAUUCCAUGAUUGAAUCUUUGCUUUACCUUUGUGCAUCUAGGGCUGAUAUUAUGCUUAGUGUGUGCAUGUGUGUAUUCGAAUAGGCAAAAACUCUUGUGAAAAAUUGUGUGAAUUUUUCAAAAACUAUUUUUCACAGCUCAAAAUGUGUCCAUAGUUAUGUAAUGGCUUCAUGAAAACUGGACAAAUUUGAGUUGGUUUGAGUAUACUAUGUGGUUCACCUCCUUUAGAAUUUCUGCUCACUGGUUUUUGACCUCCUGCAACUUAUGACAUUCAAGCAUAACUGGAACACAGAGGUUAUUUGUCAGUUUUGGGCCACAGUUUACAUUGAUGUAGAGCACAAGAUACUUCACUAGAUGACUGAGGACCUUCACUGUCAGUAUGAUUACCGCCAGUUCUCCCACCUUUUUGGGUUUGAUCACCAUGUCUGUGAUGCUCCUAGCUUAUAUGGUCAUUGUCCAAAUGGUGUGGGCAGGGCUGAUUUCAUUGAAGCAGCCUGAUGAUGAUCCGACUAAGGCAAAUGGUAAGACAGAAGGUCUAAAGCCCUAUUUCUAUGUGCUCAACAAUUUGCUCCGUGCUACUAUUGACCCAAAGGUUGGUGUUGCUACUUCAGUUCAGAAUCAUGAUGCAACCAUCCUUGUUUGCUUUGGGCUUAAGAAGAGGUUCAGUGUGACAGAUCUCCUGUGGCAUCACAUUGAGGAGGGUUCCUAGACCUCCAACCAGUCCUUCCCCUAUGCUCUGUAUCUCAUGUAUAUCAUUGAGCAAGUCAUUGGCUUUGCAUUCUAGCAAGACAGUAAGCACCUAGACUGGAAUGUCAGAUGUAUUUAGGCUAAGUCCAAGCAAAGGGAAAGGGCUAGCAACAGAUGCUAGUGGCAACAAUGCAGCACAGGAUGAUGAGGUGUAGUGUGACACUGAGUUUGAGCAGCAGCAGGGUUUUCAGUGAACCAGUGCCUUUGAUGAUGAUGAUGAUAUUGUUGAGUAGUUCACCUACUGCCUUUGCCCCUUGGAGCUUCAUGAAGCCUACCCUUUUUGGCAUUUGAUGCCAAAGGGGGAGUGUUAGGCUUAUCUCAUAUGGUAUUAGGCUUGGUAUCAGGAUUAUCUCGUAUGGUGAACCAUGUGGUAAACUUAAACUUUGUGUGUGAUGGUUGAUUGUAAGCUAAACACCUUUGCUUCAUUAUUAUAUCAAGCUUGUGUUAGCUGUUUUGGGAUUGUGUUGAUGCAAUGUUGUUUAUGAAUGGUUAUGAUAAGCUUUAAGUCCUUCUAUUUCUUGCAUAACCAUUCAAGUUCUUUCUUUUUAUUCUUUGUGAUAUAUCUUGUCAUAUGCAUCACACUUUAUUAUCUCACACACACUUAGGCACCCCACGGAUUGCAAAAUUUAGGGGGAGCUUGUUCUUAAUGUAUGCCAUCUUGAUUCUAAUCAAGAUCUGAAAUUCUGAAUUCAAUGCAUACAUUAAGGGGGAGCUCAACUUGAAUUUUGGAAUUCAAAAGCUUCAAUUCUUUCAAUCUUUAUAAGCCUAAGUUGGUUGUCAUCAAUUACCAAAAAGGGGGAGUUUGUAAGUGCAUUCGCCCCCGAUGUGGGUUUUGAUAAUUAAUGACAACCAAAUUCGGGACUAACAUGUUUAUCGAGCAUAAUCUACAGGUGUUAGUCCAUUGAUGGAAUUGAACGAAAACAUUCGGUGAAUUAUAGCAGCCCUAAAUUUCUAAUGGAUGAACGGUGUUUCGACUCAAGUGGCUACAAAGUUUUUAUUCUUUGUUUGAGUUAUAGGAAAUGCCGCACUAUCAAGAGGGAUGCAAAUCAAGUUGGUAAGAUGAGGAUAAGGGUGCUCAGGUCAAUUUACUUCUUGCGCUUGAGAGACACACUUGCACGCACGAAGCACUAGGAAAUUUCUUCUCUGCUAGGGUGUCCCGGUAGUACCAACCCUCAGGGCCGGUGGUACCGGCAGUGCUAGCCUUACUCCUGAGUUUUGCGAGAAAAUGAACUACCGGUAGUACCGGACUCGGGCCGGUGGUACCGGCCAGCACCAGUAGUACCGGUGUGAAACGCCGGUAGUACCGGCAGGCCAAAUCUGCGCUGACUUUGGUUGCGGAGAUUUGAACUGCCGGUGGUACCGGCCUUCCACCGGUGGUACCGGCAAUGGUCGGUAGUACCGACAAAAGCCCAGUGGUACCGGUAGGCUUAUUUCUCGCAAAUCAUAGAGACUUCUUACCGUUAGAUCUGAGGUAGCCGGUGGUACCGGUGGUUGCCCCGGUAGUACCGGGAGUUGUUCAGGACCUUUGUAUAAAUAGCUCUUCCCUCAUUUCUAACCGUUAGCUCUCCCAUUCCUUCAACUCUAGAUCUGAGAAAUCAGUCUCCAAGCUUUGUCUCACCCACUCUCUCUCCCUCUUUGCUCCUAGACUUCACUCCUUGAAAGAUUCGAGCUAGAGAAGUGAGAUUAGAGAGUUGGGAGCUUCGAUUUGUGACUUGAGCACUUGGAUUCUUCGUCUUGCCGGUUUGGUUUGCAUUUGUUACUCUUGGGUUCUUGGAACCCUAGCCGGCUAGGCGUUCUUCGUGGUUGCCCGUGUUGAUUCAUUUGUGAGGGCACCCCGAAGUGUUUGUAUAACCCUUUGAUUCUUAGUGGAAAUCUUGAGCUAACCUGUGUGGUUGCUUGAGGGAGGAGACCUAAGUGGUCGGACCUUCGUGGUCACCUCAACAACGGGGACGUAGGAACUCCUUUGUGGGGAUUGCCGAACCUCGGGAAAAAUAUCUUGUCUUGCUGUGGAGGUAGCAUCGACUACCCUUGUUCUUGUGUUCUUCGUGUUCUUCCUCUCUACUCCCUUUCACAGGUGAACAAGGGCCGAUCUACGUUUUGGAGAAGAACCGAGCCAAGGGAACCUCAGCAUCACCCUCUACUACAUCUAGGAGAGUGGGGUAACUCUCAGAUCUGAAAUCAAAACUCAAUAUACUCUAAUUUCGUAGCUCUCUUAGGGCGUCUGUAGUACCAGCAGUUACGUCGGUAGUACUGGCUGUCUUACACCAGUAGUACCGGCCCAAACUGUCGGUAGUACCGACAGGCAUUUAACUUCCGCAACUUGAGUUUUUAAGUUUCAAGUUUUUAAGAUACGCCUAUUCACCCCCCCUAGGCCAAUUAGAUCCUUUCAAGUCCUUUAUAAACUCAUUAUGUUUUAUUUAUCACUUAUUGUUUGUAUGUAUAUUUUUAGAUUCUACUACCAUAUUACUGAGAUGGACUAUAUACUUUAUUCAUAAUGAACAUGCACAAAAAACUGUGCACGUUAUAGAUCCACUUCAAAAUGAAGUAUGUUUGAAGGGUUAUGAUCAGAGCAUGUCAUAUAUAUCUACAUUUCACACUGUUGCUCAAAGAUUCCAUCUCGCCAUGAAACUAACAAAUUCUAAGUGGAACGACAAUAUUUAUGACUGGAAGCGAGCAUUUCCUACAUGUGUUACAAAAGUUUCAAAAAAUAAAGACUGCUAAUCUCUUACAAUAUGUUUCAUCUUUAUUACCAGACAUUUAAUUUAUAUAUAAUAAAAAAACUAAUACUCUUCUCCAGGAGAUUGGGAGGCUUCCUUGUGUAUAAUUUUAUGAAGUCAUGGGAUGAUGUAAGAUUGCCACCGAUCAACAAUGUAAGUAUAUAUAUACUUCAACUAUAGUUCGUACAUUGUAUGUGUGGGGGUAUAAACCCCUAUACCCUCAUGGGCCUAUAUGGGCCGCACCAUCAGAGGUGGCUCGGCCCACAGGAUGAAGACGUGCGGCGCACGACUGGUCGGCGUGCACCGCAAGGCUACAAGAUAUUGUACCAAAUAGGAUACUUUGCUUGUAACUCUGUCCCUUCAGGAUAUAUAAGGAGGGGCAGAGGUCCCCUAGAGGACAAGUCAUACAGAUCAUAUUCUCUCAACACAAAUCAAUACAACCAGACGCAGGACGUAGGUAUUACGCCAACUCGGCGGCCGAACCUGGAUAAAAAGCUUGUCCGUGUCUUGCGUCACCAUCGAGUUCGUAGUUUGCGCACCGUCUACCGAUAAACUACUACCGUGGGUAUACCCCAAGGUAGACUGCCGACCAGCUUUCGUCGACAGUGGCGCGCCAGGUAGGGGGUGUGCGUACAGCUCUCCCGACGAACAAGAUGGUCAUCAUCCCAACUUCGUGGCCAUGGCGGGCGACUUCAUGUUCACCGUCAGCUUCAACAGCUUCACCGCCACGACCACGGAGGAGCUGUAGAUCCGAUCUGCGCCAACCACUUCUUCAUCGACGUCGGCGGCGGCUUCAACCACGCUGGCUACGACUCCGACUACUCCAGCAACGUCUCCGACCACGCCGACGAUGCGUCACCUGCUUCCCUACUACAAAGAGAGGCAGAUCGACGACAUCGACCUGCUCGGGCUAACGACCAAGUUGUUUGGCCUACUUGCUCUGACCACCAGUCGCAAUAAUAAUCGCCGCGAAGAACGGCGCUACGACAACCGCGACCACCGUCAUGACAGCAAGUCAAAAAGCUCGAGGGCCAGACAAUUCUGUCACCACCGACUAGACUUUCGUCCAAAGAUAAGUACACUUCUAAUAUUUUAUUUAUUUUUGGCAUAAUAUUUUUUAUUAUCCUUCAAAAAUAACUUUUUGGUUAGCCGACUAGUUUUUUCUCCUACACGAGUUUUCUAGAGCCGGUACUGUCUCCGACUCCUCCCUACACGUGCAUGAGAUCCGCCCUCUGCGUUCCGGGUGGUCGGCAGUAGCUCUCUGGCGAGGCUGGCAAUCCCACGCAUGUCUAGGUUCCGCACCUCAUGCUGAUUGUUGGCUAGACCAGAGCUGGUACAAGCUCUAGGAUGAAUUAACUACUCGUGCUAAUUUUAUAACAAAAAAUCUAAAACUUAUCGCAGUACUGAUUUUUUAUCUAGAGUUUAUUUAUACAUCAUGUACUACCUAUUCUCUAUAUUUAUUUUUCAGGAGUUUAGUCCAGUCGACAAGCUACGCUCGGGGACUCGUCGACUAUUCCUUACGCUGUGCCCGGGGACCGCUCCGACCACCGAGCACGUUUACGUUCCCAACCACGCUCGGGGACUUGUCGACUACUCUCUACACUGUGCUUGAAGACUGUGCCGACCACCGAGCACGUUUACGUUCCCAACCACGCUCGGGGACUUGUCUACCAGUCUCUACGCCGUGCUUGAAGACUGUGCCGACCACCGAGCACGUUUACGUUCCCAACCACGCUCGGGGACUUGUCUACCAGUCUCUACGCCGUGCUCGGAGACUGUGCCGACCACCGAGCACGUUUACGUUCCCAACUACGCUCGGGGACUGGCCGAUCAGUCUCUAUGUCGUGCUCGGGGACUGUGCUGACUACCGAUCGUGCUCGGAGACUCAUCAAUCACUCCCUGCGCUGUGCUCGGGGCUUGCUUUGAUCACUCUCCAACCACAGCUUGAGGACUGUUCUUCUCAGUUACAUAUGAAUUGGACUCAUAUACAACUGAAGGGUAAUUUUAUUUUUUAGACCUUGCUACAAGGCUCAUACUUCGCCUUCCAGCAAGCUCGAGGACUACAUCGGUACGAUGCAUCUGGCGAUGCAUCUCAGUUUCAUAAUUUAUAUGAAGACUUUUUUGACCCUGGCACCACGUGCCUACGUCACCUACUACCAGGCUCGGGGACUAAGUGGGCACACUUCACCUUGCGGUGAAUAUGCUUGCUUUUUUGAGAUCUAUACUUUUCAAAAAAGUAAAGUUGACACACUUCACCAGGAAAGAAAUCUUUUUAAAUUUAGAGCACCAUGCAUUCUUCGAACAACCUGUUUCUUCGAUGUCAAUGUUGAUCAACUGUCUUUUGAGUUGGUCAAAAUACUGUUGCAACUGUUUGGGCGACUUUCUUACUUAUUUGAAGACGUCAAGCCUCACUGAUCGAAGAAGCUCAAGACGGCGUGUUACAUCACAAUACAUGGUGCUCGGGGACUAGCUGUGGGGGUAUAAACCCCUAUACCCUCAUGGGCCUAUAUGGGCCGCACCAUCAGAGGUGGCUCGGCCCACAGGAUGAAGACGUGCGGCGCACGACUGGUCGGCGUGCACCGCAAGGCUACAAGAUAUUGUACCAAAUAGGAUACUUUGCUUGUAACUCUGUCCCUUCAGGAUAUAUAAGGAGGGGCAGAGGUCCCCUAGAGGACAAGUCAUACAGAUCAUAUUCUCUCAACACAAAUCAAUACAACCAGACGCAGGACGUAGGUAUUACGCCAACUCGGCGGCCGAACCUGGAUAAAAAGCUUGUCCGUGUCUUGCGUCACCAUCGAGUUCGUAGUUUGCGCACCGUCUACCGAUAAACUACUACCGUGGGUAUACCCUAAGGUAGACUGCCGACCAGCUUUCGUCGACAGUAUGAUUGGCACAGAUCGCUUACUAUUUGCCAUGCAUAAGCCUGGGCAUUCGGGUUACCCGAUUUUUUCGGGUCGGGUAAUUCGGGUAAUUCAAAAUUCGGGUAAUGAAAAUUGUUACCCGAUAUUAGUUUCGAAAAAACACUACCCGCAAUUUCGGGUACCCGCUAAUUCGGGUUCGGGUAUUCCCGAUUUACCCGAAUUUUCAAAAAACAACACACUAUACAAAAUUUUAAUAGCAAUUUAUAUAUAAUUUCAGCAGCAAUUUGUAUAGAAUUUCAAUAGCAUUUUGUAGAGAAUAAUAUGUUACUAUCACUUGUUCAAACAAAGAGAAUUAUGUUCUAAUAAAUUGAUAAGUUCUAAUAUUUAACUAUCAACACAUGAUAAAUACAAAGAUAUAGACAAAUAUUCGGAUAAUUCGGGUAGUUCGGGUACCGGGGGAUAUUACCCGAAUUACCCAAACUAAUUUCGGGUAAUCAAAAUCGCUAUCCGAAUUUAGGAUCGGGUACCUCGGGUUCGGGUAAUUCGGGUUCGGAUCCGGGUAAUUCGGGUACGGGUAAUGGGUAUCGGGUAAUUUGCCCAGGCCUAGCCAUGCACAGCUAUCAACUACACUGAGGGAUGCAAUUCUUGGCAGACAUUUUGAAGAGCCGUUUAAAUGAAUGUUUUGACAACUUCCCUAAAGAUCUCCAAGUCAUGAUUAAGGACUUAGACAAAAUGUAACUUAGAUGGUUAAGGACUUAUGCAAAAGUGUUUUCAGAUUGUAUGCUCAAAUAUAAUUAUGUAAAAGUUAAAUUAUGGAAACAAAAAUAUUGGUUGUUUUCAUGUAUAUCCCUGAGAUAAAACCGUAGCGUUAGCACGGGCAUUAUACUAGUCACACAGAGUUUGAGAGACUCGAGACAAAAGCAAGGAUGUGUUUGGUUGGAUGCGUUCACUUUAUUCUAACCCCAUGGGCCCAUAUAAAACUGAGAAAGAAGCCUAAUUGGUUACCUGCUGAGUGGAUGUAGCCUACAUAAAUAGAUACUACAAAAUUAUAGACUCAAUCAUUCAUACAUUUAAACUAUAUUCACUAGCUAUCUUGGUUGGAUGAAUGCAGUGUUAUCUUGUACUGGCCCACAUGUCACCCUCUAGCGAAGAGUUUCUGUAUCCACCCAUAUGAGCAACCAAAUAUCUUCACAGGAUUAUUACAUACAUCCGGAGAUUUCUUUUUUUUGUGAAAAAGGUAUUCGGAGAAGAUUACUGCAUCCAUCUAUGAUCUAUACAACCAACCAAAUAUUAUUCUAUCCAUGCAACCAACUAAAUAUUAUUCUUUUGAGACCACUAUAUUUGCUGAGAUAGUGUACCAUUCAACAUCGAAAGCAACCAAACACGUCUACGACUACGAGCCCAUCCACGCACCAUACCGGUCUCCGUGCCCUCUCGUCGCCAUGGACCCAUUGCCGUUAUUAUUAUUUAUAGAUAAAUAGAUAAAUAAAUAAAUAAAUAGAUAGUUGAUAGAUAUUGCCCCCACUUGCCAUUCUCCGAUGCUCACACGGUCACAACACAAGCCGAGCCCGCUGACGCGGCGGCGGCGGGGUCUCCAUCCGGCUGGCCCGCGACGGCGGCCACACGGCGUCCCGCCCUUAGCGUGCGCCAAGCGGCGGCGCUGUCAGUCAGUCCGCCUCGCGGGUGACGCGAUUCUCUGCGCGCGAGGUCACCCCCGGUUUCCUCUUGCAUCAGGUGAACCAUCGGAUCCGAGUCACCGUGAUCGAAGCUCUCGCCGACGGGCGACUCCGCCUAUAGCUCUGACCUGACGCAACGACCAUGUGGCGGAUCCGGUGUGCUCUGGCACCUGUGGGGUUAAAUUAAUGCGUGAGCUUAUCCUCAAGGAGUAUUAGCGGGGUUGUUGAUUGCGAAACCACGGUUUGGUGUGGAUGAUAAUCUAGUACGGCUCUGAUUUGGUUGGCGUAGUUUGGUUUAUGUCCGUGGGCUGUGGCACUUGGAUUCUCUCUGGAAUCUGGACUGGAGCCGCUGAACUUUGGCCUUGUUUACUUCCAAAAAAUUUUGCAAAAUAUGAAUAGUAACGUUUUCGUUUGUAUUUGAUAAAUAUUGUCCAAUUAUAGACUAACUAGGCUCAAAAGAUUCGUCUCGUCAAUUACGACCAAACUGUGCAAUUAGUUUUUAUUUUUAUCUAUAUUUAAUACUGACGGGGAAUCUGAAAAAUUUUGCAAAAUUUUUGGGAAGUAAACAAGGCCUUUGAGGGCGUCUCCAACUGCAUAGCCAGAUGAAUUUUAUAUAUUGCUUCUGUAUAGAAUCUAGAAGUUGUUUUGGACAAGGUUUGGUUUAAACAUUGGAAAUAUAAUUUAUCAAUAAUUUUUAAAUUAUUAAGUUUGUAAAUAUAAAAAUUAUAUGAAUAGAUUUGUCUUGAAAAAUACUUUCAUAUAUAUAUAUAUAUACUAUUUUUAUCUAAAUAUUCUUUUAAAAUAAGAGGUUAAAGUAGUGUUUGCAGAUCGUGUCGCUGUCCUAAAUGACUUCUAAAUCAUAUACGGAGGAAGUCCUAUAUUUAGGAUAGAGAAGGCUAGAAGUGAAUUCGCUAGCAUCAAACAAACCGUCAUAUUCGCACACUUCCUCAUAAAGCUUCCCCAUAAAAUCUGUCUGCCUCUCUCCUCUUUAUAUGUUUUACAUGUCUGUGCUUUUAUUUUUUUAUUCUAUCUUAUGUACAUGUUGCUAGCUAUUUGUUGCAGCCCAUUGCGGACGCCAUUACGGUUGGGUUUUACGGUUCUUUCUAACCCACUUGUCGAUUUGAUUUUUUCUACAUGUACUCUGGAGUAGUUUUCCUUUUUAAAAGGAGCAAAGUACUAAUAUUUUGGACGAGUUACUUGUGGGACAAGAAGGAAUUAAAUAAGGUCAAGUUGUGUCAAGUGUGGGGGUUUGCCCUUUAUGUUAUUUAUUUGUUUAUAUUUUGAAAAAAAGGUCAAAAGCUUGAAUGUUUCGAGAGGGAAUUACUCCAAAGGCAAGCGGGGUUAGUUUGAGACGGCGAUAGCCAGCGGUUUGAAAAUGACUUGGACUCGGUUUUUGAAUCACCAGUAUGAAGCGAAGGUCUUUUACGUUGCCAUUCACUUUAACACAGCUUCGUAUUCACUGAAAAAUCUGUAUUAUAAAGCAAAGCAAGAAUAAGAAGAUUGUGACUGUGACGUGGACAAUUCAACGAAAUGGUAGAGAAGAGAACUCUUCAGGUGACACGCGAAAGAUUUUAGCAAUUAUAUUAAGAUGUUAACUAGUACGUGCAAAGAAAGGUACAGGUCAAAUGUAGGAUCCAUGCAAAUCGUCAUCACGCUACCGAUUCCGGGAUAGGCUGGCUUCAUGGGAUUGGGCCAGGUCUCAGUUUAAAGAAUGGUCUAGCCGACCUACUGCACACUUGUCCGUUUCUCAAUGGGAGAAUUCAUAUCACCAGCAUGUGUCCACAUUAGCUCAUAACUCGGCAAUGAGAUGGAAUGAAAGGGAUUAUUAAUCCGCAAAUAACAAAUUUCCACUGGCCACAAUGCAGACAGGCGAAAAUGGUUCCCGGAUAACGGUGGAAGAAACUGAUGUGUAUUUACUGUAUACGUAUAAAAUGUUACAUCUGUACGGAUACAGCCGUAUUAUUUGCACUAUUUUCAUACGAGUACAGCAUUCAGAAUUUCAGAUCCACAGAGGUCCCCAUGGCUCCUUUGGCAUGAAAUCAGGUAGCUGGACUUGCCAUUGCCAGUCUGAUGACUGGUUCUGCUGCUUCCAAGAGAAGCAGGGGCACUUAGCAACGGUGCUGUUAUGCUGCGUUUUUUCCACAAAGUUCAAGCUGCGUGACAUUCUGCGAGACUGGCUUUCUUAGAAUAGGGAAAUCAGAUCUUCAAGGUUCUCGAGAUGGAAAUGGUUCUUCUUCAGCCUUCUGCGGCGCGUGCUGCUUGUCCUGUGCACCAAACAGUUGCCAUUUCAGUCAGACAGAUAGAUGGCAACAACAGUUAAGAGCUAAGGAAACACAAUUGCAAAUUGUGAAAGGUUAUAGUCAAACUGGCAGGAAGUAAGCUCAUAACAGAAGCAACAGACGUGCAUUACAUUUGAAAACAAUACUUUUUGAAACGAAGUGAAAAGAACACUUGCGCUAGAUAAAAAAACCGUAAGUAGGACACUCACCAAUACUGGUUAUGAAACACCACGGUGUCUGCUGGAACAGGAUUCCCAUCAUGAUUUCUGUUCCACUGAUAGACAGCAUGAGUCCUGUUUUUCAGUUGUAAAAGUGAAUGACCAUAACUGGCCUCCCUGAACGCUGAGUAGUCUGGCUGGGGGUCAUAAAACCUGCAAAAUGGUGGGUUAACCUAACAGGCAAGGCUUGUAAGACUUUGAGAAAAAAAAUGAAAGCAAUAAUGUGAAGGAAAAACUAUCUAUCUCUGAUGCUAAGGUAAGACGAGACUUGAAAGUUGAAACCAUAAUCUCAACCGCAAUUUUCUGUCUAGUAGGCCAGAUGAGUGUAUGAGUUCAGUAAACAUAAUAGCACCAAUAAAACGUUUGCCGGCUUUUAGUUCCUCUCACCUUGAAGCAAGUCCUUCCUGGUUGCCUCCAUCACCAACUGUUAUGUAAACGGGAGCAGAUUUGUUUGGCACUGGAUAUCGAUUUCCCGAUGUUAUGUUGUAGUUGACAUUAGAAAUGCGGUACUGCAAGUGUAGGGUAUCAAUGAGAGAUCAACAUUCAGAUAUCUGAUUCAACUCUGAAGGAACAAAUUCACAGUCCAGACUCCAGACUAACCUCAGAAAUUCUACCAUGUGAAAAAAAAUUCAAAUGGAAGGAAACUUUGCUGAAGGGAAGAACUUACUGAUCUCUCAUAAGCAUGAACAUGCCCUGCAAAUACCAAGUCGACCUUGUACUUCACAAACCAUUUCUCAAAAGCAGCCCUCAUACUCUCGCCCUCCAUAUAAUGUGCCUCAUUGCUGUUGUACAUGGGAGAAUGCAUGAGAACGAUAAGCCAAGGUGUCUUUUCCCUGUCCACACGCUUGAAUUCGUUCUUCAGCCACCACCAUUGAGGAGUGUAUUUUACUAAUAACCAUCAGAAGUUUAGAAGUUAGGUCACAAGCUUGAAUGGGAAUAUGCCACAAAAGAAACUAACAAAUCAGGGAGCAAUCCAGCUACUAAAUCAAGCAUGUUUCUGAAUAUCUAGUAGUAUAUAUGAUGCCAAUUUAAAGGGGUUACUGUGAGCAUACUCAUUAGGGAAGCAUUAUUUGGCUAGUGAGAAAUGACUACAUUUCAGUCAAAUCUUGCCUUCUGUGCAGGCUUGCAAAUCCAAAUUCAUUCAUGAAUUUGCAAUGUUUUUGCAUCGUGCGAAGGAGUCAAUUUCCCCUUAUAAGAGCAUCUCCAAAAGAUUAGGUAAAAUUAUAUCUUAAACUACAAGAUUUAGCCAUUGUCUACAAUAAAAAACUCACUCAAAGCAUAGAGUUCCACAACAGUCUUUGUAUAGGAUAGCUAGUGAGGACAACAUGCUAUAUAUGACAAGCAAAAGUUUAGGGAUAGCAAACUUGCUAUUUUAGCAAACUAGAUAGCACACCUGUUGGAGUUUAAUUUUUGCUUUAAAAAUGUAAAAAUAGCCUAGAUAACAUGGAUAGCAUAUCUAUUGGAGUUGCUCUAAGUGACUGGGUAGAUUCUUUUGUACAAACCUAGCUUCCUUUUCCUUGUUUGUUUGCUCAGUUGUUUAACUAUUUUUUCUAAUAUAUGGAUUUAUUCAGUAGGGGUUCGCCCCUCCUGUUUGUUUCAAUUAGGGAAGCACCAACACCUAUUUCCCACCCAAUAUUACAGGUUACAACUGUUCAUCACUUAACUGCAUUUAAACUUUCACUUUUCACCAAAACCAAAGGAACCUUAGAUAUAUAAAUAAAAGUAACAAGGUGUAAGACACAAAUGACUUUAAACUUCUUGCAGCCAGAGAACUUCAUAUGUAUAGCAAAACAAAAGAAAAGCUUGAAGAGAAUGUUACCAAAUGGAGAGUAGCUAGACAACACGAUGAUAUGAGCAGAUGCACGCCUGACAGCAUACCACAUAGGAGAACUGCUCUUUGAUGCCAAAUAUGGAGUCAUAUACCUAUGCAAAUAUGGCUUGAAUGUAGAAGUUUCUCCCUGGAAAUGUCGAAUAAAAAAAUAAAGAAGUUACUGACAGAAAAGACAAGCCUGUUUUCCCCCUUUUAGAAGCAGGUUUAGGUAGUCAUGUUCAAAUGGAAGGUGCUGCAUUCUAUUAGCAAAGUUGUGAACAUAAAUUACCAGAUCAGGCCUGUACUCUAUUUCAUGGUUUCCAGUAUUCCAAAUCCAUGGCUGGUAUGCAGUACUGCGCUCAACAAAUCGACCCCAAGAAUCCCAACGAAUGCCAUCAUUAUGUUCAUAUCUAUCAGCAUACGACAAGUCCCCAACAAAAAGAACAGUUUGACCUCCAGUUUUCUCAUAAUGUUGAAGAGUUGAGAGAGAAUUAAAUGUUUGCCCCAGAUCACCUGGAACAGCAGAGAUAGAAAGAGUUGGGAUCAAUCUGCUCAAAGUGCUGAAUCAGUAAUGCUAAGGCAAUAUAAUUUGCCUAAUUUUUGUCCAUGACGACUAAUUGAUUUUCUAUUUUUCCAGAAUGCCUUUUAUGGAAGGUCAGAGUGCAUAUCAGGAGACAGGAGUUGUUUCAGAAUAUACCUGGUGAGAUUGUAAACAUAGCCAUGAGCCAGGCUUCAUCAUUAUAUAGUGUAAGCUGAUUAAAAUGAACACAUGUUUGCUGUACUCAACACCUAUAUUAUCCAUUUAGUGUAAGCUGAUUAAAAUGAACACAUGUUUGCUUGUACUAACACCUAUAUUAUCCAUUUGGGGCUCUGCUCCCUCAGAUAUGCUGACACUCUCUCUUAUCGUGGGGUGUGAGCACGGGGUGACGGGGGCAGAAUGUCUGCAUGGCGGGGUGCCAUGAUUAUUUACAUUUUCUAUGGUCACUGGUUAGUAUUGGAGAGGUACCCAAACGGUAUUGUUUGCUCCAAUUUCUAGCUAGCUAGGCAAAGUCAAAAGCAAUCUCUGACCAAUUGCAAUAUGCAGUGAUUGAAAGUAAUAAUAAUUAAAUAAGAAAAGACAAACCUAUGAUGCCAAAUGUGUAUGAUGCAUCUGGAUCAAUUGCUGGAGGUGUUUCAAACCAGAAUUCUCGAGCUGAAUCUCCGCUACCAAUCUUGUAAUAAUAUUUAGUGUUAUACUGCAAAGUGCAAACAAUAAAGUUACAGCACAUAUUUGGAAUUUUACAUAGCAUCAUGUUAGAAUAAAAUAACCUUGUACAGUUGAAAUUCGAUAAAUAAAAAUUCUGUGGCCAAUCCAACAUGGGCAUGCUAAUUGAGAGGUAGCUGCGUAAAUAGCAUUCUAAAAAGUAGCUGCAUUAAGAGAAGUUAUCUCUAUUAAAGAAGCACUGUGUUUGAGCUAUGAUAUUUGGCAGGGUGAAUAAUGUGCAGGGCAAACAUUUUGAAUAAGAAUAUAAAAUAAAGCCUGAAUUGAAGUAUAGGAAAAAAAACGAAACCUACUGGUAAUAUUACCUCAAGGCCAUCAACAAGGCAAUGGUGUAUGUAUCCAGAUUUGUAAUCGUAAAACGUAUAAUUUGUUGUUGUUCCUUCUGAUUUCUGGUCAUAUUGUUUCUCCUUGCCAUAAAACACUUCACUUGGCCCAGGUUCUUCCGGAGUAACCCAAGAUACUAUAACUGCCUUUCCAUCAUAGUCACCUUGGGUGAUAUGAACCUGGUACCAGCAUGAUGUAAGCACUAAACAGACUAUACAAUGAUAGCACUAAUAAUGAGCUGCAAUCUGGUGACAAAAUUACUUACCUGCUGUGGAGCAUUAUAUCCCUUUGGAAUGGCAAACCAUUCACUAUCUAGAGGUAUAUCUGUAGAUGGGAACUCUGUGCGCACGUAAGAGCUUGUUCGACCAGAGGCAACACCACUAACCAGGCAUGAAAGAACAUGUAGCGAUAACACGAGCAAGCCCCAACCCCUCAUUGGUUCAAGAGUUGACGUUACUCAGCCUGCUUAAGAGAUUCAUUGGAUUGCAAAUGAGCUAGUUUUCACUGAUCACACAACAGAAAUAUUACACCAAUGAACUAGCAACAAAAGACUUUUGGUCAGAAGAAUAGCAACUGAAGUUAUUAAAUUGCGUAAUAGCAGCAGAACAUAUAGAUCUCAUUAUCCUAAGAUCAUCAGUGCGGUCUUAGAUACAGUGUCAGCAGAUGGCUAAAGAAAAAUAAACCUUGAUCAUUAUUGUGAUAUUGCCAAACCAUGACACACUGCCCUUAAAUGCAAAUAUGAUCACUCAUCUAUUACAUAGUAAAAGUAGCUGGCAAGUCUUUUUGCAGAAACGAAGGAAGGAGGAAUCUUUUAGAAAAUCUCACAAAAAAGGAGAACGUCGAAUUUUCCAGCUAUUAGUCUGGUGGACCCUACCCAUGACUAAUAUAGAUCAUAACCGUUUGAGGCUACUAGGAACCUAUUUCAAUCCAACUGCAAAAGGAUAGAAAGAAUCUUGAAUCAUAGAAACAACCAUCUUAAGUAAAUCUACAGCCUGUAAUCUAGCGUGAAAAAAAACAAUGAAUAAGAGAACACAAAACCAUUUAUUGGCCUUAGAGCUACCAUUCAAGAAAUAGUAAGAACAAACAACAAAUAGAAGAAAGAAUAUACGGAGCAGCACAAGUGUACAGGUAAGGAAGGUAAGACGAAGACAAACAAGUCUUUCCAGCACCUGAUAACAUGCAACUUCAAUUUUUGGUACAGUACCUCUUUUUACUUGUUUUUUCCUUUGUGAGGUAAAGGUGUGUAGAAACUAGGAACUAUCCCAACAACUGAAUUCCUUUCUGCUUUGGAUUCCAUACUCACCAUCCAUUUAACAAGAGUAGUAAUUCUGAGUGAUUUUUCUUAACACAUCAGUAGGCUGAGGACAUAUAACCGUUGAAAAAGUGUUAAUUUUGCUUAUUAUUUCUGCACGAACAUUAGUUCGCACGAGUUUCGUUGUAUCCCCGACUUAAUUGGGCACCAAGAACUCAAGUAGUGUGGUGAAAGCCAACUAGCGUCGAUCUUGAGCGUGAAGAAGCAAAGGAACCUAGCCAAAACAUGGAUAGAUGGAUUUGUACUAACAAGGCACCACGCAGCACGCCAAUACACAACGCACCGAACCAACGUAGAGACAGAGACAGAGACAGAGAAAGAUUUGGAUCUGCUAGCGAACAAGACCAACUCUUCAGAGGAACGGAGGCCGUCCUAGGAUUACCUGCCAACGAAAGAGGAGACCAAUUGGCGCUCGGGUGGGAUCUCCGCUCCACAAAGGAGGAGAUGAGCAAUGGCCUCAGCGCACCCUGGAGCGGCAGGUGCAGGAGCCUCCCGGCGGGCUCCGUGCUCGACGGCGCUGCCGCAGCGUUGGCAAAUCACCCACCAAUCAAGUCAGUCUGGCGAGCAAACUAAAAGCCGUGACGAAACGGCAAAGAGAGAGAAAAGAGCCUCAGACGCCAGCACGGAUCGGGAUGAGUCACACUAGCUGACAAACGGGCCCCACCUGUCGACAUCCCUCGUAACUCGGUCUGGUUGGUGUUGGUUGCGCCGCUGCGGGCCCGCCCAACGUCACCUCACAGAUUCCAUUUCGCUGGGCCGGAUCUGACCGUCAGGAUGGAUCACUAGCGUAGCCCAACUAGACCCAAAUAAAGCCCAUUGCGUUUGAGCCCAAAAAAGAGCCCAUUACUCGCCGUCUCCUCGAUCAAAGCCCACGCCGAGAACACCAACCACACAAAAAAGGGAAAAACGCCGCGACGAGCCGACGAGCUCUACUUCCCCCUUCCGGCCUUGGGCGACCGUGACGAGCGACGACGACCACGGCGACGAUGGCCGCUUCCUCCCUCUGCCACGGGCACCUGCUCCUGUUCCUCCUCGUGGCCGUCGCGUCGGCCUGCCUCGGCACCGCGGCAGCGCAUCAAGCCGGGUAGGUGUCCCUGUCCUUCACCUCCGCUUGUGCCGUGAUCCGAUCGGCCGGAUGCUUUGCUGACCGCUCUCCCGAUUUGGCUCUUGUGGCUGGUGGUUCUAGAUCUGGAGAGGGGUACACGAUCGCCGGCCGCGUCAAGAUCGAUGGUAAGUGAUCCAGCUCCCGCUGAAUUCGGCCGUUUCCGUAUUUAGGUUGUUGCAGCGUUUAGGGAUUGUGUAAGUGUAACUCGGUUCUAAAUUAGUUACGCCUUAUAUUGUGCUGGGGUCGAUCUUUUAGAAUGCUCCGAGAUCUCGAUUUAGUGCUCUUUUUUGUUGCUGGAUGUGCCUGUAUUUUGUGUGGAUUCCAAACAAUUCAUUUAUCUAAGCUGCGCAUUGAAGCAGUUUCGAUUGCUAGGAAAUUAGAGGUAUGCAAACAUUCACUGACUGAGUGACUGUUGAACUUAUUCAAAUUGAUGAGGUCCUGUUGUUCAUUGGUUUUGGGAUCUUCCAUGGUAAACUAUUUUGCAAAGUUUUAGCUAAAUUUAUAGCUCACAAACUUAAGUACAGCCCUGAAUUGUGCAAGUGUGUGUGCUGUUCCUGUUGUCUGGUGUUUAAUGCAACUGAAAUGAAUCACCAGCUGUGUUCUGUGCAAAAAAAAAGGGGAGUAUACAGAUACAGAUGUAGAAAUUCUGAAGUUGACAUGAUGAUUUCUGCUAAUGUUAUUGCAGUAACCUAAUGAAUCUGCAAUAAGAUCUUGCUUUUAUGAUAGAAUGAUGCCAUGCCAGCAUGAUUUUGAAAAGUUGCCUGCAACUGGAAGGUCUCUGAUAUGUUUUUUGUUUAGCAUCUCUCUCUCUCUCUGCACCACUAAACUAGUUUUCUUGAUGCGUGGAUGCAUUGCUAUGAUAUUCUGACCAAUGCUUCUGCAAGGUUUGUCAGAAUCAGAAGUAACAAAAAUUAUACAAAUUCAACAAUGGAUGGGAUGCAUGUGUUGUUCCCUGAGAGUACUUUUAGCUUAUGGAUAUUAGUUAUGGGAUUUUUUCAGUGUAGGAUUUUUUUCGAUGUUUAUUGCACCUUGAAGCAUGCUUGGAACCUAAAUUUCAAGCUGAAAGCUACUAUCCUAUGCUGUCUAUCUGAUGUUAUCUUUGUGUUAUGGCUAUAGGUGCGAGUGCGAAGGGCUUUGGUCUUCCAGCCAAGACAUCAAACACAAAAGUGAUACUUAAUGGCGGCCAGAGGGUUACAUUUGCCAGGCCGGAUGGUUACUUUGCAUUGUAUCCUACAAAAGAUGCAUUGCCAUAAGUUUCAAGUUUAUUUUGAUUUUCUAGCAAACUCACCGAUUAGACUGGUAUAACUCGUACUAUCAUACAUUUAUCCGUUUGUUGUUGGUAAAAUUUAUGUCGAGAGAUGGGUAUAGUAUGCUAAGCAAAGAAACUGUAGCUCUCAUCAUGUGCAUACCAUUAGCUCUUGUCUGCUCUUGGGUAUAUCUUUCCUUUAUGAAAUCAUACUUCAGUGUUAGCAGAUUACUAUAUUUGUUUUAUUGUUGCUCCUUGACCUGAUAUACUUUAGCCACAACGUGCCAGCUGGAACUCAUCUGAUUGAGGUCUCCUCAAUUGGUUACUUCUUUUCCCCAGUAAGUAUUUAUUCCUUGAUAUUGUUGGUAAGGUGAACAGAAAAGGAUAUAAGUAAUUUACUCCAUAUUUCUGGUGCAUCAUAGGUUCGAGUAGAUAUCAGUGCAAGGAAUCCUGGUUAUAUUCAAGCAGCAUUGACUGAAACCAGAAGAGUUCUAAAUGAGCUUGUUCUUGAACCUCUAAAAGAAGAGCAGUACUAUGAGGUAGCUAUUGCUAUAUAAUUUUUUGUAUAUAACUUAUUUCCUCACUUCUCACUGGUGGCUCAUGUUGGGUUGAUCCAGCCUAUCCCAGAUUUCUUUUGCUUUGAGCUAAAAGGCUUUGUUGUUGUUAUUACUGUGUUUCUUCAUUUCCUUCUUUUGUCAAGUAUUAUGAAAGCAAACCUCUUUAAAUGUUUUGUUUUCCAACCUUUUCAAGGUUAGGGAGCCUUUCUCUGUCAUGUCACUUUUGAAGAGUCCCAUGGGGUUGAUGGUUGGUUUUAUGGUCUUAAUGGUCUUCGUGAUGCCCAAGUUGAUGGAGAACAUAGGUAUAUUUUCACCUCUUUUACAUCAAAUGGAUACAAGCUUUCAGUUAGUAUGUUUCACUAAAGCUUGCAAUUAGCAAACAGCAGCUUCUAAGACUAAGAGCAGUGUUGCAUUAUAUAAUGGUAGAGUUAGUUGUAUUUAUUGAGCUUUGUGCAACAGCACUGUCAAAUUUCUAGAGUAAGAAGGCAUCAAGUUUAUUAGUUUAAACUGUUGUGCUUCUGGAUUUCUUGGUUAUAAUCUGUCCUUUCUGUAAGUAUUAAUGAAAUGGGCCUUAAAUAAUGUUUUUGGUGAUGAUUUUCUUUAUCUAAAACUUCUUAUGCUUGUACUAUUUCUCUUGUACCUGUUAAAGACACUAUUUAUAUUUAGUUCAUUGUUAUCCGCAACCUAUAUACUUCGGUGUUUCAUCUUAAAAUUUCAGUACAGUAAGUUGACAAUGUUGGCAUCUCCCAAAUUCACUUGAGAGAAACCUUAGUACUAUGAUCCUAUCAGUUGUAGGCCUCAUGAUGCAUUUGUCAUUACUGGUCGUAUGUGCCCUUUUCAGUUAUUGAUUGUGGGAUGUUUUAGUUAUCGUUGAUGCUGGAAGUACAGUUGCACUUCAGUUUCAUAGCUUUCUUCAGCAUUUGAAAUGCUAAUAUUGACUGCAUUUCUAUAUCUGCUUAACUGAGUUUACUUUUUCUUCAUGGAAGAUCCCGAGGAGAUGAAGCAAGCUCAAGAACAAAUGAGGAACAACCCCGUAUCAUUCUCUGGCUUGCUAUCCAGAGCGCAGGGCUAGAAGUAGAGCAUGAGGAUACUGCAAAGGUCUAUAUACUCUAUAAUGUGAUUAAGAGCAGUACUAAAGUGCCUGACACGUCAUUCACUCAGAGUAAUUUCCUGGGGACAAGGCGGAAACUCUUUCCCCUGCUUUUACUGUAUUUUAAGCUGUAAUUUGUCUGUGAUGUAGAACCUUCUGAAACCUCUAGCUGAACUGGUCAUGUGGCACAUUAGCAUAUACCGCAGAUUGAGACAUUUUGUCCAAUAUGUGUAUUGUUUGUUUGAAUCAGUUGAAUCUUAGACACCUUGCUUAGUCAUCAGACCACGGCGUAGCCUGUUGUCAUGCUUGUUUUUAGACUUCUUGUGGUGGUGCGACUCCUCACCUGGAUGGACAAAGGGAUAGCAAACUUGUGUUACAAUUAUGCCAGCUUCCUAUCCUAGGGCAAAUCGAUAUGGAAUUUAACGGGAACAGUCAACGGAUAGGUCUGUGCCGUACUCCUGUUACGGGAACAGUCAUAAGGAUAGGUCUGUGCCGUAAUCGUACUCCUGUUUGACAAGCGCUUAUAAGAAUAAGAAAUUGCCCAGUCGUGCCAAUUUGUAGUACAUACUCUCUCUCUCUCUCUCUCUCUCUCUCUCUCUCCAUUCCCUCCAAAUUAUCUUGACGUUCUGGCUUCUCUAAAUAGACAGUGUAUAUCUAAAUGCAUAACAAUAGCUAAAUAUCUAAAAAAAAUUUGAGUAGAUCUAAGCAGGUAUGAACUUGGUUCCAUACUUCCAUUGAUGAGCUCGUAUGAUGUUUCACAAAAAGUAGAUGGACCCUGCCAAGUUACCAUUUUGCAGAUGUCUUGGGUUAAGUACGACAAUACACUGAGCCUCAGCUUUAGCAUGGGAAGACAACACGUGUAUCCUAGUCCGUGGCAGACUGGCAGUAUGAAAAUUGCUUAUGGCCUAACCUAAAGCGACAUACAGGUAUUGGUGACGGAUGACGUUGGUAUCUUUGCUAAGUAGUAUCAACAACACAAGUAUCCAACGCUUUAAAAAACUGCUACUAUUUAAUAUCAUCAGUUGUGAUUGCUUGGACCACCAUCUUUGCAUCUGUCUCGACCAUAAAUCGGCCAAUCCCCCCUCGGUACGGAAGCAAACCCUCGCCUUAGAGCAAUUCCAACUAAUUCCAUAAAUUUUUGGCUCACUAUCCUCUCAAAUAAGAGUCCCUCAUUCGUAUUUCUCAACGCUCUUCAGUUGAUCUAAAUUUUUUACUUUUAUCAUAGACCCUACUCAUCGACUCGAUUUGUCAACUUUGUGGCAAAAGAAAUGAGUAGAGAAUAGUAGAGGAUAGGCAUGGACAAAUUACCUAAUACCCAUUACUUGGACCCGAAUUGCUCAAACCUGGACUCAAACUACCUGAACUUGGUCCCAAAUUUGGAUAGCAAUUCGAUUACCCAAAAUUGGUUUGGGUAAUAAGGGUAAUAUCUUCUAGUACCCAAACUACCUGAAGAUGUGUAUGUGUCUUUAUGUUUGUGAUGUGUCAUGAGUUGAACAGUUGAAAUUAGUGUAUGAUUAUCUCUGAAUCGCUGCUGAAAUUUUGCAUAAAUUGUUACUAAAAUUUGUACAGUUCAUUAUUUCCAGUAAAUUCAGGUAAUCUACAUCGGGUACUCGAAAUGGCAGUAGUGUUUCUAUAGGCGAGUAUUGGGUAGCAAUUUUCAUUACCCAAAUUUUGAAUUAGUGGACCUAAAAAAAUAGGGUAAUCCAAAUGCUCGGGCUUAUUAGAGGAUGAGGGCCCCCUAUAUUUGAAGGUUCGAUAGAGAGAAAUGAGAGCCUCUCAUCUGUUUGGUGGACAAUGGAACGAGUUGGGUCAAAGAGUAAAGUUUACAUUUUUGGUGUCUCAAAUAAGAUAGAGUUUCAAUUAGCAAAUCCGAUUUGAGUUGCUCUUAAUGAAACCUAAAUGGUGGCAAAAAAAUGGAGACUUAAACACAUUCUUAAGGGGUGUUUGGUUGAAGGUGGUAAAAAUUUAGCAGGUACUGUAGCUCUUUUGGUUUAUUUGACAAUUAGUGUCCAACCAUGGACUAAUUAGGCUUAAAAGAUUCAUCUCGCAAAUUUCUAGCUGUAUUUAAAUUUUGUAAAUAGUUUAUAUUUAGUACUCUAUACAUGUGUCCAAGCAUUCUAUGGAUAGGUGCUAAAAUAACACGAAUAACCAAACAAUGCCCUUAUCCAGCCAGACAAGGCGAUGUAAAGAAUACAGACUCAGGCCCUGUUUGGUUCCACUAACUAAAAUUUAGCUAGCUAAAUUUUAGUCACUUUAGUAGCUAAAGUUCCAAACACAUUGACUAAAAUGAGCUAAAAUAGUUUAGUUCCAUUAGUCACUCAAUAGUAGUUAAAAUAAUUUUAGCUAGCUAAAAUUUAAUAAGGGGAACCAAACAGACCCUCAAUGGACUGCAUCCUUGUACAGCCUAUAUAGCUCAACAUUGUCGGCCCAUGGGAGUCCCUUUUUUUUUGCUAAUUCCGGCCUAUUGGAGUUCCCUUUUUUUUUUUGCGAAUGUCGGCCCAUUGAGAGUUCAGGCCACCAAAUUACGGCACGGUCCUAGUGUAAGAAGUGGGGCCUGCUGGCAGCGACGGAAGGGCGAGGGCAAAAGAGGAAUUGUGUUGAGUGAGGUGGGACUAAAACCCUAGUGGGCUGCCGGGCCUCGUAUAUAAACCGCACACACGUACCCGUCGCCCCUCAGAAGUUUCGGCGGCGGCGUAGGCAGCGGCGGCGUGUUCGUGAUCUCAGCCCCAGGCGCGCUCGGCUCCGGUCACCCGUCGAUCCACGCAACCAUGGUAAGCGAGCCUCUUCCCGUCUGGUUAAGGUUCGAGCCUUUCUCGUCUGGUUAAGGUUCGUACGCGGAUCUAGGCGCAAACUCUGUAGAGGUGCGGGUUCCUCGGAGCGUAGAUUUGCGUGGAAAAAUUGUUGAUUGGAGCUUAUGCCCUGAGGGCUGCCACAUCGCAACCGUGAUUUGUCAUUCGCUGAAUUAGUUGACUGCAAUUCGUCGAAGAAUGUAGUGACGUGCCGGGGUAAUUUUGUUGCGAAUCUAAUCAAGAUUUGUCAGCCUUGUAGCUAAAGAUGUUUAGCUGUCAAAUGCAAUAUUUGAGAUGUGCUGUUAAAACUGCGGAAGUAUUGAUCUGAGUAAAAAACUAAAAACUACUACUUUCGAACUUACAGUUAGAGAUGCUGAUUACCUCCUAUGCUGAUUACCUGGGAUUUUGCUUGGGUUUGAAUUAUUCAUGAAGCUGGGAUAUGUUCUGCAAGGAUGAUGGUUCAAAAUAUACAUCCUGAAUCUAGUCUUGUUUUAGUUCUUGAAUUGAUUUAAUUACUAUACUGAGACUGAUUUGCUGUUGAAUCGCUUCUAAGUUUUCGCUCAAAACAAUUUCUAGUUAACUUUUUCUUAGUGUAAAUCCAUUGACAGGAUAUUUAUUCUUACUGUAUUGUGCUCAGUUAGUAUGGUCUUUUGAUACUGUUAGACUCUUAAAAUCACAGCUAGUGUUGAAGUAUAUCAACUCAGGUUCACUCGUUGUGCACGGUGAAAUUGUUUCUGGUGGUGGUUAACAUGAGUAGGUUCAAUUUCAUCUGAUAGUAGUAUAUGUUGCAGUCGAGGAGGAAGACCAGGGAGCCCAAGGAGGAGAAUGUUACCCUUGGACCCACUGUCCGUGAAGGAGAGUAUGUCUUUGGUGUUGCUCACAUCUUUGCAUCCUUCAAUGACACCUUCAUUGUAAGAGCUAUAUAUUUUUUUCCCUGUGGGUGGACAUUUUCAUUCCCUUCCCCAGUGUAACUGUGAUAUUAUAAUAUGCAGCAUGUCACUGAUUUGUCUGGGAGGGAAACUCUGGUUCGGAUCACUGGUACAAUCCUACAACCUUGGUCCAUACUUGGCCUAGAUGGCAAUUGUAUUUAGUUUUAACCAUGUUGUGCUAAACUAUGUAGGUGGCAUGAAGGUCAAAGCUGAUCGUGAUGAGUCGUCGCCUUAUGCUGCUAUGCUUGCUUCUCAAGAUGUUGCACAGCGUUGCAAGGUAUUUGUAGUGAAGUGAAGAAUUUUGUUAGAGAGAUUCUACUGCAAUCACUCAUUGUUUCAUCUGUGUAUCCAAAGAUGAUGUUUGCUUAAUUAAAUUGAAGCUUAGGAUUAUGUAAGGCUGCUUAGGUUGCUAUCCAGAUAAGUAAUUUGUGAGUUGGUCUCCUUUCUUCAGGAGCUUGGUAUCACUGCGCUGCACAUUAAGCUUCGUGCCACUGGAGGCAACAAGACCAAGACCCCUGGACCUGGUGCUCAGUCUGCUCUCAGGGCCCUUGCUCGUUCUGGGAUGAAAAUUGGACGCAUUGGUAAGAAAUCUGAAUCUUGCAAGGGCAAACUGUACCGGUUUGCCCAAUUUCAUCGAUGUUGCGUCAAUUAUCAAAUGCUUUAUUGUCUCUAUAUGUUAAUGGCAACAUUUGUGUUAUGUGCAGAGGAUGUUACCCCGGUUCCCACUGACAGCACUCGCAGAAAGGGUGGUAGGAGGGGAAGGAGGCUGUAGGCGUCUUCUCCUUGCUAUUUGCCAUCUCCUGGCACUGGCCUUUGGGUAGUGUUGCUUUUGCUAUGCUUGUCAAUAGGAGCAUAUUUUGCUCUAUGUCGAGGAGCAAUUACUGUUAGUCGAAUCUAUGAUGUGCAUGGAUAAUGUUUUGGUUGAGGAAUUGACAUUUAUGCUAAAGAUGCAUUUUUCACUCUAUAGGACCGGGCAUUUAAUGCCCUGUUUUGAUGAGGUGCAGCUGAUUUUUGCUGUCUUGCUGAUCGGAACCUGCUUUCUGAUUGCGAGAUUCAGCGUGUCAGGUUCUGUUAUUGUGUCGAGGUUAGUUUCUAAAGAUGAUGUGGAUGUUUGCUUGCCUGCUAUGGGCCACGCAGGCGCAACGUCGACCGUAGUACAACUACAACCAGACGCGAUGGUGCAUGUAAGCCGCAAAUAGACGUAGCAUUUCUCUAAUAUGGCGGCUGAACCCCAAUCACAUGGAAUGGACCAUUAAGAACUCGCAACCAUGAAUUCUAGUUUUCCCUGCAAUAGAAGAUUCUCCCAUAUCUUCAUAUCUACUGCAGUACUCUCAUUUUCGAACUUUGAGGUCCAUUCACAGUGGUACACCGAUCUCACUUAAAACAAGCCUGGCCUGUUAAAGAGCCAAGCAACCAGAUCGUCUCUCCCUACAUUCCAUCAAUGGAUUGAUCGAUUCAUUGAUGUAGUAACCAGGUUUCGACCUCAGAGAGUCAGAGUUUGGAUUUUCAGAUUUUGGCUGCUUGGGCCUUGUUUAGGACUUGUUUAGUUCGCAAAAAUUUUCAAGAUUUCCCGUCACAUCGAAUCUUUGGUCGUAUGCAUGGAGCAUUAAAUAUAGACAAAAAUAAAAACUAACUGUACAGUUUACCUGUAAUUUAUGAGAUGAAUCUUUUGAGCCUAGUUACUCCGUAAUUGGACAAUGUGUGUCAAAUAAAAACGAAAUGCUACAGUAGCCAAAAACAAAAAAAAUUGCGAACUAAACAAGGCAAAUGUAAACGAAAAUAAAAAUUAAUUGCACAAUUUAGUUGUAAAUCAUGAGACAAAUCUUCUAAGCCUAAUUAGUGCAUGAUUAGCUAUAGUUGCUACAGUAACCAGCGUGUGCUAAGACCAUUCUUAGUGGGGGUUUUAUGAUUCAGUUUUCAACACAUUUAUAUUUUGGAAACAGUGUAGAAGAGUUUCAUCUCUACGAAACUCUCUCUACUUUCAUGAAUCUCUUAUCACCUCUCUUUUCAUUAAUACGGUACCACAACAACAUAUUUAAUGUCUAUGAAACUCUAAUAAAAUAAUAUUAAGACUGGUAUAAUGGUAGAUUAAUUAGACUUAAUAAAUUCGUCUGGCAAUUUUCAGACGAGCUAUGUAAUUUAUUUUUUGAUUAGUCUAUGUCUAAUACUUUAAAUGUAUGUCGGCAUAUCUGAUAUGAUACCCAAAAAAAUUUCUUUUCGUGAACUAAAUCCUUGGUAUUGAACUUCCCGUUCCAUAUAUCGAUCUAUGUUCACCCACUCUCCAAAUAUAUCCCUUUUUUGAAACACUUAAGGCGCGUCAGAACACUUUGGCAAGGAAAAAGAAUCUCCGGACUUGGCUUUUGCUUUAAGAAUGCAUCCAUGAGGACAAUAUUUCGUCCUUAACACUCGCAUAGGGAGUACAGUAGGAGACGCCACACCUAUUUUGCUAGCAUUGCUAAGUUGAAACUAUGCAUAUCUCGAAAGCACAUAUCGUCUUUGUGUUUUGGUUUGCAAAGUUUCCAUCAUACUUGCCAAUGAAUUUUUUUUUUCUUCUCAUUGUCAUCGCCCCACCAGAAUUGCAAGAUGGCAUUGGUACUUCCUUUACAAAAUUUUUUAGAACUUUGAAUAUCGUCAUUGCAUAUAGUAUACUAAUAUAGCUUGAACUAUAGAUUUUCUCACCGGUUUAGUCUCCUCCGCCGGCAAUAACCUCUUUUGCUGCGCUCGUUGAACAUGUGUCAUGUUAGCCAAAUGAAUAAGGCGCGGUGUUCUCUCUUCUCACCAACUACUUGGACUUGUGCGCCUCCAGACUGCUGAAAAUGACCGUGCAGGAGUUAACACACUAUAGUGUGAAUUCAGACGUUCACGUCUCUCCAACUUUUUAUUUUAUGAUAUACACAAACGCGUGUGAUUACCCUUCAAAGCUCUCUCCUAGGUGAUGUAAUCGAUGUUUGAUACAUUCCUGUCUACCCUUUUCUGUAUGAUGAGUAAGCAGAGUUUGGAAAAGUAGGUGUGGUAGUCUGUAAUAUAACCCUUGUGAUACUGUCAUACUGACACAAGAUCGAUCGCUUCACGCAUCUUCUGUAGCUUCCAACGAAAUUGUUAUAAAUAGAUUUAGCCUUGUUUGAUUUCCCUUGCUAAAUUUUAGUCAGAUAAAUUUUAGUCACUUUAGUAGUUAGAUUUUUAAAUACAUUGACUAAAAAUAGCUAAAAUAGUUUAGUCUCACUAGUCACCAAGAGUAGCUAAAAUAAUUUUAGCUGGCUAAAAUUUAGCAAGAGAAACUAAACGGAGAAUGGCUAGAACAAAAGGUAUAUGGUCGAUAAUGUUGUCAUGAUUUUCUGAAACCUUGGCGAAAGUCAACUGCUUGAACCACUCGAAUUGACAUCGUCGUAGCAAAAAAUGAAACCUGAUGGAAAGAAAGUGAAAGUUUCUUUUUUUUUUCUAGAGAGAGAGAGAGAGAGAGAGAGUAACCUUUAGCAUGAACAACAUUACAAUGGCCACAGAACAUGUGUUCUACUAGUAGAGUACAAUCUAUGAACUAGGAGCUCACUACAACAGGUCAUUCGAUCGUUCUCAAGUCAGAGCCAUGAGAAUUUGUGUCUUCCAGUGGCGUCAAUGGAAGCCGGACAACGCCUGAACCAGAUACAACGCCUGAACCAGAUUGCGCCUCGGGAGCCUGAAAGAGACAUGCUACGUUCACAGAAUCAUCGCAAGCCUUUUUCUGUGCUGGAGAAUAUUUAUAUGGCUCCAUCCUUUUGUUUUGGAUUAUUUGCCUCCUCUCCUGGCAUUUUCUUGCCAAAACAGGUCUGUUUUCUGGGCGGAAAAGGCUCCGAAAUUUGGCCUUGUUUUGUUCUGAGUUUUGAGACACAGGAGGUACUACACACAGCUGGGUUGGGUCCAUGACUGUGAUGGCCUGGCGUGGUCCGUGCUGUGCUAGCUAGCACAAGCGAUAUGUCGUCGCCGUCGUCUUCCAUGGCGUUCCAUGCGAGAGGAAUUUGACAUUUCUUGCUUUCCAUUUUGCCUUAAUAAUACAGUAUAGAAAAUGAGAAGCCACAUGCAGUCGUAAAGGCUGUGAUAGGAACUAGGAAAGAUGGUGAUACUGAUACAAAGCCAUGACUGAAAAUAUUGUUCGCUGAGCUCAAGCGAACAGGUUUGAGCUGUAUCAACAACAGUUGUUUCAGGCUUCUUGCUGUGCACUGAGCCACUGACUGUACAUUAUAAACAACCACCUCCUGCUGCUGGUGUUGCCUUCCUUGUAACAACAACGAAGAACAUGCCAGUUACUGUACAUCGAUAUCGGCCUUUUCAUUCUCUCUAGAAAGACAGACAGAAGUAGCAUCAGGAGUAAUGGAAGUUGUCUACCAAUUGACCACACCUUUGCCGUGUUGAUUCUCCUAUGUAGUACUACGUAUUAACCAUUAAUUAUUGCAGGCAGGUCUCAUUCCAAAUCUGACCAAACUGUUGUGCUGUAUUUAACCCUACUUUUUAUCUUUAUUUAUUAAUGGUUCCUUUGCAGAGAACAAAGUGCCGGCACCACCGUGAUGCAUGGCAAAUUGGCAAUCUGCUGCUCCCAUGAAUCUAGAGGCACAUAGGCGUAGCAUCACUGUCAAGUGCCUCACCUGCCAUUACUCCAAGACAAAGCAUGAUGAGAAUAAUUAUUAAAUCCAUCAAAUAAAUAAAACCUGAAUUCAUUGUGGGAAGAAAAACUGGACCAGGCUCCUAUCCCUCUAGAGAUACCUGCACCUGCUGCCUACCAUCCAUGGCUAUGUGUAAGAGACAGAUCAUCUAUCUGUACACAGAUGUGAACUGCUUUGCGUUGUCAUAUGCAAAGAGUUUACUUUGUGUUAAAUCACGAGGUGAAAUAUCAAACAUAUGCUGCUACUGGUAAGCAUCUCACAAGCAUAUGCUCACAUGUUAGUAAGGCCUUGUUUAGUUCACCCAAAACAAAAAACUUUUCAAGAUUCUCCGUCACAUCGAAUCUUGUGGCAUAUGCAUGGAGCAUUAAAUAUAGAUGAAAACAAAAACUAAUUGCUCGGUUUGUCUGUAAAUCGUGAGACGAAACUUUUAAGCCUAGUUACUCCAUGAUUUGACAAUGUUUGUCAAAUAAAAACGAAAGUGCUACAGUAUCAAAAUCCAAAAAAAAUUUGAAUCUAAACAAGGCCUAAGAUCUUCUUGAUCCCAUUCCUUGACCCCUCAACUGUAGCAGUCUGUGUGAAGAAGUCUUCCAAGUUUGAUUGCUUCUGUUCGGCUGUGCUACUACAGUUGCACUAGCACUACUAGCAUUACCCAAAAAAGUUCCUAUCUAUUAGAUCUCCGAAUUGAUCUGAAGGCAACAUCGGGCGGGUCGCGCUCGGUUCAGAUCCGUGAAGCUGCAACUUACAACUCAUUGCCAACUGCCAUGAGUCCAUGACAAUGCACUCAUGUUAUAGAUCCACAUCACACACAAAAAAGUUGUAUUUAAAACGAUUAUCUUAUUCCCAUGCCAGACAAGGUUCACUUUAAUUAUUUUGUCAUUUAAUUUUGUAUGUGGAAAUUCGCUGCACAUAUAUAAUGGAAAUAAUUGGUGCUUACAUUGCAAGAGAUAUAUUAGAAAAUUGUCGGCUUUAGAGCAUGAAUAAAUUCUAUUGUAAUAUGGUAGAUCCACUUUUGUUGCAGCAGGUAUAUUGUCUUAGCAUGACACAUAACAUGUGUUAGUUAUAAAAAUCUUGGACCUAGAUCUACCAAUUGUUAGGACAUGUGUUGCUGUUCCGGUGAUGCAACUGAUGUUUCAAUUCCUCCAAACCAACCAACCAACAGAAGCCUUUACAAAAUACUCCAUCCGUCUCAAAAAAACUGAUGUUUUUUAUUCUGACCAAUUAUAUUUGACUGCUCGUCUUAUUUAAAAAUUUUAUACAAAUUCUAAAAUAGAUAAAUCAUUAUUAAAGUACCUCUAAUGAUCAAAUACGUCAUAUCAAAAUAGACGAUAUUUAUAAAAAAAUUAAUAAGACAGAUAGUGAAAACAAAAAUGUCUGAAAAUUAACAACAACGAUCUUUUUGAGACGGAAGGAGUAGUUAACUCGCCACCAUGUGAUUGUAUCCUCCCAUCUCCUCACACUGCUUUCCCUUGAGAACCGUGCUGGUUAAUCCGUCUUCGCUUUUUAAGCAAAAAAUGCUGUGAACCCGUGUGAUGCUGCUGCUCUUCACUGAGCAUAAAGGCAUAUGCAUUGUGUAACAGUAGUAUUAGUGUAUUUGAGUUGACAUGAUUUUUUGUCUGCUCUCUCUUGACAUGCAUGGUCCUUGCUACUAUCUGCUGCUCUUUCCAUUCAAAAUUAUAAGAUGUUUUGACUUUUCUCGAUACCUAGUUCUUACUAUGCAUUUAGAUAUACAUUAUGUCUAGAUACAAAAUAAAAACAAUGUAUUAGAAAACCAAAAUAUCUUAUAAUUUAGAAUGGAGAGAAAGUAUAAGCUAUAUGUCACCGGUUUGUGUUGUAUCUACUUUUCAAAAAAAAAGGAAACACAAAUUGAUUAACGUUUACAUAUUGUGAACCCAUCUUUCUGUUUUACUCGGUUUUUAAAUGCAUGAAGGGCAAGCUAAUUAAGGAGUUAAAGCUGUUUGGAGCCAUACUAAGGGCGUUAGUUAUGAUCAAAUUUACAUGUUCCGGAUCAUUAGAAUAUAGGAGGAAAAACAAUACACACGUUCAGCAGGACGUACCUUUCCAAAGAGCAUUUGAUGAAUGUUUGGGAGCGCAACAAUAGAGCAAAGUUGUUAGCUACUAGGCUAUCUAAGGGUCUGUUGGCAGAGUUCUACUUGCUAAUUCUUAGCUCCAACUCCUUGAUUCUUUGAUGUGGUCCUAUUUGAUUUGGUGGGGAGCAGAGUGGAGAGUAGGUGCUAAUUGAUCCCUAUUGGGGAUUUAAUAGGGAGUAGUGAAGAGCGGGUUUUUUUUAGCUCCUAGCUCCCAGUGUAAAUGGAGAGUAGGCGAUAAUUGAUUCUGGUGAUGAUUGAAUCUCGAGUAGCGAAGAGCAAGGUUUUUAUAGCUCCUAGCGAUAAUUCAUUCUUGUCUGCUCCCACCAGAAUCUAAGUGGGAUUUCACUGCUUGGUUGAUGAGGAGUAAGUAUCACGAAAAAUCUGCUGCAAAAAACGUUGUCCACACAAAGUCCACAGUACUAUGGAGUUACAAUUUUUUAUCCUUUAGAUGUCCGAAUUUUAAGAUGAUUUCAAAAGACAAUCUUAUACAACUAACAAUAACAAAAUAAAUUAUUAUCUAACGACAACAACAAGAAUUUAGAUGCCUAAAAUAUAGGAGAAGUGUCUCACUACUGUGGGUGAGAAAUGGUCAAAAAAACUACAUCGCACUUUUGGAGUGACACCGUGAUCCAAAGUUCCAAAUGCGCCGUCAUCACAUAACGAUCACGGCGUAGGGCGUACCCUGUACUCCUCCAUUCUAAAUUAUAAGAUAUUUGAUUUUUUUUUAUUUUAAAUUUGACCACUCGUCUUAUUUAAAAAAAAUUUAUGCAAACAUAAUCAAAUUAAGUCUUUUUGAAGAAUUUUUAUUAAUAAACUAAGCCACAACAAAAGAAAUAAUAUUUUACAUAAAUUUUUGAAUAAGAGAAGUGGUUAAACUUGAUGUUAAAAAAAGUCAAAUGUCUUGUAAUUUAGGAUGGAUUGAGUAGAUCAUAGUCCCUGUAAAAUUACCAACAGGCUACGUACCCCACAAGGAUCAGUAAAGUAAUCUAGAGGCAGUAUACUCUAAUCAUUAUGUACUAUGUGCACUUCUUAUCCUGGUGCGCGGCAGCAACUAAACUUUUGCAAAAGUGAACCUAAUGGAUGGAAUUAUUGAGGAGUGGAGUGCCAUGUGGAAUUCGCUCUGCCGGCUCACCUCGGACAUCAUAGAUGCUAUGCUUAGGCUUUCUCCUUUUGUUUGUGUGUGUGUUUCGAUUAAGAGGUAAAAAGUGUUGUGAUUCCUACCUACAACAUUUUCUAUAUAGCCUACGAUUCCUUUUACCAACACUUCUCUAUAAAAUAUCUUUGAAGUUAACAUCCCGUACAAGUGAAACAAUUCCUCCUAACCCAUAUGAAUUGGAGUAGAUCUUAAUUGAUAUAGAUGGAUUAGAAUAUAUUCCUUAUAAUACAAUGAUUAAUGUAUUAUAUCAUGUUACUCUUUUUAAAACUGCAACUUAGUUCAUCGUGUUCUAGAGAAAAAUUUUAUAUUGUCAUAUGGAGUAUCUAUGUACGUGCUUAUAGGUGGUACACGGUUUUUCUAGUUUUGAUAUCAAGUUCAGGUUGUAUCUAGGAAUACAAAUUUAUUUUUCUCUAAUUUUUUGCUUUCUGUAAGUAAUAAUUUUACAUGGCAUUCAUAUUAUGGAUUACUUUACUGUAUGUAACAACAAUCACAUGGAGGAAUAUUUGGUGGAGCUCUACUCCUUCUAAUUGUCCACUCUAAUCCCUCGCAACCUAAUUGGAUUAGGGCAAAUUUGGGUGCAAGAAAAGAAACACUUCUUCAGACCCGUAAUGUAAUUCACUCAUCUUUAAUUACUUGCACUAGUCUUUAUGCAAGCUAGCACUCUUCUUGAACUAACCUCAACCUGCGUCCUACAAUUUAACCACAUAAUGUCUAUCCAACUAUUUUAGGGAUCAAGAUGAUAAAAAUGACUAGAUUUUGAGAAUCUAAACGAGCAGUUUGGAGCAUCUCCAAGAGUUUGGCAAAUUUACUCGGCAUCUAUGUAAAUUUAGCAAAAGAAGAAAUUUAGCUUGCAACAGUUUGUCAAAUGAACUUUGGCAUUUUACACACACGCAUCUUUAGGCAUGCAUACUCGGCUUGGCAUCUCCUCGUCGCGCGCUGCUGCCUCAGUUCCCCCGCGCGCGAAACUUCUCUGCUAUGUUUGCUAGUUGUUGCCUGGUCAGUCAUCGAAUGUUGCUGUACUCGUCGAAUGUGGCCGGCACACCUGCACAUUCAGGCCUUGUUUAGUUCCAAAAAAUUUUCAAGAUUCUCCAUCACAUCGAAUCUUGCGGCAUAUGCAUGAUGCAUUAAAUAUACAUGAAAAUAAAAAUUAGUUGUACAGUUUACCUGUAAAUCGCGAGACGAAUCUUUUAAACCUAGUUACUCCAAGAUUGGAUAAUAUUUGUUAAAUAAAAACGAAAGUGCUACAGUGCCAAAAAUCUAAAGUUUUUACGAACUCAAGGCCUCACUACUGCUAAAAGAACAGGAAAGUGCUCCGCUCCUUGAGGCCCACAAAUCCUACUCGUCACUUGAUGUAAUGCAACACUAGUUUAUAUGUGCAGAUUGAUGAGCACUAUAUGUGAAAAAAAUAGUUUGUGAACCUUCUUUUUUAAUUUUACCAAGUUAAAAAUGUCAAACUCUUAGAAAUUUUACUUGACAUAUGUUUUUAAGAUUUGACAAAUCACAAGAUCGAUUUGCCGAGUAUAAUUUGGAAAACUCUUGAAGAUGCUCUAGAACGACAACAAAACAAGUUGAAGGAUCCAGAUGAGUUUAGGGGCUAUAAACAAUGGAGUAAGGCCUUGUUUACUUUACCAAAAACCAAAAAUUUUUCAAGAUUCUCCAUCACAUCAAGUUUUUAAACGUAUAAAUGGAGCAUUAAAUAAAAAUAAAAAAUAAUUUUAUAGUUUGCCUGUAAUUUGCGACACAAAUUUUUAAGCGUAGUUAAUUUAUAAUUGAACAAUAUUUGUCAAAUUAAAACGAAAAUACUACAGUUUUCCAAAAAUUUUCAGGGCAGCAACUAAACAAGGCCUAAGUAUCUAAAUGAACCAUCUGUGAAUAUAGUGACCGAAAUGACACUGUGUCGAACAAGCUUCAACCCGGUAAUGGUAGCAUAUAGUAUAUGCCUUUUUUUAAAAAGAAAGUAUAUAGAUUUGUUUCCAACAAGUUGCGCGUGGUUGAGGCUUUGCUUUCCAACACACGCAACGCAACAGGCGUUGGAGCCGAGUACAGUAGGAGCCAAAGGCCAAAGCCGCCUUCUUUCCUCGGGAUUAAUUGCUCCACGUCAGCACCACGCCAGCGGAACGGCCGCACCCGGAGGGGAGGUAGACGUCGCCGCACGCUGCCGCUAUUUACUGCCACGUCACUUCCUACAGUGCUUCUGUCUUUUCCUGGAGUAGUCCUGCGGGCUUGUUUAGUUUCCAAAAAUUUUCAAAAUUUUCCGUCAUAUCGAAUCUUGCGACACAUGUAUGUAUUAAAUAUAUAUAUAAAUAAAAACUAAUUACACAGUUCAUCUGUAAAUCGUGAGACAAACUUUUUAAGUCUAGUUACUCCAUAAUUGAACAAUGUUUGUCAAAUAAAAACGAAAGUGCUACAAUGUCGAAAUAAAAAAAAAUCCAAACUGAACAAGGCAAGUAGUAGACUCGCUACGCACAGAUUUCCCGUAAAAAAAAUCUCACCAAACGUUAUAUACUCCUUUUUAUUAGUUUCUAAAAAUCUCUCCCGACAUCCUUCCGACAUAUCCGAUGUGACAUCUAAAAAAUUUACAUCAACAAUCUAGACAGGGCCUAUAUGAUUUAGAUGUCGUUUGGUUUAGCGAUACGGUCUCCAAAACACUACUUUAUUCUUUAAUUUUAUAAAAAUAAUUAGGAAAAAAUAAUAUAUGUAUACUUUUAUAAAAAAGUUUUAAGACAAAUUUAUUCAUAUAAUUUUCAUAUUUGCAAACUCAACAAUUUUAAAACUAUUGAUGAUUUAUAUUUUUAAUGUUUGACACAAAUAUUGUCUAAAACGAUAUGAGAGAGUACAUAUGUUUUUACUCACCGCACUUGAAAAUAUUAAACUAGCUAAAUAAAAACAAUCAAAAGUCUUUACAGAUACUUAUAGAGAUAAGAUUUGUAUAUAUAUAUGUGUUCAUAAAAGUAAGUGUGUCAUGAGUGUACGAGUUAUAUAAUGAAAUCACAAAAAAACAAAAAAAAAGGAUAAAAAAGUUUUCCAUUAGAGAAUGGUUAUUCAAACAAACAAGAUAUUGAAAAUAAAUACAAUAUGAUUUUUGCUUUGUGCAAAUUUGCGAAGUGCUUCUAGAGAUGAGUUUGUGAUGCGCAAACAAACUAGCAUUAAGUCACUAGUACAUGAACAUUAAAAAUAAAAAUGCCUCACUAGCAAUCAUGCAUGGUCUACUAGAAGGACAAAGAUAUUCGACUUAAGAAAAAAAAAUAGGCACUAUAUUUUGAGAUUCUUUUGCUCAGGCCUAAUUGCAGUUUUCACACUGUUUGUAAAAUUCGCGUUAGAGCAUCUCCAACCAUUAUGUAUUUGAAGUUAUAUAUUUUAGGCAAAUUGCAAACCCCCAAAUGAAAAUGGCAAGGCUAAAAUCGGAUGAUCUCCAACCGUUAUGCAAAAUGCCAAGUCCAUCAUCUUUUUUUUCGGAAAUUUUGUUUCGCGCCACUCCUUCCCGCGCGGCCAAUCGAUCCCGCGCCAAACAGCCCGCCGUCGUUUCCCGUACACCAAUUCCCGCGCCAAACAGCCGCGCAGUACCGAUCGUGAGCUGCGCAGUUCGUCGUUCCUGUUCGCAGGACCGAUCGCAGUACCGAUCUCCCGUUCCGUUAGUUCCCGUUCACGUACCAGUUCGUCGUUGGCCAUCAGUUUGCCGCCAUCAGUUCAUCGUCAAGGCAGGUCGCCGCCGUCAGUUCGUCGUCAAGGCGUCCUAUUGUGCGCUGCUUCGUCCAAAUGCGCCCGCGAAGCUGGCGAAGGAGGACGCGCGAUGCUUCUCCUAUCGCGCGAAGUGGUGGCAGCGCGAAGGGAAACCGCGCGAAGGGAAACCGCGCGAAGGGAAGAAAAAAGCCCGCGAGGUGGAACCGAGAAUCCCGUGAUCUCUAUUUGCAUAGCCGGACUCCUUUGGCAUAUAUGCCAAGUUUCCCCCUCCAAAUGCAUAGUUAUGUAAAAUGAAGGCCUUGUUGUUGUAACCUAUGCAAAUUUAAGGAGCGUGAUGGUGGUUCUUAUUCAGACUGUUUUUAGUUAUCUUUUUAGUCAAAACUUAUACUCUCUUCGUUCUAAAAUAAGAGACGUUUUUUAUUUUCAGACAUCUUAUUUUACUUUUCUCUCUUUUAGAAACGUUAUAUAAUAUAAUAUCUAUUUUUGUUAUGACUUAUUUAUUAUUAGAGAUAUUUUAAUAAUAAUUUAUUUAUUUUGUAAUUUAUAUUUUUUAUAAGACGAACAAUUAAAUAAAGUGAAAGUCAACAACGUUGCUUAUUUUGGGACAAGUAGAGUAAUUAUCAACCGACAACAAAUUCUCUACGUUCCAUAACAGCUCGUGAAUCCGUCGUGUGCAAGUGUGCAUUGAUAGUUUUCUUUUUCUCCAAAGAAAAGACAUUGUGGAAAGGGUAGUUGAGAAACGAGAUGGAUGAGCUCAGUCAAGUAGAGUUCGCCAACAUUGACCAAACAUGAGUAAGUGAUGAGUCAUCGCCGUUUCGUUUAAGCAACUGUUGAAAUUAAUAUACUAGUACUACCCACUUAUUAUGACUUGCUUGCUGCACGUUUUAGCCUCGGGCAUAGUAUAUCUGUGGCAGUAAAGAACAAAUGCGAGGAUUUUAAAACUCAUCAGCUUGUUCGUUUGAAUUUAUCUAUCAAAUUUACUAGCUAUUUAGUAGUAUUUUUUUACAAUAAAUCAAUAAAUAAUAUUGUCUGCCAUAGCUUAUCAGGCAAAUGAACAGACUCGUUAAAGACAAUCAAAUGGGAUAUCAUGGAUUCUAGAGCAUCCCAAAAAUCUAAUCAAAUUUACUGACUUAGCUACUCUAUAAAAUAGAUGGCAAAAUAUUUAGUGCAAACUACAUCUUCGAUGCAAUCAUGAAAACCAUUUGCAAAAUUAUAUCUAUGAGUUUUCAAAAAAAUUUAAAACUACGCACACUAAUAAUGUAUCUGAGUGUAUUGUCACAAAAUUUAAGAUUCAAACUUGUUUUGAAAAAAUUAUAUAAAAAUAACAAAUUUUAUUUGCAUAUACACUAUAGGACGAAUUUUGUCCUCUAAUGCAUAUGCAAAUAAAAUUUGUUAUUUCCUUAUCCAUUUUUACUAAAGGAGUUUGAAUCUCAAAUUUUGUGACAAUGCACAUCUAUAUAUGCAUUAUUGGUGUGAUUACUUCAAAAAUUUUGAAAACUCUUAGGUAUAAUUUUAAUGGUUUGCACUGAAUAUUUUGCCAAAAUAGAUUUGAUAAAAAAAAUUAUAGUACUUCGACAAACUCUAUAAAUGAUGGCUAGUGAGGUAGGUUAUCCAAAAGUAGAGAACAAAUAAGAUGAGAUGAAGAGAUACUAAAUCUAGAGAGUCAUUUAUAGAGUCUAAUGAAGAUAUUUUUCUUUUAAUAAUAGCAAAUUUACGUUUAGAAAACAGUUUACUAAUCUCUUAGAGAUGCUCUAAUUAUGGAGAAAUAGAAAAAUAGCAUGGGCUAGUGACAGAAGAUUUAAUUGGUGUGUUUAUCCACUUGUUCGUCCUCCUAACUUAUCCGAGAGCCGUGGUAGAUGGAUAGAGAUGAGGUGAAACGGAGGGGAUUCUGAUCCAACAUUUCUCCCUGCCGGAGCCGUUGGAACAAGCUCCAAUAGCGACGGGAAUGGCCGCAUCGGCUAGUGAAAACAAGUCUGAAUUAAAUUAGAAACGCUUCAUCAAGUCUAUAAUUUGGAAAAAGUCAUUUGCUGAGAGAACAAUCAGAUAUUAGAAUCUUACAUGUGUGCCCUACGGAUAAAUUGAUCACUCUACUUAUAGUCACAGUCAUAAUUAUGCAGUUACAUUUUACUUCACAAGAAAGAAGAAAAUAAAGAAUACAUAAUACUCCAUUCCCCUUCACACAAGUAUCGGUCAACCCCAAAUUAUAAGACGUUUGACUUUUUAAACAUCAAGUUUAAUUAUUUGUCUUAGUCAAAAUUUUAUGUAAGAUAUCAUUUUUUUUGUUGUAGCUUGGUUUAUUAAUAAAAGUUUUUUUAAAGAUGACUUAAAUUUAAUUAUGUUUGCAUAAAUUUUUUGAAUAAGAUGAGUGGUCAAAUUUGAACUAAAAAGGUAAACGUUUUAUAAUUUGAGAUAUAAGGAGUACAAUAUUGUAACACUCUCGAAUAGUUUAGUUAUUUAUCUGCAUCCAUUCAUCAUGGAAACACAUUGUAUUAAAGAAACAAACAAAGAAAACCCAACACCGAGAGCAAUUUCAAGAGUUUGGCUAAAUUAGUAGCUAAAUUUUAUUGUUUAGUCAUUUUAUAAAAUAGGAAACUUCUUAAAAAAGAAGAGGUUCACAAUAGUCUUGCUAUUUUUCAAAAUUAGAUGGCUAGUGUUUGGUUGGCUAUAUAUGACCCCGAAAAUCAAGGGAUAACUACCUUUCUAUUUUAUAAAAUCGGAUAACAUAUAUGUUGAAGUCUACUUUUUACUAUGCAAAUUCUAAAAUAGCUUCUACAAUAAAAACAGUCAAGCUAUUGGAGUUGCUCUUAGCUGCUAGAGAUUUAAAGAGUCCAACUAAAAGAUCAGCUAAAAUGUAGCUAUUUCAACUCAGUUAAAUCCAGCUAAAGUUUAACUAGAUCUAUUAGCUGGAGGAUCUAAACAUCCAGCUUUAAAAAUUUUAGCUAGUUAAACUAGUUCGGUAGAACUAGAAAAAAAAAACGAAUAAAAACGUUCAAAAAUUAUCGAAACACCCUUCUCAUCCUCAUCAUCUACGCUCCCUCCUCUUCUGGAGAAUCCAGUGGCCUCGCCAGUCGCCUCUCCUAUAAAACGGCUGCUACCCGUGUCAUCCCCGUGCGCUCGAAGGCACGAAAUUCUCCGCGUGAAGUGGUGGGGGAAGCAGCGAACCCCUAGCAGCGUGCCCCGGAUCUCGCCGCGGGGGGGCAAGGCAAUGGCCGCGUCGUCGGCGUUCCUGCCCGAGCUGGGCACGCAGGUGGUGGUGCCCGUCGCGGCCGUGGUCGGCAUCGCCUUCGCGGUGCUGCAGUGGGUGCUCGUCUCCAAGGUGAAGCUCACCCCCGAGCCGCCGCGCCGCGGGGACGGCUCCGCCGGGAAGAGCGGCGGCGCCGGCGCCAGCGAGUUCCUCAUCGAGGAGGAGGAAGGGCUCAACGAGCACAACGUCGUCGUCAAGUGCGCCGAGAUCCAGAACGCCAUCUCCGAAGGUGAGAACCCAGCGCCCGUGCCGGUGUGUGUAUUUUGGAUUUUGUGGAUCUGAGGGCGCUUAAUCGUAGAUCUUGCGCUCCUCGCUGUUUAGUGCUUGAUAAGCUCCACUGCUUCGGUGUUCGGUGUCAAUUCUGCAGUUUUUAUUGUUUUUGUUUGCUUGCGCCGUGGACUCAAUAAGUUUACUUAUUAGUUAUUACUCGUCGAUAUGAUUAUGAGGCAAUUGAACUUCAGGCGUGUGAAUUGAAUUUCAGGCGUUUCUUAGUUUUAGUCAAUUCAGUCUAAAACUGUGCUCUCGAUCAGCUGGUGUCCCCGUGUUUGUUAGUUUGUUGCUUGCAUGGAUGUCUCACUAUUUUUUUUCUCCUGCAGUGCGUUUUGCGUUGUUCUAGCUGUGCGCCUGGGUUAUCUACUGUUAUAUUACUACUAGACACAGUUAGAUCCAACAAUAAAAUACUGAUGCUCCCGCUUUGCCCAACACAUCUUAUAAUAGUUCUUAGCUGUGUCCUGUGUGUGUCCUAUGGUAAAUAAACUCUUGGUUGUCCCUAUUAGAUAUUUUUUUUGUGAGAUAUUUGUAGUUGGGCUGAUGUGUUCAUAUAGAACUAAUGGUAGUGCUCUGUUCUGAAGAGGUCCCCGUAUAAACCCCUGCUGUGGGCUGUGGCCAUCCUGAGGGGAUAGGAUAAGUUACUGAGGCAGCAGAUACGUCGUUUGCUGCACCUGUGGUCCUUGCUGCCCGAUGUAGGAUAGAACUUUCCGUGGAUUUGCAUUAUUGUAGCAGGUAGGAAUUUGUUUUGUUUUGUUUUCAACCGCAUCCGCUGAACUUGGAAGGAAUCCUAGAACGAACGCACAUGGACCAGAGAUCUUGUGGUCCAUUCAACAGUGUCAUAUAAGGUAAUUAUUGGUGCACAGUGCCUGUCUGAAGGUGCCUGCUGCAGUGCUUGCAUUAUUGGCUGCCGCAUGUUGGUAAUGACAUUGGUUGGAUUCUGCCCAUGUCUUUGCUCAGGAUUUGUUUCUUCUAAUACGAUUAGCAUUAUGAUGCUUGGGUUAUGCUUCACUUUUGGAGCCAUACUAUGCUCUACAAGAAUCAGCAGAGUAGACGUAUGAAGACGUAUGGCUCUUGUCCCAUGAUAUACGGAUCCUAUUAGUUACUUUAGUAUUGCUACUGUCUGCUUUGCUUCCCUUUCCCAUGAGAAGAUGAGGAUUACAGUCCAUCAUUUAUUUAUUUAUUUACUUAGGUACUGUUCUGUCUAUUUUGAUGUUGACAUGCUUCUUGGGUGACAUGUCCGGUCCUGUUGUAGUUAACAUCACAACAAUAAAAGAGGAUAAGUACUGCUUAUCAUUCUAUUGUAUUAUUUUACUGCUAUGUCUAUCUUCAGUAUUUGAUAGUUCUGUCAUCAUUUUUAUUAUUUUUAGGCCUUCUCUUACUAGUGGUUAUUCUCUGCUUUUAUUGUAUAAUUGUAUUCACACUUGUGGUUCUAAAUAGCUUUGCUUUGUUUUAAACAGGAGCAACUUCUUUCCUUUUCACUGAAUACAAGUAUGUGGGACUAUUCAUGGGCAUUUUUGCUGUCCUGAUCUUCCUCUUCCUUGGUUCUGUUGAGAGCUUCAGUACCAAGAGUCAGCCAUGCCACUACAGCAAGGGCAAGACGUGCAAGCCUGCCCUUGCCAAUGCUAUCUUCAGCACCAUUGCCUUUGUGCUUGGUGCAGUCACCUCUCUUGUUUCUGGUUUCCUUGGAAUGAAGAUUGCAACAUAUGCAAAUGCCAGGACAACUCUUGAGGCUAGGAAGGGUGUUGGAAAGGCAUUCAUUACUGCUUUCCGCUCUGGUGCUGUGAUGGGCUUCCUGCUUGCUGCUAGUGGCCUUUUUGUUCUUUAUAUUGCAAUCAACUUGUUUGGAAUUUAUUACGGUGAUGACUGGGAGGGUCUUUAUGAAGCUAUCACUGGUUAUGGUCUUGGUGGUUCUUCUAUGGCUCUUUUUGGUCGUGUUGGUGGUGGGAUAUACACCAAAGCUGCUGAUGUUGGUGCUGAUCUUGUUGGGAAAGUCGAAAGGAACAUCCCUGAAGAUGAUCCGAGAAACCCAGCUGUAAGUAUUCUAUUUCUGAAGAGUCACAUCUUAAACAUGCGUUAAUUUAAUCCCUUGUGUUGAAGCUCUGUAACAACACGUUAUUGACCAUGGUUAUGUCGUUUUGAUAGUUUUACACCAUACAUUGAAAAUUGACCUCUGCUUCUUGCAGGUCAUUGCAGACAAUGUUGGUGACAAUGUCGGAGAUAUUGCUGGAAUGGGGUCAGAUCUCUUUGGCUCCUAUGCUGAGUCUUCGUGUGCUGCUCUUGUCGUUGCCUCAAUCUCUUCUUUUGGGAUCAAUCAUGAAUUCACCCCUAUGUUGUACCCACUCCUCAUUAGCUCUGUGGGUAUCAUAGCUUGCUUGAUAACCACUCUUUUUGCAACGGAUUUCUUUGAGAUCAAGGCUGUAGAUGAAAUUGAGCCGGCUCUCAAAAAGCAGCUUAUAAUUUCCACUGCUGUGAUGACUGUUGGCAUUGCACUUGUCAGUUGGUUAGGGCUUCCAUAUACAUUCACAAUCUACAACUUUGGUGUGCAGAAGACGGUGUAUAACUGGUACUGCCAUUUCUUCAAUUGAUUUCCGAUAUUGUAAUAACAUUUUUUUCUUCAAUUGAUUUCCUAUAUUUUAAUAACAUUUUUUCCUUAAAUACAUGAUCUCACUUUGAUCUAAAUUUGGUAGGCAAUUAUUCCUAUGCGUGGCAGUUGGUCUGUGGGCAGGACUAGUUAUUGGAUUUGUUACGGAGUAUUACACGAGCAAUGCAUACAGGUGCAUACAAUUUUGAUCAUAUUUAUUACUGGCUCUAAUUUAUAUAUUGUUUCAAGCAUCUGACUACAUGAAUUUCCUUCUGCAGUCCUGUACAGGAUGUUGCUGACUCCUGCAGAACUGGAGCUGCUACUAAUGUCAUCUUUGGCCUUGCUCUGGGAUAUAAAUCUGUCAUUAUCCCUAUUUUUGCUAUUGCUUUUAGUAUUUUCCUCAGCUUUAGCCUUGCCGCCAUGUAUGGUGUUGCUGUGGCUGCUCUUGGAAUGCUCAGCACAAUCGCCACCGGCCUUGCCAUUGAUGCCUAUGGCCCUAUCAGUGACAAUGCUGGAGGAAUUGCUGAAAUGGCUGGCAUGAGCCACAGAAUCCGUGAGAGAACUGAUGCCCUUGAUGCUGCUGGAAACACUACUGCUGCCAUUGGGAAGGUAAAUGUCAAUUUCACUGUUAAUUGCAAUGUGUUUCUUCAGAAUUGGCCAUCAAUGCAUUUGUUUGUUUUUCUCUUUAUAAAAUGUGCAUUUUGAAGUACUAAAUGCUCACUCCAAUGAUUUUGUGCAUGUAGGGUUUUGCAAUAGGUUCAGCAGCCUUGGUGUCUCUUGCCCUCUUUGGGGCUUUUGUCAGCCGUGCUGCCAUCUCGACUGUUGAUGUUCUGUCACCUAAAGUUUUCAUUGGACUGAUUGUUGGUGCCAUGCUUCCAUACUGGUUCUCAGCGAUGACAAUGAAGAGUGUUGGCAGUGCAGCACUCAAGAUGGUUGAGGAAGUCCGCAGGCAGUUCAACACCAUUCCUGGGCUCAUGGAGGGCACUACCAAGCCUGACUAUGCGACGUGCGUCAAGAUCUCUACUGAUGCAUCUAUCAAGGAGAUGAUCCCCCCUGGUGCACUUGUCAUGCUCACACCUCUUAUUGUUGGGAUCUUGUUUGGUGUUGAAACUCUCUCUGGAGUUCUUGCUGGUGCUCUUGUUUCUGGUGUCCAGGUUGACACUCUUUCCAUGACUGCUUUCAUUGUUGUAAUCUCUUACAAUGUUGCAUAUGUUUCAUUCAUAAUCUAUAUUGUUUCUGUUCAGAUUGCCAUCUCUGCAUCCAACACUGGAGGUGCCUGGGACAAUGCAAAGAAAUACAUUGAGGUAAAACCUUUGAAGACGAUAGCAUAUCAGUGAGAAGGUUUCUUCCAACCCCAAUAUUUGCUCAAGUGGAUUAAUUUUGGUUAUCUUCAUGGUUUUACAGGCUGGUGCAUCUGAGCAUGCAAGAACUUUGGGCCCGAAAGGUUCAGACCCACACAAGGCUGCUGUCAUCGGUGACACCAUCGGUGAUCCCCUCAAGGACACCUCAGGCCCCUCGUUGAACAUCCUCAUCAAGCUCAUGGCCGUCGAGUCCCUUGUCUUUGCUCCCUUCUUUGCCACCCAUGGAGGCAUCCUCUUCAAAUGGCUUUAGAGGAAGAAUGGAAGAUCGAUGGGUAAUUUAUUUUUGCCGGGGGGAGAGCACUAGAUACCUAUGUCAUAGAGAAGUUUCAGUUUACCCAUAUGGUGCAUUUCUUCCUUUUUGUUUCGCUUGUACUGUGUCGCAGUCUUGUUGAACUUGUCAGCCAUGGUAUCACCUAGUUUUCGGGUCUAGUUGCAGUAGCCGAGUGCAGCAAAAAUGUAGUAGCAUUCUACAGGAUGGAGUCUGGACAUGGGUGUAUUGGGAAGUGUGAUAUUGCCUGUAGAUAUUUCGAUGAUGAUGAUCAAGAAAUGCACAAUUCAGAUUUCCUGUCUUCAUGAAACAAUGGAGUUUAUGUUUUUAUUUAUGUGAUGAUGAUUUGGAUGUCUGUCUACUGCCUUUUCUUGUCCGACGUUGCCACGUAGGUCACAAUGUUGCAUUCUUCUGUUACAAAUUUUAAGUUUUUUUACCUUUCUAAAUCAAAUUUUUCUAGUUUGUACUAAAUUUAUAGAGAGUUGCAUAAACAUUUGCAACAUCAUCAGGCUAUAUAAGCUUAAGUUUGGACGAAACUAAAGGUGACUUUCAAAUUGAAAAUAGAGUGACUAGUUUUUUGUUUUUGUUUUUUUUGGUUACAUAUGUAAAGUGAAAGACAAGGUUAACGAAAUUAAAACCGACUUGCAAUUUCACAAUGGAGUUUUUGUCGUAUCUAUAGCUGUAAAUUGAAACAGGAGAAGCUGUACUUAUUAUUCUUGAAGCUGUACUUAUUUGAUACUCCCUCCAUCCUAAAGUGUAAGUCGUUUGACUUUUUUUACCCAAGUUUGACCACUCAUCUUAUUUAAAAAAUUUGUACAAAUAUAGUCAAAUUUAAGUCAUUCUUGAAGAACUUUUAUUAAUAAACCAAUACACAAUAAAAAAAAGUGAUAUUUUGUACAAAACUUUGAAUAAGACGAGUGGUCAAACUUGAUAUUAAAAAAGUCAAACGACUUAUAAUUUGGGAUGGAUUGAGUACAAGUAAUUGUACAUUUUUUUUAUAAAAAAAUUACUCCUAAAUUUGGCAGCUGCUGUUAAGCCCAUGAAGCGUGUCACAGGGGAAAAAAUGGACAAACGUGACCCAUGAUGCUUAGGCCUUGUUUAGUUGGCGCUAAAAUCCAAAAACUUUUCAAUAUUUUUUGUCAUAUGAAUCUUAUGGCAAAUGCAUAAAACAUUAAAUAUAGAUAAAAAUAACUAAUUAUACAGUUUAUCUAUAAUUUUGAAGACAUAUCUUUCGAGCUUAGUGAGUCUAUGGUUGAACAAUAAUUGCCAAAUAAAAACAAGAGUGUUAAGAUACCCAAAAACUUUUCGCUUCUCAACUAAAUAAAGCCUUAGUCCAUGAAAGUUUGGCCCACAUUAAAUUUGUUUGUUCCCUUUACUAAAUUUUAACUAGUUAAAAUUAUUUUAGUCACUCUCUCAUUUUUCUUUUUAGCUGCCUCAGAUUUUAGCAAGGGGACGCCGCAAAGGUAUUCUCUCUUCUCUUGGCCGAAAUCCCAAUCCAAAAUUCUCCGUGAAAACGCCAAAUUCCCCAUCUCCCGCAGUCCGAUGCUCCUCCCAUCUAUGAUCUAUCCUCCUCGAUGGCUGCAGAUCGUGGGAAGCGUACUACGGAGGUAAUCCCUGGAGAUUGGGAUACGUACGUGCGGGUCCGAUGGCGGCGGCAUCUCCAAAGCCAGUCGCUGCUCUGCUAUUGCGAGGCUGGCGCUCUUUGGUGUUGGUGCUUGCAUCGGUCAAUCCAAUAUCGGAAAAGAGUCGCACCACCAACUGGAUUAGACAAGAACAAGAAGACACUGGAAGAAUCGGAAUGGCGGAUAAGCUGACUGUGGGCUCCGCUGUGACAAGUCGCAUAUGGAAAUGGAUGAGCCAAUUUCAGAAGGUAUGGGGAUUGGGCCUCAUUCCGUGUGGAACCCUAGGAUUGAAGAAUUCCAAUGGCCGGUGAGAAUUUCCUGUACUCCUCCCUCGGUGCAUACUAAGUGUUACCAAGUACCAACACAUUUGGAUGCAUCGAAGGUCUACAAGAUAUUUUCCUCGGGUGCAUCAUCACGAUUGGAUCAAUGACAGGAGCAAUGCAAAGUUCCAAACUUCCAACUGUCGGCCGGUGCUAGCAAAGUCCAACUGCGGCAUUUCCAAUACAAUGCCCACAUCGAAGAGCGGACAGAGUACCAAGCUCACCGGCGCGGCGCUAGCGCUCCCUCCGCCGUUGCUUCCCAGCUGAGCCUGUGCGUCCACCGCUUUGUGCUCCUUUUCAACCCCAACGAAGUUUCGUGUAGACUUCGGUUUCAAGGAAAGCUUGGCCGACAACAACAAUAUAUCAUGGUAUCACACUGUAAGUUCAUAACAUUCAUUUGAUUCUUCUUUUUACGUUUCCUGAUUUGUUGUACUUAUAGUUUCUACCUUUUUAAUAAAUUUCAGUAGGGGCAACCCUCCUGUUUCAUAAAAAGAACAUCCAUUCGAUCCCUGUGAAUCACAUCUCUCGCCUCUCAUUCUCGUUUCGAUUUGCACUUUCCACUCCACAGAAAACUGCACUGUCAAAUGAAAGUUCGUAUGGACAACUGGAAUUUUCGAUUGUGAAAACAAAACCUCUAAAUAUGUUGAUUUGGUUGUUUGUUUCAGGAGUGGUGAAAAGCACGCUGUCAAAGCGAGAGCAAGUAAAGAGUUGUGAAAAUAAAACCUCUAAAUAUGUUCGAUUUCGUUUCAUAAAUCACAGAAGGUGCUUCGGUGGCAUUGCAAAAUUUCAAUCAUCGUGUUCAUCCAGCAGGUGCAGUUGUGGUCAACCCUGACACUGUGCUGAACCAUGCGUCACAUCUAGUUGUCCUCUGCUCCUGGAAUUUCAGAUCUCGCUCUAUAAAUCAAUGAAAUUCAGCAGCCUAUUUCUUUCCCGUCAUAUCUGACAAUGGUUGCGGUCGGGGAGUUGCUAGCUAAGCUCGCCUUCAACGCCACCUGGAACGAGAUUGCUUUGCAGCUGAAUUUCAGUAAAGAUUUGAAGAGCAUCAAGGACAACCUUUCCUUUGUCCAAUCUUUCCUUGAGGACGCGGAGAGACUGUCGUCAAGGUUGGAGAGCGUCCGUCACACGCUUAAGAAGCUCAAGGCUGCGGCUUAUGACUUGGAGGAUAUGCUGCUACUCUUCGAGUGCUGGACCACCCCUCACAAGGGUGAAGGCCUUGCGCUUAGCGCCAAGGCUAAAAAGGUGAGUUGCCACUUGCCAGCUAUAGUACUUCAAAGCUAAACUACAUUAGCUUAUGAAUUAUGAUGAGCUUGUUUCUGAUCCAUGCAAUUUAUUGACAACAGGGGUUAGUUUUAUGCUUUGAAAGGUUGAAGAUGCCUCAUAAAAUGAGAAAAAUGAGGGAAACCAUAGAGGAGAUAGUAGAUCUCCAGAAUAAAUUCAACUUCAUCAAACACACUGGCAACAAUGAUGAAGAAGUAAUCAGGAAACGGGAGACAUUCUCAGAUGCUGAUGAAGUCCCCGUUGGGAGGAUGGAAGAAAAAGAAAGAUUAAUCAGUAUGUUGCAAACAGAUGACUCAAACUGCCUUAUUGUUUUUAUCUCUGGCUUUGCAGGAGUAGGUAAAACUACUCUUGCCCAGAUGGUGUUCAACGAUGAUAGAACAAGACAAUUAUUUGAAAUCCAAGCGUGGGUCUAUGUCUCUCUAAAAUUUGAUAUCAAUACCAUCGGUCAAUCUAUCAUCUCCCAACUGGAUAAAUCAAGCAGCCCUUCUGGUAUCCCCUUACAAGCUACACGUGGCCGACUGAAAACUAUUGUAACAGGGCAACGGUUUCUUAUUAUUCUCGAUGACAUAUGGGAAGAAGAUCCACAUGAGUUGGAAAAACUAUGGACAUUGCUGCGGGGUGCUAAAGCAGGCAGCAAGAUCAUUGCAACCACACGCAGUGUAAAAGUUGCUAAGCUAAUGAAUGGGAGUUUGACAAUAGAAUUAAGUGCUUUACCAGACAAUUACUGCUGGGAGUUGUUCCGAAAAAAGGCAUUUCCAUAUGGAAAGGUGGAUGUUGAUAAGGAAAGUAUAGGAAGACAGAUAGUCAUGAAAUGCAGAGGAAUGCCACUAGCAGCAAUUUCUCUCGGAUACCUUUGCCGGACAACUAAUGAAUGGAAAGCUAUCCUGGAUAGUGAUAUCUGGGCAGAAAAUGGAGAUGAUGGACGGUUACUCAAAGAUACGAAAGUGCUACCAUCACUGAAGCUUAGUUAUCAAUGCAUGUCUUAUCAUCUCAAGCUCUGUUUUGCAUAUUGCGCUAUUUUCCCCAAAGGCUGGUAUAUAGAGAAGAGUAGCUUGAUUCAGCAGUGGAUUGCCCUUGGAUUUCUUCAGCUCCAUGGCGAAUCGUUCACUGCACAACAAGCUGGAGAAAGAUACUUUGAGGAUCUUCGUGAAAUGUCUUUUCUUCAGGAUGUAGCUGGAAUGUCUCCAACCGUAAGACUUUCAUUUUUCUUUAUUGCUUAUCUUAUUGGAGAUCGAAGUUCUAUUUACUUAACCUCAUCUAGUUCGGACCCCUGCCCCACCCCAAAAAAGCCAAUCCAACCGAUUCAUCUGUACGUGAUGACGUGAUCUAGUCACCCUCUGUUAGAGAUAUUUACCUCCAUGAUUAUAAUAUAUAUUUUUAUUCCAUGUACUCAAAUCUUAUAGCAGUCACAUAUGAUUCUAAUAUGUUAUUUUAGAUAUAUGGACAUUUUGGAUUAAAUAUUUGCGUUGUAGUGGUGUGGGCAAUUCCUCAAAAUGCAUAUGGGUACUUUUAUUUUUCCACGCCAGGAUACUUUGAUUUUGUUUUCUCUUAUUAAGUUAGUAGUGAAUUCUAGGCCGUGAGAAUUAAUGUGGAGGGUUCUUUUGUUGAACAAAUACUUACAUAAUAUACUCUGAGUACAUUAGGACAUAGCAUAUUAAAUUCCACUAAACAAAUUUGUUAGGCAUAGCUUUAAUAACGAGGGAUACAUGUGUCUUGUCCUAUCUGUAUUAAACUGUCCUAACAAUCUCAGAAUCCCUUGUAUAGUUGUAUUUGUGGACUGAAGUAUUUAGUGAGAAUUUCUCUAAAAGUUCAUGCCCAAUUUAUGUUUACUUUUGUUUUUUUAUAAUAUAAAUACUAGUUAAUAUAUGUCUGAACUGCAGAAGGUAGUUGACUAACAUGGUACAUUUCACUUUUCAGCCGUUUGCAAGAUAUAACAAACCUCGAGGUGUAUUAUUCCAGAUGCAUGAUUUGGUUCGUGAGCUUGCAAGAUUAGUUGCGGGUGACGAAGUUGUUGCCUUUGACACUAGGAAGCAAAAUCCUCCUACAAAUAUAGACAACUGUCGAUACAUGUUGCUCUCAAACUUAUGUAACUCAUCCUCAUCUUAUUGGUCUAUUCCUAGCACAUCAAGAGCUCUUCAUUUUAAGGAGUGCAGCAUUGUUCAGACUACUUUAAAGUCUCUAAUGGGAGCUGAAUUCCUACGUGUGCUGGAUUUUAGUGCAUGUGCUAUUUCUGAUCUACCUGCUUCUGUCGGCAAUUUGAGACUCUUGAAGUUCUUAAAUAUAUCUGGAAUGCAAACUGGUCUGCUGCCUAAGCCCCUGAGCUCAUUGCAUGGUUUACAAGCAUUGAACCUUUCUGAAAAUACUUGCCUUAUUGAACUUCCAAGUUACAUUUCUGAAUUUGUCAACCUACAAUAUUUGGACCUACAUGGCUGCUCAAAUCUUGAAGAGCUGCCACAGGGCAUUCAUAAACUCAAAGAGCUACUACACCUGAACGUAUCAAGAUGUGGUAGGCUACAAUUUCUGCCUGAAGAGUUUGGGGAGCUUCGGAAACUUGCAUUCCUCAACCUUUCAUAUUGUUCCCAGCUUCAAACGCUGCCUUCAAAUUUUGGUGGCCUUCAGGAUCUUUCAUAUCUCAAUCUAUUGCACUGUUACAAACUUCAUGGGCUGCCUGAUUCUUUCAUCUACCUAGCAAAUAUGAUACAUCUAAAUAUGUCCUUCUGCCGCCAGUUGAAACUGCUGCCUAGUGGGUUAUUUAAGUACAUGAAGAAACUUCUAGUCUUGAAUUUGUCUGGUUGUACCUCUCUUGAAGUUCUUCCUGAAUUUUGCAAUAUUGAUGCUGGCUGUCGGAUGUUGAAAACUUUGGAGUUACCAGAUUGUACUAAUCUGGCUGUCCUUCCCAAAUCCUGUACCAGUCUUUGUGAGCUCCGGUGUUUAAAUCUAUCAGGUUGUUCUCGAAUUCAGAACUUUCUAAAUUUGAUUCCGCAGUGGAAAUUCGGUAAGUUGGAGUACCUAAAUCUCUCCGAGGUCGGUGCAAAAGCUUAUUUUGAAGAUCCAGGAACCUCUGCGGGAAAUGUAGGGAGUUCAGAAGACCCUAAUAGAGAACUAGAGUUAGGUAUGCUGCAAGAGGAUAUUGUGACCCAACGUUUGGUUUAUCUUAAAUACCUGUCAGUUGGAGGGUUCACACUCUUCUCAGAACAAGGCAUUGCAAGCUUGGUAGACCUUCUAACCUUGCCCAAUUUUGAUGUACAGACACAACCCGGUGACAACCAAAGCAAUAUUAAGCUUCUCCAGCAGAUUCUGGAUCUCACACAUCAUGAGUUAAACAUCAAAUGCCUUGAGAAUGUGGUAUCACCAGAGGAAGCAAAGCAAGUGGAACUGGGUAGGAAUCAACAACUUCAUUUCUUGAGUCUUGAAUGGUCCUCAUCUGAUAUUGGGUCUUCUAUUGGAAAGGAUCGUCUAACAAAGGCUACCGAAGUGCUGGAACAUUUGAAGCCCCAUCAGAAUUUACAGCAUCUCUCUAUAAAAGGCUACAGCGGCACAAUAUUUCCAGAUUGGAUUAACAAUAUAAAUGAUGCACUCCCGAAUCUGGUGAAAAUAAUAUUGUCUGAUCUCAAGGGAUGUGACCACAUUCCUGCAUUGGGAAAUUUGCCAAAUCUACAAGAACUGGAAAUCAAUGAUAUGCCCCUGCUUGGCCAUGUAAGAAUUGUACCAUGCAAGAAGCUAAGACGACUUGCAUUGGUUAAUCUGCGAGAAUACACCACUGUACAUAUAUUUUAUGAUGACAACACUGAGACUCAAGUAAAUGAGGUGGUGGAAUUAAGUCACGACUGUGAUAAGGUAGAGAAACUAACAGGAGACGAGAUAAGACUACAUGAAGUUGCAUCAAGUUGUGACUGUAGUGAGGAAGAGAGGAAAACAGCAGAAAAAACUGACGAGUUAGCUGGUUCUCUUCCUUCAAACAGGCAAUCUAAAAGAAAGUGGCAUAUCAUGGCCUGUGAAGGCCAAGACCUAAAGUCUAUGGUAGGAGCCCGAGCUCUGCGUGUGAAGGUCAAGGAUUUGUUGAAAGGUCCAUAUUGUGGCAAGUGGAGGGAAACAUACAUAACACAGGACACUGCAGGUGCCGGAAAUGACUCACCUGCUGUAAUGAGCAGCAAGCCGGCACUAACUCCAGGUCCAUCUAAUGAAACAACAGAACAAGCAGCAGUCCCUACGCUUGAUUACUUCAAGAUAGAAAGCUGUCAGAACCUACGACUGUAUCCAUAUUACAUCCCAAUGUGUGAAGAGUUGUUCAUCAAUGAUAGCAGUAUCGACCUGGAUGAUAUGGAACAGGAGUCAUCUGAGUCACCUGCAGUUACCAGUAGCAGGCCGGCACUAACUCCAGGUCCAUCUAUUGAAACAAGAGAACAAGCGGUCCCUAGGCUUGAUUUGUUCAAGUUAGAAAGCAGCCAGAACCUACAACUGUAUCCAUAUUACAUCCCAAUGUGUGAAGAGUUAUUCAUCAAGGAUAGCAGUCUUGAUCUGGAUGAUAUGGAACAGGAGUUAUCUGAGUCACCUGCAGUUACCAGUAGCAGGCCGGCACUAACUCCAGGUCCAUCUAUUGAAACAAGAGAACAAGCAGCAGUCCCUACGCUUGAUUACUUCAAGUUAGAAAGCAGCCAGAAUCUACAACUGUAUCCAUAUUACAGCCCAAUGUCUGAAGAAUUAUUCAUCAAGGAUAGCAGUCUCGAUCUGGAUGAUAUGGAAUCAGAGUCACCUGGAAUGCUCGGACAGGAGUUAUCUUACGGAAUGUAUGAAGGGGAGUUUGGUUCCUUAAUGCACGGACGAGACCCCACUUCCAGAAGGUACAGAUCGGAGUCUAUUUCUGGAACCUCACGGAAACUCAAGAUAGCAAAUUGCAACCAGCUGUCUCUUGGUCGGCUGUUGCUUUUAUUAAAAUCAUCACUACAGGAACUCGAAAUUGAUAGCAUGGAAAGGAUCGAUGACUCCAUGCGCGGACGGUACAUGGACAAAUGGGAGUCUAUCUCUGGAACCCUACGGAAACUCAAGAUAACAAAUUGCAACCAGCAUAUUGUUAACCGACUGUUGCUUCUAUUCAAAUCAUCACUACAGGAACUUGAAAUUGAUGGCAUCAAAAGCAUUGAUGCCUUGCCAUCAAAUCUGUUCGAAAUGACCAGAUUGGAAAAAAUCACUAUAUCAUCUCUUGAGCUUCAAGAAGCAAAAGGGAGCAACAAUAUUAGGAAACAACUGUACGUUUCUGGAAUUGCAUACAUCAAUACAAGACAUGUAAGUUGCCGCUAUUUCUUUUUAAUUAAGUAAAGCCCACUUUUCUUGGAAUUUGAGAAAGAUAUAAAAGAAACUCCACCAAAUUAAGAAAAUAAGGCCUUGUUUAGUUUCCUCCCUGAAAAGUUUUUGGGUACUAUAGCACUUUCGUUUAUAUUUGACAAUUAUUGUCCAAUUAAGGCCUAACUAGGCUCAAAAGAUUCAUCUCGCAAAUUACAGACAAACUUUGCAGUUAGUUACUUUUUUAUCUAUAUUUAAUGCUUUUGCCGCAAGAUUCGAUGUGACGGAAAAUCUUGAAAAGUUUUUGGAUUUUGGGUGAAACUAAACAAGGCCUAAAUUAAUUUACUUAAAAUAAAAACUGUCAUGCACGAAGUAAUUUAAUUGCUAUACAUCGAACCGUGCCAUAUGACUUUAGCUCUUAAUUAAUCUUGCAUGUGGUAUGACGCAGGUGGCUCUUUUUACUGUGAGACCGAAGCAAGGGGGUUGGGUGGGCUCAAGCCCCACCUACAUCCGGCAGACCGAAGAAGAGGAGACCGAAGAAGAAGAGACCGAAGAAGAAGAGACCGAAGAAGAGGAGGAAGAGCACCGCCUACACUUUGCCGCUGGUUCCAACACCAGUUGCUCCAGUAACUUCUCUCUUCUAUAUCAGUAUCUUGAUAAUGAAAUUCAGUCGCUAAUGAUCCACGGUCUUGAGCAUAUUGAUGAGACAGUAGAGGAAGUAAGCGAAUGCAGCGAGUUGGCUCAAUAUCGGCAACUGCAGUCACUGAUUUUGAUGUGGUCCAGAAGCAGUUUACCACAGGAUUCAAGCAUAGUCAAUGACAUUGUGGUUCUCCGGAAACUCCAGCCUCAUGGGAACCUAGAAACACUUGAAAUACAAGGCUAUAGGGGUGAUACAUUUUGUUCCUGGGUAACGAAUAUAAGUUAUUUCCUUCCAAAUCUUGUGAAAGUUGAGCUUUCUAACAUAUUAUGGUGCCAACAUAUCCCUUUAUUAUUAGGCCAACUAUCAAACUUAGAAGUGCUGCACAUCUCAAAUAUGCCUAGCAUCAGAAAAGUUGGUGGUGAUAUAUAUGGGGCUGACAGGGCAUUUAUGAAACUGAGAGAACUUACGCUUGCAAGUAUGGACAACCUGGAGGAGUGGACGACCACACUAUCAACUCGUGAUGAUGAGCAGAGGCUUCAGGAAAUCCAUGGAGAUGAAAUAUUAUUUCCUAAUCUCCAAGUACUUACCAUUAGAAACUGCCCCAGGCUGAGGUUUGUUCCAGCUUUCCCUGGAAGCCGGAGCUGCAUCAUAGAAAGAAGCAGCGAUGUACUAUCAUCUGAGAGAUACAUUGGAAGUUCGAAUUUGGCAUUAUUGAACUUGCAAAUACGGAACUGUGGCAUUUCUUCAGAUAUUUCCAAACUUCUUCAGUACUGUGUUAAUCUGGAAAAACUGAGUGUUCAUUCCUGCACGGACCUUAUCACCUUGCCAGAAAGCAUCCGAAGCUACUGCUUCCUCAGGGAACUGGAGAUAGUAAACUGUUGGGAAUUUUCUGCUCUACCGGAUUGGCUUGGAGAACUGACGUCGCUACAGAAGCUGACAGUGCACGCUGCCAAACUGGAGGUUUUACCCCAAUCGAUCCGAUACCUGACUACUUUGGACACGUUAGUUCUCAAGAAGAGCAAUUUCAGAAUCCUUGAGGGUUGCACACUGGGAAAGGACUUUGACAAUAUUAAACACAUCAAACAUAUACGUUAUAAACCUCAGGUAAAUCACUCCAGGUCCUAAAUUACCAACCUCAACCCCUCGUUUUCUCCCUGGGGACUGUAGUAUUUAUAUAUUUUUUAUUUUACAAUUGAUGAUUGCAAUAUUUAUAUGCACGUGAUAGCUUAUUGAUGUGAUAAAUAUUUUUUGUAUGUAAGCAUUAACAUUAUCAGUAGAUAUAGCUUUGCAUUUUGUUAUAUGGUAAAAUGCACACCAAACCAAGUCUGAGAACCGACAAUGCAUUUUAAUAAAAACGACAACAACAAAGCCUUUUAGUCCCAAGCAAGUUGGGGUAGGCUAGAGUUGAAACCCAACAUGAGCCCCUAUUCACGGUUUAGUCCCUUUUGUUAUCUAAUAAAUCAAUUUCGCUGCUGACUGUUUUGUCCUUGCAUGCUUUACCAUUUCAACAUGCCUUACUACUAUUUCCUCAUGUUUCUUGUGAAUGCAGAGACCUGUUCUUUCCUUCUGCAGAAGUGGCCCUCAUAUUGUUGAGCUACAAAUUGAGGAUCUUCAUCUUGUCAACCGAGCAGAGGAAGCAGAGGAUUUGAAUUUGAUUGGGAAAAAGAAUCUGCGUUCACUGAGUUUGGACUGGAGUUCUUAUUAUAAAGAAAGCUUACCUAAUAAGCUUGUUUUAGAAAAGCUCCAGCCAUAUGAUAGCCUCGAAAUACUUUGUAUAAAUAAUUAUACCGGUGUUGAUUUCCCUCUUUGGAUGUCAUCACUCUCAAACCUUGUCAAAGUGGAGCUCUCCAAUGUGCGAAUUGAGCACCUGCACCUGGAUCAGUUACAGAGUCUGGAAGAGCUGCACAUUUCUCGGAUACAGAGCCUAGGGUCGGAAGUUUGCAUCUGGUGCACCGAACCACUUAGAAAGCUCCGAAGGAUUGUCUUGUCCGCAUUAGCCAAGCAGGAGUUGAAAAUAUCCAUGAGGGAGGAGCUGGGUCGCGACGAGAAUUUAUUCCCACGCCUUCAGGAUUUGGAGGUACACUGUUGUUUUGGAUUGAGGUUCGAACCAUCAAUCCCAAGGAGUGCUAGGUAUGUAGUAUCAGGUAGGGAAGGAACACAACGCCAAGGUCUUUUGCCAUCUUUCCAUCGAAUCAUGGGGCCAUCUGUCCCUGCUUCGUUAUCUAAAAUGGAGAUCAGGUGUAGCAGUGGGUUGUCAUCCGCAUCCUGGAACGACCUACGACACUUUGACAUCGGGGAAUUGAUUAUUGACGACUGUUCUGAUGAGAUGCCUUUGCCAGAGAGCAUUCGGGGAUGGAGAUCCCUCCAGAAAAUACAGAUUUUGAACUGUGACCAAAUUACAACACUGCCGGAGUGGUUGGGCGAGAUGACCUCCCUCCGGGAGCUCACGGUGGAGACCUACUUUAUGAAAACUUUACCUGCAUGCAUCCAACGGCUCACUGGAUUGCAGGCUUUGACCCUGUCAAAAUGCGGAUCAGUGCUUGUGGAAAGAUACAAGUUCGGGGAGGACAAGGAUAAGAUAGUACACAUUCCAAAUUUACAUAUAGAGCGGAGAAAAUGGACCUUCUCUUCUUCAACAUCCGCGCUGUAAACAUAGGUUUGUUUUCUUACACCUUAAUAAUUCCUCUUGUACCUCGCCAAUUGAUGAAUUAUAAACAUAGAUUGAUCUUCAUCCUAUCAUAACUUUUGACCCUGCUCUAUCCAAAAUGCGACUGAAUUGAGUUAGCAAGUAUGUGUAAUAAAGACAAGCUCCCUCUGCAUUUGCAAAGGCCUACGCAAUCUGCAUGCUUUGCUCUGUUUUUGUCUAGCAGUUCUCAUCCCGUGCCUAACAUUGCCCUUCAGGAUCAAUCUUCUCCAGCAUCACAGAAGGUGAGAAGGGAUCACGCGCUGUUCAGCAUCAGGACACCAUCCACCGAAAUCAAUAUCCAUGUCCGAAGCAGCCUACAGAGAUACUGAGCAUGGCAUCAUUUGAGGCUAAGUCAAAGGAUAGCAAAGAGCCAAAGAUCAAUGAUGAAGCUGGCUAGAGAACUAGAGUAGUUGAUGGGACAACACUAGCUGUUACUUAUAUGUGAUGAAGACAAAAUCAUCUUCUUAAUUAGGUACUACUAAGUUUGGAUAAACAAUAGAGUUAUCAGUAUCACAUCAAUUCGUGCUCCAGCAAAUCCCAGAAUACCAUGUUACAUAAAUAUUGAAAUUCUUGUGAUAAAUUUUAAUACAUUAAUUAUCUUUACUCUAAUCACCAUCCGAUUAUUGAAAAUUUAGCAAAAUACUCCCUUCCAAAUUGUAGUCAUUUUGAUUUUUUUUAAAAAAUUCAUAUUUUUACUGUAACUAGACAUAGACCCUGUUUUGUUCCUCUUGCUAAAUUUUAGCCAACUAAACUUUAGUCACUUUAGUAGCUAAACUUCCAAACAUACGUGAGCUAAAAUAGUUUAGUUCCACUAGUCACCUAAGAAUAGCUAAAAUUUAGCAAGGAGAACCAAUCAGGACCAUAAUGUGUAUCUAGAAUUCUAUCAAAAGCAAUGUAUUUAAAGAAAACCCAAAAUAUAUUAAAAUUUAAAACAGAAGGAGUACUCUAUAUGGGGUUUUUAUCCUUGCAUUACACAUCUGUGGUUUUAAUAUAUGGGUUUUAUUAUAAUACCCAGAAGUAACUGUGAUCUGUUUAUUUAUCCUUUGCAUUACACAUCAUAUAUUAUCUUCUAGGAGGUAAUAGAAUACAUUUUAUACCUUGAUAAAGAGUUCUACGGUAAAUAGACCAUUUUCAUAAAAACUGCACGAUUCUUAAAGCAAACAAUGUAACUUCAGCGGCCGCCAUAGCGCUAACCUGCAGGUCUUCUGUGGCGGUUGUGCAACAGAACGUGACUGGUCGGCGGCACAGGGGAAGAAAUGUUUGUCAAAGUGUUUCCGCCAUGGAACAUGACUUAUCGCACAACAAAAGGUGGCCAAAACGGAUCGGCAGCGGUUUUGGAUGAGACGUGGGAAUCGUCUAGGCCCAAACGAUUAAUUAAUUUGCUUUUAGGAUUCGUGCAGUUCUUAUGAAGAGGUAUACGGGAGCAUAACUCAUGUUUGUAGAAAAGAUAUUAGAAAAUUGCUUGUAGGGCCCCGUGAAACUCACCUAAUUCUUACAUGGCUUUAAAAACUUCAAACUUCAUUAUAUGGCCCUGCGUUUGAAUUUCAGUGCCCUAUACGCACUGUUGCGAAGAAUGUUCAUAAAAAAUGUAGGCCUUCCCUGUCAGAUGAUGUGGAAAUGACCAAAGUACCCCUAUGCCUAAAAUAGCCAGGAGAAGGAAAGAAGGCCGCCGGUUCAUCUUCUUUGUCUCGAGCAGUCGAGCUUUUGAGCCUCCCUCGAAACCCUAGAUCCUGUGAGACAAAAGCUCAUGUUAUCCAUGCCGGCUGGCCUUGGAGCCUUCGGCGGUGUUGGUGGAGUGCCUGCUGGCCUGUGAGCCUUCGGCAUUGGUUGUGUUGCCUUCGGACCCCCUACAGACUGUUUGUGUGAUCUGGACUGUUUGUGUGUUCUGGACUUGGGGGACUUGCUGUUGCUUUCGGCACCGACCCUACAAGUCUAUGUAGUUGAACCUUGCUUUAAUGUCAACCAAGAACUGUAACCUCCUCUGUUGGAAUGUCAGAGGCUUGAAUGAUAGUGCAAAAAGAGCCUCUGUUCGAAACCAGAUUAGGGCUACUAGGGCCAGUGUCGUUUGUUUUCAAGAAACAAAGAUCACCAAUUGGACAAGAAAUCUACUAGUGGACAUAUAGUCAGAAACGAGAUGGCAAAUAAUGCGGUUUUCCUGCCCUCUGUGGGAGCCAGUGGGGGUAUUCUAAUUGCAGCCGCCGAGCGUUUUUUCACUUUAAGCCACCCUCAUCUUACCCAGCAUACAAUCUCGGCAAAAGUAAUGGUGCUAGCAGAAAAUAAAACUUGGACCAUAACAGGAGUCUAUGGUCCGCAGAGUGAUGGAGAUAAAAUCCAGUUCCUUCAGGAGCUCACUAACCUACAGACACAUAUGCUUCCUACUUGGCUAGUGCUAGGGGAUUUUAAUCUUAUCUUGAACGCACAUGAAAAGAACAAUGCACGGCUGAACUUGUCCCUGAUCAAUAGGUUCAAGGCAACGGUGGACAAUCUACAGCUUGCCAGGAUCGAACUAAGGGGGAAAAAUACACCUGGUGCAAUGACCAGCAAUCACCAACAAUGACUAGGAUUGACCAUCUUUUUGCAUCGGCGGAUUGGCUAGAACUCUUCCCUAGAACAGACCUCCGUGCUUUGGCAUCUCUGGGUUCAGAUCAUAGCGCGUUGUUCCUCCAAGGUGAUGUUAUUUUUUACUUCUAUAGAGGUUUCAGAUUUGAGUCCCAUUGGAUCUAUAGGUCAGGCUUCAUGGACACAGUGAAGGAGGCAUGGAGCAAACCUGUUAAUACUCAGGACGCCAUUUUACGACUUCAUGUCAAAUGCUACGUACUGCCAAGGCCCUCAAGAACUGGAGGCGCAAAUCCAUGGGUGGCUGGCAGCUAAGCUGGGCGAUUUAACGUUAACUUUAGCGAAUCUGGAAAGAGCGCGCAGGAGGAGAGGGCUCUCACAGCAGACGGACUAGAGUUCAAAAAAAUACUUGCAAAGCAAAUAUCUAGGGAUGGUGGCGGUACAAAAAUCCCGUGCCAGACAACAUUCAAGAUUGACAUGGAUGCGGAAAGGGGAUAGUAACACAAGGUCUUUUCAUUUACAUGCGAAUAUGAGAAAAAAGAAAUCAUUCAUCUCCACAUUAACUGGAGAGGCUGGAACUGCCAUUACACAAGAAAAUAAAUUAGCAUUGGCUCAUAGUCACUUCUCCAAUCUGUUGGGUACCUCAAGUCUUAGGACCCGAGCGAUAAACUGGAACGAACAACAUGAUCUGGAAGACCUCGACGUCCCCUUCACGGCCCAGGAAAUUGAAGCAGUAAUUAAAGACAUGCCAUCCAAGAAGGCGUCGGGCCUAGACAGAUUUAUAGAUUCUUUCUUUAAGAAGUGUUGGUCGGUCAGCAAGGUGGACUUGAUCUAAGCGAUCAUGUUUUUCUUCAACAAUCAAACCUCAAAGCAACACCUGAUCAAUACGGCAAACAUUGUACUCUUACCCAAAUCAUAGGAAGCCACAGCUCUGGGCGACUACACCUGAUUAAUAGUGUUGCUAAGAUCAUCAUAAAAAUUCUUGCGAACAGACUUGCACCACACAUGAAUGAUCUGGUCUCCAAUGCCCAAAAUGCUUUUAUAAAGAAGCGGUGCAUCCAUGACAACUUCCUCUAUGCACAACGGGUGAUACAACUAUUUGAAAGGUCAUAAUAUGGCUAGAGGGGGGUGAAUAGUCUAUUUAAAAAUUCUACAAACUCACUAGAGCAAGAGGUUAGUAAAUAAUAAAGCGAAGUUUUUUGCUCUAGCUCUAAUAGGGUGUUUGCAAGCCACCUAACCAACAAUUCUAGUUACUAUAAUCACUAGGCACACAAGAUCUAUGUCACUACAAGCUACACUAGUAAACUAUGCUACACAAGGCAAGACUAGCAACUAAACUUGUUACACUACUUUGCGGUAAGUAAAUGGAAAGGAAGAGAUAUUUAUACCACCGUGAAGGGGAUGAACCAAUCACCAAUAUAUGAACAAUCAAGCACUGGAGAAUGCCAAUCAAACACAAUUGAGACACCAAAUUUUUCUCCCGUGGUUCACGUGCUUGCCGGCACGCUACGUUCCCGUUGUGUCGACCAAUACUUGGUGGUUUGGCGGCUAAGAGGUGUAGCACGAACCUUGUCCUCACUAGAAUACCGCAAGAACCUACCCACAAGUGAGGUAGCUCAAUGACACGCGCAAUCCACUAAAGUUGCCUUUGGCUCUCUGCCGGGGUAGGCACAAAAACCCCUCACAAUCACCGGGAGAUGACCACGAACAAUCAUUAACUCAUGCCAAUGCUCCUCCGCUACUCCAAGUGCCACUAGAUGCAAUCACUCAAGCAAAUACACUUGGAAUCACUCUCAAUCUCACAAAGAUGGCUAAUCUAUGAAGGAGAUGAGUGAGAGGUGUUUGCUUAGGCUCACAAGGAUGUCUAGUAGUCAAGAAUGCCAAGAGUGAGCCCAAAGCCAGCCAACAACUAUUUAUAAGCUCCUCAAACAAAUAGAGCCGUUGGCUCUUUCACUAGGAUAAAAUCGAGACCACCGGACACUCAAGCAGGAGCCAUCGGACGCUCAUCCCCUGCGUCCGGUGCUCUAGAGCACAUCCACGUGUCCACGGAGUGAACCACACGCGUCGAUCUCUAACGGUAAAAAAUGAACCACCAGACGCGCUCAAGUUAGCACCGGACGUGUUCGGUGCACACCGGUCACGUAUGCAGAGAGGUCUGUAAAAACGCAGGAGCGCUGGACUCACACCACCGGACUCACUCUGAGCGUCCGGUGCUCUCAGUCAAACUCACUACUAAAGUCAAGCCACACCGGACACACAAAUAGGGUCUAACCCGCGUCUGGUGCUUGGCGUCCGGUGCACAACACUAACGGCACCAGGCACUGACAACACACCGGACGCGCAGGCUCAGCGUUCGGUGUCUGCUAUGACCGGUUAGUCCUCAAGCUUUCAUAAAAAAAUAUUACCAUGUCUUGAACACAUGGAAUUUUACUAUGGUUUGGACACCUAAAAGUAAAAAAAGUCUAAAAUUUUACCAUGGUUUCGAGUCCUAGACUUUUUUAGCUGUAAUAGGCUCUCUCGAGCUGCGAUAGGGUCCCUUUAGGUGAUAGGGUCCCUCUAGCUAUGACCUUUUGGUCCUUAAGCUUUCACAAAAAAAUAUUACCAUGCUUUGAACACAUUGAAUUUUACUAUGGAUAGACACCUAAAAGUAUGGAAAGUCUAGAAUUUUAUCAUAGUUUGGAGUACUAUAUUUUUUCAACUAUGAUAGGCUCUCUCGAGCUAUGAUAGAGUCCCUUGAGGUGUGAUAGGGUCUCUCUAGCUAUGACCUGUUGGUCCUCAAGCUUUCACAAAAAAUAUUACCAUACUUUGAACACAUGAAAUUUUACUAUGGUUGGACACCUAAAAGUAAGAAAAAGUCUAAAAUUUUACCAUGGUUUGGAGUCCUAGACUUUUUUAGCUGUGAUAGGCUCUCUCGAGCUGUGAUAGGGUCUCUUGAGAUGUGAUAGGGUCCCUCUAGCUAUGACCGGUUGGUCCUUAAGCUUUCACAAAAAAUAUUAUCAUGCCUUGAACACAUGGAAUUUUACUAUGGUUUGGACACAUAAAAGUAUGAAAAAGUCUAGAAAUUUACCAUGGUUUGGAGUCAUAGACUUUUUCAGCUGUGAUAGGCUCUCUCGAGCUGUGAUAGGGUCUAGCCUAUGACCGGUUGGUCCUUAAGCUUUCAAAAAAAAUAUUACCAUACCUUGAACACAUGAAAUUUUACUAUGAUUUGGACAUAUAAAAGUAUGGAAAAAUCUAGAAAUUUACCAUGGUUUGGACUCCUAGAUUUUUUCAGCUGUGAUAGGCUCUCUCAAGCUGUGUUAGGGUCCCUUAAGGUGUGAUAGGGUCCCUCUAGCACAGUUUGGUCGGAAUUGACAAGACGAAUCUUUUGAGCCUAGUUAGUCCAUGAUUGAACAAUAUUUGUCAAAUACAAACGAAAGUGCUACAGUAUUGAUUUUCCAAAAUUUUUUAAAACUAAACAAGACCUAAAUAUCCUGUGGGGUCAACAGGCAUCAUGUUCAAACCAAUACUGGCGCACCUAUCAGGGGUAUUGGGCCAGAGCCAAGGUAGAUUGGACUCGAAGUCGAAGGUGCGACCGCGCUAUCACCUUGUUACGAGUAGAAUGCGAGAGUACGAGAACAGAGAGGAAUAGAAUGAACUCGGGGUGUUUGUUUAUUCAUUGAUCACGGGUAUUUAUACAGUCGGGGGGGAGAGGAAACUCUCGCCCCAAGUAAACUCGUGCCCACGAUGAGUCGUGGGUGAUAUCACGGAGGUGGAACCGGUCUCCACGGGUACGUGCGUAGUCGUGGGUGAUAUCCCGUAGGCCGUCGUGGGGGAAGUCGUAGUUAGGAUAGAUCUCCCGUAAAGGGAAUCCGAGGAGAUGAGAUCACCCCGGAAAAUAUCCGUAACACUCCCCCUUGAUCGAAUCACUUGUUGAGAUCAAUGAAUCGUAUUGCUCCUCCAAAAAUUCCUGUAGGAUAAAAACGAGGAAAAAUACGUGUGUAUAUGUGCUAUAGUAAAACUCCUUAAAACCGCUUGGGAAAAGAAGGAGAAAGUUAUAGCACUUAAUGAUUGCCUCAUUGUAAACUAAUAUGAGAAAACCUUUGCAGGAGAAAAACUCAUGUUGUAGUUUAGAGGACAAUAUGUGUCUUUGAUACUCCUUUAAAAACCCCUGUGGGGAAAACAAGGAAUAUGACACUCUUGUGUUAAUAUUAUCUCAUUAAAAACUCCUUAUGAGAAACCUUGUGAGGAAAGACUCAUAGAGAGAAAAGAGUAUAAUAUGAUGGUGUAGACAGGCCAAUGUCUAGGAGAUUUCUCCCCCUGAACUUUGCAAAUCCCUAAGUCGUCGCAUACCAAUUCCUUUGACACAUUUUUCAAAUGAGGAAGCUGGUAGGGACUUAGUGAAUAGAUCAGCAAGAUUGUCGCAUGAUUUGGUUUUCAAGAUAUCAAUCUCUCCCUUUUGUUGUAAUUCAUGAGGAUAGAACAAUUUUGGAGAGAUGUGUUUGUUGAUAUUGCUCUUGAUGUAGCCUGUCUCCAUCUGUGUAACACAAGCCGCAUUAUCUUCAUAGAUAAUGGUUGGAGCUGUGAUAGCUUUAAGACCACACGACUGUUGUAUGUGGUUGAUCAUUCUGCGAAGCCAAACGCAUUCACGUGAGGCCUCAUAUAAUGCGACUAUUUCAGAAUGAUUCGUGGACGUUGUUGCCAAGGUUUGCUUGGAUGAUGUCCAUGAUAUGGCGGUUCCGUUUUGUAAAAAUACGAAACCGGUUUGUGAUCUGCCAUUAUGGGGUCUGAUUGAUAUCCAGCAUCGGUGUAUCCUAUCAUCUCGGAAUUUGUUCCUCUUUGGAAGAAUAAUCCGAGAUCCCUUGUGCCAUUAACAUAUCUGAGGAUCUGUUUUACUCCUGUCCAAUGUCUCUUGGUAGGAGCGGCACUGUGCCUUGCUAGCAAAUUCACUGCGAAAGCGAUGUCAGGCCUGGUGCUAUUGGCAAGGUACAUCAGUGCUCCGACGGCACUAAGGUAUGGGACAUGAGGUCCUAGGAUUUCCUCCCCCUCAUCUUGUGGUCUGGAUGGAUCAGUGUUUAGUCCCAAAGACCGAACAACCAUAGGGGUUUUGGAAGGAUAUGCUUUGUCCAUAUUGAAUCUCUCCAAUACUUUCUGGACAUAUGCAGAUUGAUGCACAAAGAUUCCAGUUGAAAGAUGCUCAAGCUGUAGGCCUAAGCAGAAUUUGGUUUUACCCAAAUCCUUCAACUCGAACUCCGUCUUAAGAUGUUUGCAUGCCUCAUCAAUAUCUUGUUUGUGGCCGAUGAUAUUUAAAUCAUCAACAUACACCGAUAUGAUGCAGAAUCCCGUUUGGGAUUUCUUGAUGAAGACACAUGGGCAAUCAUCACUGUUGGAGUAGCCCUUCUGCAGAAGGUACUCGCUGAGUCGGUUAUACCACAUUCUUCCCGACUGCUUUAAGCCAUAGAGUGAUUUCUGUAGCUUUACACAAUACAUGUUGCGAUUUGCGUUUUGAUUCGGUAUUGGGAUUCCGUCAGGAACCUUCAUGUAUAUGUCCGAAUCGAGUGACCCAUAGAGAUAUGCAGUCACUACGUCCAUCAACUGCAUAGAUAGACGAUUUUGUACAGCCAGAGAGAUUAAGUAUCGGAAUGUUAUUCCACCCAUGACUGGAGAGUAUGUUUCAUUGAAGUCAAUGCCGGGUCUCUGCGUGAACCCUUGUGCUACAAGCCUCGCUUUGUGUCUCACCACCUCAUUGUUCUCGUUCCGCUUUCGGACGAAAACCCACUUGAAUCCCACAGGGAAUACUUGUGGAGGUGUAGGUAUUACUUGUGAGAAUACCUGUCUUUUUGUGAGCGAGGAUAUUUCUGCUUGGAUUGCAUCCUUCCAUUGGUUCCAGUCCGAGCGCGUUUUGCACUCUGCCAUGGUCUUAGGAUCUGGAUCAUUUUCAAGGAUUUCGGCAAUCAUUGCGGAGAAAUAUGAGUCGACAAUUGUAGUCUUUCUAUCAAAUGACUCUCCAGUUUCUGCAUAGUUGAUGGAAAUUUCAUGGACCCUUUCCGAUGCAUCAUCAUUUCCCAAGAUGGUCGCAUCAGGGUAUUCCGAUGUCCCAGCAUCAGUAAUUGAGUGCACUGUUGAUGUGGGAUGUGAAGGUUGAACCUCCACUGGGUGUUUCUCAACAUGAGGUUGAGCUACAUUUACUGGAUCAGAAGAUUUUGUCUUCCGUUUCCUUUGCUUGCUAGAAGCUGUAUCCGUGGAGAUAGCCGUACUUCUCCCCCUCUUACUAGGGAGUUGAGUAGUUUUGUUUGGUACCUCUACUCUUUCCGGUACAUUUCUCGCUGGAUUAUAGGAUUUUGUAACACCCUUAUAAUCAGUAAAUGCGUCUGGCACGUUGUUUGCAAUGUGUUGCAAAUUUAUGAUUUUCUGAACUUGGAGUUCAGAUUCUGAAGUACGUGGAUCUGAGUUGGGUAUGCAUGGGGCAUCCCAAUUGAUUUCCUGGCAUUGUUUGUGAUGUGGUAAGUCUCCCCCUAAUGCCGGAAAAUGAUCUUCAUUGAAGAUACAAUCAGCGUACCGGGCCGUAAAGAGGUCCCCUGUGGUGGGCUCCAGAUACUUUAUAAUUGACGGAGAUUUGUAUCCCACAUAGAUCCCCAAUUUUCUAUGGGGGCCCAUUGUUGUACGCUUCGGUGGUGAGAUCGGUACGUAUGUAGCGCAACCGAACUUUCGCAGAUGGGAAAUGCUUGGGGGAUUUCCAUGUACUAGUUGCAACGGGGACGUUGCAUGGUAUGCAGUUGGUCGCAAUUGAAUCAGUUCAGCAGCGUGUAAGACUGCAUGACCCCAACAUGAGGUUGGUAGAUUGCAAUUCUGCAAUAGCGGUCUAGCAAUGAGCUUGAUUCUCUUGAUGAGAGACUCGGCUAACCCAUUUUGUGUGUGGACAUAUGGGACAGAAUGCUGUACUUGUAUUCCUAAGGCCAUGCAAUAGUCAUUGAAGGCUCGAGAGGAAAAUUCAGCAGCGUUAUCCAUCCUAAUGGAUUUUAUUUGAUGUUCAGGAUGUUGCGCUUUGAGUUUGAUAACUUGCGCAAUUAUUUUGGCAAAAGCAUGGUUUCGUGUCGAUAGAAGAGACACAUGAGACCAUCGUGUGGAUGCGUCUAUUAGAACCAUGAAGUACCUGAACGGUCCCGAUAAAGGAUUUAUCGGGCCACAUAUGUCCCCUUGAAUGCGUUCAAGGAAGUUGAGUGGUUCAACUUUGAUUUUGAGGGAAGAGGGCCUCAAAAUUAAUUUCCCUGUUGCACAUGCGGUGCAAGUAUAAUCUGAGGAUUGGGGAAAUUUUGUAUUGGUUAGUGAGUGACCAACAGAAUUGCUAGUAAUUUUUCUCAUCAUCCCUAUGCCAGGGUGACCAAGGCGAUCAUGCCAAGUUUGGAAUGCAUUGACAUUCUGAAAAAUUACUUUGUACGCAACAUGUUGUACGGGUUUUAUGUAUGAAUAGUACAAUCCAGACGAAGUUGAGGGAAUUCUUUCGAGAGUAUCUCUGCCAUAUCCGUUAUCCUUUGUAAUGAGGAGGAACUCCUCAUUAUUUUGGUGAUGGGUUUCGAUAUGAUACCCAUUUUUGCGGAUAUCUCUAUAACUCAAUAAGGUACGAGUUGAAUCAGGAUACAGAAGUGCAUCCUCGAUUGUAAUCGUUGUACCCAUAGGAAGCGUAAUAAUGGCUCUUCCAGAGCCUGCUAUUACAGCAUCGCGUCCAGCGAUUGUUAAAACAUUUCCUUUGCUCUUUGUGAGAGUUUGGAAAUAUUUUAUUUCCCUGAGUAUAGAGUUAGUGGUGCCACUGUCCACUAGGCACAUUUCCUCAUCCAUCGGAUUGACUCCCGUACAAUCUAUGAAAAUAGAGAAUAUAAAAGAGAAUGAAAUUCUCAACAUGAAUAUAUAUGAAAUAUAAACAUUUAUUGAUGUUGAAUUGUGCAUAAGUCAAUGAACAUCAAACAGAGUGUAGCAAAAACAAAUUGUCAAUUAUUACAAUCCCGAAGGCGAAUGAUGAAACUAAAAUUUCAAAUGACUAUCAAUCUAGUUGUAGUCGCCGAACAGAUCAUCAGAAUUGUAUUCAAUGAUCAUGUUGUUGGUGGAGUCAUUUGCCAUGCCAUCAGGUGGAAGAGGCGCCAUUGUGUUGCUCGGUCCCGCUGGGGCGGGGUUGGAACAUCCUGGGGCUGCCAGAUCGUUGAAGUGUGCUUCAGACGGUUGUCCACCUUGGUUGGAGCGUCCUUGGUUGGAGCGUCCUCGUCCCACGGAAUGCAAGUACAGUUCCACAAGGUGCUUAGGGGUGCGGCAUUUCUUAGUCGGGUGGUUGUAGCAACCACACUUUGUACAAGUUGAGGACUUGUCUUUUGACUUAGAGUUGUUGCCUUUGCCCUUAGCACCUCGAGGCUUACGGGGUCCCUUGCGCUUGUUUUUGCCUUUGGAGGAUCUAGGAUUGCCAUUCUUGUUGGCAUCCUUUGGUGUCUGUUUCUGAGCAUUUGCAUGUACUUCGGGCAAGGGCUUGGCACCGACAGGGCCUUGAUUGGAGUUCCAUAUGAGGAGCUCAUUGUGCCUCUCAGCCUGAAGUAAUGUUUUAAUGAGAUCAGAAUAGACUGUGAAUCCCCUCUCACGGUAUUGCUGUUGGAGGAUCAUUUGAGCGGGAAGCAUGGUAGACAAAGUCUUUUCAAUUUUCUCCGCAUCAGAUGGCUCCUUUUCACAAAACCUCAGUUUGGAACUGAGUUUGUGCAUGGCAUGGUUAUAUUCAUUCACAGAUUUGAAAUCUUGAAUGCGGAGGUGGUUCCACUCAUGAGUGGCCUCCGGGAGAAUAACUGCCUUUUGUUGCUCAUACCGCUGUUGCAAAGCAAGCCAGAGAGCCCGUGGGUCCUCUUCCAUCAGAUAUUCAGCUUUGAGAUCUGAAUGGAUGUGGUUCCUUAUUAUGUAUAAGGCAUGGUACUUGGAUGGUUCAGGCAAUGGAGCAUCUCCCUGUUUGGGAGUGUCAAUUGCCCUAUACAUUCCGCGUAACGAUAGACUCACUUUGAGAUCCAUCGCCCAUGUAGGGAAGUUGUGUCCAUCAAGAGCUAGCUCGGCAAAUUCCUUCUUAGAAGAAACUUGGGCAUCGGACUCUUUGGUGGCCAUUGCCUACAUGUUUAUUUGCAUAAACUUAAUUAAUUGCGGGGUUGUAAAAUUAACAAGAAUGUAAUUGCAUAUUUAUAUAACAAUGUAAAUUGCGUAUAUAAAAACAAUGUAAAAUUGUAUAUGUAAAGCAAUGUAAAAUUGCGUAUGUAAGACAAUAUAAAAUUGCGUAUGUAAAGCAAUGUAAAAUUGCGUAUGUAAAUAACAAGGUAAACUUGUUUAUGUGUAGCAAGGUAAACUUGCAUAUGUUUUAUGGUAUUUUGAUUUCUCAUUUUGUAGAACAUAGGUAGUCACCAUGGAGGUGUAGACCAUUUUAUGUAUUUCACUUUGGGAUGUAGUCCUUGUAUGUUUAUUAUUAAAUUUGGGAGAGCACUUUGAAGAAUAAAUCCCGCAGUAGUAUGAGUACUACCUUGUGGUCGCCAAAAUAAUAAUAAAGUAAGGUGACAUCUAGUGAAAAAUAAUAUUCCAAAUAGGGAGAAAAAUUGACCAUAAAAAUAUUUACAUAUAUACAUGUGAUAGGGAAUUGUAAAGACAAAACACGUUCGACAUGUAAUAAAUUUUUUUUUUUUCAUUCAUAAUAUGAUUGCGGAAUGUAAAAAUAUUUACAAUGCAAUUUACACCAGGGUCUAAAUUUACAAGAAAGUUAGACUAACAAGCUGAUGUAAUUUAGGGAAUGAAAAAUGCUAUGUAAAUAAAGAAAUUAGCUAAUUCAGAAAAUAAAAUAGCCAAUGAUAACUGGCCCAGGCUGAAAGCUCGCAGGCCCCAACCUGGGCCUGGGCCACCAAUUUGGCCCAAUUUGGGGAGGGGGGGAGGUGGGCCAUAUAUAAACCAGGGGUUAGGGUUUCCAAACCCUAACCCCCAGCCCAACAGCCGCCGCCGCCAGGGUGCUGGGCGGCUCCAAGCCGCCGCCGCCGCCAGGGGGCGCGCCCCUGCGUGUGGGCCCGCGGGGCCACCUCGUGCCGCGCGCCCUUGUGGGGCCAGCGCAGAGGAUUGGCUGGCCAUUCCGGUCGGGGCACAGAGGGCCGCGUCGUCGCGAGCUUCGCAGCCGCGGGCGGAGUCGCGCGCUCGCCGAGGCCGCCGCCGUCGUGCCGCGUGCCGCUCGUGGGCCGCACCGUGCGGGCGCGUGGAGAAGCCGCGGAGGCCGCGCAGCUUCGUCGAGCCCCCGCCUUGGUCCCCAGUCACGCUCGCGCACGGGUCCGGCGAGCCGUUCAGCCGCGGCGAGGUCGCGCGCGGCCGCGGUGGCCACCGGGCACGCACGUCACCCGGUGCGGUUGCGGGUGCAGCCGCGUCGAGGAAGGCGCGCAGGGGCCAGGCGGUGCCGCGCCAAGCCGCGGCGAGGGGAGGGGCCGCCUGCUGUGUCAUGGCCGCGAGGGCGGCUGCCGAGGCCGCGGUCAGGGCCGCGAGCCCAGGGUCGAGGCCGCAACCGCGUGGAAGACGGCCGAGCUGAGCAGCCGUAGCGCCUCCUCCUCCCCCUCUCCCCAUUGACGUUCUCAGGCCGACGGAGCGCGUCCUCGAGCCGAUGGCCCGUGGGGGACGCUGAUCCACGUGCGGCGGAGACGCGCAGGAGGAGGUGGUAGCGGCGGUGGUGGUGCAGCGAGCGCCGGGUCGACGAAGUAUGCUGGCAGACGAGUCGGCGCCGACAUCCGCGCCGCGAUGGUUGGUGGAGAUGGGCGGCGCGGAGGCGGGCUGUGUGCAGCCUGCUCAGAAGACGGCGUCGGCGUCGGGUACCGAAUCGGCGACUGCGGCUCUAUGCCCAGUGACAGCCAUUGGCUGGCCACCAUGGAUGGUGGCGGUGGUGGGCACGGGCCGUCGCCGUGGAGCGGGCACCGAGGCCGGGGUGGAGCCGGCAAGGCGAGGACCGGCGCUGGAGGCGCCGGUGGAGUUGGUGCCCUCGAUGGUGGCGCCGCGGGCGGAACCGCGGAUGGCGCCGCGGGCGGAGCCGCGGAUGGCGCCGCGGGUGAAGCCGUGGACGACACCACCGAACGUCGUGACGGAGGGCCGACGUUUGCAUGUCGGUUUCCCCCGAAACGACGUCGUACAGGAAAACGCCCGGGGUUCCUGUUGAGAUCACGGCGUUCGCCACGAAGGCGAUAGCCGCGAGCCUCGCCAAGGAGUUCCCGGAUGUCCUCCAGUAGUUCCGCCUGAAGGCGGUUGUUGCCGAAGUGUGUGCCCAAUGUCCGGGCACGGUUCAUCGCCAUCCAGACGAUUUGGAGGAUGAGGGAAGCCAUUGAGGCAGGAUUACGGCGAGGGAAAGGCAUGAUUCUACCUUGGGGUGAUGCCCUAGGCGAAGGUCGAUCCCUCGACGAUGUUCUAUCCAACCGAGCUAUUCCCCUCUGGGGGAGGGGAGAGCGAUGUGCUGAUAACGUGUUACGAGUAGAAUGCGAGAGUACGAGAACAGAGAGGAAUAGAAUGAACUCGGGGUGUUUGUUUAUUCAUUGAUCACGGGUAUUUAUACAGUCGGGGGGGAGAGGAAACUCUCGCCCCAAGUAAACUCGUGCCCACGAUGAGUCGUGGGUGAUAUCACGGAGGUGGAACCGGUCUCCACGGGUACGUGCGUAGUCGUGGGUGAUAUCCCGUAGGCCGUCGUGGGGGAAGUCGUAGUUAGGAUAGAUCUCCCGUAAAGGGAAUCCGAGGAGAUGAGAUCACCCCGGAAAAUAUCCGUAACACACCUCACUGCGCUCCUGAAAGUGGCAGCGGAUCAUCCUAUUUUGACCUUUCGUUUGGUUUGAGGCAUUGUUUAGUUUCGAAAAGAUUUCGAAUUUUAAUACUGUAGUAUUUUCGUUUGUUUGUGGCAAAUAUUAUUCAAUUAUAAACUAACUAGGCUUAAAAGAUUCGUCUCGUAAAUUACAGACAAACUAUAUAAUUAGUUUUUAUUUUUUUCUAUAUUUAGUGCUUCAUGUAUGUGCCAUAAGAUUUGAUGUAACAGAAAAUCUUAAAAAGUUUUUGAAUUUCUAGGUGAACUAAACAAGGCCUGAGAAACGGAAAGUACUAAAUAGUUCCUAGAGAGCAGGUCAGCUAGUGUCGACAAGUGCACUGAAUCUUCGAUGCUGUAACAGGCCAUGACAUUAUUUUGAUGGACCGACCGAAUCAAUGUUAAAGAUUAGGCUUUCUUCGAUGAUGAGUGUCUUCUCAAGUUUUCAAGGUCCUGAUUUCACGUACAUGCAAAUAUUGUUUAUUAUACGUGAUAAAAGGAUGGAUUGUUCCUACGUAACUUAAGUUAGGUCUUGUUUAGUUCAACCAAAAAUAAAAAACUUUUCAAGAUUUCCUGUCACAUCGAAUCUUGUGUCACAUGCAUGUAGUACUAAUUGCACAGUUUGCUUUUAAAUCACGAGAUGAAUCUUUUGAUCCUAGUUAGUCCAUAAUUAGAUAAUAUUUGUCAAAUAAAAACGAAAAUACUACCGUGUCAAAAUCCGAAAUCUUUUCGGAACUAAACGAGGCCUUAUUUUCUUGGGACGUACGAUUUCGGUUGCAAUGGACAGCCAGUAUUCGCUAGUCUGUCUAGUGGCUUUCACGGGGGCAGGUCUGACGGGCGAAGCCACGAAGGUGACUCCAAGAAACCAAACACCAGAGUACGCACGCAAUGGAUGCGCGAUGAACUAAACAGGCUUCAUCCUAGAGUUUACAGUUGUACUCCCUCUGUCCCGUUACGGGACGUGUGCCAGUCCAACAUUGUCAAUUUUGAUUAGGUUUGUAUAAAAUAAAUGUUAUAUUUUUAUCUAUAAAUAAAUUUAUUAGAAAAGUAUAUCAACUAUCUAUAUAACAAUAUUAAUUAUGUAACCUAAAUAUUAAUAUUUUUUAUAUAUAAUUAAUCAAAGUUUGGAAAAGUUAACUUAUCUUGAAGUGAGAAUGACUUCUAUUUUUGACAGAGGGGGUAGGUGACAAAGUGGAAACUGAAAUUCACCGCAAGGAUUUAACAAUUGUACUAGGUGACAAAGUUGAAAACUGAAAUGUACACGAAAGAUAGGAUCUUUCUUCUUUUUUUUUUAAUAUAGUCGAUAGUUGUCUACUUUGUUAACUAACCCGUUCACUUUUAUCAGCCGUACUUUUUAUAUCAGCUAAUAAUAUUUUUCUCUUAUAAUAAAUCAACCGACAAUAAUUUUAGUUAUGAUUUUUUAGACGAACGAACUUGCUAACCGGUUCUCAAACUCUUACCCUGCUACGAGCUCUUCUGCAUUUUUUUUAAUUGCUACAUGCUCUUCCGCUUUGCAGACUUAACGCGUCAGCUCUCACUGUCACUGCUUUCAAGCUGCCGGUCAAUUGACUUGACUUUGCGAGCGCAAAGAAUGGAUGUAGGGGCUUAAAGUUUACUUCACGUCACAUCGAUUGUUGUAGAAUUAGACAUGAGCUAAUUAUAAAACUAAUUAUAGAAACCAUGGCUAAUUUAUGAAAAAAAUCUAUAAACCUAACUAAUAUAUUAUUAACACAUAUUUACUAUAACACUAUAUUAUUAAAUCAUACGCUAAUUAGAUUUAAUAGAUUUAUCUUGUAAAUUGGUCGCAAUUUGUAUAAUUAGUUUUGUAAUUAAUCUAUAUUUAAUACUCUAAAUUAAUAUCAAAAUGAUAAGGAGAACCAAAUACUCCUACUCCGUAAGCUACAACAGUGACACCGGCAGUCGGCACACGGAUGACUUGACCAAAGAGUCAUGGUCGGCGGCGCAAGUGGCCAAGCGCAUGCAUCGAAUUUUCGGGCGGGGUGCUCUCUGCUCUGCUUCGCCCGUAACGCCGUGUGGAGCACGGUCUGGAUUUUUCAUCGUGAGAAGAUAACAACGUUCCCUGUUCUGCUUCGGCCAUAAAGUACUCCCCAUCUCUUCUGCCAGGCCCCAGGGUACGGUAACCCGGGAAGAGGAGGCGAGGAGACGGUCACCCAGCCGGGUUGCCUCCCGCACUCCCGCAGGCGUUGCCGCCUGGCUCCCCGAGCACGGCGAUUAGCUAGGCCAAGACCGCGCGUCGCCUCUCCUACUCCUACUACUGCUAGUGGUAAGAUGAAAGGCCUUCCGCCUCCCUAGUUCCUCUAGAUCUGAUGUACGUAAGGGAUGUCCUCUGCAAUCGUUCCUUCACACUCCUGCUUUGGAGCAGCUUGUCUAAUGAUCAGAAUAAAGGAAUGGGAACCGUGGGCACGGAUUAUAAACUACCAUCUACUGGGCUGGGCGAUCUCCUUGCUCUAAGAGCAUCUAGGCCUUGUUUAGAUGUGUUUUUUUUUUGAUUUUGCUACUGUAGCACUUUCGUUUGUUUAUGAUAAAUAUUGUCCAAUCAUAGACUAACUAGUGUCAAAAGAUUUGUCUCGUGAUUUUACAGGCAAACUAUAUAGUUAGUUUUUGUUUUCGUCUAUAUUUAAUGUUUCAUACAUGUGCCGCAAAAUUUGAUGUGACGGGAAAUUUUGAAUUUUUUUUAUUUUUAGGGUGAACUAAAUAAGGCCCUAAUUUAGUAGUGGAGACAAAAACUCAGCUCCAUUAGACCGCUACUAGGCCCCCUAAAUUUAUUGGCAUCCUAUUUAUUUCUUUAUUCUUGUAAGAGUAUCUUGAGCACUGCUAUCUAAAACAGAUCCUCUACUUUCAUAUUUAAGUAGCCAAUCUACUUUUAUGGGCCUGUUUUUUUUCCUAUUUUUUACAAGAUCUAUCUAAAUCUGGGUCCUUAAAUUUAUCCUAACACAUGAUGACAUAAGGGGUCCACUUAUCAUACUCUCCUCUUCCCUUUCUCCAACUGAGGAUGGUGAGCUACCAUGGAGGCAGAGUGCCGACGAUAGGUGCCUCGCUGCCUCCCCUGGGAGCAGGACUGACGGAGAGAGAAUAAAGCCUUGUUUAGUUUCAAAAAAUUUUGGAAAAACGACACCGUAACAUUUUCGUUUUUAUUUGACAAACAUUGUACAAUCAUAGAGUAAUUAUAUUUAAAAGAUUUGUCUCGUGAUUUACAGACAAACUGUGUAAUUACUUUUUAUUUUUAUCUAUAUUUAAUACUUCAUGUAUAUGCAGUAAAAUUCGAUGUGACGGAAAAUCUUAAAAAAUUUUGAGUUUUUGAGAUGAACUAAACAAGGCCUGGCUGCAAUUGAGGCUAGAUAUGGUGGCGAGGCAUAGGGUGGCGGCAUGAGAAGAAGCGAGAGUGGGAGUUCGCACGUGGGAGAGAAACUAUUGAAGAAAAAAAAAAUAGGUGCUCAUCUCUUAGACGGGUGUUCGGUUGAAAGUGUUAAAGUUUAACAGGUACUGUAGCAUUUUUUUAUUUACUAUUUUCGUUUUAUUUAGCAAUUAAUAUCCAAUCAUGGAUUAAUUAGGCUCAAAAUAUUUGUCUCGCAAAUUAUUUUCUAGUUGUUUCUGUAGUUUCGUAAAUAGUCUAUAUUUAAUACUUCAUGCAUGUAUCUAAACAUUUGAUGUGAUAGGUGGUAAAGUUUACCGCCUCCAACUAAACAAGGUCUUAGGCCAACAAAUGUGGAUAGUAGGAGAAAAAAAAAGUAAGGGGCAACACAAGUAGAGUCCUAGUAGGUAGACUGUUAAAAUAUUUUUUUUGCUUCAAUAUUCAAAAAUAGAAGGGUCCUGUGUUACGGCCUUGUUUAGAUGUGGAAAUUUUUUGGAUUUCGCUGUUGUAGUACUUUCGUUUAUUUGUAACAAAUAUUGUCCAAUUAUAAAAUAACUAGGAUUAAAAGAUUCGUCUCGCGAUUUACAGACAAACUGUAUAAUUAAUUUUUACUUUUGUCUAAACAAGGCCUAAAUAACCUACUCGAAUGCUCUCCUACGUACUCAGCCACCAAUUUUUUUCCUUCAACCUUUCUUCCCAACCUGAAACUGCUCCCGAUGCGCCCCUUCCGCUCCACAGCCUUCCCUUCCCUAGCGCUUCCUAGGCCUUGUUUAGAUACACCCAAAAACCCAAAAUUUUAUAAGAUUCCCCAUCACAUCGAAUCUUGCGGCGCAUACAUGUAACAUUAAAUAUAGAUAAAAAAGAUAACUAAUUGCACAGUUUACAUGUAAAUCACGAGAUGAAUCUUUUAAGCCUAGUUACUCUAUGAUUGGACCAUAUUUGUCAAAUAAAAACGAAAGUGCUAUAGUGUCAAAAUACAAAAAGUUUUUAGAUCUAAACAAGCCCUAGUCGGCGUGGCGACCUUCCUCGACGGCUCGAGGCAGCAGCCAUGGCUCGCACGUGGGUGCAGGCGCGAUGUGUCAGCCGUGCCCCUGCGCGGACGCAAGCGCACCUCAGAGCAAAGAUUAUAAAGAUUAUAGUGGGUUGUAAUGCAAAACCCUUGAAGAUGAGGGUUUUGCAUUUGAGGUUUGCAUUUGAGUAAUUUGCUAAAAAGCUUUAAAAGAGGUAUCCAACGGUUUUGCAUUUGGAGUUUGCAAUUUGGACAACUUGGCAAAUGAGAGAGCAAACUUGGUAAAAAUGUCAAGCUAUGGACGACUUUGCAAACCCAAUCGCUCAAGCAAAGUCACGCGCGAGAAAAGCGCGCGCGCCUGGAGACCUUCUAUUUUUAUCCUUUGCCAAGUCCAAAUGCCAAUUUCUUUGGAGAUGAUCUAUUUUUAUCCUUUGCAUUUUGUUAUAGGAGUUUGCAAAUAGCAACAAAUGCCAAGUCAAUUUGCCAAAGCCUUUGGAGAUGCUCUUAAAGCUGGCUAAAUAUUGAGAUGAAGAAGAAAAGAGAGGAGAAAGAAGAGAAACAGGCUAUAAGGUUAUAAACAGCUUAGACACAGGAACAAAAAAAACUUUGUGAGAAAUAUAAGUGAGACCAUAUAUUUAUAGUGAAUAACUAACUAUUAUAUGAGUAGACUAAAAUAAAGUAAUAAAAAACCUUACAGCCAAUAAAUAGAAUGUAUUAUUAAACUUGCUCUCAACUCCUCGCCGCCACCAUGCCUCGAUUCCAGCACCUCGACACUGGCGACCUCUCCAUGAUGUCUAUGGCAACAACAUGAAAGAGGAUCACAUGUGCGUCCCACGUGUCAUUCUCUACUAGCAUGGGUUUGAGAGGUCUAUUUUAGGUAGGCCUUGUUUAGUUCCUUUCCGAAAUUUUUUCGGUACAUUGUAGCAAUUUCGUUUGUUUGUGAUAAUUAUUGUCCAAUCAUGAACUAACUAGACUCAAAAAAUUCGUUUCGUAAAUUUCGAUCAAACUGUGCAAUUAGUUUUUAUUUUCGUUUAUAUUUAAUACUCUAUGCAUGCGUCUAAAGAUUCGAUGUGACGGAGAAUCUUGAAAAGUUUUUGGAUUUUGGGUGGAAGUAAACAAGGCCUUAGUUCACCCAAAAAACUAAAAACUUUUCAAGAUUCUCCAUCACAUCGAAUCUUGUGGCACAUGCAUGGAGUAUUAAAUAUAGAUAAAAAUAAAAACUAAUUACUCCCUCCAUAUAAAAAAGAAAGUCGUUUUAGGACAGAAUUUAGCAUACCAAGGAGAGAUUAAUUAGGAUGAAGUUUUUCCUGUUUUUCUCUAAUAAAUACAGCUUCACGUGCAUUCUUUUUAAGAAAGUUUCGUAGACCAACUGGCUAGCGACGACGUUUUUUCCGUAAUCCUGUUCCGAGGCAGAACGACGUUCUUUUUUUAUAUGGAGGGAGUAUGUAAAUUACUCAAUGAAUCUUUUAAGCCUAAUUACUUCAUAAUUAGACGAUAUUUGUCAAAUGAAAACAAAAACGCUACCGUGUCAAAAUCUAAUAACUUUUUGAUCUAAAUAAGGCUCUAGUUUCUCUAGAGAAAAAAUAAAAGAGUAGUAUUCACAUGGGUGGUUACCUAAACAGUAGAGGAGUGAUUUAAAAAAAUAGCAGAGGAUCGGUCUGGGAUUGCAUUGGAGGAGAUGCUGAUGGUGGAGGGGAGCUUGGCAGACAGCUAGAUACUCCAUACCUAUACUUCUAGGGCCUAGUUCAUCAAAAACCAAAAACUUUUCAAAAGUUCUCGUCACAUCAAAUCUUGCGGUAUAUGUAUAGAACAUUAAAUAUAGAUAAACAUAAAAACUAAUUAUAACUGUCCGUAAAUCGCGAGAUGAAUCUUUUAAGUCUAGUUAUUCUAUGAUUGGACAAUGUUUGUUAAAUAAAAAAUGGUACAGUAUCGAAAUCUAAAAUUUUUUCGGAUCUAAACAAGGCCUUGUUUAGUUCCCAAAAUAUUUUGUAAAAUUUUUCAUAUCAAAUUUUGAAGCACAUGCAUAAAGCUAAAUAUAGAUAAAAGAAAUAACUAAUUACAUAAUUUACCUGUAAUUUGCGGGACAAAUCUUUUGAAUCUAAUUAAUCUAUGAUGGAUAAUAUUUAUCAAAUAUAAACGAAUACUACUAUUUUUAUUUUGCAAAUUUUUUGAAAGUAAACAAAUGGCCUCCAAAAUCUUCACAUAACGCGCGCGCUGUGCACAACGUCGUCACGUACAGAAACGAUGCCGGGGAGGAGGAAGAAGAAGAACAGUGCACCGGCAAGGUUAGGGUUUGGGGUGUAGCUUGGGUACCUCCAAUGAACUCCGGGCUUAGAAGAGAAGGCCUUGGGGCGGCGGUUGGACGGGCGGUGUGAGACAACCAGUUGGCUUGACCAGUUGACCGCUUGAGCCGGCGAUGGGGGCGAGGACCGAGAGGAACAAGAUUUUUUUUCCUCCUAUAUAGGGAUUAGGUGAGGGCGGGGGUGGGCGGCGCAACGAUUCCGAUUCAGAUUAGGGGAAGGCGGGCUGGAGCGACGGAGGUGGUUGGCUGGCGGCGCGGCCAGCGGCGAGGGCGCCGCUGGCUGGGGGCGGCAGCGGGGGAGCAGAAUGGCUCCACAAAGAGGAAGAAUAGAGGAAGAACAGGGAAGAAGAAAGAACCCGUGCGCUGAUAAAGAGUCCUAUGUGGCAUCACCUCUGCUGCUAGUUCCUUACUCCACACACGUUCUGGUUUCCGGCAGGGUACUCGUUCGCGUCCGACGAUGGACGCCGUGGUGGAUUUGUUCAGCAAGCUCGCUGAUGUCACCUUUAACGCCGCUUGGAAAGAGAUUACUAGGCAGCUGAAAUUCAGUGAAGAUUUGGGGAGCAUCAAGGACAAUCUGUCCCUCAUUCAAUCAUUCCUCAGGGACGCGGAGAGGCAGUCAUCAAAGCUGCAGAGCGUCCGACACACGCUAAAGAAGCUCAAGGCUGCAGCUUAUGACUUGGAGGAUAUGCUACUGCUCUUCGAGUCCUGGACCACCACCCACAAGGGUGAAGUCCUUCCACUUAGCGCCAAGGCUACAAAGGUCAGUUGCCACUUGCCAUCUAUAAUACUUCAAAGCUAAACUGUGGUAUCUUAUGAUGAACUCUGUACGUUGUGUGGCAUUUAUUGACAGCAGGAAUUAGUUGCAUGCUCUGAAAGGUUGAAGAUGCCUCAUAAAUUGAAAAGAAUGAGGGAAACAAUAGAGGAGAUAAUAGAUCACCAGAACAAAUUCAACUUCAUAGAAGACACUAGAAAGAACGACGAAGAAGUGUUCAGGAAACGUGAGACAUUUUCAGAUGCUGAUGAAGUCCCCAUUGGGAGGAUUGAAGAAAAAGAAAGAAUAAUCAGUAUGCUGCAAGCAGAUGAUUCAAACUUUUUCAUCGUUUUUAUUUAUGGUUUUGGAGGAGUAGGUAAAACUACUCUUGCCCAGAUGGUCUUCAAUGAUGAUAGAACAAUGCAAUUCUUUGACUUCCAAGUGUGGGUCUAUGUCUCUCUAAAAUUCGAUAUCAAGACCAUCGGUCAAUCUAUCAUCUCCCAACUGGAUAAAUCAAGUAGCUCUGCAGAUAUCACCUUACAAGCUACACGGGACCGCUUGAAAACUAUUGUUAAAGGGCAACGGUUUCUUAUUGUUCUGGAUGACCUAUGGGAAGAAGAUCCAGAUGAGUUGGAAAAACUAAGGACACUGCUGCGGGGUGCUAAAGCAGGCAGCAAGAUCAUUGCAACCACACGCAGUGUAAAAGUUGCUAAGCUAAUGAAUGGAAGUUUGACAAUAGAAUUAGGUGCUUUGCCGGACAAUUGCUGCUGGGAGUUGUUCAGAGCAAAGGCAUUUCCACAUGGAAAGGUGGAUGCUGAUAAGGAAAGUAUAGGAAGAGAGAUAGUAAAUAAAUGCAGCGGAAUGCCACUAGCAGCAAAUUCUCUGGGUCGCCUUUGCCGUAGAACUGAUGAAUGGAAAGCUAUACGGGAUAGUGAUAUCUGGGCAGAAGAUGGAGAUGAUGUACCUUUCAUAGACACCAAAGUACUACCAUCACUGAAGCUUAGUUAUCAAUACAUGCCUUAUCAUCUCAAACCCUGUUUUGCAUAUUGUGCUGUUUUUCCUAAAGGCUCCCACAUAGAGAAGAGCAGCUUGAUUCAGCAGUGGAUUGCUCUUGGAUUUGUUCAGCUCCCUGCUGCUUGUCAGUCGUUCACCGUUCAACAAGCUGGAGAAAGAUACUUUGAGGAGCUUCGUGAGAUGUCAUUUCUUCAGGAUGUAGCUGGAAUGUCUCCAACUGUAAGUCCUUGAUUUCUUUUACUUCUUACUAUUUGAUGUCAAAGUUCUAUUUAGGUAGUCUCAUCUAGUUCCACUAUAAAAAAAGGCAAUCUAUGUCAAUUAUGUUCUUCUUUUUUUAUAAUACAUGCUACCAUGCAAGUUAAUUAUGACUAAACUUGGGCAAGGUAGUUUACUAACAUGGGUUCAAUUUCAUCUUUCAGCCAUUUGCAAGAUAUAACGAACCUCGAGGUGUACAAUUCCAGAUGCAUGAUUUGGUUCAUGAUCUAGCUAGAUUAGUUGCAGGUGAUGAAGUUAUUGCCUUUGAUGCUAAUAGGCAACAAAAGCCUCAUGGUAAUACAGACAACUGCCGACACAUGUUGCUCUCAAAUUUAUGUGACUCAUCCCUAUAUUAUUGGUCUAUACCUAGCACAGCAAGGGCUCUUCGUUUUGAGAAGUGCAGCAUUGCUCAGACUAGUUUGAAGUCUUUGAUGGGAGCUGAAUUCUUACGUGUACUGGAUUUAAGUACAUGUACUACUAUUGCCAAUCUACCUGAUUCUAUCAACAAUUUUAGACUGUUGAAGUUCUUAAAUAUAUCUGGAAUGCAAACUGGCCUUUUGCCCAAGUCCCUAAGCUCCUUGCAUGGUUUACUAGCAUUGAAUCUUUCUGAAAAUACUGGCCUUGUUGAUAUUCCCAGUUACAUUUGUGAAUUUGUCAACCUACACUAUUUGGAUCUACAUGGCUGCUCAAAUCUUAGAGAGCUGCCACAAGAAAUUCAUAUACUCAAAGAGCUGCUACACCUGAACCUAUCAGGAUGUGGUAGCCUACAAUCUCUGCCUAAUGAGUUUGGGGAGCUUCGAAAACUCUCAUUCCUCGACCUUUCAUAUUGUUCUCAGCUUCAAUCGCUUCCUUCAAAGUUUGGUGGGCUUCAGGAACUUUCGUUUCUCAACCUGUUGCAUUGUUACCAACUUUGUGAGCUGUCUGAUUCUUUCAUUUACCUUGCAAAUAUGAUACAUCUGAAUAUGUCCUUCUGCCACCAGUUGAAACUAUUGCCUAGUGGGUUAUUCAAGUACAUGAAGAAGCUUCUAGGUUUGAAUUUGUCUGGCUGUACCUCUCUUGAAGUUCUUCCUGAAGUUUGUGAGAAUGAUGCUGGCUGCCCGAUGUUGGAAACUUUGGACUUAUCAAAUUGUACUAAUCUGGCUGCCCUUCCAAAUUCCUGCACCAGUCUUUGUGAGCUCCGGUAUUUAAAUCUAUCAGGUUGUUCUCGAAUUAACAACUUUCUAAAUUUGAUUCCACACUGGAAAUUCGAUAAGUUGGAAUACCUAAAUCUCUCUGGGUUUGAUGCAAAAACUUAUCCUGAAGCUCCAGGAACCUCUGUGGCAAAUGUAGAGAGUUCAGAAGAUCUCAAUAGAGAACUAGAGCUAGGCAUGCUGCAAGAGGAUAUCAUCACCCAACGUUUGCAUCAUCUUAAGUACCUAUCAGUUGGAGGGUUCACACUCUUCUCAAAACAAGGCAUUGCAAGCUUGGUAGACCUUCUAACCUUGCCCAACUUUAAUGUACAGGCACAACCUGCAGACAACCACAGCAAUAUUAUGCUUCUCCAGCAGAUCCUGGAUCUCACACAUCAUGAGCUAAACAUCAAAUGCCUUGAGAAUGUGGUGUCGCCAGAGGAAGCAAAGAAAGUGGAACUGAGCAGGAAGCAACAGCUUCAUUUCUUGAGUUUUGAAUGGUCUUGUUUUUUGUCUUCUUUGACACCUGAUGGGACUGGUGAGGAAAAGGCUAUGGCAGUUUUGGAACAUUUCAGGCCCUAUUACAAUUUACAGUGCCUCUCUUUAAAAGGCUACAACGGAACCAGAUUUCCUAAUUGGGUUAACAAGAUAGAUGACACACUCCCAAAUCUGGUGAAAAUUGUAUUGUCCAAUAUCAAAUGGUGUGACCAUAUUCCUACAUUGGGACAUUUACCAAAUCUACAGGAACUGGAGAUUAAUGAUAUGCCUCUGCUUCGGCAUGCACGAAUUGUACCAUGCAAGAAGUUAAGACGGCUGACAUUGGUUGGACUGCAAGACAUCACUGUACUUAUAUUUUAUGAUUACAACUCAGAAACACAAGUAAAUGAUGUGCACGAGACAGGAGUACAUGAGGUGGUAUUAUGUUGUGACUUCGAUGAGGAAGAGAGAGAAACAAGAGAUUCUCUUCCCAUAAGUAAGCAAGUCAAAAGAAAGGCAGCGGCAGCAGGCCUUGUAGCAAAGGUUAAGGGUUGUUUAAAAGCUCCACGCUGUGGCACGUCGACAGAAACAAAGAGAAUACACUACAUUGGUGCUGGAAAUGACGCACCUGCUGUCACCUGCAAGCCAGUACUAACUCCAGCUCCCUCUAAAGAAAGAAGAGAACAGGCAGCAGGCCCUACACUUGAUUAUUUGAAGAUAGAAAGCUGUCAUAAUCUAAAACUGCAUCCAUAUAUCCCUAUGUGCAAGGAGUACUUCGUCAAGAAUAGCUUUCUCAAUCUGGAUCAUAUCGAGGAAGAUGCCAUAGGUAUCCAAAGAUAUGAUAUGUUGCCUUUGAAUCCCACAUUCAAAUCAAAAAUGUGGAUAGAGGACUGUGUUGAAAGACAUGAUGAUUCUGUAAAAUGGAUUAUGAAAGUAGUUACAAACACCAACGUGGAGGAGCUUUUUAUCACUAGAUGCUACAUCAUUGCCAGACCGCCCAUAAUAGAGGAGCGGCCUUUUGGAACCCUUCGGAAAGUCAAGAUAACAGAUUGCACGGGGCCGUUUCCUAAAAUAUUGGCUCUAUUCACAUCACUACAGGAAAUUGAAGUCAAUUCCAUCCGCAACUCCUUCUGGCGUGACUCACUGCAUAAAAUGACCAGAUUGGAAAAAUUGACUACACCAUCUCCUGAACUUCUUGUUUCAAUGUUGUCCGGUUAUCAUCAUAUUCCGUAUGUCAAUACGAAGGAGGUAAAUUGCCCCUAUUUCCUUUUUUAAAAGAAUUAAAAUGUUUAAUUUACUUCUUGGCCCCAGCACAGGAACAUUGUCCAGAAAGCACCCAAAACUAACUUUAUGUUCAAUUUAUCUCUCAAGAUAUUUCAGUUGGUCUAAUCUACCAUUUAGUAAGAUUUUCCUUUCUUGUUUCUCCACAUGUAAGUUGAAUUUUAAGUUUCAAUCUUGUAGGUUGAAAGAAAUCAUAUUUUAUGUUACAAAAAUAUAUUAUGAAUGUUCACCAUUAAUUUUUAAUAACUUAGGCGUCUAUAAUAAAUUAAUCCUACAUACAAAAUUGUACAAAAAUUAUGAUGAAAAUGUGAAUGUAUUUUUCUAACAUAACUACAUAAGUUAUGAUGUUUGGUACUGGAAAACAUCUCAAGCAGCCCCCUUAGUUUAAAUAUAUGCAAUUCAUGUACAAAUCCCGCGCACCUUCUGAAAAUAUCUCCCAAGACUAAGCACAAAAUUUAUAUACAUUAUUACCUCAUUCUAAAACAUAAGAAUUCUUAGUUUAUCCCAAGUCAAAUUGUUUUAAGCUUGACCAAUAUAAUAAUUUUUUGUAUUGAAUGGGUAUUUUGUCAAACUUAUGACAAUUGAACUUUGGACAAACUCAUGUUCCCUUGUAUUUUAGGACGUCCAUACUAAUAGAGUAACCAUUUGUGAAAAGACUUGUCCUAACCAAACAAAGCAUAGCUUGCAUUCUGUCCUAUGCACAUUAAAUCAUUAACCAACUGCCUCGUUUAGCCCUGUUUAGUUAAUCCCCUUUCCAAUGUGAUUCGAGAGGAUACAGGAGAUUUUAACUUAUAAGAAAUUUAUUAAUCCUCCUCAAUUCAUUUUCAUCCCUCUAAUCCCUUCAAACCAAAUAAAUAGCAUUAACAAAGUUGAAGGAAGGGUUUGUUUUCCUUAUCCACAAAAGAAUAUCUUCACAUAUGUGUUUUUUUUUAAAAAAUACCAUUCAAAAAAUAGAUUUUUAAAAUAACCUACCCUCAAAAGUAUUUUAAAAUAUAAUCCGUUUGGCCACACCUGUCCACUUGUCGCGAAAAAAAAAAACGCUACCAUGCCACAUGCAUUGGCUCGGGAAAUCUGCCACACUGGUGGCAGGUGCGUACAAAGCGUGCUCAUGUCGUAUCAGAGGGAGUGACGUGACAAAAACAUAGUGUCAUGCCAUAAGGAUUUGCCCAACAGGAUCGAUUCAUUUCCCCAAAAAAAAAAUAGUAAUCAGACUUGAAAUCCUACGAAACCGACAUGUGCAUUGUACAUAGUGUAAUGUUCCAUUUUGGUGAUAUGCACAAAACCAAGCGUUAUAAUUUUUGAAAUAUCUAAUUUGAAAGUAGGAUGUAUUAAUGCUGCGACGAGAGAAUGAGUUUCCCAAUAUUGGAAAUAAAUAUUCAAUCUAUUAUCCUUUCCUCAAAUUUAUUUAGGUUGAAUAUAAAUAUUUUAAGAUUUUGAUUGGGUUGCAGUAUGAUAUGUAGUUGUUCCAUUUUAACUAUAAUGACAUCAUCAAUUGUUGUAAAAUUAUAGUUAUUUAAUUGAAUUGUGCUAAAAAAUAUAUCUAAGUUGGACUAUUUAUCAAAGUUUUUAAUGAUCGAAUAUUUAGAUACUCUUAAGAAAUUGUAAGAUCUACUCGAAUUUAAUCAAAACUCUGACAUGGAUAAAAAUUUCGGUGUGGUCAUUCAAUUUCGCUAACAUACACGAUAGCAUUUGUAUAUGUUCAAAAUCGCCAAUAUCACCAUGGGAGUCGGAUGGCUAUCGUAUGCAUACUAAUGUCGGUAGUAGUUUAUUUAGUUUUAAAUGUUGAAUGUGGUACAAUGCAGGUGGCUCUUUUUAGCGUAAGACCAAAGCGGAGUUGGGUGUACAGGAAUCCACUUUUAAUUUUUGACAGCUACAGGCAGCAGCUACAUUGGAAAGAAGCACUGGAGGAGGAAGAAUUAGAAAAACUAGAAGAAGAGGGAGACAAGAAAGAGGAGGAAGAUCCCCUCAGGCACUGGGUUCACCGGAAAAAAGAGAUGGAAGAGAAUGAAACACAAGGGGAAGAGCACCCCCUACAGUUUACCACUGGCUCUGCCACUAAUUGCUCCAAUAACUUCUCCCUUCUAUAUCAAUACCAUGACUACAAAAUUGAGCAGAUAACUAUCCAGAAUCUUGAGCAUGUGGAGAGAGCAGAGGAAGUAAGCGGGCAAGGCCAGUUGUCCCAAUAUCGGCAACUGCAGUCACUGAGUUUGAUGUGGUCUAGCAGCAGUUUACCACAGGAUUCAAGCAUAGUUAAUGACUUUCUGAUUCUUGAAAAACUCCAGCCUCAUGGGACCCUAAAAACACUUCGAAUACAAGGCUAUAGGAGUCGUACAUUGUGCUCCUGGGUGAUGGAUAUAAGUAUUUCCCUUCCAAAUCUUGUGAAAGUUGAGCUGUCUGACAUGAUAUUGUGUGAGCAUAUCCCUUUAUUAGGCAAAUUAGCAAACCUGGAAGAGCUGUGCAUCUCAAAUAUUCCUUGUGUCACCAAAGUUGAUGCUGCUAUAUAUGGAGACAAGACACCAUUAUUUAGGAAACUCAGAGAAUUUACAAUCAAGAAAAUGAAUGGCCUUGAGAAGUGGGAACUUCUUCAGUACUGUGUUAAUCUGGAGCAACUGAGUAUUCGUUCCUGUAUCGACCUUACUACCUUGCCAGAUAGCAUCCGAAGCUGCCUCUUCCUCAGCAAAUUAGAGGUACUAGAAUGUUGGAAUUUUUCUGCUUUACCAGAAUGGAUUGGAGAACUCGUAUCACUGCGUGAGCUGUGUGUACAUGCUGCCAAACUCGAGCGAUUGCCCCAAUCCAUUCAAGACCUCAGUGCUUUGGAGAAGCUGGUCCUUAAGAAGUGCAACUACAGACUCCGCAAACGUUGCACAUCAGGAGAGGACAAAGAUAAGAUAAAACACAUUGGAAGUGUAGAUAUAACUCAGGUAAAUUACUCUGCAUGUCUAUAUGUAUGACUUAUAUUCAGCUGUACAUAAAAUAAUAAUUCGGCCAUCCCUUUUAUUUCUUCUUGUCUUUGAAAAUGCAGAGCCCUUUUCUCUUGGUCCGUUCAAAUGAUAUGUUUAUGGAGAGGAUUUGUAGUCCCCAGCUUAUUGAAAUACAUAUUGUGUGUUCUAAAUACGAUAAAGUAUCCUCGCUUGAUGUAAAAAAGCUUCACCCUUAUGACUCGCUCGAAAUACUUAGCUUAAAGGGAUAUUAUGGUGCAUAUAACCCUCUUUGGAUGUCAUCACUCCCAAACCUUGUGAAAUUAGAGCUCACUAGUGUGGUACUUGAACAUAUCCAUCUGGAUCAGUUACCAAACCUUGUGAAAUUGGAGCUCUCCAGUGUGGGAUUUGAACACCUCCGUCUGGAUCAGUUACAGAGCCUCCAAGAGCUACACAUUUCACGGGUACAGAGCAUAGGGUCAAAAGUCUGCAUCUGGUGCACAGAACCACUUAGAAAGCUCAGAAGAAUUACAAUGUCCGAAUUAACCAACCAGGGGUUGCAAAUAUCCAUGGAGCGGCAGGGUCAUAGCAAUGAGAAUUUGUUUCCAGGCCUUCAAGAUCUGGAGAUACACUGUUGUUCUAUGUUGAGGUUUGAACCAUCAAUCCCAAGGAGUGGCAGGUACAUCUUAUCAGGCAGGAAAGGACAACCAGGCCAAGACAUGUGUCCGUCUUUUCAUCGAAUCAUGGGGCCAUCCAUCCCUGCCUCAUUAUACAAAAUGGAGAUCAGGUAUAGCAGAGGGUUUUCAUCCACAUCCUGGAACGGUCUACGACACUUUGACAUCAGGGAAUUGAUUAUAGACGACUGUUAUGAUGAUAUACCUUUGCCAGAGAGUAUUCGGGGAUGGAGAUCCCUCCGGAAACUCGAGAUAUUGAACUGUGACGAAAUUACGGCGCUGCCAGAGUGGCUGGGCGAGAUCACCUCGCUCCGGGAGCUCAAGGUGGAGACUUACUUUAUGACAACUUUACCUGCAUGCAUCCAACAGCUCACCGGAUUGCAGACCUUGACCCUUUUAAACUGUGGACCAGUGCUUGAGAAGAGAUGCAAAUCUGGAGAGGAUAAGAACAAGUUGGCACAUAUUCCAAAUGUGACUAUAUUAUAGCGGAUGAAAAUAAUGGAAAGUAUCAACUGUAGUAUAGACUGAGAUAACUCCCCACCAUCAUCGGCGUCCAUGGAUGCUUAAUAUUCGAAUCCGGUAAGAGGUUUAUCAUUUCUCCUGUUUCCCCCUGAAUUAUUGCCAACAAAAUGAGGUGCAAGCCUAUGCUUUAAUGUGGAUCAUUGUUAAAUGUGAUGGAGAAAUUUUUUAACACUUUUCAGGACCUUGAGUUGAGUCGGAGGGAUGCCAUGGGCUUCAUUCCUGCUCAGUUACUCCAAGCCGGUGAGCGGUGAGGACCCUCUCAUUUCUUUCCCCCUGUUCACGGUGAAUUGAAAUGUUCAGUUGAUAAGAGCUGAACGCUUAUAUUGAAUAAAGAUCCCAUAUAGAGUAUAUAUAAUUCGCUGUAGAUAUCCUUUCUUUGUGCUCAUGUUUGCUCCUCCUGUUGUUAAUGAGUUGCAAGUGUAGGUUUGUUUGCAUCCAAUCAUGAAUCUUGGCCCUCCUGUCCUAUAUAUGAUUAUUUACCUGUUCACAAUAGUGCUUGUAAGUGUCUCUCAUCACUCAUGGUUGAUGAAGUAGAAGCAUAGAUUGAUUUGCGUCGUAUCAUGAAUUUUGACCCUGGUCUGUUCAGAUUUUGAAAUGUGACUGAACUGAUGUACUAGAAAGCAGGUUGGUGCCAAAAGUGAGGCCUCCCGUGCUUUCUGCAAAGGACCAAGCAUCCACAUGCUUACUUUGUUUUCCAUGCACCUCUCAUCCGGCCUUGUUUAGUUCGUGAAGGGAAAAAUUUCGCGACACUGCAGCACUUUCGUUUGUUUGUGGUAAUUAUUGUCCAACCAUGGACUAACUAGGCUUAAAAGAUUCAUCUCGUCAAUUUCGACCAAAAUGUGCAAUUAGUUUUUAUUUUCGUCUACAUUUAAUACUUCAUGCAUGCGUCUAAAGAUUCGAUGUGACGGAGAAUCUUGAAAAAUUUUGGGUUUUUGGGUGGAAGUAAACAAGGCCUUAAAAUUUUUCCCCUUCUGUAUCAAUCUUGUCCAGCAUCAAAGAAGGGACUGCACGCUGACCUGCAGCAUGCUAUCAAUAUAUAUCCACAAUUCCAUACCGAAGCAGCCUGAAUGGAUAGUGAAGAGCUGAAAUUGCUAAUUGUAACGGAAACAUGCUUUGCUAUAUAUUUUUCGCGGUGAAGAAUGAAGGACGAACCAGUGUGUCGUAUUUACCUCUUGAUGAGGGCUUGAAUUUUAACCGCAUGUGGUGGUUGAUUCUUCUUCGCCACUGGACACUGGUGUAGUGUGUUUGCCUGUACUUCGUACAGUGCAUGAAUGCCUGGCUAUAUCAUGUUGGUUUUUUGUUUUAUUUCUAAAAUAUAUGUAAGUUAUUUAAGUACUACUUCAGUUUCAAAUUAUAAGGUAGUUUGGCUUAGUUGAUAAGCGCAUAAAGGGUCAGAAGAAAGGAAAAGUCCGUCAGAAUAGCCAGAGAGAUUAAGCAAGCAAUCUUGAAAUCUCUGAAACAUAGCAAUGGUCAAGGGAUCACAUCUCUACAAGUUAAUCAGGCAUUGCAUCUGCUCUCCUGGGCAUGCAUGCGCUCUUCCAACUGCUGCGCACACGCUAUACUAGCUUGCUUGGCACAUCGCAACGGCUAUUUGUGAACAAGACAGCAUGGGUAGAUCAUAUAAUAAUGAUAGCAGCUAGCCAUGCUCUGGUAGCAGCUUGUGCCUUGUCCACAGGGGUGCGGUUUAGAAAUCCCUUUAACAGUUCCUUUAUUCAUCCUAAAAUAAUUGAUAAAAAUAUAGAUUUAGCUCUAACUGAUACAUACUAAAAAUAUCUUACACUAUUUGUAGCCCUCUCUUUGAGGUAUUUCUGGAUCCGCCACUGCUUGUCCAAGUACUUUAUUCAGGGUGUCAAGACGAUGGCCCAGCGGUGCAGUAGCGGCAACCAGCGCCGACCAUGAAGGCGACCGUCUCGUCAUUCGUGGUGCCCGACUUGGAGUCCAGUUGACGCAGCCACGCAGAGAUCAAGGAUCCCGCGCACAGAUGGAAGGUGCUUCGUGAUUUCUGGGUAGAGUUCAUGAUAUAUGUUGCAACGUCAGAGGAUACUAGGGCACAACUAAAAACUUAGGUGAAUUCAUCACACAUCUUUGGGUUUUGCUUUACUCUUUGGGUUUUGGCGUUGGUAUUUCCUUUCGGAACAUAUUUUUUUGACCUCAUUUUUCAGUACCUAUAGAGCGGGGCUUGGGGCUCGUAGACGAUAUUAUUAGUUAUUUUUGAGGUGGUAGAACACUAGCUGACGGUGGAAUUUAAUUUUUACAGACGGUUUUAAUUAAAAACGCCUGUAAAAAUAAAUUGGCGGGCCCAACUCAAAAACCGCCUGUGAAAAUCAAUUUUCACAGGCGUUUUUCCUAAUAGGAGGUUCUCUUAAAAAACCACCUGUAAAAAUCAUAUCUGUACAGGUGGUUUCUUAAGAAAUCCGCCUGUAGAAAUAAUUUCAAGUUGAAUUUUUUGAGUUUUUCAAAUGACCUCGUUUGAAAAAACUAUCAAAAUAAAAGUUGUAGAUCUCGAAAAGUUAUCAAACUUUGUAGUUGAUAAUUUUUUCAUUUGAAAUCAUCUUGUCGUCAAAAACUACGUUUGAAUUUCUCAAAUUUAAAAUUUAAAUUUUGUAAAUGACCUCGGAUGGAGAAACUACCAAUAUAAAAGUUGUAGAUCUUGAAAAGUUAUGAAACUUUGUAGUUGACAACUUUUCUAUUGGAAUCCAUUUAGGGCCUCAAAUAAUCAAUAUAUGCUCGGUUUAGGAGAAUAUGUGGGGAACUAAACUCUAAUAUAGUCAUGAGUGAUAGGUGGAGUGGUAGAGGAGACUACGCGCAAGGGCAAGGUCUUAGGUUCGAAUCUCACCAGCCGCGAAGCACGCGAUUUUACACGGAAAAAGCGAGAUGGGUGGGCGAUUAUCCAGUGGGGCCUUCCCUGUAAUUAAAUCUUUUUUUCUAUUUUUAAAAGUCGAUUUUGUAUUUUCUAUAAAAACAUUUCUACAGGCGGGUGGCAUAAUUGAACCGACGAUUCACAUAACUGAACCGCCCGCCUGUGAAAAAGUUUAUUUCCACAGGCCAAUAGCGCAGGCGGUUCGUCAAUCUGCCUGUAGAAAGAGGUUACGAACCGCCUGUAUAGUACCUCUGUGUACUGGUGGAAAACAAGUCCAUGGUUGAGGAGGCUUUUCUCUAUGUGUCAUUAAAAAAGAUGGUCCCUUUCUUUAUGCCAUUAAAAAGUUAGGGCGAAUCUAUAUGCCAUGACAAUUAUUUUUUGCCCCCCGAGCCAUUCUGUCCUAUCACGUCGGUCCGACUAGAAAAAAUAUCCAAAAUGCCCCUUAUCUUCUUCCUCUCCUUCUCAUUUUGCUCAGCCGGCCUCCACCUUGGACGACGGCAACUGGUGGUGGCCGUGGCCCCCGUUGCUCGACGCUGGCAGGGACUACCCGAAUGGGACGUCGCUGCAGGAGCGCCGGUGCAUUUUGCGUGGGCCCUGCUGCUGCUGCGCCACGUGGUCGAUGGCCUCCAUGCACACGUCUCUGCGCUGCAGCGCCGCGAACGCCUGCGACAGCGUCGGUGGCAGUCCCAACGCCGACGGCCUAGUCAGCUUGGCGCUGCCCUGCUCGGCCAAGAAUGCCGCCAUCGCAGCGACAUCCCCGCGCCUGCUGCAUCAUCGCGGCCACCUGAGUGUCGCCGAUGCCGUUCAUGCUGCGGCGAGCGCGGCCUGCACGCAGACGCCCGCACUCCACAAUUUCCCGCUGCUCAUCCACAUAAGGGCUUGUUUGCAUGUAGUCGGAUUCACAUCAAUCCACGUAUGUUGGGAUGGGUUGGAGUGUAACUUAAACUAAAUUCCACCUCAAUCCACCUCAACCCAUGUGGAUUGAGUUAAAUACAACAACAUCCAAACAAGUCCUAAAGCGUCAGGGACGACGUCGGUGGCGUGGCCGUGGCAGCAGCGGACACCUCGGCUAGGCUCGCCCCAAGCCCCAGCGUGCUCUCCAAAUGGCUAGAGAUGGAGCUCGCGGGCGUUCGCUAUAAGCUCUGCUUGCCAGCGGCAAGGCAGAGGGCACAUCCGGUGACCGGUGGCGGGCCGGGUAGGGCUUUCGCUGUGAGCUCGUUGGGUGGGGCCGCGCGGCCGGUGGCUGGUCAUGUGGGGUGUACCGGAGGAACGUUGCGCUGGUUGAGACGUUCAACUCCAUAAGCAACGGCGGGUGCAAGCUGGCCGACAACAAGUUCGUCGACUUGACGAACCACAAGUUCAGGGCCGUAUUCUCUUUCUCUCUGAAACUAUGAGCUUGCAUCGUCAGUAAUAAUAGCAUCACAGCAAGCAUCAGUUACUGUUGCGGCCUUCGAGAGAAAGGAAGAAGGUUGCGUGGCUGACGAACGGGCCUAAGGGUAUCUAAGUCAUUUGGUUGUGCUGUUACCUACCGUUAGGAGCAAAAUCGGACGGAAUGAUAUAGUGGGCAAAAGAGAUAAGUGUCGUAGCAUAGAGGUCCACUCCAACUUUCUAGUGACAUGAAGGAAGAAACCAUCUUUCUUAAUAGCACACAGAAAAAAGCCUCAUGGUUGAGCUGACCAAUUUAAGGAAGGCCCUAUGGUCCGACUGAGUCGUCACCAAGCAGCGCGCCGAACCUCUCUCCGCUCGAGGAAAUUAGAAAAAGGUUCAACUUUAACAAAAUUCCGAUUUUCCUUCCUCAACUGUAAAAUUGGCAAAAUCAUCUCUCUCAAUUUUUCAAAUCGUAUAUUUUACCUCCGUGGAGCGGUUUCGAAGACUGUUUGCUACUGUAAAUAGUUGUUUUUGCUACAGUGACUAUAGUUUUGUCUUUUUCUUUUAUUUAUUUAUUUCGGCUAACUCUUUUAUUUAUUUAUUUCGGCUAACUCUUUAAAAAAUAUAGUAAAUCAUAGAAAAAAAUAUAAAAUAGAAAAUCCAAUUUUGUUGGACUCCGCAUGAACAUAUCUAUACAGUGAACAUAUAAAAUAGAAAAUUAGAUUGCAUGUUUUAUGAUUUUUCUGUUAUUUACUAUGAUUUUUUAAAGAUUCAAUGAAAUAAAUAAAAAAGAAAGAAAAAGACAAAAAUUUUAUAGCAAAAACUUUAUAUUAAAGCAUACCAUAUUAUAUGUUUACUACAAGAACAUAUAACAAACUAGGAGCAUAUAUAGAUAGAUCAUAGAACAUCACAAAAAUAAAUCAUAUAACAUCACAAAAAGUGCAGUGCAUCUAUUAUAUGCUACGUGGAUAUCACAAAAAUAAAUUAUAGAACAUUACAAAUAUACUACACGAACAUCGCAUGAAUACCCAAACCUAAUCAUGGACCAUCUAUUAUAUGUUAUGUGAACAUCCAUAAAUAAAUUACAGAACACCAUAAAUAUAUUAUGCGAACAUCACAAGUAUCUCAUCCAAUAUAGGAAAUAAAAAGUAAAACAUGAACAUGGAAAUUUUGAAAUAAUUAGUGAGAGUAAAAUAACAACAAAAAAGGAAAACAAAUUUCCAAUAUUAUGGAAUAUAUAAAAAAUAACUAAAAUAAAAGGAAACAUUAAUAGAAGGUAGACAAAACACAAUGAAGGCAACAAUGAAAAAAUAAAAAAACACAUAAUUAAUUAGAAUGAAAUAUAGAUAAAGAUUUAUAAAAUUUAAAAGAAUGAAAAUAAGAAAAUCUACUAAAAAUAGAAAAAAAAAGAGAAAUAAUAAAUAGAAUAGAAGAAAGAAUAAAAAAGAAGCUAAAAAUAAAUACAUGAAAGAAAUAAAUAUGUAGAAUAAACAAUAAAAUAAAGAUUGAGAAGGUAGAGAAAAUAUAAAUAUAAUAAAAUAUCGUUGAGAACAAAAAAAGAAAAAAAGAAAUAGAACGCAAAAAAAACAAAAGAAUACAUACCUCGGAUAUUGGAUGGAGAGACACCGAGCUCGUAGAAACGUAGAUGGGCCAAGGCGCAAUGAAAAUAGAUCGGCUGCGCUCGCGCUCAUGGGAGGAUUUGGUCCGACUACUCGGCAGCGAUGGUUGCGGCAAUUCUAAGACUUCAUUUCGUGUCGACAUUAUGGAUAUCGGUUCUGAGCUUAGCAGCGCGAGUACGGGAACGUGGGCACGUUCGCGGAACGAGGACAUCGCUGGAUCGGAUGCCGUCCCAACAAGCGACGGAACGCGACUCGCUGGCGAUGGUUCGUGUUCUCAUCGGCUGCUCGGACGUCGAGCUUCCUCUCACGCAGCGCCCCAUGGCUAGAAAGCACCGCAGCGUUGCUGCUUCCUCUCUGUAACGCUGCUUGGCUCUCGCUGCCUGUCUUGUCUCGCCGUGCCGCUGUGACCGUGCGCUCGUAUGUCUCGAGUCUCGUGGUCGUGCAUCGGUGUAUGGCAGCGGCGACCAGCUGCCUUGCGUUGCGUGGCGUUGCGUCGUGCCCAUGCGUGGUGGCAGGGGCAAGCUGCUGUCAGCUUCCCAAGAUAGGCGAUGGGUGCAUGGGCUUUAAUGUGGGCCUAGGGUUCAAUAAGUGAUGGCUCAAUAUAAUAAGACAAAAAAAAACAAAUGAUAGGAAAAAUUGUAACACACACGGGAGUUAAACUCGGCACAUAUCAGAAUGACUCUUAUCUUGCAUGCAACAACUAUCACGUCCCCAACACGUCCCGUAAGAAGUUGGUACGCGUCCCUCCAGUUAAAGGAACGAAUCAAAGCUGUAUACCCCACAACUUUUGAAGAUGUUAUAUCACGUACCACAUUUUCGUACCACGUACUUUACGUUCCAAGAACAUGGCUGCUAAGGUUCUGAGUCGGAGUCACGCCGGAUCCCAACCGGGUCAUGGCUAGGUUAGUUUCUGCCCAUAUAGCCGAAGAGAGAGGGAUCCGGAGCGUCGCCGCCUCCCAUCAGGUCUACAAUCUGGCUUCUGACAUCACAUCCACAUACAAUCCGGUCGAAAUUUGAGAUGGCCAGCCGGUGAAAUCAAGGCGGAUCAAGCCAGCUCCGUUGACGGCGAGAACCCUGCUAAUGCGGUGGAGGUGGCGGCGGCCACUGCCACCACUUACGGAGAUGAUGGCGAAGGGGCUCCGGCCACAAGGGCGUUGGGCGGCAUGGUGAAGAAGCGGAUGCCAGAUACGGAGGUUCAGUCUAUCCUCUUUCGGGAGAGGAGGGAGUUCACGCCCGAUACUUCUAACAUGUCGGAGGAAGAAGUCGAGAUCAUUCGCGGGGGCAUUGAGGCGUUCAAUAUCCUCUUCAGACCCAGAUCUGAAUCCCCCUUGCCUUGAUCUACCAUUCCAUGGGGUUUAUGGAUAGGUUCUGCUACUUCCUCACAUUCUUGUGGAUUCGGAGUUCCGCGCGCGCCCCUAUAGCUGCCAACCCAGGAUCCACUGCCAUGGCCGCCCCUACACCUAAUGCUAUCUGCAAUGUUGUUGUCGGUCCCACCGUGCACCUCGGCGCGACCAAGACCAAUGAGCAGCUGAUGGAGGAUGAGUUUCUAGUCCUCGUCGAGGAUGUCAUGGAAGGCGAGGAUGAGGUUCGAUACGCGGACGACGUUGCGGCUCCUACGACGGCUGCAUAGAGUCCCUUUUUGUCGUUGGCGCCGAUGACACCAGAUCCUGAUGACGCGGCCACCUCUGGCUGCAUCAACGUCGGAGCUACGAUGGGCACCUCCACGAUGCGUGCGGUCAUCCCCGGCCUCGCUGUCAUAGGCUCCUCCCUCUCCCCAUCGGCAACUCCCUUCCUAAGGCUCUUCGUUGGUCACAGGAUGGCUACGACUGCUCCAACGAGGACCACUCCCUCGAUAAGUGUAAGCCAAAGGCUCCCUCCUUCGUCGACGUUGUCUGCCAGUAGUCCCAUUUGGCCUCCCCUCUUCCUUUCCGGGCACGACUGUGUUCUAUUGUGGUUUGGGGCCCUGACUGUGCUGCCGUAGGGAAGUGUGGCCCUGGUGGAGGCAGAGAGGCCAUCGAGCCUUACAAGCGUCGUUGGCGUCGGCUGCGUCCGUAGCUCAUCCUUGGGCUACCUAACCAGGUUGCGUGCGAUGUCGCCCAGCACGUGCCAGUCCAUUAGAGGUUUGGGCCUCGGGUGGCCGUAGGCUCUCUGUGCCGCUCUCAACUCUUGAUGCCGAUGGUUGGCCGAUGAUGCUGGUUUCUAGGCCUUUGGUUGGUUUGGAGGAACGAAGGCUAGCUCCAACAUGCUCGAAACGACGGGGGCGAGGUGCAUUUCGGAGGACUUGUGUAGCAAGUGCUUCAACUGCCUCUCCUCGUCGCAUCGAGUAGCAACCUACAAGUUGCCAUCGCGCUGCCUGCACUGCCGGCGUCUCGGGCACCUUGCGCGUCAUUGCAACCGACCGCGCCAUGGCAGCUCGGUGCCCAAGGGCAACGGUGGUCAUCAAGCCCAUCACUCUGUUUGUGUUGCAGAUGGUGUCGCUAUGGGUGUAGCUCGGCCUGCGACCCAUGGUGAUUCUUUUGACUACGGUGGUGUCCGUGGUCGGAGGCAUCAAAAGUGCAAGCGGAAGCAUAAGCUACCUAUUGUGCAAGUGCAACCGAGGGAGUCACGAGUUGGCACAGGUUAUUAGAAGGUAGCCAUGGCUAACACUGCCCGCCACGGCUAUGUCACCUGCCAACCACGGCGAGCCACGUCGUGUUGGGAUGUCCACUAGGAUCCUUUCUGAUGUUGACCUAUCGAUGAUACCUUUGUGCUUUGAUGUUGGACAAGUCAGUCGGAAUGUUGCGAAUGAUCUGAUGUUGGUGGAGCUCAUCGCGUCGCUCUGUGUCAUCCAGACAGCUACAGCCCCAGCAUUGGUGGUCGCGUCUCCUGGACGUGUUCAUGUUGUUUCCUCAGAGGACGAAGGACCUGGACUGUUGACUUUACCCAGGCAUAGUUGUGGCCCACCGCUGGUGGAUGAGCUACCAUCGGGUGGCUUUGGGGAUGGCAUAGUAACACUACGCAGUCUUUCAUCGAAGCUUUCAAACGGCCGCUUCAACAGCCGCUGAUUGCAUCCCCACCAAGGCUAUGCAUCACCAAAGAUCUCAAGAUUGCCGUUGAUAGCGAUUUCCUCCCCAAGCGCAACGCUCGGUUAGCUGCUAAGAGUAAGUUCAGAGUAGCAAAGCCGGAUGCCUAGACAAGAAAAGUGCUCAUGAAAAAGCUCGGGCUUGAGGUCAAGACGGACAAGCCCGAUGAGACGUCAUUUGAGGAGUUUAGGAGGUUGUCGCCAGAACACCGCUUCAUAUAAGGCGGGAAGUCAUGAAGGCUCUCUUUCUGGGAAGAUGCUUUAUUCGUGGUCUGGUGAGGGACGUUGAAUAGGCCAAGCGAUUCUACGCUUUGCCUAGAUGUAUUCACGAUCGCAUUCUAUAGUGCCAUAUAGUUCUUAGAUUGUGUUGUAAUCGCUAGACUCUUGCUCUAGCUUGUUGGCCUUCUUAACUGGUCCCGUAUGUUAUUGUCUUGUCAGCGGGUAUGAAACAAUGAGAGCUCAUUGAUAUCGUGUAACUUUUAAAUUUUCUUAUCCUUUUAAUGAAAAACAGGUUAUGACCUAUUCGCGAAAAAAAUCUGUGCUACUUUAACGAUCAUGUGGAUCUGGCUAAUGGGCUAGGUCAGGCAAUCAAGGCCCUGUUUAGAUUGGAGAUGAAAAUUUUUAAAACUAAUAAAAAACAAAUUACAUAGCUCGUCUGGAAACUGCAAGACAAAUCUAUUAAGCAUAAUUAAUAUGUCAUUAGCACAUGUGGUGUAGCACUUAAGGCUAAUCAUGGACUAACUAGGCUUAAAAGAUUCGUCUCGCGAUUUUCAACCAAACUGUAUAAUUAGUUUAUUUUUUAUCUACAUUUAAUGUUUCAUGUAUGUGUCUAAAAAUUCGAUGUGAUGAAUGAAAAAUUUUUAGAUGGGGAACUAAACAGGACCCAAAUAGACCCAUUUGGUCAUUUGGUCCACGCAAUCAAACAUGUCCAGAAUUGGUGCACUUAGGAAGAAGUCCACUUCAGUCUCUCAACUUUUGCAAAAGUCUGUUUUUCAUCCCUGAACUUUAAAACCGGGUAAAAUACAUCCCUCAAUUUUUGAAACCAUGCAUAUUACAUCCCUGACAUGUUAUGAGCGGUUUUGAAGGCAGUUUUGUCUUUUUUAUUUUUAUUUAUUUUGGUUAAAUAUUUGUAAAAUUAUAGUAAAUCACAUAAAAUUCAUAAAAUAGUAAAUCUGAUUUUGUUGGACUCUAAAUAAGUAGAUCUACAUAGUGAACAUAUAAUAUAGUACACUUUAGUACAAAAUUUUUAUUGUAGCUUUAGAUAUGUGUUUUUCUAUAAUUAAUUAGAAUAAUUCAUAGCUAUAGUUUGUAUGGUACACUUGUGGUGAAUUUUUUUAUGUUGGACUAAUUAUUAUAUGUUUAAACUAUGGUAAAAAUUUCAUACUCAUUAGGUCAUGUAUAACUUAGUUAUAGAUUUAUUAUAAUUUAACAAGCAUAAACCUAAAUAAAUCUAUAACUAAGUAAUACGUGAUUCAAUGAGUAUUAAAUUUUUACUAUGACUCAAACAUAGAAUAAUUAGCUCACCAUAUAAAUUUCAUCACAAUUGAACCAUAGAAAAUGUAGCUAUAAUUAGUCUAAUUAAUUACAGAAAAACAUAGAUCUAUAGAUGCAUCAAAAAAAAUUUGUACUAGAACAUACUAUAUUAUAUAUUCAAUGUGUAGAUCUACUAAUCUAAAGUCCAACAAAAUUGAGUUUUUUAUUUUAUGAUUUUUAUGUGAUUUACUGUGAUUUUUCAAAAAAUUCAGCCAAAAUAAAUAAAAAGAAAAAAGGUAAAACCGCUUUCAAAACCAGGUCAAGGAUGUAAUGUGCACAGUUUAAAAGUUGAGGGGUGUAUUUUGUCCAGUUUUAAAGUUUAGGGACGAAAAUCAGAUUUUCGUGAAAGUUGAGAGACGUAAAGUAGACUUUUUCCGUGCACUUAAAUCCUCAAGUUCUGAGAGGCCGAAAUUUUGAAACGAGAAAAAUCCGGGGUCCUGACAUGCAAAAUCCGACAUCCCAUUUCGGCCCAACCUUCCCUCUCGUUCUCCGCCUCCGGCUCCGGCCACGCACCUCACGAGUCACCAGGGACAGGGACAAACGCUACGCAAAAUCAACGAACGCCCAGCGCCCAGUCAAACACUCGGACCCCUUCUCCUCCCUUCCCCCCCUCGCCGCCUCCCCGGACCCCGUCCCGAUCCCACCGAACCCAUGGCGUCGGAGAUCGAGGUGCUCGAGGACACCACCACCUCCUCGACCUCCCUCGUCGCGGCCGCGGCCGCGGCCGCGGCCCCUUCCGCCGCGGAGGGCGCGGGGGCGCCGGCGGAGGACGAGUCGCUGAAAAACGACGUGUACACCGCGGCGGCGUACGGCGAUCUGGAGAAGCUGCAGCGGCUGGUGGAGGGGGAGGGCCGCCCGGUCACCGAGCCCGACGGCGGGGGCUACCACGCGCUCCAGUGGGCCGCGCUCAACAACCGCGUCGCCGCCGCGCAGUACAUCCUCGAGGUUGCCCUCUGCCCCCGCUCCCACGCCCCCUCCAGCGCCUCGCAAUAUGGCCUUUUAUUUAUAUGUAUAGUCGUUCGCUUUGCGUUGCUAUUGGGGGAUUUAGGGUACGUUCCAGAAGGCUGAAUUGCGAUGCAAUGAACUUUCUGAGCUGGAAUUUUGUGUGCCAGAACCGUGGGCUGUUUGUGUAAUUGCGUGAAGGAGCUAUGCACAUUCGGUGGUCAUCAUUCCGGUCAGUUUCUAUGGCCGAGGCAUCCUUGUUUGUAGGUGUGCUGCUGCGAGCUGAAUGCUUUACCAUGCUGAUGGGUUUGGAAUUUCAGAGCUGGUUUAUCUGGAGGGAUUUGGAUGGGUGAAGGUUGUUAGUACAUCUGGAUCAAGUUUACUUGCUGACAGUUGCAACAGGACAGUUCAGGAAGAAUGCAGAUGGCUUUGCGGUGUCAACUAGCUACUUCUAUUUAUGCCUUCAACCAUUUCAAUUUAUAUCAAAUGUGUCAAUAGUAUGCUUAGGAUAUAGUCUAGACCAAGAUGAUUACUACUCAUGAUAUGCCUUUUAUUGCAUGGAUGCAUGAUCUCACGCAAUACCCAUAUUGUGAUGAUGCGGUUUAUUUUGUAUCUUCAUGUCAUAGUAGAUAGCACUUUGUUAUUCUGAUCACGUGGUUGUGGUUGAAAGGCAUAUUAACUACUUUUGGUUGAUGACUGUUGUUGAUUGAAUUUCCUCGGUUCCCUUUGGUGAUGAUUUUGUGCUUGUAUUUGAAUAGCAUGGAGCAGACAUAAAUGCUGUGGAUCACACUGGACAAACAGCACUUCACUGGAGUGCUGUACGUGGUCAUAUUCAAGUUGCUGAACUACUUCUGAAAGAAGGAGCUAAGGUGGAUGCUGCUGAUUUAUAUGGGUAUCAGGUCUGUAUCCUCUUCCCUGCUGUGUCUUUGCCUCUUUGGUCCUUGUUGUGUCGAUCUCCACUUUUAGCUGCCUAUCGCCGCCGGUAGCCAACUAAAGCAUUUUUUGGAUGUAUAUCUGCCAGCUGACCAAUUACCAGGUCAGAGGUUAAUAGUAGACUAAAAACAUACUUUGGUCAUGUGAUUGUUCCGCAUUAGGGGAAAAAAGAAUCACUGAAGUUGAUUAUGCAGAGAAUUUCUCGCAGCUCUUUAAGUUCAUAUACUUCUGUGUUCAGGCGACACAUGUUGCAGCACAGUAUGGUCAGACUGCAUUCAUUUACCACAUUGUUGCGAAAUGGAAUGCUGAUCCAGAUAUCCCUGAUAAUGAUGGAAGGAGCCCUUUACACUGGUUUGUACUUGUGUUAUAUGUUUCUAAUUUGCCUCGUAAUUCCUGCUUGUGCACUUUGUAACAUACUGCCCUGCUGAAUUUUAACAUUUUGCUGCUUAUUUCUCUCUCUGUUUUUACAUAUUACCUUCUAGGGCUGCUUAUAAGGGAUUUGCAGACUCCAUACGGCUUCUUUUGUUUUUGGAUGCUUAUAGGGGACGGCAAGACAAAGAAGGCAUGUGUAAAUUUAUAUCAUGCCUAUAUUAUUAUGAUCAUUCCUUUGGUAACUAUAUCAGCUUAUUUGGUUGCUGUCCCUUUUAACUGCAAAUGCUACUCUUAGGUUGUACUCCUUUACAUUGGGCUGCUAUUCGGGGGAACCUUGAGGCAUGCACUGUCUUAGUUCAGGUUGGCAAAAAGGAUGAUUUGAUGGUGAAAGACAAAACUGGCUUAACUCCAGCACAGCUUGCUGCCGAUAAGAAUCAUCGGCAAGUUGCAUUUUUCCUCGUGAGUAAAAUUAACCAUGCCAUUUAUAUUUCGUAAUAUACUUGAAGUCCUGUUUCUGCAGCAUCAUAAGAGUCAAAAGUCCCAAUGUCCUAACAUUACCAUCUGCUAGGUAUUAUGGCAGCAAGUUCCUUACUAUGGUUUUGCAUGCAGACGUGUUAUAACCACAAAACAUUUUGUCUUAAGCAAGUUGGGGUAGGCUUUAGAUGAAAUCUGACAUGAGGCACAUGAACUACUAAAAGAGCAAUAAAGUAAUGAAAUAAAAAUGGUAAUAUAACACUAGACUACUAGCUGCUAAUGAUUGUUGUUUAGGGUGCUCUAUUUUUAAGUUUUGAUUGUGGCACAUAGAUUGCUAAUAUACAGACAUGUUACUGUUAAGGAUUAAUUGUUUGGAUCGUUGUAUGUUUGCAACUUUGUAUGCCUGUUUCCCUGUAAAUUAUUGUUAACCGAUUAGGAGCAUGAUAACAUGCUGUCUAAUCUGUUUAGUGGUAAUUUUCCUCUGAAUUUUGAAGUAAGAACUAUGUGUUAAAAUACUGAAACAGAGGUAACCAAGGAGGAAAAAUGAUUUGGUUUAGUUUGACUUGGCACCUUUCUAAUGUUGUAAAUGGUUAAAUGGUUACCUUCUACUCCCUCCGUCCGCUUUUCAUCAUCAUAUUUGCCUUGGAAAAGUGUCCUGGUUUGAUCAUUGUUAAAAGGCUUUGGCGCCGAUCUUCCUCAGUAUGAGCGGCAACGUUCACUUCGUUUCUCAAACGCCAACAUGCAGCUGCCCAGAAGUUAAUACGCUCAUGUCAUCUCACUCCAACAUUCACUUGCAGAUGAGGAUAAAAAUCCUGCAUGAUCUGUGCAGGACUCAUCUAGUACUACUCGUGUUCUAGCAAAAAAAAAAAAAAACAGCUCCCAUCAACGCCUUCAACCACCGUGCGAGAGGCCAUCAGCCAUGGAGGAAGGUCGCUUGCGCGGAGUAAACUGGGCACCUGACUCCAGUGACGAUGAAGCUGAUGAGAAGAAGGCCCCUUAGGACUGAGAUGGGUGGCUUAUAUAGAGCCAUUGAUAGCCACAGAAAAAAAUUGAAAUUGGGGAGGAGAAUGGCGCUUGGCUGGAAACAAAGGGCCUUGCGCCCUUGCCUCCAAAUUUUCACGUUGAUUUGCCUCCAAAAUUUUGGACAAGAGAAGAAAUUGGGGAGGAGAAUGGUGUGACCAAAUUCCUUCUCGCAUGGCUUGAGCAGAAGGACGCAGCGCGCGUGCGGCGCGAACAGCUGGGCAGGCGAGUGACGAGGAAGGGAGAUACGAAGCGUUUUUGUGCCUUGAACAAGACUGGAGUUAAUGGGACUUAUGGGACUUUAAUCCUCUCCUUGCUCUUGGUGAAACGAUAUUUUAUGAUGAUCAUAAGUGGACGGAGGGAGUAUUUACCACUUAAGCUGGAUAAGAGUGAUCAUAUUGACCAUGAGCUGCAAUGUCCUUUCAUUUGUUUAUUUGUAUUACCAAUACUUUCAGGACAAUGCUAGGAGGGUACACGACAGAGGAUGUGGUGCAAACACCAGAUUUGGGAAAUUGUCAAAAUUAGGGCUUGCUCCUCUUCUUUGGUGCACCAUUAUUGGCAUGCUUAUUAUUUACAUGCACUCUGUUAUAUCAGGUAAAUUUAGUAGCAUCUUUAUGUUUUUUCACUAUCUUGAUCUUCUGUAAUAUGUUAUUGCUGGUCUCUUCAGGACAAUAUGCCACAACUAUGACAGCACCAUUUGGGAUGUUCGCAUGGUCAGGAGUUUUUCUUGCAACAGCUGGCUUGGUCAUGUUCUAUAAAUGUAGCAGGUAGUUCUAAACAUUUGCAUUCUGUUGAUAGUUAUAAGAAGGUCAAACCAGACCUGAGGGCAUUGAUCACCGGUUACUACUUCCUCUGAUCAGAAAUGUAAAUUGAUCUAGGUUUUUCCUAAGUCAAACUAUUUUAACUUUGACCACACCAAUAUCUAAAAUAUCAUGUACAUUGACAAUUCUAGAUUCAUUAUGUAAAAUACUUGGAUAAACCUCUUUUUCAUUUUGUGUAGAUAUUACUAGUCAAACUUUUUUUUUUUACUUAGGACAAACCUAGAUGGACUUUAUAUUUCCGAUCGGAGGAAGUACUUAUUACUUCUUGAUAAUAUUGUGGGUCUCUGUUUUUUUAUGUGGUCACACUCUCUCAGUUUAUGGACCUUGUGGAGCAUGGAAAAUUAAAACUUUGUGUGAUAUAUCUUAAACCCAAAUAUCUAUUGAUUUUGUUGUAUGAUUAUCCUACUACUUUCAUAUCAUGCACAAGAUAUAGAUAUAUAGGCAGCCUUUAUCAUUCAACACCAUCAUGACAUUGACUAUAUUGCUUUAUGCAGGAAAGAUCCAGGUUACAUCAACAUAAAUACAAGGGGCUCACAAAAUCAAAGGGACGAUGUAAGUUUAAAAUAUAAGUACACAUUAAUUAAUGUAGUUUCGUGCAUGUAAUUUUAUCUUCUGAUUGAACUUUGGUUCUUUUAGCUUGAUGCAUUUCCAGACUUCAAAAGUCAAAACAUAAUCCAAAUUUUGCUGUCUAAAUCAUGAACGUUUUUCCUUCAGGAACCGUUGCUGAAGAUGGAGUUAGAAAAUCCUGCACUUCUUUCUGGCAACUGGUCACAACUUUGUAUAACCUGCAAAGUAAGUCACUCGAUUGAUCAAUUCAGUUGUCUCUUUCCUUGAUUGUUAUUCUCAUGGAUCAGAGUUCCUAACAUCUUCAUUACAGAUAGUCAGACCUGUUCGUUCAAAACAUUGUUCUACAUGUGAUCGUUGUGUGGAGCAGUUUGACCACCACUGCCCUUGGGUAUCUAAUUGCAUAGGAAAGGUACAUGUUUCUGUUGUGAUUUUGUAUUUGCGUAGUUGUGAUUUAAUGUAUCUGCCUUCUCAAUUGUAUUUGAGUUAAGAUACUCAAGCAACAAAUCCCGAAAGCUUGACACCAACUUAUAAUCAACAAUGAAAUUUGAUAAAAGUUGACAUAAAAAUCAUGGUAGUCUCUCUCUCUCUCUCUCUGAAUCUUACUGAAUUACUACCUGUAACAUUAGAAAGAGAAUUCUGGUCUUCUUUUUAAAAAAAACAUUGUUUUUUCAAUGCCAGUGUGUUCUUUCAUCUGAUCUAUUUGUGAACUUAACUGCAGAAGAACAAAUGGGAAUUCUUCAUGUUCCUCACUCUAGAAGUUUUUGCAAUGAUCAUUACCGGCUCUGCUGCCAUUAUAAGUAAUGCUUUGAGUCCUUUAUCCUAAUUAUUACAUUGGAAGUUCUUGUUGCUUCAUUGCUGUUUUUGUUGCAGGAAUUGUAAGGGAUCCAGAUUCUCCAUCAUCCUUUGGUGCUUGGAUUCAUUAUUCUGCGUUCCAGCAUCCUGGGGUGGUUUCAUUUCUCGCACUGGAUUGUUUCCUUUUCUUUGGUGUUGCAGUGCUUACAGUUGUUCAAGCAUCACAGGUAAAGUUUUUUUUUUUUGAAUUUAUAUUUCUUUUGCCAGAGAAACUUGGUUAGCUUUUAUGUAGUGAUUUUAUAUUGUUUGCAAAACUGUAAAUAUUUGAUCACUAACUGGAACAUCAACUUUGAUUAGACACCAUGAACUUGUAAGAAAACUGAUACUGCAGGGGCUGCAGCCAUUUGUGUUUACCAUCGAAAUCUUUGAAGCCUUGUUGGAUUUGUUGUAUCGUUUAUGCCAUUUUCAGCCUUUUCAUGAUUCAUAAGUGUAUGGCUUCUGAUAGUAUACACUAACAUCUAGUACUGAUCGUGGUUUCGAACUCUAGAAUGUCAAGAAUAAAACUGCUAUGUAAUUUCGGAUUCAUUAUGAAGUAAGAAGGUUAGGAAUCCAGUUUGCUUUCUCUGUAGGAAGUUGCGUUCCAUAUAGCUAUCCAUUCCAUCAAUUAUACAUGAAAGGCGUACCUGCAUCUACUCCUACUGUUUGUACUGUGCUCAUGCCUUGCUUCCAUCUCACUUGCAGAUUGCAAGGAACAUUACAACAAAUGAGAUGGCAAAUUCCAUGAGAUAUGCAUAUCUCAGAGGCCCAGGUGGCAGAUUCAGGAACCCAUAUGAUCAUGGGAUUCGCAAAAACUGCUCUGACUUCUUGUUCAAUGGAUACAAUGAGGACACUGAACGGCUAGACCAGGCAUUGCACACUGAUGAGGAAAUGGGAAUGAUACAGAUGACAAGUGCAGUUUCACAGAAUGGUGACAAUCAUUUACAUCAUGCUAAUGGCACCGACCAUAGUUGCGCUGAUUCACAAGCAAACUCAAAACCUCAUAGCCAAGUGGGUUCAUCUCAGUGUUGUGAUCACAGUAAGAAGACUGAUAGGACACCGUUGGGCCUAGGAUUGGGCCUUGGGCGAAACAGUGCGUCCCGGCAGUAUGUUCGGUCUCUUAUCCCAUUGUGAUCCAUCAUUUGGAGAUCAUGUGUUUGUUUUGCUGUAGAUUGGAUUUGUUCACUGCUCCGGCUCCAUCUUCUGUUAUACGUGCCCUUGACAUGGUUCACCAUGUAGCUUUGGUUGGGCAGGGUUAACAUUGUUGGGCCAUUAGCUCAGGAAUACUCUCAGGUAUAUCUAGUGUUGUAGUUUUGCGGUGAACUCAGAGAAGUUGAAGGUAAGAAUACCAGAUGAUCUGCAGUCAGGAAACACCAGAGAGCUUGUGCAGAAAAGGUAACAAGUUAUGGGCUUAUGGCAGAUGCACUACCAUGAGAUGUCUUUAUAAUUGUUGUGUACAUCAGAUUCGGUGGUACCCCCAUACGAGUUUGGAAAAGGUAACUGUAAAUUGAGAAUUGUAAAUUGAUCAGUAAGCUCAGUGCAGUGCUAGCUGUUUUCCUACUUUCCAUUCAUUUUUGGGUCGGGUUAUUGUUAUGAACCACGGAAAGAAUUUUCAGUUUUUCGGUAUGGGUACCCCAGUUACAGUUAGUCUGGUUAUUGGUACUGGUGGUGCACGAUUGUGUGAGUGCUUCAGAGUUUAGGAUAUUGUUGUCACGAAACAUGUUUAUACUGACAGAAAGAUUGAUGGAAGUUGUAUGGUAAAUAGCUGUACUUUGCCAUGUUACUGUGGCAUGACUAGUCACUUCUCGCGUGAGUUCUAUUCUAGGCUCUAGUUUACAUCAAAAUUUCUUGGUACAAAAGGCACCCUCAUUAUUGCUGUAACUUUUUCAAAGCUAUUGUUAUUCACUUACUCUUCACCUGGCAUUCGCUCGUUUCUAUAAAUUUCUAAUCAACCUUGAUGUUCAUACAUUGAUAGUUUAGUGCUGUUUAUAAAUUGCUGUGCAUCGAUUAUAUUCGGUCAACGCCUGUGAAUGCGCCUAGUGAAACAAGUACACAGCGUCAUUUACCCAUUUUAUAGACAGUGUUACUCUGUGGAUUUAGUGGUGAAAAAUUGUACUUGCUUUCAUUUGAAAACCGAUUAGGGCCUUGUUUAGUUUCCACCGAAAUUCAAAAAGUUUUAAAAUUCCUCGUCACAUCGAAUCUUGCGGCACAUGCAUGAAGCACUAAAUAUAGAUGAAAACAAAAACUAAUUAUACAGUUUGCCUGUAAAUUACGAGAUGAAUCUUUUGAGCCCAGUUAGUCUAUGAUUGGAUAAUAUUUGUCAAAUAAAAACAAAAAUGCUACAGUACCGAAAUUCGAAAUUUUUCGGAACUAAACAAGGCCUAGAACGUAUAAGUGAAAAAUCGAAUCGAAUGAAGUAAAGACAUGUAAGUUUACGUAGUGGUGAAAAAUCGAAUCGAAUGGAGUGAAGACUUUUAAUAACCGAUUAUAGAAAUGUAAUAACGAGGUAUAAAGUGUCGGAGGAAAAAAAAGAGAGAAAAGACAAACAUUUCAAAAAAAGAAGGGGGUGGGAGAAGAAACAUGUUUGGGCUCGGCCCGACCCGGUUCAGCAGCUGCCUCGCGCAACCCAACCCACCUCACACGCCCAACCAAACUGACCUACCCGGAAAACCCCCGACCCCCGUUCCCCGCCUCCCGCCGCCGCUCUGCCUCCCAAACCCACUCUAAAACCCUCGCCGCCGGCGCGCCCGCCUCCUCUCCUGCGUUGCAAAACCCUAGAAAAAGCGGCGGCGACAGGAGUGGCUGCAGUCGCCGCCGGAGGAGGAGGGGGGCUCCACGACCGGAGAGGAGAGGGAGAGGGGAUGGGGAUCUUCGAGCCGUUCCGUGCAAUCGGCUACAUCACGGCGGGCGGCGUGCCCUUCUCCGUGCAGCGCCUCGGCACCGAGACCUUCGUCACUGUCAGCGUCGGCAAGGCCUUCCAAGUCUAUAACGUAAGUCGCCAGCCUACAGCUCGUCCCGUCUGUUCUGCCGUUAAAAAAUCGACAAGGAUUCGUGCGUCGAGGUGGCGUGGUUUGCUCUGCUGGAAUUCAGUAUCGUGAAAAGUGAGAGCAAGUGAAUGUAGUAAAUCACUAGAAUCUGUUUUUGAGCUGGUGCGGAGCUCAGAGUUUAUUUACUGGUUGCUCCUAGUAGGGGAUAAAUGUAGUCAACCGAGCUGCGUGACUGUCAUUUGAGCCUUACUCUGCUCUGUAGUUCCUAUUACAUGCCUCCUUUGCAACCGAAUUUCAUUCUAGAAGCUUGCGAUGCUCAUUUUGCUUUUUUCCCUUUUGUUCUGCAGUGUGCUAAGCUGAAUUUGGUUCUUUCUGGUAAGCCUGUUAUUUCAGUUCAUGUAUUCUUUUUAAUCUUCCUGUUUUUUCUUGUCGUUUAUGAGUUUCGUAUGUUAUCAAAGGCCCCCAACUGCCCAAGAAGAUCCGUGCUAUUGCAUGCUACAAGGAUUAUACAUUUGCUGCUUACGGAAGUGAUAUUGCAGUUUUCAAAAGGACUGAUCAGGUACGGAAAUUGCUGUGCUACCAUUGCCUAAACUUUCGUUAUCUGUCCAACAUAUUGCUCCCUUGGCUGUCCAAAAUCAUUCUUUACUAGAAGCCUUGUUCAUUUUUAUUAUUAUAUUAUUAUAAAGUAUUCAAGAUGUGCUAUUAUUAUGUGAAAUUAUGACUUUGGUAUAAUGCUGAUCAUCUAUGAGCUUGCAAAGGGAGAUCCAUACCUCACCAUAUAUACCCAUCAACUGCUACAUGGACAAACCUUAAAUGUAUGUUUCCCACAUUCUUUUUCAAUCAGGUGGCUACUUGGAGUAGACAUGAAGAAAAGGUCAACAUGCUAUACCUGUUUGGAGAAUAUGUUCUAAGUGCAGAUGCUAAAGGUAAUGUAUUCAUGUGGGCCUUCAGAGGAGCAGAACCAAACACUGAACCAGUUGGAAGCAUAUCAUUGGGAGACAAGUUCACCCCAACAUGUAUCAUGCAUCCUGAUACUUACCUAAAUAAGGUGCUUGAAGCUAUCUGAAGUUUUGCUUCAGAAAUAGUAUUCAUUCCAAACCUCAUCUGCAUUCUGUUUCUUUUCUGUUAACAAGUCUGUUUCUGCAUCAGGUAAUUGUUGGUAGUGAAGAAGGCCCCUUGCAGCUGUGGAAUAUCAGCACAAAAAAGAAAUUGUAUGAUUUCAAUGGUUGGAACUCGCCGGUUCGGUGUUGUGUCUCUUCGCCUGCCCUGGAUGUAGUUGCUGUUGGAUGUUCUGAUGGAUCAGUUCAUGUUCAUAAUGUAAGAUAUGAUGAAGAAUUGAUGUCUUUCAACCAUCAGAUUCGUGGUGCUGUGACUGCACUGUCAUUUCGAACAGGUGAUGUAAUAAUAUAUUGUAAAAUGAAAAAAAAUAGAUAAUGGAAUUUUAAUUAGUGUUUACUCAACUACAUUGUAUAUGCUUGUCUCAAGCCCUAAAAUGGUUCCGUAUCAAAAUUUUAGUUUAGUGCACCCAGUUUGUUAAUACCUGAGAUCCAACUUAGUCAGUGUACCUACUAAUUAUCAUUUUGAUUAUUUUGUUCUUUGACUGCUUGGAGCUUGAACAAGAUUUUAAGGAUAAAAGCUGUGUUGAAGAGUCUUCCCUAGUUUGAAUCAACUUUUACUGCUUUAUUGACACUAAAAUUUUGUAAAAUUAUAGAGCCCACAACCCACAUUUGGGUUAUUAUGGAAACACAUCUGGAUUUUCUUAUAGCUGGGCAGAUAGCCAGAUACUUUACUGGCAUCAAUGUUUUAUUUUUCUUUUUGGUAAUGAUGCCUUUGACUUUCCAUUUUGGUAAAUAAAGUUGCACUAUUGUAAUGUUAUACCACUUUUGUAUCUCAGACUAGCUAAAGCGGUCUUUCCCAAAUUUACCUUUUUCCAGAUGGGCAACCCCUUCUGGCAUCUGGAGGUUCUUCAGGCGUUAUCAGCAUAUGGAAUCUUGAGAAGAAACGGCUGCAUUCUGUGAUUAGGGAGGCCCAUGAUGGUUCUAUAGUUUCACUUCACUUUUUUGCGAACGAACCUAUUCUGAUGAGUUCAGCUGCUGAUAAUUCAAUCAAAGUUAGUGCCUGUUUUUCAUUUCACUUCUCAGUUGCUGUUAUAGUAGAAAACUGCAUGCACUGUGUACUUACCUAGCUUCACCAGCUGUCCAAUCACUUGGAAGUUGCAAAACUUUGCACGCUUUAUCUUCAUAAUGAUUCAGGCCAUUAUGCCUCACAUUGAGUAGUAUUUUCUUGUAUAGUUGUAUGUUUGCAAUAUUUCAAUGUUAGCCUAUCUCGCCUUACAUAUUUUAAUUGGGGUGGGGGCAACAUGAAUUUUCUUUGUGGAAAUUUGCAUCCGGCUUGAUAGCCUGCUAAUAAGUGCAGCUAAUAAAAUAGCCGGGACCAAACUUACCAUUCCCUUAACAAUGUUUACCUGUUAAUUGCCUCAUUUAACUUUGAGGUCCUAAUCUAAUAUGCUCUACCAGAUGUGGAUAUUCGAUAGUAAUGAUGGAGAUGCUCGUCUGUUACGAUUUCGAAGUGGUCACAGUGCUCCACCUAGGUGCAUAAGGUGCAGCUUCCCUCCAUUUUGUGUCCUGUCUUUUGCUUCCUGUCAGUUGUGCUUUUGCUGAGUCAACCUACUUUUGUUCUUAGAUUCUAUGGGAAUGGAAAAUGCAUAUUAUCUGCUGGUCAAGAUCGUGCAUUUCGUCUUUUCUCAGUUAUCCAGGUAACUGAUUGCACCAUAACUUUGUAAUAGUGUUUUUAUAAGAACGUCUCAAAUACCAGGCUGCUUUGAUAUUUUCAUUCUGUUUUGAUUCUCGUGAAGUAACUUUUCUUAACAGGAUCAACAAAGUAGAGAGCUUUCUCAGCGGCAUGUGGCCAAAAGAGCAAAAAGGCUAAGAGUAAAGGUGCAAAUCUGGGUUUAUUCAUUUAUUGUGUUCAAUCCCCCUCCCCAGGUUUGGGUGUUGAAAAGUUCCUCUUUUUCCUGCAGGAGGAAGAGAUCAAGCUAAAACCAGUUGUUACAUUUGACUGCGGUACUAUUUUGGUUUCUUGCAAGUUGCAAAAUUUCUUAAUACUGUGCUUAUAUUGUUAAGAAAAUUUACUGAUAUCCAGGGGAGCCGGCGUGCCAAUAGUGAAAAUAGGAUCAUUCCAACAUGUUGGAUUGUUUAAAAGAUUACAUAAAUAUAUCAUGUACAUAGAACCUGCAGAAAUUCACUUCAGAUUUCACCUUUGAUAUCAAGAUUCAGAAAAGACAAGUGGAACAAUAUUAGCACAUGAUCAGCAAUGCCACACCUCAUGUGAAUUUGAAAUUAGUUUUUUGCAGGUUGUCUUAACAUCGUGUCCUGGAUACAUGAUUCUUUUAUGAAAUUUUGGAAGAUUGCAAAAUGCUGAAUUUGCCGAUGGCAGCGCCAUAACCCCUGGAUAUAGAAUCCACACUUAUCAUACAAAUUCUGCUGCUUUGCAUAGCAAGUUUUUUUUUUGGAGCAUAUAAAAGCAAGAGGUUUAAGAUAUAUUUUUGUGUCGAAAAGUGUUACUGUUGUCUAAAUAAUUGGUUGUAAAGUUAUAUUUCAUCCUACAAACUGCAUGAUCUUCAUCUCAUUAUAUGAUAUAUACUGUUACCAAAAUGUGGAUAUUUUGGGAAGGGGUGGGAGGAGAGCAGUAGCUGAAAUAUAAUUUGCAGAAGUAGGGGUAAACUUAAACUAGGAAGCACCUUAGGCUGGCAUAUCAUAGGAACGAACAAUCUCAGUGUUAGAACUUCAGUUUAACAAAGAUUGGUUGAAGUGACUUCUGAUGCUAUCCAGUAUGGGCCUUCUAGUAUCAUCCAUCAUCUUGUUUGUAAGAUACCAGACAUGGCAAUGGCAGACAUGUUGCCUAGCUCUCAUGACAUUGCAAAUGCUACCCGAGAAAUCAUUUCACGUGUGCUCUUAGCCAUUUGCUUACUUGGUAUGCAACAAACUUACUAAAUGUGGUGAUUAUCUACAAUAAAUGCCACAACCAAUGGCACAGCACUGCACUGCUAUCACCUAACGGAUUAAAUUUUGUGAGAUGUUAUUUAUACAUCUUUGACCUGUAAGAUAUUUCACAGAUCGGCAUAUCUUCUGUUUAUAUACUCUGCUAUGCGAAUCUAACCUUUAGACUGCACUCUCUUUUUCAGCUGAGAUACGUGCACGUGACUGGUGUAAUGUUGUCACAUGCCACAUGGAUACUCCGCAGGCAUAUGUAUGGCGUCUUCAGAACUUUGUUAUCGGUGAACAUGUUUUGACACCAUCGGCAAGCACUGUGACACCGAUUAAGGUAAUGCUUGUUUUUGAAGUUUUGCAUCUAUGAAAUUUCAUUGUAGACUAGAAAAUGUGAUUCCUAAAAUUCAAGUGUUUUUUCUUUUUUAAGCAUCAUUUUCUUUUUCUGGCAGGCUUGUGUAAUAAGUGCAUGUGGUAAUUUUACUAUCUUGGGCACUGAAGGUGGUUGGAUCGAAAAAUUUAACCUUCAAUCAGGGUUUAGUCGUGGUAGUUACAUUGACACUUUGUUGGCAAUGCAAUGUGCACAUGAUGGUGAAGUUGUUGGGUUAGCUUGCGAUGCCACAAAUGGCUCUCUGAUUAGUGCUGGAUACCAUGGUGAUAUUAAGGUAUGACCCUCUCUGUUGUGCUGUAGUGUGCUUCUUGUUGUGAGCAGACAUGAACAUUACGUUUACGGAGAACUGUGCUCUUCAUUUUCUGUCCUAUCAACCAGUUGAAUUGUUUCCUUGGCAUUUCCAUAUUAUCUUUCAAAAUCUUUUAACCCUACAAUCAAGAAUAGUUGUGUAUGAUUCACCUGUUUUUUUAAUCAAAUUUACUCACUUUUAAACUUUUCUUUAAAAGUCUCAAUGAAAUUUCAGACACAAUUAUAUUAACUAUAAAAUUGUGUAUCUUGCAGGUAUGGGAUUUUAAAACUUGCAAGCUGAAAUCCAGAUUGGAUGUUGGUAAAUCUGUCACUAAAAUUGCAUUUCACCGGCCAAAUGGUAGUAAUACUAGUGUUCAACAUAUUUGGUAUUCCCAUGAGGAAGUUUUCAGACAACUAACCAUUAUUUGCUAUUUAUGGCAGGUCUUCUUGCUACCAUAGCAGGUGACAUGGUACUUAUAUUGUUUGAUACGGUGUCCAUGAAAAUGGUUCGUAGAUUUGAAGGACAUACAGACCGUAUCACUGAUUUGUGCUUCAGUGAGGAUGGAAAAUGGCUCAUCUCGUCUAGCAUGGAUGGGACUCUUAGGAUUUGGGACAUCAGUUUAGCAAGGCAGAUAGAUGCAAUGCAUGUUGAUGUAUCUAUAACAUCUGUCUCUAUGUCUCCUAAUAUGGAUGUGUUGGCAACCACUCAUGUUGAUCAAAAUGGUGUCUACCUCUGGUAGAGUUCUGUUGCAUCACCCUAUGCUCAGCCUAUUAUACCACCCAUGCAUAUCUCAAUUUAUUUUGUAGCUAUAUAUAGUUCAGAAAAAAUAAAUCAUGAGGUUGGCCUUCCAGCGGGUGCAAUUUCCACAAAUAUAUUAUUCAUCUCACUUAUAGCCAACGGAAUAGUAUUACCAGUACACUCUGUUUCAACAUAUGCACCGAAUUAGAGUUGUGUGGCAUAGCAUGCAAUUUUAUACGCGGUCAUGAUAUAUAUAGUGUUCUUCCAGUUUUUUUUUUCAUCUGUGGUCUCAGACAUGUGUUAUAAAUUUGACAGGGUUAAUCAAUCUUUAUUCUCGGCCUCAACAAAUACUGAAAAUUAUGGCAGUGGUAAACAUGUACGGAAUGUGUGUUUGCCAGCUGUUUCAUCUAUAGAGAGAUCCGAGGAAGAACAAGUUCAGAAAUCAGGAGAGUCAUAUAAGUCCAGUAUUAAACCUUUUGUCAUAAUGGAUCAUCAAAUACCCAAUCUAGUCACCCUAUCCUUACUUCCAAAGAGCCAAUGGCAAAGUUUGACAAAUCUUGACAUUAUAAAGGUAAUAUGCUUGUCUUGGUUCUAGCUUUCAGGUUUCAACAUUGCAAAGUUAUGAACUAUGUGGCCUAUAUUGCUUGCUUAUAUCUUAUAUACAAGAGCUUUAUUGUGUUGAAAAACUAGAUUAAAGUCCUAACCUUUGUAUUAUGUCUUUAGGUUCGCAAUAAACCAAUUGAGCCACCUAAGAAACCUGAGAAGGCACCUUUCUUCUUGCCUUCAGUUCCAUCUCUUUCUGGGGAGAUAUUGUUUGAGCCCCCUGCUAGCACAAAAGAAACAGACAUCAGUACCACUAAAAAUACAAAUCAUAAGAUGUCUGAGCUCUCCUCUCAUUUCAGUCAGCUGUUGCAAUCUUGUGGUGAAACAAAGAACUGUGAGUAUUUACUAUUAUCUUUACUCAUGUAAAUUUUCCUUAGUAACACUUGUAAGGCUUAGCUUGUUAAUCCUAUAAAAAGUUGCUGCCAUACUGUCAUUAUUGUUCAAUCCAUCUUUACUCAAGUAAUUUUUCCUUAAUAACACCACUUGUAAGGCUUAGCAUGUUAAUCCUAUAAAAGGUUGCUGCUAUACUGUCGUUAUUGUUCAAUCCCAUAUAUCUGAAUACUCUAACCAUCGUAUGCAACCAGAAAGAAGGAUAAAUAUCUGGAGAUAUAUUCUCACUAUGUUGCCUUUAGAGGCUGAUUCUCGUUAUUUUAAGCACUGACCUCAGAUCUUUUUUGCAGAUUCAGCUUUUACCGACUACCUAAAAGGCCUGUCACCAUCAUCUUUAGAUAUGGAACUGCGAAUGCUACAAAUAAUAGAUGAUGAAGAGUCUGAAGGUCUGGAGCAAAGACCUGAGCUUCAGUCCAUUUCAUUGCUGUUGGAUUAUUUCAUUCGUGAACUUGCCUUGAGGAAUAACUUCGAGUUUGUCCAGGCUGUUCUGAAAUUGUUUUUGAAGGUAUAUAAUCUGUGCAUUGUUUCGACUGGUUUAAAAUUAUGUUCAAAGGCAUGUGAUAAGUACAUAACAUCUUAACCCAUCAAGUUUGUACUUAGAAAUCUGUAUCUUUUCUGGGAAGCAGAUACAUGGUGAAACAAUACGACGGCACUCGAUGCUUCAGAAUAAGGUGAAGAAGCUUCUUGAGGUCCAGAGCUUAGUUUGGCAGAAGAUUGAUAAGAUCUUUCAGGGUGCACGAUGCAUGGUUACAUUCCUCAGUAACUCACAAUUUUAGUAGCAGGUGAUUUCUUGUCAUUUGCUUUGUGAAACAAGUUCGCUUCAUUUACUGACUGCUUAAAUUUUGACCUUCCUUUUUUCUCACAACAUAUGUAAAUUGUAAUGCUGCAUUUUUUUUUUUGGGAGAUAGAAUAUUUUCAGAGUUCAACUUACCAUUGACAUUUUGGUCGUCUCAUUGAGCUUCUUUAUUUAAUCUAUUUUCGUUUGUCCCUAAAUAGGCCAGAGCUCCACAUACCAGGGUAUACUUGGUGUCUAAUACCUGCACAAAUUGUGGCCAUUGGAUUGAGCAAGUGGGUAUAGUUGAGUUUUGGAGACGGCAGUAAAACAGAUUUGGUUGUUCUCAAGCAUGGCAGUCCAAGCUGUCCGCACAGAUAUUGGAGCAUCGUUCAGCAGCAGCCAUGGCUAUAUACUUUAUGCUUACAGUUUUGAUGUUGCAGUAAAGCUGCAAGGAGUUCACUUGGUAAACAUUGAUAGCUACCAAAAACAGCUCCAUCUCAUGAUGUAACAUUUUUGUAGUUUUACAUUUCUGUCAUCCUUUUGUCACAAACUGAUGUAUCAAACACCGUGUUGCAAGAAACGCGAAGCUUUGUCAUUGCUAUUUGAGCAAAAUUCAUGUCUGUAUGUUCAGCAAGCUUAGCUUCUGCGCUGGUCUUAUGUUGCGGAGGAUACCAGGUGAAAAUAUCCAAAGUGUACCAAAGUUUGUAAAUAUUUUAGAAACACUACGUAGAUUUCUCCCCCAAGAAUCUGUGAAAAUAAUCACCGGCAAGAGCAGUUAUUUUGCGCAACAAUAUAAAAGGCAAGAGCAAACUCAGAUCGUGUUUGAGAUUUUGAGAUGCAGGAGGUGUGAACAGUGUAGCUUUGUUGCACCAGAAUUUUUCUACCCUAAUAAGUCACAAAUCUAAUCGACUUUGUACCUGACUUUUGCGUGGACCUCAUACAUAGCCUCACAUAUUCCAGUUUUUGAUAAUUUUGAAAGUGCUGUGUAGAGUGUUUGCAACUUAGAUGCACCCGUUUCUAAAUAUGGGGUGUUUAAUGAGAAUAUACAGUCAUGAAAAAUGCUGAACAAUUUUCAGAGCUUCAGGCUGAUAAUCAGCUGUGCAUAAGUAUGAACCAGCAUCCAGAAAAUGAAAAUUUAAUGUUGCAAACUUCUUGAAUUUCAUAACACAGCAGACAAUGUGUCACUGGAGGCAUUUUCGUAUAAAAAUUGUGUUAAGAAUUGUAUGCCCCCAAACAGCCUAACUUAAUGACUUGGGGAAGCAAAUCUUCUCAAAGUACAUCAAAACCGAUCUUUUUUCUGUUGCUGAUCAAAAAGUGACUCUAGAGCCCUCAUGUAAUAAGAACACAAAUACACAAUCAAAUCGAUACAUUGAAGAAUCUGGUCCGAAGUACAAAAAGAAUUCCCUGGAGGAUGGUCCAGUGUUAAACCUCUGAAGUAAAAAUGCAUAUAGGAUCCUGAGGCUCUCUUAAUAUCAUUUUUGACCUAGUGUAUAGUCGCCAUGUUUACACGGUCUGUUUGCCUGUCAUUGCAACACACCAUGUGUCGUCAUGAUGUAAAGCUUCCUCUAACCCUAGCUACCAACCUGUCCAUCUUCAAGAGAUCAUUCAGACUUACUCUUCAAGGUGUAUACAUUUCCAACGACUCCGAUGACGCUAACAACUAUUGAUAGCCCCAGCAACCCAAGUGACAGGAGCCUCUCCCCAUGUCCCAAGCGACUCCCUUCCUUGUCCAGCCUCAAUGCCACCAGAGCCGGGAACAUGAAACCCAACGCUAACCCUGUGGUAGCUCCAGUGAACUUGAAGGCCAUCCAGAUGUUCGGUAUCAUUGUUGAGCCAAGGUAGAUGAGCGCUAGAAGCACCACUGUCAGUGUGAGUGUUUUCUUCCUGCUAGGGGUCGCCAGCUCCCCAAAGAUCAGUGCGUCCACUGUCUGCCUGAGCGAGAAGUGGACAACUGGGAAGACGAGGACCAGGUGGAUGACAUACCCAAUCCUGACAAUGUAGUUGAGCAAAGAGCUGAAUCUGAUCCCGAGAUCCUUGUCGAAGUUGGUGAGCACAUCGGACUCGGUGUCCUCACCGAACAAGAGAUACCCUGAGAGGGCAGUCAGGGCAUACACCACUACACAUAGCACAGUGCUGAUCCUCCCAACCUUGUACAUGUUCCGUGGCGUCUUCUCCUUGAGUUCAUUGUAGAUCGGCUGCACAUUGAAAUGGCAGAUGAAGGCAUUAGUCAUGAUGGGUAUCACGACGAGCAGGUCUAGCAUUGCUGCUCGCGAGCUGAAAUCUGGCCCCAUCCUCGGCAUACUGAUCUUGCCCUCAGCGAUCUUGAUCAAAGCAAUGAUGCAGGACACAACCACAAACACAACAGCAAGGGCAACUGACGCAGCAGAUGAUAAACUCAGUGAGUCAAUCUUCUCAAGCGCGCACAAUGGCGCAAGGAAGAUGACAAGAACCACCAAGAUCAGCAGCUUCCGGUUAUCCCACUCGCCAUGGCCAAUCAGUUGAUCCAUGACGCCGAUGUGCUUCAGUGACCCUGACAUCACGUCUCCGAUGAUAAUCAGAUACACCACCAGGACGCCUGCGUUGUUGAUGAUGACGCACAUCUGCGCCACGACGCUCGCUGGCCGGCCCAUCGCCCUGUGCACGACCUCGCCGUACGACAGCGCGCGGCAGUAGGCCGAGAACCUCACGAGCAGCUCGACGGUGAUCUCGGAUAGGACCCCCAUGACCAGGAUCGAGACGAGCCCAGCGGCGACUCCAAGCACCUUCAUGGUGGCCGGGAGCGCCAUAAUGCCGGCCCCGAUGAUGGAGGUCGCGAGGUUGAACACGGCGGCGGGCACGCCGGACCCCUCUGGCGGCCCGGCGGGCCCGUCGCCGAUGAGCGGCAGGUCGUCGUGCUCACCGGCCCCGCCGCCGCCGUCCUCCACCUCGCCCAAGAACGAAUCUUGCUUGGAGAUCUUAGCGUGGCCGUUGACGUUGGCAUUGGCGGAGGCGUUAGAUUUGGCCUGGAGCUCGAUGGAGGGGGAGGUCAAUGGGAGCGCCGAGUAAUUCGUGUUCAUCUCGCCUCUUGGCGCAUCAAAGAUGGAUCAGGAAGCCAAGAGGGGGUGGAAAAUUCUUGGCAAGACCGGAUACAGGAACAAAUUGCGCGAAGAAUAAAAUCCGAAUGCCUGAAUCUCCGACGAAUGGAAGGAAAUUCGCGCCCAAUCUACGACUAAAAAACACAAAAUUGCUUGCUGUAGAAAGGGGCGUUGGAAAUCAAAACAACAAAAUAUAUUCCCUGCGGAGGAGAUUUGGGGAUACAACGGUGGAAGAAGAUGAAUCUUGGUGAGCACCAAAGGGGCUUGGGAGUUGGGAAGCACCAAAGGGUGGACUGAGAGGGAGGAUUGGGGCGUUGAACAGUGGCGAGAGAUCUGAGCUUUAUCUCUCUUGCAUACUACUGAUACUAUUUGUAAAAAAAAAAAAAUUACUUCUGCCACUCCUUCCGUGUUCUUCCUUCUCUCGGAUGAAGAGUACCGUACUCUUAGGCUUGUUUAGUUCAAAAAAUUUUACAAAACAGGUACUGUAGCAUUUUUGUUUGUAUUUGACAAAUAUUGUCUAAUUAUUGACUAACUAGGCUCAAAAGAUUCGUCUCGUUAAUUCCGACCAAACUAUGUAAUUAGUUUUUAUUUUUGUCUAUAUUUAAUACUCCAUGCAUGUGUCUAAAGAUUCGAUGUGACGGAGAAUCUGGAAAAUUUUGCAAAAGUUUUUGGAAACUAAACAAGGCCUUAACAAAAGAGCACAGUCAAUUCACGUUAAUUCCGAAGUACGGAUGGCUACACCAACCAUGGGACACUCGUGUUCUCCGUAGAUACUUAUGACGUGUGGGUCCAGACAGAAGCGGGGCCAAGUGACAGUGAGAGGGCGCUCUAGUUAUUGGUGAGUGCUGUCUGCGUUGGGCCCACGCGUCGGGCCACAUGGGUACGCGACGUGCGGAUACAGCUCUUCGAUCUGAUUGGCCGGCACCCGGCAAUCUGAAGUCGGAGCUGGACCCAUUUGCUGGCUAGUGGUGGCACCUACUACCAUCUGCCCCACCUGUCGGUGAGAAAAAUAUCUUUCUCCUGAUAUUUGUAAUUUUCGUAUAAACUUUUCGAAAAUAAAUUGAACUCCAAUUGGAUUAUUUUUUUUGUUUCCAUGUUAUGGGUUUUACUUGAACAUUUUUUUUACUGGAGUACGGUUAACAAAAGUGAGUACUACUAUUUAGGCCUUGUUUAGUUCGCAAAAAUUUUCAAGAUUCCCCGUCACAUCGAAUCUUUGGUUGCAUACAUGGAGCAUUAAAUAUAGAUAAAAAUAAAAACUAAUUGCACAGUUUACCUGUAAUUUGUGAGAUAAAUCUUUUGAGUCUAGUUACUCUAUGAUUAAAUAAUAUUUGUCAAAUAAAAACGAAAAUACUACCGUAGCCAAAAACCAAAGUUUUUGCCAACUAAACAAGGCCUUAGGUUGCCUUGAACGUUGAAACCUUCAAGUCUUCCUUGAAAUAUCUUCCUUUGACCUGGUACAGCUCGAAGUUCCUUCGCACAGAAAAUAUCAAUUAGCUUUUGUUUUGUUUGGCUACAACUCUACAAGUACAAAGCAUGUGAUAGAUCACUGGCAAUGUCUAGUUGUGAUGUGGAAAUGGUACGUGUAGUCAUCUCAAAUCUUUUUGAUAAGAAAGCUUUUUAUAUUUAUGUUUUAUAAAUUCAAACAUAAUCUUUCAUUUACUCCCUCCGAUAAAACUUGUCUUAUAAAAAUUUCAGAAAUAUUUGCAAAUAUUAGCGUGGAACUCAAAUGACCACGGCGUCUGAAAUUCCCACGUUCUAAACAGAAAUAGACAUCUCCUAUAAAAAUUAGUUGUCACGUGGGUAUUGGCUCAGUAAUUGUCCAUAUACAAAUAUAAUGAAGGCAAAUAGAUAAAAGAUAAGGCUUUGAUUUGAUAUAUAUGGACCUCACUGGCUGUCUAAAGUCUACAAUGACAAGUUUUGUCGAACAAACUUUGAAUACUGCAAUGAUAAGUAUUUUUUAGGACAAAGGAAGUAAAUAAAUGGUGAAACUUGUAUUUAAGGAAUAUUUCCAAAUAUCACUUUCCCAGGAAGUGUUCGUGAAUGUAUUCCCCAAGCAUUGAAGUGCGUGGUUCUAAGCUUUGUAUGACACUGUAAAUAAAGCUGACAAAAAAGGAAAAUUAUCAAGAGAGCCAAGACAUCCUAACAUCAGAUGAUUUUCUUUGGGCGAGUUUCUUGAUCUGCAAUAAAAGAACAUGUGCCUUUGCUUUCUGAGCACUCUAGCCCACGAUUCCUGAGAUUUGUUUGCCAAAGAUGAUGGUCAAUAAUUUAAGUCAUCCUAUAACAAUUAAACAAUUGUCCACUAGACCUCCGAGUUGUCUUGAUUGGUACUAAAAGUCUAGUGCUUUUUCCUCUCACCUCUAGCAGAUUGUUUGUCACGCCAGAGCAAUAGUACUUCGAGAAAAAGUUACUCACACACAUAAAUUUAUAUGCACAUAGUCUUUUCAACUACACUAUUACAGGGCACUAGGUUAUCGCCAACAUCAGCCUAUAGUCUUUGGUUUUCCUUUUCGAUUCGACAAUACAUCAAUAGAUAUCGAGUCACCGACGAAGCCAUGGAUUCAUUGGGUUUUGGGAGGAAAUAAGGAGAUGGUGGGAGAAUUAAAUGGCACCAGUGAGAUCCAGCACAGCCCUGCGGUGCUCACCUGAAGUGGUGAAGAUAUGGUCAGUUGCUACAGCACCGGCGACCAGGAGGAAGAGCAGCACGGACAUCGGACCAGCGAAGCCCAUCGGAGACGAUAAAUAGGUCUUUGCACCUCGCUUCGACACCCCCUUUGGCUUCCGUGGUGAUUUCUCAUCAGUGUCAUGCUGUCAGCCAUCUGUCAGGUGAAGUUGAGCCCUGGUGUCUAGCCAUAAGGUCGUGCGCCGAAUCGAACGAAAACAAUUUUACGCCUUCAACUCUAAAGACCUAAUUACUCCUUUUUGGAGCAUUUACAGAAAUUCGGUCUAAAUAAACACGUUUGUAUGCAUAGUUGUUGCAGUUAAAAGGCAUACAUAUAUAACGUUUAUACUACUAUAGUAUUUGUUUUUGGCAUUCUUGCUUAGCCAUGUCUACCUGAUCUCACCUAGCAAAGAUAGACAUAGCAAGAAAGGGGAAGUUCUUUGGUUCUCUUGUCUAGUUUCCAUGCCAUCUUCUUCUCUCUCCAUUUUCUAGCAGGGAGCAAGAAAGGGAGAGUUGAUCAGAAAAUCUUACCCUAGCGGCAGAGCCAAAUUGGCUCACCUUGGUGAGCAAGGGUAUCCUCGCCAGAGUGGAUGAGCUUGCUCGGCGAAGCAAGGGUUUCAAGUCGUACCAAACAAUAAUUCUCGCUGAUCGAGAUGAGGCAAGAGGCUUUUCUGCCCUUGGUUUCUCUAGAUAGCUUGUCUAGCCUGGUUGGCACGGAGCAUGAGAAGCUUGCCCAGCUAGGAGAGCCAAUUUGACCCUCUCAAGCAGGCAAGGCAAAGCUUGCCCACAUUGCCCUAAGGUGGCUAGGUAAGAUAUCCAAACAAGCAUGUUUGUUUCAUAUUCUUGCUUAGUGAGGCAAAACAAUACCUGACAAAGGAACCAAGCAAUCCCAUUGUGUUCAUCUAUUGUGAAUCUAAGAAAAAUGGAAGGUGAGUCACAUAUAGUCCCACAUGCGCUACAACAUGAACUGGAAUGUGUGGCUAAGCAAGCAAUGAACAACGUGACAUCAAAGGUUUUUGUAGCUCUAAACUCAAAUAUAAAACAAAUGUGAGUAAAGAAUGUGAUUGAUGAAAGAUGAGUGAGUGAUUGGCACUUAACUAUAUGAGUUAUGCUGGUCAAAAAAAAUUAAGUUUGACCAAAUUUAUAAUGAAUACUAUUAAUAUUUGUGUCACCAACAAUAAAGUUUACCAAUUAAUCUAACAGUACUUAUUUUGUAUCUCAAAUGCUAGUAUUUUUAUAUAAUUUUAGUCAAAGUUUAAAUUAUUUAUCUUCUGAAAAUUGCGUAGUAUGACCUCUUAUGUAUAUAUGUGAAAAAAACAGUGAAGGUCGGGCUCGAGCACGUGAUAGUUGAGUACGUGACUUAAAACUCCAUUAGUGGCGAUGGAGUAUGAGCUGGAACAGAAUUUGACUGCAAAUUUACUAGGCCAAGAAUUAGAGUAUGUUUGGAUGUAAGGAUUAAUUGUUAGCUAGCUAAAAAUUAGAUAAAAUUAGUUAAUAUAUAGUGCAUCCAAAUGGAAGAGUUAAUAGGUGGGCUAAUUUUUAAGAUUCGACUAUUUAGCCAGUUUAGACUAAUUUAGCCUCAACUAUUAUCCAGCCAUGUGUAUGAAAUGGGAGCUUUGUACCUGUAUGCCAUUAUGAAAGAUUGACCAAACCAGGAAGCCACUAAAAAGUUGUUUCGCACCGCUAUGCCCAACUUCAUCUUCGGCUAUACCUGUAUGUCAUUCCGUCUAUUUUGAAGUCUAACGGCAGUUAAAUGGUCUGGCAUUUGACUUGAAUGCUCCUGGAUCAAUUGGUCUAGACAACAAAAUCUUCUUGUCCCCAGUGCCACUGAGGCCUUGUUUGCUUCCAAAAUUUUUGGCCAAAUGAGCACUGUAGCAAUUUUGUUUGUAUUUGAUAAAUAUUCUUCAAUCAUGGACUAACUAGGCUCAAAAGAUUUGUCUCGUCAAUUCCGACUAAACUGUGCAAUUAGUUUUUAUUUUUAUCUAUAUUUAAUACUCCAUGCAUACGUCUAAAGAUUCGAUGUGACGGAGAAUCUAAAAAAUUUUGCAAAAUUUUUGGGGAACUAAACAAGGCCUGACUACCAAUUUCUACGGUGAGCGCCAAAAGUGCCACUGACUACCAAUUUCCAAGAACACCACGCCAUACAUACUACGGGCAUGAUCUAGUACUAAUUAAUUCGUUGUCAUAUAUACCUAUCUUGAUCGACGACGGCCCAGGAUGUUCCAAGAAGCUGGUGAUCUGGACAAGGACGUGCACCACCUGAAGCGUCAGGUCAUGGCACACAGGCGGCUCGUCCAGCAUCUCAGCAUCAACUGCCUGUACUCAUCGUCGUCAGCAACUCAGCAUCGAUGGUACUACCUAGCUCCGGCGCUUCCAAGGAGGAGGAGGGCGCCGACAUGGACGGAAUCUUCCUCCCAGACCAUCAAGGCGAACGCGACGAGGACCUAGAACUGGACGAGCUUCUGUCCGAGCACCGGAUGGACGAGGCGCUCCAGCUCCUGGAGCUGCGAGGCCGAGCGCUGCAGACGAUGCAGGAGCAGGCCGCCGCCGACGACGGAGCGAUCGCGUUCGCGUCGAGCGUGCGCGCGCUGUCCGCCACGAAGGCGAGGGUCGCCGCCCGCUUGGCCUCCCUGGCGGAGAACCCGCGGACGCCGCGGCCCGAGCUCCUGAAGGCGCUCUCGGGCCUCUGCAGGCUCGGCGACCCGGAGCAGGCGAACCACCUGCUCUUCCAGGUGCACCGCGCGAGCGUCGUCCGCGGCGUGGAGGAGCUGCGCGCGUCGCGAGACCACCACCAGAGCAUCGCCGGCGCCGGCGCCGGCGGCAACUACAUCAAGGACCUGGCGCGCGUGGUCUUCGCCUCCAUCGUGCGGAUGUCAAGGAGCUUCGUGGCGCUGCACAGGGACCCGUCUCCCUACACCCCUCGGCUGGUCCGGUGGGCGAGGGAGGAGAUGGAGGACCUGAGCGCCGCCUUCUCCGAGUAAGUGAGAAGAGCAGCCCAGGGGAGUCGAGCAAACCAGAGGGCCGAGGCCGGGGGCACGGUGAAGACGGGCGCGCCAGCGGACGCCGAUGCUGGCGGAGCCACCGAGAGCGCCGGGCCGGCCCUGGCGACCCCGCUUCCUCCUCGUCCCCUCUCCGCCUCAUGCUGCUGCUGCGGAGGCGGCGCGAGGGAGCUGAUGAGGAGCUGCGUGAAGGUCGUCGUGGCCCCGAAGGAGGAGUUGGCGUCUCCGCCUCCGCCGCCGUCGCUGUCAGAAGAGGGGAAGAGCGCUGAGGCGAGCGUGAGCGGGCCCGGGCUGGCGUCGCCGGCGCCCGUAAAGAGCGACUCCGCCGCCGAGCGCGGUGGCAGCGCCAGGCGCCGGCGUUGACUUUGUUUUGGGAAGAGGCCGAGCGCGGCCUCGAACGCGGGCUGGAGGACCGCGUGAGGGGCGAUGGACUGGAAGGGGAGAAGGACAUUUUACUACCAAGAUCUACGUGUCAGACCCCUUAAACGUCACGAAACAAAUAGAAUGAGGACGGAAUGACAUACGGAUAUAGUCGAAGAUGAAGUUGGGCACUGCGGUACGAAACAACUUUUUAGUGACCUCCUGGUUUGGUCAAUUUUUUAUAAUGGCAUACAGAUAAAAAGCUCAUGAAAUGGGCCCUUACAACUUAUCGUGUAUGAACCAGCCUGAGUGGUGACAGAAUCAUCGAUUCUACUCUAAGAUUGGCACAGCAGGACACAAUAAUGAUUAGGGCCUUAUUUAGUUCUUAAAAAAUUUUGCAAAAUUUUUCAGAUUCUCCGUCACAUCAAAUCUUUAGACGCAUGAAUGAAGUAUUAAAUAUAGAUGAAAAUAAAAACUAAUUGUACAGUUUAGUCGGAAUUGACGAGACGAAUCUUUUGAACCUAGUUAGUUCAUGAUUGGAUAAUAUUUGUCAAAUAUAAACAAAAGUACAACUAUUCCUAUUUUGCAAAAUUUUUUGGAACUAAACAGGACCCAGCUCGGACGCACAGUAUUGUGUCUUCCUCCCUGACCCUGAGCUAAGGGGUGUCAAAGUUUAACAGGUACCGUAACAUUUUCAUUUUAUUUGACAAUAAAUAUCUAAUUAUAAACUAAUUAGACUUAAAAGAUUCGUCUCGCAAAUUACUUUUUAACUGUGCUUUUACUUUUAUAAAUAGUAUAUAUUUAAUACUUUAUAUAUAUGUUCAAAUAUUUAAUGUGACGAAAAACGGGCCUAACCUUGCACGGGGGCAUGCUAAUUCUGCACCGAGAGCGAGCUGCAUCAAAUGUAGUUCUGCUAGCAACUCAAGUUGCGGUUGUUUGGCAGCUCACCGUUGGUGUCGGCAUCCAAGCCAAGCGCCCAGGCCAGGGACCAGGGUACCAGACCGCCUCCCUUCCGGCGCGGCGCCGCGUGGUGGCGCUCAUCACAAAACAAACCGCGCGCAACCCCUGGUCGUCCCGAUCCAUCGCCCGCUGAACAAAUGCAGCCUACGGAGCAGUGGCGCAAACUGCCCGUCGCGGGCGUUGCUCGCCGCGUGCUGCUAUGCUCGUGCCGUCGUGCGCGGGGUUAUAGGGCGGCAGAUCGAGCUAGCGCUCCGGAUCGACGUGGAUUUAAUUUCCAGCACCGGACGGCGAGCAAUCAUUCCAUGUCAUGGCCACCGCACGUCUCGAGGAAGGCUGUGUCGACGGAGGAGCCGACGGCGAUGCUGCUCUCCGCGGCGGCACAGGAGACGACGACGACGACAACAACGAGGGUCCAGUGGAGCAAUGCAGUCAAGAAGCUGCCGUGGGAGCUGAGGCGCCUCCCACCAAUUAGCGGCGGCGGCGGCGGCGGCGCCAGAGCGGACAGCAGGAGGAAUAACGGCGCCAGUGGCACGGCGGGCACGGACCUCGCGGAGCGCACGGCGAAGGCGUGGAUCCGGCAUGCGCUGGCGAAGCGGGUCGCCACACGCAUGCUGAAGCGGAGCACGUCGUCGCCGCCGCUGGUGGCAGUGGCGGAUGAGGGGAGCAGCCGGAAGACGAAGGUGAUCGUGUGCUGCUGCGCGAGGCUCCCACCGGGUCUGCGCUGCGCGCUGCACCAGGAAGACGCACAAGGCCAGGCCUGGAUGCGCGCGCAGCGCGGCGACGACGGCGGCAGGGAGUGCGGCGAGGCCGUGGCGGUGGCACCGCCCAAGGCGCACGGGUGGGCGUUCCGCGAGUACGCGCGGUGGCGUAGACACGUGUGGAUGCCCAGCCGGUUCUACUUGGAGCGCGUUGAAACCGAGAAGCACUGUGCAGCGGCAGAGUGGCUUCGUGUCGUGACUCGUGAGACACGUGUAGAUUUUUAGUGCGUUGUGUUUUUGUUUUAGGCCUUGUUUAGUUUCCAGAAAAUUUUGCAAAAUUUUUCACUUUUCCAUCACAUCGAAUUUUUAGACACAUGCAUGAAGUAUUAAAUAUAGACAAAAAUAAAAACUAAUUAUACAGUUUGGUCGGAAUUGACGAGACGAAUCUUUUGAGCCUAGUUAGUCUAUAAUUGGACAAUAUUUUGAAAUACAAACGAAAGUGCUACAGUGUCGAUUUUCCAAAUUUUUUCGGAACUAAACAAGGCGUUAGAGCAACCUCAAUGUAUAUGGACCAAGUAGUCCAUAUACAUGGGGCCUACACAAGUAGUCUAUAGCUAUUAUUUUUUGCUCACAAUGUUCAGCCAACAAAGUAGUCCAUAAGAUAGGGUCCACUAGAGAUUAAAAAUUAUUUUUUCCAACCAUCUCAUGUAUUAUGACACAAGAGAGAGAGCAUAGAGAGAGAAAAUAACAUUUCUUUAUUGCUUAUGGGUAGUCCAUAGGACUAUGGGUAGCUUUUGUUAUAGACUGCUAUAUGGACUACCUCCACAAUGUUUCAGUUAGCUGAUAGAGAGUAUUUUAUUUCCUAUGGACUACUUUCUCUGAACAUUGUGGUUACCCUUAGGCCAUGUUUAGUCUCAGAAGUUUUCUUUGAUCUUAUCAUAUUAAAUCUUUAGACGUACAUACAACAUUAAAUAUACAUAAAAAUAAUUAAUUAUACAGUUUCUAUGUAAUUCGCAAGACGAAUUUUUUGAACCCAAGUAGUCUAUAAUUAGACACUAAUUAUCAAAUAAAACGAAAAUACUAUAUCAGUCAAAUCGAAAAACUUUUGCGAACUAAGUCCUUAUUUAGUUUCGAAUUUUUUUGGGUACCGUAGUAUUUUCGUUUUUAUUUAGUAAAUAUUGUUUAAUCAUGGACUCACUAGGUUCAAAAGAUUUAUCUCGCAAUUUAUAGACAAAUUGUGAAAUUAAUUUUUGUUUUCGUCUAUAUUUAAUGCUCCAUGCAUAUGCCGUAAAAUUUGAUGUGACGAAGAAUCUUAAUUUUUUUUUUAAUUUUUAGUUUUUGGAGUGGACUAAACAAGGCCUAAUAAGACAUUAGAUACGCUUACCGGAAAUGGACGUGGACAUGAGCAAUGGAGGCGCGUUCUAUGUCGUCGUGUUUCAAAGUUUCACCUGUAUAUCACAUCCCUACAUUUGCGGUAUAUUCUCUGUGUAUAGGAUUUAAAAUUCAUUUAGGAUAAAUCUCUUAUUUUUUAAAAAAAAAUAGAACAAAAUGGAAUUUGUGUAUUUUUAUGAAAGUACUUUUGAAAGCUAAUUUAUUCAUAUAAUUUUCACGGUCAUAAACUUAUUUAAAAGUUAUUAAUGAUUUAUAUUCUCAAUAUUUGAUCCAAAACUUAUCUAAAAUGACUUCUAAAUCUUAAAUCUUAUUCAGAGAGCGUGUUGAGGCCGAGGAGCACCGUGAAGCGGUAGAGCGGCUUCGUGUCAUGACUCAUGAGACACGUGUAGGUUUUUAGUGUGUUGUGUUUUGUUUUAGAUACGAUUAGAAAUCAGAAACGCAUCCUGGAAAUGGACGUGGACAUGAGCAAUAGAGGCGAAGGACUAUACCGUCGUGUUUCAAAGUUUCACAUGUAUAUCUGUUCUAGUAGAUCACUACAUUUGCGGUAUAGAUACGAGUGUAAAUUCGUAAAUUUGGUUCUAUUUUUUAAACUAGGUAUAAUCUCAUUACUCAAUGGCUAACAAAUCAUUAGCGACAAUUACAUGGACAUUCUCAGUGACAGAGCUUAGAAUUGGCUCAUCCCAAUGAUUACACAAAAGAGCCAGCUUGGCUAGCUCAUGAGCAGCCAUGUUACAAACUCAGCUCUUGAAAGAGCACUCAAAGCUAAUGAAACAAGAAGACGCAAGAGAUUUUAUCUCAGCUAUCAAGACGCCGACUGCAGUAGCAUGUAAUCAUCAGUUGUGAUUGCUUGGACCACCAUCUUUGCAUUGUCUUGGCCAUAAGCUGGCCAAUCCUCCCUCGGAACGGAGGCAAACCCUUGCCUUAGAGCAAUUCCAAUUAAUUCCUUAAAUUUUUGGCUCACUUCCCCUCAAAUAAGAGUCCCUCAUUCAUACUUCUCAACGCUCUUCAGUUAAUCUAUUUUUUUUCUGUUUUACAUUACUUUAUCAUAGACCCUGCUCAUCGACUCCAUUUUGUCAACUUUGUGGCAAAAGAAAUGAGUAGAGUGGGAGAGGAUAGGCAUGGACAAAUUCCCUGAUACCCAUUAUUUGGACCUGAAUUGCUCGAAUUUGGACUCAAAUUACCUGAACUUGGUCCCAAAUUUGGAUAACAAUUCGAUUACCCGAAUUUGGUUUGGGCAAUAAGGGUAAUAUCUCCUAGUACCCGAACUAAUCAAACUGCCUGAAGAUGUGUAUGUGUCUUUAUGUUUGUGAUGUGUCGUGAGUUGUGCACUUGAACUCAGUGUAUGAUUCUCUCUAAAUCACUGCUGAAAUUUUAUGCAAAUCGCUGCCGAAAUUUUGUAUAAAUUGUUACUAAAAAACUGUACAGUUCAUUUCAUUGUUUCCGGUAAAUUCAUUACCCAAAGUCCCAAACCCGUCCCCAAUCAUCGGGUACCUGAAACGUCAGUAGUGUUUCUACAUGCGAAUAUUGGGUAGCAAUUUUCAUUACCCAAAUUUUGAAUUAGCCGACCCAAAAAAAAAUCGAGUAACCCAAAUACUCAAGGCUAUUAGAGGAUGAGGGGCCCCUACAUUUGAAGGUUCAGGAGAGAAAAAUGAGAGCCUCUCAUUUGUUGGUGGACGAUGGAAUGAGUUGGGUUAAAGAGUAAAGUUUACAUUUUGAUGUCUCAAAUAUAAGAUAAAGUUUCAGUUAGAAAUCCGGUUUGAGUUGCUCUUAGCGAAAACCUAAAUGGUGGCAAAAAAUAGAGACGUAAACACAUGCUUAUCCAGUCAGACAAGGCGAUGUAAAGAAUACAGAGACUCAAUGGACCGCAUCCUUGUACAGCCCAUAUAGCCCAACAUUGUCGGCCCAUCUUGCGUUGAGUGGGGUGGGACUAAACCCUAGGGGGCUGCGGCCUCGUAUAUAAACUCGCACGCACUCAUCCGUCGCCCCUCCGAAGUUUCGGCGGCGGCGUAGGCAGCGGCGGCGUGCUCGUGAUCUCAACCCCCAGGCGAGCUCGGCUCCGGUCACCCGUCGAUCCACGCAACCAUGGUAAGCGAGCUUCUUCUCGUCUGGUUGAAGUCCGUCUGUCCGUGCGCGGAUCUAGGCGCAAGCUCUGUAGCGGUGGGGGUUCCUGAGAGGUUAGGUUUGCGUGGAAAAAAGUUGUUGAUUGGAGCUUAUGCUCUGGGGGCUGCCAAAUCACAAUCGUGAUUUGUCUUUCGUUGAAUUAGUUGACUGUGAUUCCUACUCCUUAGUUGAAGACUGAAGUGAUGUGCUGCGGUACUUUUGUUGCGAAUCUAUCACGAUGUGUCAGUCUAGAUGAAGAUGUUUAGCUGUCAAAUGCAAUAUUUGAGAUGUGCUGUUAAAAUUGUAGAAGUAUUGAUACGGCUAGAAACUACUACUUAUGAACUUGAGUCAGAGAUCUGAUUACCUACUGCUUACGAGCUAAGAGUUAGAUAUGUUGAUUACCUGGGGAUUUGCUUGGGUUUGAGGAAUUUACGAAGAUGGAAAGCCAUGUUUUGCAAUGUUUAUUUGUUUAUUGUUUCCCAGUAUACAUCGUGAUGCAAGUCUAGUUUUAAUUUUUUAAUGAUUGACUUGAUUAGUAAACUGAGACUGAUUUGCUGUUGAGCGGCUUCUAUCAGUUUGUUUGCUCAACAUAAACUCAUAACAUAAAUCCACAGACAGGCUAUUAUUCAUACUGCAUUGUGCUCUAUUAGUAUGGCCUUUUGGUCCUCUUAGGCUCUUAAAAUUAGAACAUGAGCUGAAGUAUAUAUCAACUUAGGUUCACUUGUUGUGCAUGGUGAAAUUGUUUCUGGAGUCUGUUAACACGACAAUAAAUUCAUUGUAAUCUGAUAGUCAUAUAUGUUUGCAGUCGAGGAGGAAGACCAGGGAGCCCAAGGAGGAGAACGUUACCCUUGGACCCACUGUCCGUGAAGGAGAGUAUGUCUUUGGUGUUGCUCACAUCUUUGCAUCCUUCAAUGACACCUUCAUUGUAAGUGCUAUAUUUUUUUCUCUGUUGGUGGACUUUUUCAUUCCCUUCCCCAGUGUAACUGUGAUGUUAUAAUAUGCAGCAUGUCACUGAUUUGUCUGGGAGGGAAACUCUGGUUCGCAUCACUGGUACAAUCCUAACUUUGCUCCAUUCGUGGCUUAGAUGACAAUUGUAUUUAGUUUUAACCAUGUUGUUCUAAACUAUGUAGGUGGCAUGAAGGUCAAGGCUGAUCGUGAUGAGUCAUCGCCUUAUGCUGCUAUGCUUGCUUCUCAAGAUGUUGCACAGCGUUGCAAGGUAUUUGUAGUGAAGUAAAGAAUUUCGUUAGAGAGGUUCUACUGCAAUCACUCUUUGGUUCAUCUGUGUAUGCAAUGAUGAUGUUUGCUUAAUUAAUUUGAAGCUUAGGAUUAUGUAAGGCUGCUUAGGUUGUUGUCCAGAUAAGUAAUCUGUCUCUGUGUAUCCAGGGAUGAUGUUUGCUAAAUUAAAUUGAAGCUUAGGAUUAUGUAGGGCUGCUUAGAUUGCUGUGGCUAGAUAAGUAAUCUGUGAGUUGGUCUCGUUUCUUCAGGAGCUUGGUAUCACUGCGCUGCACAUUAAGCUUCGUGCCACUGGAGGCAACAAGACCAAGACCCCUGGACCUGGUGCUCAGUCCGCUCUCAGGGCUCUUGCUCGUUCUGGGAUGAAAAUUGGACGCAUUGGUAAGAAACUAUGAAAUCUGAAUCUUGCAAGGGCAAACUAUAUUGAUUUGCCCUAUUUUAUUGAAGCUACAUCAAUUAUCAAAUGUGUUAUUGUUUCUGUAUGCUAAUGACAACAUUUUUUGUGUUAUGUGCAGAGGAUGUUACCCCGGUUCCCACUGACAGCACUCGCAGAAAGGGUGGUCGGAGGGGUAGGAGGCUGUAGGUGUCUUCGCCUUGCUAUCUGCCAUCUCUUGGCACUGCCAUCUGGGUAGUGUUGCUGUUUCUAAGCUUGUCAAGAGGAGCUUUAAUUUUGCUCUAUGUCGAGGAUCAUUUACCGUUAGUCAAAUCUGUGAUGUGCAAUUGUGCAUGGAUAAUGUUUUGGUUGAGGAAUUGACAUUAAGCUAAAAAUGCAUUUUCACUCUACUAUAGGACCUGGGAUUGGAUUAAUGCCCUGUUUUGAUGAGGUGCAGCUGAUCUUUGCUGUAUUGCUUUAUGCUGAUCAGAACUUGCUUUCUGAUUAAGUUUCAGCGUGUCAGACUGUCAGGUUAUGAUAGUGUGUUAUUGUGUGGAGAAUUAGUUUCUAAAGAUGUGGAUGUUUGCCUGCCUGCUAUUUCCCGCAGGCAGAUACUAGUGCAACGUAGACCAUAGUACAACCAGAUGCAAUGUUUCAUGUAUUUAUUAUUCCAAAAGUAGACGUAACAGAUCAUCUCAGCCUCUCGGGAAACCAACAUGUACUGGCUCUCCCAAGUCAUUUCAAACAUCUUGUAUAGUCAAAUUAUCUCAGGUUUGAUCAAAUUUAUAUGGUAGAAUAAUAAGAUUUAUGAUAUCAACUAAGUAUCAUUAUAAUCUUCAUUAAUUAUAUUUGAUGCACACUUUAAGAUUAUUAAAAUGAUUUAUAAUUUAAUUAAUAUGAAGGGAGUAACAACCAGUGGGUUAUGUACUUAUGUCAAGCUGUUAGUGGAAGUUAAGUGGUGCUGGAGACAGCGCCGUCCGCAGCGGCAUGGUAGGUUGCGCUAUCAACCUGCCAGGGGGCUAUGGCGAGCUUCUUUUUGUUUUGAGAAAUCGGGUUUGUAUUUCAUUUAUAAAAUUUGGUGAUUACAGCCCGAGCUUCUUUUGUUUUGAGAAAUCGGGUUUGUAUGUCAUUUAUAAAAUUUGGUGAUUACAGCCCAUUUCUUACAAGGACACCCUGGAAAGAAAAUAAAAAUAUAUUCCCUUGUAAACUCCUGGUCUUCCUCCGCUGGCCGCCUGGUCAGAGCGCAGAGCUUGAAGCCGAUCUCCUCCUUGGCGAAGAAAAACAAUUUGUUGUUGUCGUCUUGAGCAGCAUAUUGCAUCUGACAUAUACUAUGAACGCUGAACGACCCGGCCAAAGAUAGCCAUUGACCAUCGCAUCGCCAGGCAACGAGGAAUGUGACGCCUCAAAGACUAACGAAAACCCCCAUUUGCUGGACGACGAGUCACCCUGAAGGUGAACUGAACCAACAAACCUGAUUUUUACUUCAUGUUGGUAAACAUACCUUCCAAGGUCAUCGUCGAAGAAGCGUGCAUCAACGACAAAGACAAGAAAGUGACAAAAUAACCCAACUAGAUCUGGAGUAAGCCCCAGAAUUCGGUACUCGCAUCUCAACAACUCAUCACUAGCCCCAGAAGACUCACCAGCGCGGCGGAGAAGGAGCUAGAUGCCCUUAUUCCAUAGUCGCAGUGCCGCCUCCACGCAACGAACAGUUCCUAGAACCAAACGACCUAUACUAUAUAUGUACACCACCUCAAUCCCCAUUCACCAUCCUCUCUGGUGCCGAUCUAGCCACCAGAGAGGAAGGGGGACGAAGGAAAUCGAUGUCGGACGCAGAUCACCCCUUUAUCGCCUCCGCUCAACUGUAGUUGUGGAAGGAGUGAGAAGAAGAUCGAAUAUGAUUGCUGCUACGAUGAGCUUCUUGGGCGUGCUGUUGGCCUCGAUGUUGCAUGUCUCCUAGGGCCGUCUCAACAGUUCAGAAGAUAUUUGGUAAGCAAAAGGGUCUAGUGAUCUAAUUUUUGUAUGGCGGUUAAAUUAUCUCUAUUUGAGUCUACCUACAGGUCUCCUGGUUUUAAUGACAUAUGCAGAGCAUCUUAUAGUCUGGAUAACUAGAAAUCCUAAUCUAAAUAGAUAUGAUCAUGUUUGAUAUUGAACUGAAAUCUUAAUCCAGAUAGAAAAGAAUAAUAAAAGAAAAAGAUAGACAAAUAUACAACCUUUGUCCUCGUGUUCUUAAUGUUUUUUUGUUCGCAAGUUUUUUUAUCUAGUCUGCACUUUCUAUUUUUCUCCAAAUUUUGCUCUUUUCUGCUAAGGUGUUUUUUGUUCCUAUUUUUUUAUCCGCAAGUUUUUUAUCUAGUCUGGACAUUCCUCAGUUGUGCACCUAUGGAAACUAGAACAAUUUAUAAUUUAGAACUUUUAAUUAUACCUGAAAACAUACAUGUUUUUUUUUAUGCCCAUAGGUCUACUUAGCACAAUCUAUCUCCAUUAGAAGAGAUAUUCAUUCAUUCCCCUUAUAGGUAUGCAAACUUAUAGAUGAAUAUUUAUGAUAAUUAGGCGGAUAGAAUGUUUAGUUCUCAUCAUCGCUAUAUGAUUUUCAUGUGCAAACAUGACCAAAACUCACAUAUGGCGUCAAAGGCCUACGCCACAAACUACAACGUCGUUGCAUAUUCAAUGUGACAAGCGGUGGUUGAUAAUCAAGCAUCCUUAGAGUUUUGUUUGAUUUUUUUCUCAUGAAAAAUACAUAAUAUACUGGAGUCGUUUAAAUUGUAACAAGAGAGAUGAGGAUACAAGAAAAAUACUUAAAAUCAUACCAAACGCAACAAAUAAUCAUAAAGAUUAGGUUUUUUUUCGAAUUACACAGUGCAAACACUCACAAUGUACGUAUACUCACCCCUAAGAACACAUGCACGCAAUAUGGAGUCUUCUUAGAAAACUUUGCAUGUAAGACGCCUUGCCCCUAGGGAUAUGAACAAUCCAUAUCUUGAUUUUGUUUUGGUGACGCUUCUCGAACAAUACCAACAAUCUUAUGAAAAUUUUGUAGUGUACACAUGGAGCAUACAAAAGAUAUAGAUAUAGAUGCUAAUAUUGAAGGUUAGCUUUUGUUUACUUCCGUUUAAUGCGAUUGUUCAAGCUCUAGCGCGGUUGGCCAUUGGAUCGCAUAAAAUUAUUACACCCUCUAUUCUAAAUUAUAAGCAUUUCUAUUUCUAACUUUUCUAAAUACAUAUCUUAUAACUACUACGGAGUAUCAUAUAUGUAAAAGCCAAAAUGUCUUAUAUUUUGAAAUCAAAGGAGUACUCCAGAUAGGCUUUGCGUAUGCUUACCCCUUCUUGGUUGCUAUGGCUGCUACAAGACAACUACAAUUAGCUUUGUUGAACAUGCCUAUGAAAGCAGGAGCAACGUAUAGUUGUUUCAAAUGUAUAAACAAACAUCUCAUUUGGACCUUGUUUGAAUAAAAAACACUCUGGCUUAUAGUUCAGCUAGUGCUUCACUUGUCUAGUAAAAAGGUUAUAUUUCUCUCACCCGAAUAAGAAUCACGGUGCAGAAAUAGGUGACUUCCUUUAUCUUGCACCGGGUGUAAACCAUAACACUACCUACUGGUAAUUAUUUUAACUAGUAUUACUUGUCCAGUGAAUUAUACCGUGUCUAAUAUUUCAUCUGUCCGGCUAACACUUUUAAAAGCCAACGCUGCAGUUGCUUUCUUGACUGCUUGUACUACGCGCGCGACUGUCGACGAAAGCUAGUCGGCAGUCUACCUUUGGGUAUACCCACGGUAGUAGUUUAUCGGUAGACGGUGCGCAAACUACGAACUCGAUGGUGACGCAAGACACAGACAAGCUUUUUAUCCAGGUUCGGCCGCCGAGUUGGCGUAAUACCUACGUCCUGCGUCUGGUUGUAUUGGAUUGUGUUGAGAGAUAAUCUGUCCUAAAGGGGUCCCUUGCCCCUCCUUAUAUAGUCUGGAGGGCAGGGUUACAGAUCCGGAAACUAAUCCUAGUCGGUUACAAUUGCCAUGGAUAAUUCGAUAUCAAUUCCUAUUCUAACCGACUAGAAUCCUGCUUGAUCUCCACAUCUUGUUUCCUUGCGCAAAACUCCAAGCUGUCGGAUCAAGCCUUGAACUCGUCUCGUAAUGGGCCAAGCCUCCUGGCUCAAGUCUAGCCGUAAGGGUAUAGGGGUUUAUACCCCCACAGCUAGUCCCCGAGCACCAUGUAUUGUGAUGUAACACGCCGUCUUGAGCUUCUUCGAUCAGUGAGGCUUGACGUCUUCAGGAAAGUUGCCCAAACAGUUGCAACGGUACUUUGACCAACUCAAAAGACAAUUGAUCAACAUUGACAUCGAAGAAGCAGGUUGUUCGAAGAAUGCAUGGUGCUCUAAAUCAAAAAAGAUUUCUUUCCUGGUGAAGUGUGCCCACUUUACUUUUUUGUAAGGUAUUAUUCUCAAAAAAGCAAGCAUAUUCACCGCAAGGUGAAGUGUGCCCACUUAGUCCCCGAGCCUGGUAGUAGGUGACGUAGGCACGUGGUGCCAGGGUCAAAAGAAAAUUCCCCAAAGUAGUUUUGAGACUGAGAUGCAUCGCUAGAUGCAUCGUACCGAUGUAGUCCCCGAGCUUGCUGGAAGGCGAAGUAUGAGCCUUGUAGCAAGGUCUAAAAAAUUGAAAGUACCAGUCCGUCUGCAGUUGAAUAGACUAAUCGACCAGUCCCCGGGUGUACAAAAGUAUGACAACCAGGCCCCAAGCACCAAGCGCACUCCUUAGAAUUCUGAGUUGCUAUAUUGGGCGACCAGUCCUCGGGCAUCGAGCGUUCAGUGGUCGCCGGAAUUUUCGAAGUUCCGGGCUGAUAGACUGGGCGACCAGUCCCCGAGCAUCAAGUGCUCGGUGGUCGGUGCAGUCCUUCACAUCCGAGUUAAUAGACUGGGCGACCAGUCCCCGAGCAUCAAGUGCUCGGUGGUCAGUGCAGUCCCUGAAUUCUCAAAUUGAUGGGCUGGUCGACCAGUCCCCGAGCGUAUAGUGCUCGGUGGUCCGUGCAGUAUAUUAAAGUUCGGAGCUGAUAGACUGGACGACCAGUCCCCGAGCAUCGAGCGCUCAGUGGUCGGUGCGAUAUAUUAAAGUUCGGAGCUGAUAGGCUGGGCGACCAGUCCCCGAGCAUCAAGUGCUCGUUGGUCGGUGCAGUCCUUGAAGUUCCGAGUCGAUAAACUAAACGACCAAUCCCCGAGUGUCAGGUGCUCGGUGGUCGGUACAAUCCUUUGCAUCCGAGUUGAUGGACUGGUCGACCAGUCCCCAAGCAUCAAUUGCUCGGUGGUCGAUGCAGUCCCUGGAUUGUUGACUCUGCCAUAUUUGUCUUCUUGUUUUUGAAAAAAUCUUCCCAGUUAAAGUUGACGUGACGAGACCUUCUGAUGGUGUGUCAGAUGGAUGCAUGAAAAGUUGCGCCUGGCAACUGUGCAGCCGCCCUUUGCGUGGUUUGAGAAAAGGAAACCAUCAAUUGGUACGAAAAUUCCACCGCAUUAAUUGCCUAUAAUCAUUGAAAACCGAAAUACCGCAUCCGCCGCAUGGCCCGCCCACUUCCCGAAAAUACAGGAAGUGGGAGGGAUGGAGUUGCGGGUUAUAAGAGGUGGACAGUUCCGCCCGUACUGCUUACCCUGCCAUUGCCAUCAAGCCUUUCUCUUUUGCCUCCUUCAAUCACCUUCGUCCUCGUAACCCAAGUCCACUUCCUCACCUCCAAUGGCGAAGAGCGACUCCAAGAAGAGAGCCGAACUGAUGGCCAAGGAGUGGAAGAAAUCCCGCAGCACCACCAAGUCCCUCGGUGACCUCGUCGACAUGGGACUCCUGCACAGCUCGGAGCUCGGCGGCUGGAGAGCGCCGGAAGGAGAGAGCUUCCCGGACCCUCGUGCCGGUGAGAUCGUCGUGUUUGAAGAUUUCAUUAAGAGAGGCUUUGGGGUUCCUGUUCAUCCUUUUCUUCAAGGUCUUCUUUUGUAUUAUGAGAUCGGGAUUUGCAAUCUGCACCCGAACUCAAUUCUCCUCAUUUCCACUUUUAUCCACCUGUGCGAGGCCUAUGUUGGCAUAGAGCCGCACUUCGAUCUUUUUCGUUAUCUUUUCUGCUUGAGGAAGAAAGGAGCGGUUGGAGGCUCCAAGGUUGCAGGUGGAGUAUACCUCAACCUUCGUGAUGGAAUGAAGAAUCGCUACAUGCACUGUCCAUGGAACACUUCCUUGACCGAAUGGUAUAGGAAGUGGUUCUACAUCAGGGAGGAACCGGGCAGCUCCACGUUCUGCGACGUGGGAUACAUUCCUGAGAAGAGGCUGAGCUGGACCGACCGCCCAGAGUUCGACGGUCAAGUGGCGGAUCUCAUGAAGCUGAUCGACUGGUCGCGCCUGGACGGGCUUGGCGUGGUCGGCAACUUUAUUUGUCGCCGGGUGAUGCCCUGCCAGAAGAGGGUGCACUCGGCGUACGAGUAUGCCGGAAGCGCGGACCCGACCAGGAUGCGGCCGGAGAUCUUGGAGAAGGCGGAGGUACAACAGCUGUUGAACGAGCUGUUCAACUUCGCGGACGGAAGCUUCAUCCGUGGCAGUGAUCGGGUGCAAGCGUUCAUGUUAGGACGACCAGCACCAAAGGUAUGUAGCAAAUUAUUUUGUUUUAGGAUUCGUUUAUCGUCUGCAACCGACUUAUCUGUGUUGCUUUUGUAGAUCGGCGAAGUCGACCGGUGCAUAGUGUAUGUAUCACUGGCACCGGGGAUGGAGAAUCCUGCGGGAGAGGACCCGCCAGAGGAGGACGCUGCUCGGUGUACUUAUUACACCAGCAGAGAGGACCAGGCCCGCCCCGCCCCGACCAUCGAGGAGAUGGUGGCGGGGAAAAGGCCACUGGUAGCGGAUCCUUUGCCGGUGCCAACGUUGCCGGCGGAGAGCAGCCAAGCGCCGAAGCGCCGUCGGCUCGUGCGGAUUGUUGACGACGACGACGAGGAGGAGGCCGUACCGUCGCUAGUUCGACGACCUCGGAGCCGCCCAGAUAGUGCGCCAGCCACUACUGAUCGGGUGGCCAGCGACCCUCCUGCACCGCGCGUUGUCGAGAUGGGAGCGCAGAUGCCAAUUGGCCGGACGAGGAGGAGGUUCACCGCGACCCACCGUCGAUCGGACCUGUAAGUGUUUGACUUACGUAUUUUGGCAUUAUUUUGUUUUUUUUAAUUAUACUUUUGUUCUUUUAGCGCGGCGUCGGAUGUCAACCCUGGCCAUGCCGCCGGCCAGGAGACGGGUGAGCCUGCCUGUGCUGCUGAAGACGCGGCGCCACAGACCACGGAGCAGCCUGCGGCUGCAACCGUGCCUGUGAGCACCGAGGAGCCCCCAGCUGCGGCACCGACCACGUCGAGCAGCCCGGCUAGGGCUGAGGGGGCUACAGAGGCACCUCCCCCAACGAACGCCGCAGAAGGGGAGAGGAGAGGCCCGACCCCUCCUCCCGCCGAGGAGAGCGAAGCCCCCACGCCGCCCCGAGCAAGGGCCGCUUCGACUACAAGCUCCCCUGGUCUAGCCCGGGGGCCAGUAAUGCCUUCGACUGCUACUGGGGGCAAUACGACGGGUGAGGAGGAAACCCAGGCGGCCUCCGACGACGAGGGGGAGGAGAUUGAAGGUCGUCCUCGCGAUGGCCGCCAACACGUGUAUGUGUGGCGCCAACGCGGGGAUCACUUCAUCGGGCAUGAAGAGCUUGCCGAGACCGAGGAGGCCACCAGGGUCGAGCGUGCGGCCAAACGCCUUGUCGACGAAGUCAAGGUAAGCGGUUCUUUGCACUGUCGUACACUCUGUGCAUUGUCUUGCUUGGUUGUCAUAUGUUCGUUUUGUAGGGCGCGAUGAAAACGGUGAAGUACCGGAAACGGUGCUUCGACCAGAUAGAAGGCGUUGUGGCCGAGAACAAGGCCCUGGCCGCAGAGGUAGACCGGCUGCGAUCGGAGGUUGGGGAGAAAGUGGCCGAGAUGAAUGCCCAAGAGGAGCGUCGUCUCGAGCUUACCCGUCGCUUAGCCGACCAGUACCGUCAGCGAGAAGGUUAGUCACGCGCUCCAAGCACCUCCUCGUAGCUGUGUAGUUCGCUUUGCUGACCGGGUUAUGACUCACUUAGACCUGGAGGAGGAGGUGACGCGCCUCCGACAGGAGAAGGAGCAGCUCAGCCAAGAGCUUGCUGGAGCGCUGGAGUCCGGGCGCCGAGCAGGAGAGGAGUUGGGUCGUAAGGACCGGGAGCUAUCUGGUAAUACGCACCGCCUCGUUAUCUGCCGCUUGUCGCCCCCAUUGUUUUUUUUUGAUAUGUCGAAGAUAACGUCCUGCCUGACUUGCAGUGCUCAAGGUGAACGCCAAAAAGCAUCUGGAUGAGCUGGCUAAGGACCGGGACUCCUGGAAGGUCAACUGUUGUAAGAUCUGGAAGGGAGUAUCCCCGGUCCUGGAUCUGAUCAGUCCCGAGCUCCCGGAGAGCCAGCCCCGCGCGCCGAAGUUGACUCCGGUGGAGAAGGCGCAGCGGGCGUGGGACUGGCUCCAGCAAUUUGUAAAGGACGCUGGUGAGUUCGCCGGCGCGCAUGUCCUUAGCAUGGUGCGCGCCCACUACCCCCUGGUCGACUUGACCAGGCUGGAGAAGGGGUACCCCAAGCAGGUCGGCCCGCAGGAGGCGGACGAGCUUCGGGGUGGUCUGCUGGACUUGUCGUCGAUGGUGAUCGGCGACAUCAAUCUGUGCGGAACAGCCACUCCCCCCGACCAGCCAGGCUCAGACAGGUCGGCCAGGGAGCUGUCGGGCGCGUCUGUUGCGGGAGAUGGGCGGUCGACGCCUGCGGUCUCGACCAGCCAGGCGCCGGUGGCCCCGACCCCUUCGUCCGGGCAGCAGGGCCAAACGGGUGAUCAGCCCGAGCAGUUAGGCCGAUAGGGUAGUCUGUAGGAGUAGACUAGCGUCUGCCCGUCAGGGUAUUUAUUGUAAACUUUGUAUAUGUAAAGUUUAUAAUAAAGUUUGCUUUUAUCAUGACUGCUAUUUUGAGCGCUGUACAAUUUUCUGAGUGACGUGUCACCGUAUUCGACUUUGUAGUCGUUAAGAGCUUCCAUUGCAGAAGGUUUGCCAAGAGUUCUGCGUGCAACAAAGUAUAGGCAAAAUAGAAAACUUUAUUAUUGACAAUUAUAAGAUAUUUACAAGCGAAAGUUAUUAGAACUUAUGGGUAAAAUCGUCGAAGUUUGUCUAUGUGCCAAGAGUUAGGCACGCGUGUCCCGUCUGGGUAUGCCAAUCUAUAGGACGUGGGUCGUGUGACUUCAGCGACCACGAAGGGUCCUUCCCAGGGAGUGGAGAGCUUGUGCAUUCCCUCUUGACUUGUUCUCCACCUAAGUACCAGGUCGCCGACCACGAAGGAACGGUCCUUGACGUUCCUGUUGUAGUAUCGCCUGACUGCCGCGAGAUACUUUGCUGUUCGGAGACAGGAAUUCAAACGCUUUUCCUCCAUGCAGUUGAUUUCGAGUUCCCUGGCGUUGUCGGCUGUCGCCUGGUCGAAGUGUUUAAUCCUAGGAGAUCCGAAGGUUAUGUCAGACGGCAGGACUGCCUCAGAGCCGUAGACCAUGAAGUAAGGAGAUACUCCUGUGUUUCGACUGGUCUGAGUUCGGAGGCCCCAGACCACGGCAGGUAACUCUUUCAUCCAUCGACCGGGUGCUCUGUCGUUCUCGGUGUACAGUCUUUUGUUUAGGGCGUCGAUGAUCAUUCCGUUUGCGCGUUCAACUUGACCAUUGGCCCGUGGAUGUGCAACUGACACAUAUUUUAUGACUAUGCCCCUGUCAUCGCAGAAGUCUCAAAAUAUGGUGCCAGUAAACUGAGUACCUAGGUCGGUGAUUAUACUGUUCGGGAUACCGAAUCUGUGUAUGAUCUGGUUGAGGAACUCUACAGCCUUCUCGGAGGUUGCUUUGACCAGAGGCAUGUAUUCAAUCCACUUGGAGAACUUGUCGAUUAAUAUGAAAACAAACUUGAAGUUGCCGGGAGCUGGUUUAAAUGGCCCGAUCAUGUCAAGCCCCCAGCAAGCGAAGGGCCAGGACGCCGGGAUGGUUUGAAUCUCGUGAGCGGGUACGUGGGUCCUCUUGGCGAAAAACUGGCAUCCCUCGUAGUGUCGGACCAGUUUUUCUGCAUCGUUGACCGCGGUUGGCCAAUAAAAACCUGCUCGGAAGGCUUUUCCGACCAACGUUCUGGAUGCGGCAUGAUUGCCGCAGGAUCCAGCAUGUAUGUCUUCUAGGAGCUUGAUACCAUCAUCUUGGGAUAUGCAUUUGAGCAGUACCUCAGAGCUUGCAUUUUUUCGCAUGAGUUUGCCGUUGACCAGGAUGUAGUUCUUUGACCGUCGAAUGAGACGCUCGUUCUCUGUUUUGUCCUGAAAGCCUGUCCCGUCUGUUAUAUACUUGAUGAACGGGGUACGCCAGUCAUGACCACCUUUUGUCGGAGUGGCAUCGUCUAUGAGCAUUGCCUCAGUGGGUUGCUUGUCGACCAGGGGAGAGCCUACGCUGGGCUCGUGGAUGUCCUGGACGAAAAUACCCCGCGGGAUCUGGGCCCGAGAUGAUCCUAACUUUGACAACGCAUCUGCUGCCUGGUUCUUAUCCCGGACCACAUGGAUGUACUCUAUGCCGUAGAAGUUGGUUUCCCAUUUGCGGAUUUCUUUGCAGUAGAGAUCCAUCUUUUCGUGGGUUGCGUCCCACUCCUUGUUGAGCUGAUUGAUAACCAAAGCAGAGUCGCCAUAGACAUAGAGGCGUUUGACUCCCACCUCAACGGCUAGCCUUAUGCCGUGCAGGCACGCUUCGUAUUCGGCGACAUUGUUUGACGCCGGAAAGAGGAUCCUAAAGACGUAACGCAGUUUGUCCUUGUUAGGCGACACGAACAAUAUCCCAGCGCCGGCACCGUUGAUGUUCAAGGACCCGUCAAAGAACAUUGACCAGUGGUCGGAGACAUCGGGAACGGGAGGCUCGUUGAGAUCCGUCCACUCAGCAAUGAAAUCGACCAAGGCCUGAGACUUAACUGUGGUGCGGCUCUGGAACUCCAGGGAAAAUGGGCAUAACUCCAUUGCCCAUUUUACAAUUCUGCCGUUAGCAUCUUUAUUGCGCAGAAUGUCUCCGAGAGGCAAACUGGUGGUCACCAAGACUCGAUGGCCGUCGAAGUAAUGUUUCAGCUUUCUUGACGUUAUUAGGAUAGCAUAUAUGAGCUUCUGUAUCUGUGGGUACCUGGCCUUGGACUCGUUUAAGACCUCACUUAUGAAGUAAACGGGUCUCUGGACUUUAUAGGCAUGACCUGGUUCAUCUCGCUCGACCACUAUUGCUGUGGAAACAACUCGGUCGGUUGCAGCAAUGUAAAGUAGUAGGUCUUCAUCGGGCUAGGGCGCUGUAAGGACAGGUGGCGAAGUGAGAAAAGUCUUGAGCUGAGUGAAUGCGGCGUCGGCUUCCUCUGUCCAAGAAAAUUUUUCCGACGCUUUCAAGAGUUUGAAGAAAGGGAGGCCUUUUUCUCCUAGUCUUGAGAUGAAGCGACUGAGGGCGGCCAUACAUCCAGUAAGCUUCUGAAUAUCCUUGACAUUCUUGGGUGGCCGCAUGUCGAGUACUGCUUUUACUUUUGAAGGGUUUGGUCGUAUGCCGUCACGACUGACAACGUUGCCGAGCAGUAGACCAGAAGGAACACCAAAAAUGCAUUUUUGGGGUUAAGCUUCCACUUGUACCUAUUAAGCGCCUUAAAAGUUCGGUCUAAGUUGUCGAUUAGGGUGCUCGCGUCCCUUGUUUUUACGACCACGUCGUCUACAUAGGCCUCGACGAGGUCAUCACGAAUCUCGUCGUGGUGGCAUUGCUGGAUAGCCCGUUGAUAAGUGGCUCCAGCAUUUUUGAGUCCGAAGGACAUGGUCGUGUAGCAGUAUGCGCCAAAGGGAGUGAUGAAGGAUGUUUUUAUCUGAUCGUCUUCCUUUAGCGAGAUCUGGUGAUAACCAGAAUAGCAAUCUAGAAAAGAGAGGAGUUCGCAUCCGGCCGUUGAGUCGACCACCUCGUCGAUGCGAGGGGGACCAAAAGGGUCUUUAGGACAGUGUUUAUUGAGAUCAGUGUAAUCAACGCACAUUCUCCAUUCAUUAUUCUUUUUGCGUACAAGAACCGGAUUGGCGAGCCAAUCGGGAUGAUACACUUCUUUUAUGAAUCCGGCUGCUAGAAGCCGUGUUAUUUCUGUCCUAAUAGCCUCCUUUUUGUCACGAGCGAACCGUCGCAGCUUUUGCUUGAUUGGUCUUGCGGUUUUCGAGACAUUUAAGGAGUGCUCGAUCAGGUUUCGUGGGACACCGGACAUGUCUGCGGGUUUCCAUGCGAAGACGCUCACGUUAUCCCUUAGAAACCUGACGAGCGCGUCUUCCUAUUUUGGAUCCAGAUUGGCCCCGAUGAGGGCCGUCUUCUCGGGGCUGCCGUCGACCAGCUGUACUUCCCUGUACUCCUUGGAUUUUGAAUUCUUCCUGGCUGUCUCCUGCUCGGGUAGUCGAAGCUGGUCGGGGGGCAGCUGCGCGGCUUGGGUUGCUGUUUCUGCCAUGCGGAUUGAGAGGUCUAUUGCUUCGGUGAUCUUGAAGCUCUCUUCUUCGCAGGUAUACGCGGUGUAGACGUUGCCUCUGACGGUUAGGACACCCUUCUCCGUAGGCAUCUUAAGGACCAGGUAUGAGUAGUGCGGGACUGCCAUGAAUUUUGUCAGUGAUGGUCGGCCCAGUAUAGCGUGGUAGGUCCCGUCGAAGUUCGCGACCACGAAGUUGAUGAACUCUGUCCGAAAGUGGUCGGGUGUGCCAAAUUGGACAGGCAAUGUUAUCUGUCCGAGGGGCACUGAGCUCUGACCUGGCAAAACCCCCCAGAAUUGGGCAUCGUAGGGUUUUAGUUGUGCAGGUGAUAUCUUGAGAGCAGGCAGGCUGUUGCGGAAGAGAAUGUCGAUGGAGCUUCCCCCGUCCACGAGCACGCGCUCGAAUCUGAUGCUGUUGAUGCAAGGGUCGAGGAUCAGAGGGAAACGACCUGGCUCUGGGAUAGCGGCCCACUGGUCCUUCCUGCUGAAUGAGAUCUCCCUGUGCGACCACGGGGGAAAUUUUGGGUCUGUGAUCAGCACGUCCGUGCUGUCUAUGUUGAGGCACGCUCUCUUUAGUAGCUUUCUUUCUCGCUUAGAUUUGGAGACCUUGCCCCCGAAGAUGGAGUGGACCACGUCAGUGGGGCUGACGUAUUGGUGUCGGGGGUCCCUAUCUUGGUCCUCAUCCUCGUCUUCGUGGUCGUGCCCGUCUCGCUUGCCGUUUUUCUUAGCGGGGUCGUCUUGGGCGGCCCGCCGUGUAUAGAUGCUUUUGAGGACGCGGCACUCUUCCAUGGUAUGAUUAGACUUUGGAUGUAGUUGGCAUGGUCUCUUCAACGUUUUGUUGUAGUCUUCUUGGUAGUCCCGCCGGCCGUUAGGACGCUUGACCGUAUUUACUUCGUGGUCGUAGUCACGGGGGCGCUUUCCUCUGAAAUCGUCGCGGUUGUCGCGCCGCCGAUCCCAACCUUCUCUGUGAUCGCGGUUGUCGGGGCGGCGGUUGUUCCUGUUGUCGUAUCGACCGCGACUGUCAUCUCGCCGGGGAGGCUGGUCGGGACCUCUCGCAUCGUCUCGGAUUAGUUUUUCUGCGUCGUCGGCGUCGGCAUAAUUUUUAGCUGUGGCGAGGAGCUCCGCCACCGUUGUUGGCCGUUUACGCAACAGCUUGUUCCUUAGCGCUUCAUGGAAACGCAGGCCCUUGAUGAAGGCAGAGAUGGCCUCGUCGUGGGAAAUCUUCGGGAUCUUAAGGCGCAUAUCCGAGAAUCGUCGAAUGUAAUCGCGCAGAGGUUCGUUCUUACUGUCCCUUAUUCUUUCGAGGUCAUACUUAUUUCCAGGCUGCUCGCAUGUGGCGAUGAAGUUGUCGAUGAAGGCCUGGCGUAGCUCUUUCCAAGAGUCGAAGGAGUCCUCGGGCAAGCCAAGAAGCCAUUGAUGACCAGCCUAGUCGAGGACUACGGGGAAGUAGUUGGCCAUGACGUGCUCAUCUCCCGCUGCUGAUCGGACGGCGAUUUCAUAGAGAGUGAUCCAGUUCUCUGGAUUUUCCUUGCCAUCGUAUUUUUUAAGUUUUUCGAGCUUGAAAUUGCAGGGCCACACGACCUGGCGGAGGUGUGAGGAGAACUGUCUUAGGCCCGGGGGGCCAUGGGUUGCAUCGUACUCGAUACGGCGCAGGUUUUCGUUGACUGCUCUCUCUGUGGCGCGCCUGUUGAUGCGGUCCCGGGCAUCUUUGGGAGGGAUGUUGUGCCGGAGAUCCCUGUGCUGGUUUACUUCUCGACCGCGUCUGCGGUUCUGCUCGUGGUGACCGUCAGUGUCACGACCACCAUCGUCACGCCGUGAAUCUUUUCGACGGUUGUCGGGAGAGCGACUGUGGUGACGCCUGCUGGGAGGCGGUGAGGUCCGGCUAUGAUUAGUCUGGUCGGAGGUGGGUUCCGUGUAAGAGACGUCCUGGACUCUCUUGAGCAGAAUGGCUGUCUGUCCCAUUGCGGCAAUCAGGUGUGCUCGGAUGCUGGUCCGAACUCCCUGGCACUCAGGGGUAUCAGGGAGCCGAUCUAAAUUAGCCAUGGCGACAGCCACGUUGGCGCUUGGUGUCUUGUAGACUGGCUGAUCCCCGACCAUAUCAAAAGCGUCAUUAAGAUUAUGCGGCGGAAUUUGUUGUUGCUCGUCUGCGCGCCGUCGGGCGCGAUCGGCGUUGCGCUGUUCGCGGAGUUGCCUCUGCUCAUUAGUUUCUCCAUCAACGACCGGCUCGUCGGCGCUGACGUUGAAAACAAUAUCCCCUCGCCGGGGGGGAAAUACCGGGAAACGAGAGAAACCCGGAGGGUGUGAAGGCAAAUCCAGGUCGUAGUCCUCUUCUUCGGUGUUUAUAACUUCGGUGGGGACGGAACCGGUGCUUGAGUUGGUACUGGAAGCCUGACCGUUCCGUAGUUCUUGGACUGUCACCAUGUUGACGUAGUGACGACCGUUGCUUUUUGGCGACCAACCUGCUUUGCUGAAAACGGAUUGGAUGUGCCGUGAGUAGAGAGAGGCCGAGUUGUUCAAGCCGCAAGGAUAGUCUCCCUUCUUGAGCUUGACGGAUCGUCCGGAGGGAGUUGAGGUUACCGUCAGAGACGUUCCUAGCCGUUCGUGUGUAACGACACGAGUUGGCCGACGAGAUUUGAAAAAAUCCGUUGGGGCAGCUUGAUCAGGCUGGCGCAGGACUCCGUCCACUAGCUGGGAGGCUUCAAGUAGCUUGGAAUCGGCGCGAUCGAGCGCUUGGAGAAGGUCCGAGCAGUCGAUCUUCUUUCCCUUGUAGAGCGGGAGCGGUGGUCGGGCGCUUGGUUCCGCCACACGGGUGGUCGGAGUCGACGUGUUCUCAGAUUGGAUCUGAGUUUCUUUCGGAACCGUGGUCGUGAGGCCGUCGCUGCGCGUCGUCCACGUGAUCUGGCCGACGGUGAACGUGAGGCCUUCAGGCACGGCCGCGGAAGCUGGGAUCGUGACCAUCUUGUUCGCUGGAGAAGUUGCACGCACACCCCCUACCUGGCGCGCCACUGUCGACGAAAGCUAGUCGGCAGUCUACCUUGGGGUAUACCCACGGUAGUAGUUUAUCGGUAGACGGUGCGCAAACUACGAACUCGAUGGUGACGCAAGACACGGACAAGCUUUUUAUCCAGGUUCGGCCGCCGAGUUGGCGUAAUACCUACGUCCUGCGUCUGGUUGUAUUGGAUUGUAUUGAGAGAUAAUCUGUCCUAGGGGGGUCCCUUGCCCCUUCUUAUAUAGUCUGGAGGGCAGGGUUACAGAUCCGGAAACUAAUCCUAGUCGGUUACAAUUGCCAUGGAUAAUUCGAUAUCAAUUCCUAUUCUAACCGACUAGAAUCCUGCUUGAUCUCCACAUCUUGUUUCCUUGCGCAAAACUCCAAGCUGUCGGAUCAAGCCUUGAACUCGUCUCGUAAUGGGCCAAGCCUCCUGGCCCAAGUCUAGCCGUAAGGGUAUAGGGGUUUAUACCCCCACAGCGACGAGAAAAGAUAACUUGACGGCUACUGCAUCUGCAAAAAUUGAAAAAUAAAAAGGGUAACUUGACGGCUACUUCUUGUUUAAAAAAAAGAACGACAGCCAACAUCUGCGAAAAUUGGAAAAAACUAUAGUAUAUACCCCUCUGUCCCUUUUUAAUUGUCGCCGUUGGUGUGCGUGCCACAAGUUUGACUCGAUUUGUAGAAAAUACGUACAACAUUUGUAUCUUCAAAUAAAUUUGUUAAAAAACUAGAUUCAAAGAUCUUUCUAAUGAUACUAAUUAUAUAUUAUAAAUAUUAAUAUUUUUUAAUAUAUAAUUGUCGAUAGUUGUUUUUCGGGAAGCGCAAGCGACAAUUAAAAAGGGACGGAGGGAGUACUUUAUACGGUAUAUAUAUAAGAGGCCGGCGUUCUUUGCCAGUAAGGACUCCAUUGGAACGAUUUCAGGCUGGAACCGUUAGCUAAAACUAUACUUUUAGCUAACUCCCUGAAAGAAUUCAGAGCCUCAUUCUGCCGUAGCCCUAAAUUAGACGAUCUCGAGGGAUCCAGAUGAAAACAUUGCGUUCGGAUUCGGACCGUCAGUAGCACGUCAGCUGACCUCUAAACCCUCGUCUUCCCGUCCCAAACGUCCAUCCCCUGCCUUUCGCCGCCGCCGCACCAUCGCCCGAAACCCUAACCCCUUCGCCGCCUCGCUCGGAAUCCCAGCCCCCUUCGGCGCCGCCGCGACCGCCGGAGCGGAGGCCAUGGACGACGUGUGCGAGGGGAAGGACUUCUCCUUCCCGCAGCAGGAGGAGCGGGUGCUCCAGCUGUGGGCGAAGCUCGACGCCUUCCACGAGCAGCUCCGGCGCACGGAGGGCGGUGAGGAGUUCGUCUUCUACGACGGGCCCCCCUUCGCCACGGGCCUGCCCCACUACGGCCACAUACUCGCCGGCACCAUCAAGGACGUCGUCACCCGGCACCAGUCGAUGCGGGGCCGCCACGUCUCGCGACGCUUCGGGUGGGACUGUCACGGACUCCCCGUCGAGUUCGAGAUCGACAAGGCGCUCGGCAUCACCAACCGGCAGCAGGUGUUCGACCUCGGCAUUGGCAAGUACAACGAGACGUGCCGCAGCAUCGUCACCAAGUACGUCUCCGAGUGGGAGGCCAUGGUCACGCGCACGGGGAGGUGGAUUGACUUCAAGAACGACUACAAGACCAUGGACAUCAACUUCAUGGAGAGCGUCUGGUGGGUGUUUGCCCAGCUCUGGGAGAAGGACCUCGUCUAUAAGGGCUUCAAGGUCGCAUCUCUAACCUCACCCAUAGCUAUCUCGAGGCUGUUGAUUCUCAUAAUUCUGAGUUGUAUACAAAGUUUGACAAUCUUAGGAUUCGAUGGACUUAGUUUGACAAGCUUAGCAUUCAUUGAAUUGGGAACUUAACAGUGUCUUUGACUGCACAUUUACUACAUUGCAAAUUCUGCUGUGUCUCAAUGCGAGAAGUACAUCUCCUUCCGUAUUUUACUGUUAUCAUGCUGACAUGCUGUUUUGAUUGUUUAGAUCUAUAAUUUUAUAUAUGAACUUGUAGCUUGCUUUGAAUAUUGCUUCUGUAAGGUAAGAGAAUGCCGUUUUUAUUUUGUUGAUCUGAGCUUGUGACAGCACACAUAUUUCUUUUGGGCUGUGGUGUGGUGUGGUGUGGUUGUAAUCUUGGGAGUUGUGUGGCUUGUAGGGUAAUCUGUGCACUGUAGUUGCUGCCAAUCAUUGUAGUUGACAGCAAGUAUUAUUUUUGUACAAGUUGUUUUUCAAUCCUUCUCGAAUGAAGUGAAAAUAAAAAACAAACAAAUAGACUAUCUGGCAAUACAAAUUAUCCUCUCUAAAACGAGGAAAUGGAUCUAAGUUCUAUUUUUGUUCAUUGUAUUGCAGGGAAUUCCUUAAAACCUCAUGAAAUCUUUGUUCUUGGUAUAGGUCAUGCCUUACAGCACAGGAUGCAAAACUGCACUGUCAAACUUUGAGGCAGCACUGGACUAUAGGGUUGGUUAUUGGCUUCCUAGUUGACCUAGCUAAUUUUAUUGUUGCUGUUUAUAGUAACUGAUUUUUAAGUUUUAUCCUAGACUGUUCCUGACCCAGCGGUGAUGGUAUCCUUCCCUAUUGUUGGUGAUGCGGACAAUGCAGCUCUUGUUGCAUGGACUACAACACCCUGGACACUUCCAAGUAACCUAGCGCUGUGUGUCAAUGCCAAUCUCACGUAUGCAAAGGUUGGUACUUCGCUGUUUUUGAACCCUAUUUUUCUUUUCACUUUGUAAUUUUGGCACGCUGUCUUCCUAUUCUGCUGCAUGUCUACAGGCCACCCAGUUUGUUAGGUCUUUACUGUUCACACACUUCUACUUGUAAACUGCUGUUUAUUGCAUUCCAUUGAGGACACUUACUGUGUACAAACAGGUUAAAGACAAAUCAAAUGGAGCAGUAUAUGUUAUUGCAGAAUCUAGGCUUGGGCAGUUGCCAGUUAAGGCGAAAUCUUCAGGAAAGAAGCAGGCACCUUCAAAGGGAGGCAAUGCUGAAGCUGUUCAGGAUGGUUUGGACAAGGAAUCAUAUGAGCUGUUGGCAAAGAUUCCUGGGGCAUCCUUGGUUGGCUUAAAGUGAGUACUCUUUUAAAUUUAAAUCAAUUUUGUAGUUGGACUUGUUUCUUCAUCACUUACCAGCACUUCAGUGUUAGAACUUGUGAACUAGAAUUUCCAAUUCUAUUUACUCAAGUUGUGACUGGAAUACAAAGGUCGUCCUUAGACUAGCUUCCUGUUAUCCUUAUGUUAGCCACUGGUUUGUUCUGUAAGGUGUUUCCUCUCUAAGUUUGUAACUCCAUAUAGCUUUGGACUUUGGACAUCCCUCUGCACUUUUAGAAAACAUUCUGCAUUUGGAUAUCUUGCAUUGAUAUAGCUAGCUUACUCCAACAACAGUUCCACUCCAGUCUACUGAGUACAGAAGUAUUGUAGGUUGUGGACACUAUUCAUUUACCAAAACACUACCACUCUUCAGUCUUAAUUGCUGAAGAUUGUUUGAGAAUAUCAAAUUCAUGUGAUAGCAAAGAAUUACUGUAUUAUGUAUCUGGAGUUUUUUUGGUUCUUAUGGCUGUUACCCUUUUUUUUCUGGUUGCAGAUAUACUCCUCUAUUCGAUUUUUUCAUUGAACUUCAAGAGACUGCAUUUAGAGUGAUUGCGGAUAACUAUGUCACGGAUGAUAGUGGAACGGGUGUUGUCCAUUGUGCUCCUGCUUUUGGUGAAGACGACCAUCGUGUUUGCCUUGCUGCUGGGAUAUUUGAGGUUGGAUUUAUUUAUUCUUUAAUUCAUGUAUAUCCUCACGAACUGAUGUGCCGUUACGGCUAAGAUAUUCAGGGUUGAAAAUAAACCAGCAAUCUCCUUUUUCAGAAACUUGGGGGAAUAGCCCUAUCUAUUUAAAUAAAAUGACACUAUCAAACCAAUGAUGAUCUAACAGUAGGGUAAUUUUGGGAAAGGGACAUGGUAGUGCCCUGCCUCCACCCUUUACCACUAUUCGAUCAGCAUGCUGCAAUUCUAAAGCUACAACAUAAAUGCUGAAUACCUGGACACUCGUUUUUUCUAGCAUCUCCUCUCUUUAACAUACCCCCCCCCCCCCCCCCCCCCCUAAAACAUAAGUGAAGUACAAACUAUGCACAUUUGAGUUUGAAUCUGAUUAUAGAGCUAGAGGUUAGUUUGGUAUUUUCCUAAUGUUCACAGUUUGUCUUGAAUUACCUUAUUGCCACAACAUUGUUUAUUAUCAUGAAUGAAAUCUUGUCAUGCUUCUUUGAUUGAUGCAAACCAUCUCUUAGGUGAUGGGAUGCAAUGGUCCUAUCUGAUUUCUUGUUCUUAUUUCCAAUUUGGAAGAAUAGUCCUUAUCUAUUAUGACUUUAUGCAUCUUUUUGUACGUUCUAUCUCUUGCCAGCUGUUUCUGCUUAUGCAAGCAUGGCCUUGCUUUAUUUAUUGUUUUCUAUUUUUACCCUUUCCAAUGCUUCACGUGCAGACUGCUGGACUUGUUGUUGCUGUUGAUGACGACGGGUGCUUUAUUGAAAAAAUAUCUGUUUUUAAAGGGCGAUAUGUCAAAGAAGCCGACAAGGAUAUCAUCAAUGCUGUUAAGGCAAGUUGAUGUUUCAGUUUUCCAUGGACUAAUAUCUCAUCUCAGUCUUUAAAUAACCUUUUCCUCUAGUUGUCCAAUCAGCAUUCCUUUACCUCUAGUUGUCCAAUCAGCAUUCCUUUACCUACAGAUUUCAUAUACUUGUCAAAUAAGAUAAAUGCUAAAAUAUUUCAGUUCCAAUGCUAAUAUGAUCGACUAUUUUUUAUUUUUCCUGAGGAUUGUACUCUGAAAAGUGAUAAACAACAUGAACAGGAUAAAGGAAGACUCGUUAGUAAAGGGAGUAUUGAGCACUCUUAUCCAUUUUGUUGGCGAUCGGGAACUCCUCUUAUUUAUCGGGCUGUCCCAAGCUGGUAACCUUCUAUUGCUACUGUGCGUAUUUGCCUAUAUAUUUUGUCCAUAUGCUGAUAAUUUAUGAUUUUGCCAUUCAGCUUGAUUUCAAGUUAGUACCAAUGCAUCUUCUUGUUCUGAUAACCUGACAAGCCUCCCCAUUACCAACUUCUCUUACCACAUGUAUUGAUCACUUUAUGAUUUCUUUACCAUGUUAUAGUGACCCGUAUACACAAUAAACCAUCCUUUUGAACCAUUUUCGUUUUCUUUAUCCCCUAGGAAUAUUACCAUUACCAAUGCUUUAUACACAAUGCUUUAUAUGAGUUUUUCCUUUUUGUUUGUCUCACGCCAACUUGGUUGGGAUUAAAUCACUUUGUUAUUAUUGUUGUAUACGUUACUAUGUUACUCAUCUCAUCUGUCCUUUAUUUUCAUUAUGGUCUUCCUUCUGCAAUAUUUGUUUCUAUUUGAGGGAUGUAGCCUGAAAGAGAUUUGCUGUAGGUUUGUCAAGGUUGAGAAGAUUAAGGACCAGUUGCUGGAAUGUAACAAGGAGACUUACUGGGUGCCUGACUAUGUUAAGGUAUUUUAUGGCUUUAUGCUCCUGACAGUGCCAUGAUGAUGAAACCUUGUAUGGAAAAACGCCAUGUGCAGGCGCUCCUCAUAGCCCUUAACCGUAUUUUGAGACCCAUAGAAUUUAGAUGGCUAUGAGGGUAUCAUGAGAUUAACUAAGAGCAUCAGAUUACUCCCUCCGUUUUAGUAGGUGUAUUUUGUUUUGUUAGGGCGAGCCUUUGGCCAACAGUUUCUUUAUUAAUACAUGAUACAUGACUUUGCAAUAUAAAUUGAUGCAGCUAGUUUUGUAUUGAAACAAUAUUUGUGAUUAUAAUUUUGGUGUAUCACAUUAAUGACAUACUAUUUGAGUAAUUGUUGUUCGAAGUCUUGUCCUAAUGAAACGAAUACGCCCACUAAUUUGAGCGGAGGGAUAAUUAGUUUGUUUUCAGUGAUUUUCUGCUUUACAGGUCAUGCCCUUCUAAGGGGUUGUAUGAGUUGCCUACACCACUUAUUAUUCUUCUUAAUAAAAUGAUAUGCAGCUCUCCGUGUGUUCGAGAAAAAAAAUAUGUGGAGGCUGUAGAUUUGAGUAUUUACAUUUGGGUCAUUUGAUUGUUAGGGCUAGCUCUAUAUGUGAAUAAUCUAGGUGCAUCAGUUUUAUCAUGAAGAAUGAAUUAUCGACUUAUAGUAGUAUCUUUCCACAAGCUCUGCUACCAGUCUGAAAAUGCCCUUCUUUUGGUAGUGUGCACUGUUUGUCGCAGCUAUCUAAUUGUAGGCUUUUGAAUUCAUAAGUAUCAUCUAAAAUUCACUUGUGGAUAGUUGUCACAGGAGAAUACUGGUACCAAUUGAUAAAACCUCAACAUCACUAUGGUUAUUUUUUGUAAAUAAAUGGAAAUCAGUCCGGAUUGUCUAAAGGUAGUUGUAAAAACAAGGAGGGUUUUGAUCAGGGAUUCAACAUAAUGAACCAUUACCAUUAGGAAUAAUUGGUCAGUACCUGAAAUUUUAUAGUCUACAUGAGGAUCUGCAUAAGAGCAUUUCCAAGAGUCUGCAUAAUAUUAGAUAUCUGAUUUUCCCUAAACAUAAAUCCACCCCAAACCGUUUUUUUCCCACAGCAGUUCCCCUAAAAUCAACCACCUACUUUUUUUAAAGAUAGGGUGGAAGGAGGGUGAUUUUGAGGUAGGACAUAGGAGGGUGAUUUAGGGUGCCACUAAAUUUAGGUUGUUGGGUAGUACUGUUGGAGGAGAUUUUAUGUGCACAAACCUUUUUUUUUUCAAUAGUACAUGUUGAAUAUAGGCACCCUUUGAGAUAGCUAGUUGUUGCAAUUUUGUAGGAGCUCUUGGAAGCACCUUAACUAGUAUAAGAAGUUUCCAUGGUAACAUAACAUCCAAAUAUGUGUCUGGAAUUUCAAGAACGACCAGGUUGCUGCUGAUGGAAUGUUUUUCUAGUCAGUAAACUCUACGAAGAUUAGAAGGUUGAGGAAUGUGGCAGGCAGUGUUGUCAUUUGUUCAGAAAGUAGGUCUGGCAUGCACUUUAGAACUCGUGUUGGUGAGCAUUAAAUCAAUAUUUUGUUUUAAAAAACAAUCUUAUUCCCAAUGAUUGAGAUUGGCCGACAUGUGAUUUGUACUUGUGUAUCGUAGUGGAUUCCAUUUACUGUCUUGGGAUAGUGUACUUCACAAUCAUUUUCAUAGGUGCUUGGUCCGGUCUUGGCUUAGAUAAGGCACACAUUGUUUUGCCAUGUGAGUUCUGUUUUUGUCCCAUGUUUCUAAUAUUACUUCCUGUUGUCAUAUUGUUUGCAAUUGAUACAUAGAUACUUACCUGACCUGAAGUAUCAUCAUGAAAUUGUUUGGAGAGUUCGUGUGUUUUAACAACUUAUUUAUGAAGGAUAUCGCGAAAGGUUUCUGUUUUAACUUGCUUUAUUCUUUAACAAUGGUUUCCUGCAGGAAAAAAGAUUUCACAACUGGCUUGAAGGAGCACGUGAUUGGGCUGUUAGCAGAAGUAGAUUCUGGGGUACUCCACUUCCACUGUGGAUAAGUCAAGAUGGUGAAGAAAUUGUUGUUAUUGAUUCUAUCGAGAAGCUUGAAAAAUUAUCUGGAGUCAAGGUUAACAUCUCUCUUGGUACUUGCAAGAUGAAUUCAAUUAUUUGGAUAAACAUUCUGGAUAAACAUUCUUGUGAUUUCACAGUAUCUUUAUUGAAGAUUUGAAACAGUGGUUAAUCUGUUACAUUCUCUCAUUCUUUGGUGCUUAGGCAUUUCUUGUGGCUAACAAUAGAGACUUGUUAUUUCAAGAUUAUCCUGAUACCACUCUAGACUUUGUCAUAGUAACCUUUGAUUUUUCUUUCUAAAUAUUACAUCAGGUCACUGAUCUUCAUCGACACUAUGUUGAUGAUAUUACAAUUCCCUCUAAGAGAGGACCUGAGUUUGGGGUGCUCAAACGUGUUGAUGAUGUAAGUUUCAUUGGACCCUUAAGUACUGAUUCUUAUUUGCAUGUGCUGUACAUCUUACUUUACACUGAUUUUUUUGGUACAUUUUUUUUACUUAUUAUUGAUUAUUGUUUUUAGCUUUCCAGUUUCCAUUAGGCAUUAAGAUAACUAGAUUUAGAUGGGAGAUAGGUGGAAAUGAAAUCUUGGCGUAAUAGACUCAAGAUGAUUGAAGUGCAAAACGUUUGCUGCUAGUAAUCUGUAAUAUGACUAGCUGUAGCAAUUUGGUCUCAAGAAAGCUAACUUCUGGUGUUUUGAAUACUCCCUCCAGUCGCUAAUACAUGUUUUUAUUACUAAUUUGCAUCCCCUAACAAUAUUAGUUGAUACUAGUGGCUGGACGGAGCAUUAACCAAAUACAUAUCAAUCAAGGUUUUUAGUUGUCUAUAGGUGAGAAACGUCUUCUCUUAUUUGCUUAGAUUGCUGUAGCAUCAGAUGUUACCUUAGUUACACUGAUGUUGUUGGUAGUAUGUAAGUUCCCUUUUGAAGUUUAAAUUUUGAUUGAAAGCAGUGAUGUGCAGUAAGGGCAUCCACAAUGUAUAGAUCCAACCCUAGUUCUAUACAAUGAUUUGACAUGGCUUGUUAAAACGGUCAGUGUAUAGGAUCCGUAAAUGGGACCCAUAGGAAUAAAAAAAAUCAGCCGGCCUUCUCCUCUCUUCCUCUCGACUUGUGCAUCAGCUCCUCUGAUUCUCCCUCCCUCUCAUGACCGGCCCUUUCUUUCUCCCAACCUAGCUGGAUGCCUUCUUGCUCUCUCCCAUGGCUGCCCCCUUCUCCCUCACCAUGGUAGCCCUCUUGCUCUACCCCACCUAGUCAGUGCGAGAGGGAGGACGUGGUGGCUGCGGGCGGAUGGAGGAUGUGGUGGCACCGGGCACGAGAGGGAGGACGUGGCGGUGUGGGCGCGAAGUCGCUGCCGCGCUGCUCGGCCAUAGUGCCCCACCCUGCCGGUGCGAGGGAGGAUGCAGUGGCGCAAGCACAGUUGUUGCGGCUGUGGGAUCUGUGAUCGCUCAUCUGCCAUGCCCAGGAGGCAAGGAGUAGGCGAGAGAGAAGCAUGAUUUUUUAUUCUUUGGGAAGAAGCGGGCCCUAUCCAAGGGAGCUAGUUCUCUAUAUAUUUGGGCGCACAAUGUGAGGGAGCAUGAUGCAUAUAUAGGAACAGCAUAGGAACGCCCAUUGCGGACCCUCCAAGAUUUCUGAAACAAUCAAGCUAAUCUCUGCUGGGUUGUUAGGUUACAUCUAUUUUUGCCUUUUCUUAAUCAGAGCUCUUCAUUUUUCCCUUUCAUGGGCCCACCUUGUAUGGGAGCUUUCAGCACUGCGUAGUGCCUACACCCUUUUUUAUAUGUGUGAAAACUUGGCUUGUCAAUACCAUUGCCAUAAUGUUGGUGCAUAUCAGUGUCUUCAGUUUUGAAAUGGUUCACUAAGCAAUUAUGGUUGUUACCCAGGUUUUUGACUGCUGGUUCGAGAGUGGGUCAAUGCCAUAUGCCUACAUUCACUAUCCAUUUGAGAAUCGGGAACUAUUUGAAAAGAACUUUCCUGGCAAUUUUGUGGCAGAGGGUUUGGAUCAAACCCGUGGAUGGUUCGUUACUCUCUUUCAGAAUAAUAUGGAGCAGUAUAAUAGUUUCAUUAGGCAGUGAUGAUUGGAGGGUUCAUUUUCUUCCUUCAUCAGUUUGUUCAAUUGUAGCCUGUGGUGAAAUUUCAUGAUUAUUAUAUGCUAUGCCUGUUGUUUCUUAUGGCAUACUCGUACUGAUCCUGAAGGAUCAAUCAAGAGCUGAGGUCUAUUUGUUUUGAAGUCAUUUACUUCCUAGAACUUGCUGAUGGCUCUACCUAAUGACUUAAUGCUUUUCUGGUUUUGGUCUCUCUAUAUGGUAGAGUAAUGGCAACAAACAUUGCUGUAAUAGCCCAGUUACACAGCAUUAUACUUGUGAUGAUUGCCUAUUAUUCACCUUAACUAUUAGCUAAAAAUCUGCUCAUUAAUGACUAUGAACCUAGACACUAACAAGAAUCUGGACAUGUACACAACACACACAUAUUGAUGACCAAACUCUGCUGCUUCAUUUUUGUGCAGAAAACAUGAAUAUUUUACUACGUGCUUGACCUCAUUCCAUUUCUUUGUCAUGCUCAUGCACAUCAAGUUUUCUCACUAAAAGGCUCUUAAUUUCUUCCACUUUAUACUUAUGUCCUUUACACUUCAUGUCCUUAUUAUAAAAUGUGUAACUUGCAUUGAUCUACACUUUUGAAUCUGAUAUGGUUCUUAAUACUUCUUUUUUGUUUAAUCCUAGAUUAGUUCCUCCCAAGGCUGUUAAGAACAGAAUCUCAUUUUUUUGGUUAUAGGAUAUUAGAAUGUAUUUGGUGCUGAAAGCAUGUAAUCGUGACUUCAUGCCAUGCUCAUUAAUAGCGGGUAUUUCACCUUUAUGAUGUGCCUUCAUACUGCAGGUUCUAUACUUUGAUGGUUCUCUCAACAGCACUGUUUGGGAAGCCUGCAUUUAAGAAUCUUAUAUGCAAUGGCCUUGUCUUGGCUGAGGAUGGUAAGAAAAUGAGCAAGAGUAAAAAGAACUAUCCUCCACCCAAAGAUCUCAUUGACGAGUUUGGAGCGGUAUGUGGUGCUUGGCUGCUUGCUUUGAAUAAGUCAAUGGCUGUUACUGGAAGAUACAUGCAGCAGACUCGGUGUUGGAAUUAUUAAUUAGAAUGAAAUUUGUUCUGUUUCAGGAUUCUCUGCGACUAUAUUUGGUAAACUCUCCAGUUGUACGUGCAGAGUCUCUACGAUUCAAACGUGCUGGUGUCUUUGCUGUUGUAAGUUUAUUUAUUGAAAGCUUUGUGCUUCCUUAUUAUCUUUUGGCCAGGCUACUGGUCUGCAUAGAUCACAUGAUAUCAUUUACCCAAAGCUAUCAAUAAUUGCUAUCUUGAGGAAAAGAACAUGACCCCCUGAUUUCACCCACAAUUUGACAUGCUUUAAUUUAUCAGGUGAAAGAUGUCUUCCUGCCAUGGUAUAAUGCGUACAGAUUCUUUGUCCAAAAUGCAAAGAGACUGGAAUUUGAGGGUCUUGCCUCAUUUUCUCCGAUGGAACAAGCAGUACUUCUGAAGUCAUCCAAUGUGUUGGAUCACUGGAUAAACUCUGCAACUGAAAGUCUUGUUAGCUUUGUUCACCAGGAGAUGGAUGCAUAUCGGCUUUACACGGUUGAAUGUUUUCACAGUUUUUCUGGAUAUUAGUUCCCUUGUAAGAUCUUUCUGUGUUAUGAUCAUUUGAUGUAAUUACCCCUGCAGGUUGUGCCAUAUUUGGUAAAAUACAUUGACUAUCUUACUAACAUAUAUGUGCGUUUGAACCGCAAACGGUUCAAAGGACGUACUGGAGAAGAAGACUGCAGAAUUUCUCUUUCAACACUCUACCAUGUAAGUAUAUAUCCAGUAACAUACACUUCAUCUGGUUAAUGCUGCUGCAAAGUGUCUAUGUAUUACUGAAAAUGGUAUUUUAAAGCAAGCUCAUACAUAAUUUGUAUAGGGUUGUAUCGUGGUGAUUCUGUUGUUUUGCUUCACUGUGAUAUGUUAAUCUGAACAUCUGAAACAAUCCUGGACAUCAAAUAUCACCUGUUUCAUCAUUUAUGUACCUUGAAAUAUUUAAAGCUCCCAAUCAUGCAUACUUUGUUUUUUUUUGUUUUUUGUUGGUUCAUUCUCCAGUUGCUUAUAAGAUACUUGAAUUAUGAAAAUGCAGGUUCUUGUAACAACUUGUGUGGUGAUGGCUCCAUUUACACCAUUCUUUACUGAAGUUCUUUAUCAAAAUUUGCGGAAGGUGUCAAGUAAAUCUGAGGAGAGCAUUCACUUCUGCAAGUUCCCUUCCACAACUGGCGAGGUAAUUGUUCAUCUAAACAUUCCAUUGUGUCUUAUUUUAGCAGAUUGACUUAUGACUUAAAUAUUUGAUUUUGUUACAUUGCCAGAGAGAUGAGCGUGUUGAGCAAAGUGUAAAUAGGAUGGUGACCAUCAUUGAUCUUGCACGUAAUAUUCGUGAGCGGCAUAACAAAGCUCUCAAAACACCACUCAAGUAUGUCUAGGCUUCCUUAAAUUUUUGCAUGUGUAUGUUUUCUGUGACGAUGUGAAUCACUUUGGCAGAUUAUGCUUAUAAUACGGUCUUAAGCAUGAAAUGUGAGAAAUCUUGGCUGUAGUAGUGGUACUCAUAAUAAGGUUUAUAAUUUGAGUUGUGUUUUUUUUUAAUUCCUGUACAUGUAACUUGAAGAAUUUGUGUAUACAAAGUAUAAACAUCAAGAUGGUUGAAGCUCUUGAAAUCAGAUGGAAAUAUAGUACGUUUUAUACUAAUUUUUUUCAUAACAUUUAAAAAUAAGGGGGGGGGGGGGGGGGGGGGGGGGAAUGUGUACUGCAUUUAGUAGCAUUCAACUGUGUCAUUUGGUGACUGAUUUAUGUUUCAGGGAGAUGGUGGUUGUGCAUCCAGACAAUGACUUUCUUGAAGACAUCACUGGCAAACUAAAAGAGGUUGGUUAGACUGAAACCUAUGGUCAUUUACUUCUCUUCCAUUCUGAAGUUAUGGAACUGUUUCACGGUUAUCGAUCAGUCAUUUCUAGUUUUUUCUUAGUCUUCAUGAAAUUUGAUUCUUCAUUGGUGGAUGCUAACUACAUCUACUUCAUUCCAUGUAGUAUGUCAUGGAGGAAAUCAAUGUUAAGACUGUCACUCCAUGUAAUGACCCCUUGGUGUAUGCUUCUCUGCGAGCCGAGCCUAAUUUCAGGUAUGAUUAGUUCAAUGCACAAAUAUUGCACAUUUGCACCCACUGCUCAAUGCUUGUGGUAUUUCAUAGCGUGCUAGGAAAAAGACUUGGAAAAGACAUGGGCAAAGUAUCAAAUGUGGUGAAGAAGAUGACUCAGGAAGAGAUCUUAGCCUUUGAAAAAAGUGGAGAGAUUUCAUUCUUUGGUCAUUGCUUGAAGCUAGAUGAUAUCAAGGUAAUGUUCCAUAUACAUGCAGUCCUUGGUUUGAUGGCAAUAACAGUUGUCUAUAACUCAACAUUGGGUGACUGUAUAAGCUUAUGACUUGCAACUUCCCAGUGCUUGGAUGCUGGAAAGAAAUAUCUUCAUCUAGCAAAUAGUUUUCAAUUAGUAUGAUUAGAAGAAGACUACUACGUCCCAAAAAGUAAGACCUUAGAGUUAUAGGGUUUGUGGCAGGUUUAUGCUUUCAUCCUCAUAUGCUCGUCACUGGGCAUGGAAUACUUCAGUGUGACGUGUUUCUGUUAGACCUCACAUGGUGUUUAUUUCAGUUUUCUGCAUCUUCACCAUUUCUACAAAUUUUUACUUGUAGACUUUUUUAUUUUUAGGUCGUCCGACAAUUCAAGCGUCCUGAAAAUGUGUCAGAGAAGGAGAUUGAUGCUGCAGGAGAUGGUUUGUCAUGAAUAUGCUACUUUGUCUAGUUAGUUUGGAUAAUCUUUCUGCUAACAUCCCUGUAUUGCUUUUGUUAUAGGUGAUGUUUUAGUCAUUUUAGAUCUACGAGCUGACCAGUCAUUGUUUGAAGCUGGAGUGGCCCGAGAGGUAGGUGACGAGUUUUAUAUUUCUGUACAAGUUUUAGAAUAUUGUUUCUGAAACUUCAGUAUGAAAAAUAUAUAAGGUUGCCCAGGACCUUGAUUGCUUAUUUGCUUAAUUUAUAUUCUAAUAUGGUAACUAUAAGUACAUCUGUGCAGGUUGUGAACAGGAUCCAGAAAUUGCGGAAGACUGCUCAGCUUGAACCUGCUGAUCCAGUUGAUGUGUAUUAUGAAUCUGUGGGUAAUGACAAAAACACACUGGGAGAGAUUUUGAAGUCACAGGUUAGUUAUAACUUGUUGAUCAACACGAUUCUUGUUUUGGAAUAUCUUUUUCAUGAAAACUACUUUAUUCUGUACAGGAUCAGUAUAUCAGAGGCGCACUUGGUUCACCAAUUGUUCCAAAGGAAAUAGCACCAACAGAUGUUGUAAGUUCCGAUACUCAGCCUCAAUCCUCUUCGUUGCACCGAUGAUCUUCAGAUACAACUGGAAUAUUGCAUCCAACUCAAACAUAUGCACCCUUGGCAUCUUCAGUUCUUCACCAGUUGCUUUUGAUUGUUGCUUAGUAUACUGCAUCUUUUUAGCAGUGGUGGUCUUAUGUAUUUUUUGCAUGGAUUUGAACUGGUUCUACCAUUUUUUCUUAAUGAAUGAUAAACAGCUCUCAGGUGUAUUCAGCAAAAAAUAUAUAUAUAUACUGCGUUUGGAGAUACCUGUAUUCUGAUAAUGUCCUUUUUUUUCCAUGGCAAUGGGUCUUUUUUUAUUUGAGUUUCUUGUCAUAAUAUGCCCAAGUACAAAAAAAAAACUUUCUUUUGCUUGGCUUAGCUUCGCAUGUCUGAUCUACAUUUUGAGCCUGUCAUUUAGGAUUACACGGGCAAUAUUUAGAGUUUAUCAAACUGGUGUUUGCAGGUAGUACUUGGCGAGGAGUCGCACAAUGUACACGACAUGUCAUUUGUCAUAUGCAUUGCAAGGUCCACCCCAAUUCUUUCACCAGAUCUUCUUUCUCAUGCCUCAGGUAAAUCUUGCUGAAUCCAGAGUACAAUUGUGAACUACCCAUGCAGACAUUAGCUAUUUCAGUUUUGACUGUGCAGUCCUGUGGACAGUCUGAAUAAUUUAUGCACGUACUCUGAUGAAACAGGCAACAGCAAUCAUGUGGAGGCAUUGAGAGUAUAUCUUCUGUCAAGGUCUCUUUCCAGAUUGAAGAACGAUUUCCAAAGUGGAAAUGGCAUGGUAAGCAGUCAACGCCGCAUGCUUCUUCCUUCCUUUUCAGAAAGGGUAUUCCUUUUUUGCUUAUGUCUACAUUAUUCCAGAUUACGGUCGACAGCAUUGAAGGUUAUCCACCAAUCAGCUUACAGCUAGGAAAGCAUGUUUUUCUAAGUGCAGGGGAUUUUUAUCUGGCUACUCGAUCCUAAUUUCGUUUGCAGCACCCCAAUUUUGACUGAUUCACCCAUUAUUUUGUCGCAAUCAGCUUGAACAGCUUGGUUCCAUUUAUACAUGGCACCAAAGUCAUGUAUUCACAUUCAUCAGUUAAAGGUUGAAAAAUCUCAAUGUAUGCUAUACCAUGAUAUGCAUCUGUGCCCCCUGGGCACAUGUGAAUUUUCAAAUACCAGGCUAUGGGCUUCCAUACGUAUGGUGAAUUAUGAGCAGAUAGCAUGUUUACAAGUCUCUUGGGUGUUUGGUUUUUGAGGAUCUGUGGGGUCCAUCAGACUUUGAUGAAUGAAUCCAUUGCAUCCUACAAACCGACGAGUGGUAAGACGAAAGGCCACUCAGUUUCUCAAACCAAGCUCCUCUCCCAAAGACAUUGCGAAUUGAGUUGCGGCACAUGCAUAGAGCACUAAAUGUAACUAAUUGCACAGUUUAAAUUGCGAGAUGAAUCUUUUGAGUCUAGUUAGUAUAUAAUUGAACAAUAUUUGCUAAAUACAAAUAAAAGUGAUAUAGUAGUGAAAUCCAAAAAGUUUUCACAACUAAACAAGGCCUGAGCUAAAGGAGUAAUAACUAUGUCGCCUGCUCGAUGCUUAUACGUUUCCCCCCCUUGGGUCAUAGUCUAGUUCUGCACGUUGAUCUAGCUCUACUACUUAAUUACGAUUUGUAUAACCUACUCUGAAGAGUAAAAAAAUGGUCUUGCAAUUGCAAUGGUCAGGCAUACAGAGGUUGUGAAUGUACAUUGCCGCUUCAGACUUGGCAAGCGAAGUUGGUCAUGCAUCGGCAGUACAUUUUGUUUACUCAGCAAUGGCGAGGGGUAAUUUUAUGCAGUGCUGGCCUUUGAUUGUUGCUCAAGCUUUUGACACUGCAAAUCCGAUGCAGGAAAUUACACAUUUUCGACAUUAUUUUGCUCAACAUUGCGAAACACACAUUCUUCCUAGUACUACUAUGUUCUCCUCUUCCCAGGGAAGGGAGGACAACAAACACCAUGAGGAGAGUUGUUAAAAUUCUCUCACAUCACACCACAAGUCCACAAGCAAAGCCAUGACGACUGACCCACGCAGCAACAUCAAACUCCAGCAGGCAGCGGCCGGAGUCCGGAGAUCGGAGAGGACACAACAAGUUCACGUGGGCUUGAGGUCCUGAAACAUGGAGUCCCACUUGAUGUCGUCGUCGUCGCCGGCGCCGCCGUCCUCGUCGUCGUCCUCUCCACCCUCCUCGUCGUCCUCAUCCUCGUCGUGGUAGCAGUCAUGGAACAUCAGGCUCGCCUUCUGAGACGACGCCGACAGCCUCGCGCCGCCGCCCCUGAGUCCGGCCCCUCCGGCGACGACGCCGUCGGUGAUCAUGAGCACCAUCUUCUUGGUGGCGCUGGCGCUCCCGGUGCUCUUCCGCUGCACGGCGCCGACGCGGACGGCGUCGUCGCCGCUGCAGAUCCUCGGGACGACGGUGACCGACGACGCGCCCCUCCGGCUCCUCCCGCCUCCGUCUCGUCCUCCGCCUCCUGCCAGCCGGCGCACGCAGCGGGACAGGCACCUGGUGGCCCUGCGCGCGAGCCGCGAGGCCGCCGAGGACGAGGCGCCCGCCGCCUCCGCGCCGUCGUCCGCCUGCUUCUUUGCCAGCUUGAGGAUCUCGAGGCGGUGCUUGGCGACGGCGAUGCCCAUGCUCUUGAGCAGGUCGUGGUCGAAGUGCGCCGCGUCCCCGGGCUCCAGCUCGUUCCGGCUGAACAGGCGCCCGUACUCGUACGUCAGCGACGGCGCCAGCCCCGUCCGCGACAGCCACGCGUACCAGUCCAUGCGCGGUGGCGCGGUGGCCGGCCUGCCCUCCGCCCCUCCCUCAGCUCCCUUUUCCAACACCACUUGCUCGCUUCCCUUCCCGCGGCUGCGUGAGCACAGGACAGCACAGGACCCAGCGCCCUCACGAGGCCCCCUCACUGCUCGCCCGCCGGCCGCCGCAACUGCUCGCGCCAGGAUUUAUAGGACAACUCAGGGAGGGAGACUGACACUGACCAAGCUGGUAGUAGAAGGGAGCUCGCAGCUGCAGCAGAGCACGGCCCAGGUCACAUGCAUGCCUGAACAGAGAGCGAGUAAAAAUUCGUGGACGUAACACCAACGCGUAUGCGCGCGCGCAGGCAAAUCUUGCGGCCGGCGUAUGUACAAAAGCUUGGAUUCUGAGCACGGAUGGGUACAGGAUCCAACACCGAUGAUGUACAGUACAGUGUGUGCACAUCCUUAUCUUAAACUAAAACGUCAUGGGAAAUACAUUAUACAUACACCCAAGAUCUUUUUUUUUAAAAAAAAAUACAUACACCCAGAAAUGAAGGUCAAAAGCUGCCAGUAGCUAGGCUGAUCGAUCUGACGCAGAUCGCGGUCCAUCUACAUCCUGUCAGUGUCACCACAAGGUGGUGGCCGGUGGCCAUGGACUCUCGAUCGAUUGGUCACAUGCCCCUGCAAAAGUGGAGCUGCAGCUAAUGGAUGGCUUCCCUUUUUCAGCAUGAAUAAACUACCACUGUGUGUGAACUCCGAAGGUUUUUUUUACAACAACAGUGAAGGUUGUUAAGGGUCCGUUUGGUUGAGUACGGUAAAAUUUAUCGUCCAUUACAUCGAAUGUCUGGCCACAUGUAGUAAUUUACGAAAUAAAUCUUUUGAGCCUAAUUAGUGUUGCUGCCUUUGCUGGGGACUUUGUGGCGUACUCUGCUGGCGUUGGGCUUUAUGAUCAUUAUGAUGGAUUCAGGUCGUCAUGGUACUUUUUCUAUGCGAAAGACGCAUGUAAUCUCUAUCCACUUGAGAUUUCUUUUGGCUUUGGGUUGGGGGCAAUGCAAUGCAAAAGAUCACUUGAGAUGUUUUGAGAGGGAGACACGAAUGAAUGAUGAUGGCUGUUGCGUUGGUUGCGAGGAAGGACCACGGACACGUAAAGGCGGGGAAGGACGCGAGCAAAGCGGGCGACGUGGGUACGGUGGUGGCCGUGGCAGGGGAGAAAUGUGACCAGGGGCCCACGUGUCUGUUACACUAUAUGUGUUACUGCUUCGUUUUACUAAUACGAUCGGACGGUAGAAAAUUCCGCCAUUUGCUGGUAGUACUGUACAGUACAGUACAUCACAGCGUGAGUAUGGGGACAAUGUAUAGGGGAGGAAAAACUGUGAAGAGUCUUUGGAGCCACACUUCGUGCGAUGCAUGUGUAGACCUUUAUUACUUCUUGUCUGGUCAUGGAGCGAGCUAUAUUAGAGGAAGUCACGAGAUACGUAAAAGAUUAGGCAUGGGCAAAAGUGAAUUGGGUAGUAAAUUACUAGCAGUAAUACAUAUAGUAAGCGUUAGAUUCACAUGGGUGGUUGGAAUCUAGGCUGACCCGUAGCUGCAUGGCUCAAGCAAAUGCGCGCGACGGCUAUGAUGAGUAGUUUGUUUAGCCAUGCCUGCCUAGUAAACUAGUUUCGCGCCAAAAAGAGUAGUGACAGAGAAGUAAAAGAAGGCUCAUUCAUAAAGAGUAGGGGUUGACUACCAAAAACAUGUACUCCCUCCAUAUACACAUAAAGGAAGUCGUUUAGGACAAUGACACAGUCUUCAAACCUUAACUUUGACUCUUUAUUUUUAUAAAAAUAUUUAUCAAAAAGUAGGAUAUGUAUAUUUUUAUGAAAGUAUUUUUCAAGACAAAUCUAUUUAUAUGGUUUUCACAUUUCCAAAUUCAACAACUUAAAAGUUAUUCAUGAUUCAUAUUUCUAAUAUUUGACCAAAAUUUUGUCCAAAACGACUUUCUUUACGGGUAUAGAGGGAGUAUAUGGCGAGUAAAAACUUUUGUUGGCACGUAGGCUCUAUGCUGUUUAGCUUGCCUCCAUGCAUCUAAAGAACAGGAGAGGAAACAAAACGGCGCACUGAUCUGAAUUCUUGUCCUAAUAGCAACUAAUAUAUAUUACUCCGUACUCCAUAUAUAUAUAUAUGGCAGCGCAAUUCUACACCUUAGGUGUAGAAUAUUAUUCUACACCUUAGGUGUAGAAUAUUAUUCUACACCGCAAGUCAAAACUGAGCAGAAAAAAUACUGAGCAAUACUGAACAACGUUUAGUAUCAUCCAGUGGUACACCUAGGACUGCGAAAUAUUGAAUAAUACUGAAACACAGGUACUGAACAAUACUGAAUUUUGUUCAGUAUAACACUUUGGUGUAGAAUAGUAUUUCUACACCUAGAGUGUAGAAUAGCACUUAUAUAUAUAUAUAUAUAUAUAUAUAUAUACACGAUCUGCUCCGAUCCGGCCGGUGUACUAAGCAAAUGGUAAAGCCCCCUCAUAAUAAACUGAUUUGAAUUUGAAUACAUUGUGAUAUAUAUAGGAGUAGUAUUGUGGAUCCCUAGCCUAGCGUACGCGCAAUGCCAAUACUGCAGCCAGCUCGCGGCCAAGGAAAGGAAGGCAGCUUCAGUCAACGGCGGUACGGAACGGGUUAACUCAGCUGUACGGGAGCACGUCCGGCCUCAGCCCCCCCGCGCGCGCAUCCAUCCAUCCUCCGACGACGGCCGAUGGGCGGAAAACGCGUGAAACGCAUCAAUUCGGCGCCCGUGAUCCGGCCGUCCCGGCCCGCACGCCACGCCACGCCACCUCGCCGUCGACCGGCGGACGGCCGGGCGCGCUCCCAGCUGGCGCGCGUCGUCGUCGCACGGGGCUACGGCCUAGUACGUGCCCGGCCCCGGCGCUUGGGACGAGAUGAUUGCGCGCGCGCGCGGAAGCCGGGCGAUCCUGGGCGGAAGGACGGGCAGGAUCAUUGCGCCCGCGCACUUGGUGUCGUCGUGUCGCCCGGGUCGGCGGGGCCGCCGGCGCCUGGGCGAGGGGGAGGGGGGCACGCAUCAUGCACACGGCGUUCUUGUGUUAAUAAAAGUUGCUAAUGUUAUCCUGUGUGUACUAGCUACUGGUAUUCUACUAACUCCGCGGAUCAUCACGUUGCUCAUUUUUUUCCUUAUAUAUAUAUAUAUAUGGUAAAUUUUUCAUACUCCCUAGCAGUAAUUACUCCCUCCUCCAAACCCUGUACAUUACUAGUCUCGCCUUUAACUCUUUCUUAGCGGGUCAACAAAUGAGUACACCCGAUAGGAUCUAUGGUCCGGUGUCAUCCGAGAUUUACGCCGAUACGACGUUUGUAUCCAGAUACAGAGUAUUUCAAAGUGAGCAGUGCCCCAAACCCCGCAACUGGUGGCGGCCGGCGACCUUCUCCAUCCCCCAUCGGCCACCGGCGGGGUCACACAUGGGAGCCGGAGCCUCCGCAACCCGGCGGCGGCGGCCCAACCCCUCCACGCCCGACCGCAGUGGCCAGUACCUGCCUCCUCCCCUUGACGGUCUGUCCAAGCCCACGCGCAUGGAGGCCCCUGGCGGUGGCGUGGCCCCCACACCAUAGCAGCGCGACGGGCGGCGAGCCCCCUCUCCUCAUCCCUGGUGCACCAGAUCCGGAGUUGACGGGGGAGUGAAGGUUCUUCAAUGGCGCCCCCUCCUUCCUACUUGCAUCAUCGGCAGAUCCGAAGGCCUAGUAUCGAAGACAGAGGGCGGGCGAUGGCCUGCCCCUACUCAGAGCCGAGGAUGGCGGCCGACGCACGAUCACGUGGUGCUUGCAUUUUGCCUGCGGUAGCUGCUGAUGGUGUCCGGUAGCCUGCACGGUGGCAGGCUGGGAGCGCUGCAGAUGACGGCCGACAUAGGUCCGCCCCUGUCAACAGGUAUAUCAGCAUACUAGUUUCUUGUUUUUAUUUCGCAGUCUCUUUGUCACGCAUCUGCUAUCAUGGAACGGUCUUAUGAUGAUUGCGAUCCAUAUAUUUUCAACCGAGUAGCAAGUGCAUUCAUCCUCGUCAAGUUAAUCGGCACAUUUGACCCACCGCCUCGUUGAGGUGGACGAAAUGCCCUGCUAAUGUCCAUCCGGUCACACAGUUCAUCCGACAAGUCAAUGCGGUGACUAGGUAAUGUCCUUUGCCUCCAAAUCUUCUCAAAUCACCCCUAUGAUACUAUAUACGCAUGCCUGCUCUGAUCCUUUUACCACGGUAUAUCCAACUUGUAACAGCAGAUCGAGACAGGACACAGGAGCAAUGGCGCCUGCAAUUCCAUGGUUCCGUUCUCCAUAUGAGUAUUAUCUGAUAUUUUAGACUAGAGUAUCCUUGAAUACUUCUUUAGAUUAGAUUAGAUUAGAUUAGAAAGAGGGAACAGACUACUCCAAUCUAAUGGUACAAAAAUGUAAUCUUUUUUAAAAGAAGUAUGCAUACAUACUCCUUUUAAAAAAGUAUGAGUACAGUAUAUCACGUGAAUGUAAUGCACAUACACUCCAAUUGUGUGGUUUUAAGUAUGCACUUAUACUAUCAUAAUCUAGCGUAUGCAUGCAUACUUUAUUUCAAAAAGUAUGUAAAAAUACUCUAUUCUAAAAAGUAUGUACAUGUACUGUUUUAUGAAGAAAAAAAUAUGUACAGGUAGUCCAAUCUGUAAAAAUACUCUAUUCUAAAAAAUAUGUACAGGUACUAUUUUAUGAAGAAAAGAAAGUAUGUACAGGUACUCGAUCCAAUCCAAAAAGUAUGUAUAAAUACUCUAUUUUAAGAAGUAUGAAGUACGUAUAAAUACUCUAUUCUAAGAAGUAUGUACAGGUAUUCCAUUCUAGAAAAAUAUAUUUAUACUCUAUUCUACAUAUAUUUCAUUCUAAAAAGUAUGUAUAAAUACUUUAUUUUAAAAAGUAAGUAUAAAUAAAUACUCAUCCACAACGAAUUACAGCUGUGAUAAUUAAUUAAUUAAAUUUGUUAAAUGCGUGACACAUGCCUAAUUGGAUCCUCCGAGUAUCUACUACCCGGUAUGGCCAGGGUUGACGUAGCUAUAGUACAAAACAAAUAGAGAGUAACUACUCCCGGGAGUAUAUAUAUAUAUAAAAUAUUCGCGUGGUAAGAUCUAGAGUAUCUUAAUAUAAGUAUAUAAACAUACUCAAAUCGAUAAACAAGUAUGAAUACAUACACAAUGUAGUUUAUUGAAGAUGAGAGUAACUACACGUACGUGUACAAAGGAAUUUCCAUAUAUAUAUAUAUAUAUAUAUAUAUAUAUAUAUAUAUAUAUAUAUAUAUCCACGUAUGAUCAUUAGCAUUAUGUUUUUCAACUAAUAUAUGUCAUCACGUUGCCGUAAAGGACGCCGGUUUUUCCUUUCCCACGUUAUGUAUAUAUGAAUGUACGAUACUUCUUCUUCCGUCAUGAAAUAUAAGGCUUUGCACGUAUUUCAAAAUUUAAAUUUUGUUAUUUUUCACUAACAACUGGCCUAACCAUAUAAAAGUUAUGUUUACAACUAUAAAUAUAGUAACAUUACAUUUGUAUUUAGAAAUACUUUCUAAUAACUAAGAUUUUGUUCCUAUAAAUUAUAUAUAUAUAAGAGAGAUUAUAGGCCAAAAAUAUGUUCCUGAACACGACACCAAUAAGUCAAAUCACAUCUUAUAUUUUGAGAUAGAGGGGAGUAAUAUAAUAUAAAUAGUAUGAUUACAUGGUCUCCAUACGGAUUUUUCUUUUUUCUUUUUCUGAAUUUCACCUGUCAAUCUAUUCUGAUGAUUUAAGAAUUCUAUCUAUUGAAGCCUACAAAUUCUUUUACUUUGAUCGCAUGAUCACACUUAUAUGUACUAGUACAUAUAUACAAUAUGGCCUUGUUUAGUUCGUGAUUUUUUUUGCUUUUAGCUAUUGUAGCACUUCUGUUUGUAUUUGAUAAUUAUUGUCAAAUUAUGGACUAACUAGACUCAAAAAAUUCAUCUUAUAAAUUACAAACAAACUAUAUAAUUAGUUACUAUUUUUAUUUAUAUUUAAUACUAUGUAUAUAUUGAAAGAUUUGAUGUGACGAAAAAUUUUGAAUUUUUUUUAAAUUAAACAAGGCCUAUGUAUAUUAGCAGCCCAUCGGAGAACAGACAUGAAACGAAAAAGUGAAAGAAACCCAUGUAGAUGGCCGAAUGAGUUGGCGUAUUGGAUGCCCCUAAAAAGCACGGCCUGGCUGGGCAGAUAUAGGGUCAUGGAUGGACCAGAUUUCCGGCCUGCGGUGCCGGCCCAAGCACGAUAUUUAUUCCUUCUCUACUUCGUGAUAAUAUAUAGGUGCUAGGACAGAGGCGCUCAAAUAAUGUGUCUCAGUUCGUGACUCUAUAUAAUUGUUUAUUUUUUUACAAACAAUCCCAGUCACUACAUGUCCUGUGAGGGUAUAACAAUUUGUUGUUGAUGGCGGUUUUAAAAUUUAUACUAUAUUUUGUUUAAAAAGUUACACAAGUAAUUUUAAACAGUUCCUCACAAAAAAGAGGUAAUUUUAAACAGUUGAGUCCCCUUAAUUUCAGUUGAAUAAUUUGUUGAUGCCUUCUAUCUCUGAGUGUGGUUGCAGUUACUUGGCCAUAGAUCAACACUAUAAAUUCUCUUUUUUUUUAAAGAAUUGUGCACUGAAUCCAGAUGUGUUUUGAAAUUAACAUGGUGACUUAAUUUUCACUCUGCUAGCUUUUAUAUGAUAUAAGUUUUCUUUGGGAAAAAUUAAAUUUUAAUUCAUAUUAGGGUAGAUUUAGUAGAUCAAGUUUUUGAUGAGGAGAAUAACAGAAUUGCUCAACUACUGCAAAUUGGGGAGAUUAGUUUCAUGUUUCCAUGUAUAUACGGUUUGAUAGUCCAAUUGGUGCUAGAACAUUUCUAUGAUUAUUUGAUUACAUGGCGUGUUUCCUUGAAGCAGCAUUUAAAAUUGAUCCUAGGUUUGUUUUUAGAAGGAUCUAACCAUCUUGAAACUAAAAAGCAAUUUUAAAAUUUUGUAUGGAAUGAUAAGUUCUAAAAUGAAAUUUAUUUUUUACCCUACAAAUACGUCUUUGCAUUUAGCACUAGGGGAUUCACGGCCAUCGGAGUUUUUCAUAUCAUAUUUCUUUGUUUUCACAAAUCCAAAUGAAUCUAUUUUCUGGCACUUACCAAGACUAUAUGUGUGGCUCAAUGUUGAAAAACAAUUGUUGGGAACAUCGGCCAUUUUCGUCAAGCAAACUACAACUUACCAUAGCUAUCGGCUUCUUUGUCCAUCAUCAAUCAAAUAAGAACACUAGAUGGCAUUAUGAAGCAGACAGCGGUCCUCUGAGUCAACAAUAGGAGAGUGAGCAUCUCCAACGGUUUGCCAUUCUAGUUUGGUAUUUAUGUUAUUUGGCAAAAAGGUAAAAAUCACUUCUCCAACGGUUUUUCAAACGGGUUUGCCAUUUUAGUAAAUUUGGCAUUUGAGAGGCCCCCCUUGGCAUAUUUGGGAGUUGGCUUUUGGAUUGGCAAACGCUUGCGGCCAGUUUUCCUGCAAAUUGGGCUUUUAUAGCACAUCUGUUGGACUUUUAUAAUGUUUCACCAUCAUUGGACUUUUAUUUUUGCUUUGAAAAUGUAAACAUAUCUAUUGAAGUUGCUCUAAAGCUAAGGUCCUAAACUGCGGAAACAUAAGACGGACUUUACUACACGUACGAAGAUGAACAUGACAUGCAGGAGAACAAUGAUGGUGAAACAUUAUAAAAAAACAUUAUUAUUCCUCUGAUGUUGUGAGUUUUUUUUCAUAAACACGUGUCGCACGUGCAUGGCUACUAGUUUCUUGCACGAAUUGAAUGUUAAAAGUUACGAGGGAUGUGAGGCGGGUGACUUGAGGAGCAUGUGUAUUAUGUUCCGCGCAGGCAAAAGAAAAGAUGAUCAUGAACAGCUCAUCUAGCAAAACGAGGACAGGAGAUCCACGUACAGUCCGGGUCGAUCUGUCGGCUGAGAGAAUACCAAAAAUUCUGUCGCCCGAUGUGUAUUCUAUGGGCCUGUCGGGGGCUUGCUUAAGAAUAAGAAAGAGGAAUCUUACGAAAAUAGCAUGGAAUAAGGUUUGAUUCUAUUCAUGGGGAUUCCGUAAAUAUCCCAUUCCAAAAAUCGAAACAAUCGGGACUUUUCGGAGAUUGGCUGCAGUUACUAAUUCAUGAUCUGGCAUGUACAGAAUGAAAACUUCAUUCUCGAUUCUACGAGAAUUUUUAUGAAAGCGUUUCAUUUGCUUCUCUUCAAUGGAAGUUUCAUUUUCCCAGAAUGUAUCCUAAUUUUUGGCCUAAUUCUUCUUCUGAUGAUCGAUUUAACCUCUGAUCAAAAAGAUAGACCUUGGUUCUAUUUCAUCUCUUCAACAAGUUUAGUAAUAAGCAUAACGGCCCUAUUGUCCACCAACUAAAUUUUAGCUAGCUAAACUUUAGUCACUUUAGUAGCUAAAGUUCCAAACACAUUGACUAAAAGGGGCUAAAAUAGUUUAGUUCCAUUAGUCACUCAAGAGUAGCUAAAGUAUUUUUAGGUAGCUAAAAUUUAGUUGGUGGAACCAAACAGGGCCUAUAUAGGCAAAUAUAUAGCGAUUUGCCUUGUAGUCGGACGUAGACAGUUCGUGAUCGAAACAAAGAAGAGAUCGUUUCAUCAGCGUUUAUAUAUACAGGAAAAGAAGAUCUUGGUAGGCCGCCGCACCGCAAAAGAAAAUCACCAGUAAACAUCAGGAACCUAUAUAUAUAUCUCAAUUCUGAAACCACGGCGGAUCUGAUGGCGGCGGCGAAGGCCUACCCUCCAUGGGUAAUAUUCGAGCACGACUGCACGCUCGAGGUCGAUGGCUGCUCCUCCUCCAUUGCCGACGCGAACACGCUGGCGAGCAGCCGCACCACCGGCGGCCUUCCCAUCAACGUCUCCCUGUGCCUCGCAGCGCCCCCAGAGGGAUCGCGCGUAUGCGUCCAGCUUCCUGCCGGCGUCAAGGUGUCAUACGCUGCCGUCCUCGCGGCGCACGGCGACUCCGUGGUCGUCCAGGUCGCCGGGAUCGACGACGAGUCAACUGACCACUUCGUAUACAAUGCCGGCGACGCGGCCGCUGAACCGCCGCGGCCGCCGUCGCUGUCGCUGCUCGCGCCUCACUCCAUCACCUAUGAAGACAAAGAAGAGAAGCGUCGUCCCUGCUGGUGUCACUAUCUGGACGCUGAGAGCACCGGCCUACUGCGCCGCGGCGAGGACGAUUUCUUGGUGGCGGAGCUCAAGAUGGAGUACGUGACGACGGUGGCGGGCACGACGCACGAGGAGGCGGCGCUCCACCUGCUCCGGUCCGCCUCCGACGAGUGGUGCGUCAAGCGGCCUGUGGUCCGCCGCUACGACGACGGCGGUGAGACUGUGUGCGUGAACCUGGCGUCCUGGUGGCGAAACAGCACGGUUAUCCCCGUCGGCGACCGGAUGCUUUGCUGGGUCCACUUGGACGGCGACCUGCUCUUCUCCGACGACGUGUUCGACGACGAGAGCCCCAGCCUGUGGUACGUGCCGCCGCCCGAGGACGCCGAUCUGGGCACGCGGAGCGUGUGUGUCACCGCCGACGGCAGCACGGUAAAGUUCGUCAACGUGUUUCCCCGUUGCUGCUGCGGCGGCGCGGGGAGGUCCUUCUGCCUCGCUUCUUUCGACGCCUACGCCGUCCGCACCUGGACGCUGAGGAUGGACGACAUGACCUGGGCAAUGGACGCCAGGCUCGACGCCACCCAGCUCUGGUCCCUCGACGGCUACAAGGGCCUCCCACGCGUGGAGCUGGCCAUCCCCGUCGUGAGCAUGGACGAACCAGACGCCAUCUGCUUCGAGGUCGUACACCAUGAAAACCAUGGCGGCGACGAGACGAUCCUGUGGCGGAUCAUGGUGGAUAUGAAGAGCAAGUCGACGCUACUAAGAUCCGUCUUUCGCUACCCCAAAGUACGGUGGUGCCGUAGUUGGGUACGUCCCUUGCCCAGCAGUAUCUCCAGAUACUUCAACUCUAAACCACCAAGCAGCGGCGGCCAGCCUGCACAAGCAGAAGCGAUGCUAAACUUGACGAACAGAGGGCGGGCUGUUGAUAAUAAGGUGCACGCAAUCAACACCGUGCAGCAGGCAGCUUCAGAUUCACCGGAGGCGGCGAUCUUGGCCGCGCUUCAAGCGAUACCUGGCUUGGAUCGUGAUGAUUUGCUGAAAGCCUAUCGCAUUCUUACCCACGACAGUAGUGGCUGCCGGUUCAGAGCUCUCAUGGGGCUGCCAAUGGAUUUCAGGAAGGAUUGUGUGCUGAUGGAGAUCAAGGCCAGUGAAGCUUGUAUUUUGUGCUCUCUAUGCUCGGAAGACUUGCAACUAAAAGGAUGAGUCUAUAAGUAUAAGCGCUCAAGACAGCCGUGACUAACCCGUGUUUGGUUGGAGGGAGUAAAGUACAACGGGUAUUGUAGCAUAUUUAUAACUAUAGUAAUAUUAAAAAAAUUAUUUCACAAAUUAUUUUAUUGUUGUGUUUUUAGUUUUAUAUAAACAGUCUAUAUUUAAUACUUCAUUCAUUUGUCUAAAUAUUUCAUGUGAUAAGGAGUAAAGUUUAAUAGGGGGAACGGCCUUACUUCAUUUACAGACUAAUAAGUUUUCAGUGGACGGAUGGAGUGUCUGCCGCGGCGGCACCUUAAAAUAGGUGGGAAUCGAGGAAGGCAGACGGGGCUCUCAACUGGGCCCUUAUGCUAGGCCGCUAGGGGUUGGGGCCUAAGAGAGGGAGUUUACAGGCCGCUGUUGGGCUACUCCCUUAAUCUCGUGUCAGGCAGUGCCAGCCCACGGGCUUGAGUGGUGGUCCAAGCAUGGCUUGGUACCUCGUGCCGAGCCAGCCUAAGCCCGAUGCCCCUCGGCUUGGGUCGGACUCGAGUCGUGCCAAAGUGUUGGGCCUCGUGCUAGGCUGCCGGGCUUCAGGCUGCAUUACUUUUUAUAUGUCUUGCUAAUGCACUGUUGUGGCCACUAGAGCCAAGGUCAUCAACGCAUCGAAUAGCCAGCGCCUGGAUAUACCUAGUGUGCUGGUUGGUCCCGAGAGCCACUGGCGGUGCGUAGUGGAGGCGAAGUUGGCGGUCACCCCCCUUCCUCCGCAUUGGUCAUGGCUCACUUGAUGUCUGCAUUGGUACUUCUGUGUGAAGUCGAGCAAGCAGCGUCGGCUAUAGAUUACAUGGUGAGGUGAAAUUUUGCAUCUGCACGAGCCAUGAGAGUGAACGCGUGUGGACAGCGUGGUGGAUGAGGAGGACGACAGCGUUCUAUUACUUCUAGACUAUAUAGCAGCAAGACGCAUCAUGAGACUGAGUUUUGGGGUUGUGUGUCUGUUUGUCAGAUACCAUAAACCGAGAUAUCCUAAUUAAGAGGGGAAAAAACGGCAAAACAAGACUCUAGGAUGGAAACGACACCCACCUCUCCUCGGCUCAGCAGGGAUGCCUAGACCAAUAAGUUAAACAUGCGACUCGCUCGAGCCAUGGCCUCGAGCGCAAGUAGUGACUCGUCCGAGCCCUGGUCUCGAGCGCAAGUAGCAACUCGCCCGAGCCCUGGCCUCGAGCGCAAGUAGCGACUGGCCCGAGCCCUGGCCUCGAGCGCAAUCAGCGACUGGCCUGAGCCCCGGUCUCUGACGCAAUUGACGCCUUGCCCGAGCUCUGGUCUCAGUGGCAGGCUUCUCACGCACGACGACCGUACCGUUGAGCUUAAAUGAGCCAAAAUGCUUAGCCACUUGACAAAUAAUACAACGAGCCAAGUGGAACUAGCCAUCACAAGCUUUUUAUCUAACACUAAUUGCCCUUGAGCGUAACUGAGUUGCUGCUUUAUUCAGAGUUAUAGCUUAACUGCCCCCUCUUAGUUUGGCUCCACGCUCCGCCACUGCCAAGAGCAUCACGUUCGAUGGCCACAACGUCAGACUUUAACGUCAACAACUAUAACGGCUGAUCCUCAAGCACGAUGGCGAAGGAGCUAGCUAGACCACGUUCACGUAUAGCUCGAGCUACAUCAAGAACAACUGCGACGCGCCAUGUGAGCUCCGAUCCCACCGGUCAUCACGCAGAGCUCGUGCGGCCGAUCGCUGAGCAUUCCUUUCCACCACAACUCCGGCAACCUAGGCCUUAUUCAGUUGCUGAAAUAAAAAAAAUAGAUAUUAUAGUAUUUUUGUUUUUAUUUGAUAAUUAUUAUCUAAUUAUAGACUAACUAGACUUAAAAAUUUAUCUCACGACUUAUAAUUAAACUGUAUAUUUAUUUAUAUUUAUAUUUAUAUUUAUAUUUAUAUUUAUAUUUAUAUUUAUAUUUAAUACUCUAUGUAUAUGGCGUAAGAUUGCAAACAUUCUAGCCAUGGAGGCCGGCGCGCGAGCAGUUUCACUUCACCAAUAAUGGGGUCACAUCGACCAGGUCAUCAGAGCACCAGAUGGUGACGGCGUUCGGGAACUCCACGGGGCACAUCAUCAUGAAGUACAGUUUACGAACCAACCAGGUCACAUUACUCCAAUCCGGCGUGACCUACCCUAACGGCAUCGCCAGGACAGGACCCACCUCAUCGUCUCGCUCAUCGGACCUUGUAAGGGCACUCACAAUGCAAGACUCUAUCAUAGAGUUCAAGACAAUUAAUUACAUGUUAUUUAUGGUAUUUUACUGAUGUAGCAGCAUAUUUAUUGAAGAAAGAGGUAGGAAAAAUAAGAUUCCAAGUCUUAUUUAAACUCUAAGUCCACAUUGUUCGAGGUAAUAAAUAACUUUAGACUCUAUGAUAGAGUCUGCAUUGUGAGUGCCCUAAGCUGCUUAGGUAUUGGAUUCGUGGGCCAGAUGCAAACAUAUACUCCCUCCAUACUAAAUCAUAAGUUAUUUUAAAAAUUUUAGAGAGUCAAACUAUCUUAAAAUUAACUAAAUUUAUAUGAUAUAAUACUUAUUAUUAUGAUAUCAACUAAGUAUUAUUAGAUUCUUCUUUAAUCAUAUUUUUCAUAGUGUACUCACUUUAUAUUAUAAAUCUUAGUAUUAUUCUCUAUAAUUUUGAUCAAACUUGAAAAUACUUAUAAUUUGGAAUGAAAGGGUACGAGAUAUUCACAUACCUGCCAUGAUGGCAAAAUAUAUCUUGGAUUCGUAGAAUUAUGGUACGUUGUCAUUGUUGACACUUAGGAUUCUAGCUAAGGUUUAAAGGCUAACAAUGUUUUUCUCUCACAACAAAUUAACGAACAAUAUUUUUUAGCUAUAUGUUCAGUUGCCGAAAUGAAAAAAAAAUUUAGGUGCUGUAGCACUUUCUUUUUAUUUGAUAAUUAUUAUCCAAUCAUGGACUAACUAGGCUCAAAAGAUUUAUCUCGCGAUUUACAGUUAAACUGUGUAGUUAUUUAUAUUUUUUUAUCUAUAUUUAAUGCUUCAUACAUGUGCCGUAAGAUUUGAUGUGAUGGAAAAUCUUGAAAACUUUUUAGAUUUUGGAUGAAACUAAAUAAGAUAACUUUUCACACAAACGAACACGCUUUAAGAUUUAAAGUGCGGCGUGGUGUGAUCCACGCUGGUCCUUUUUUCUCUCUCCACAUGACAAUGAAGCCUGAUCUUACCAAACACACAGAUUGGUGCGGUGUGAUCCAAGAGGAUGGUAAUUUAUUCGCAAAACUACUAGUGUGCAAUUAUCAUAGUACAAGGAAGGACACACACUCCUAUAGUGUUGUUCGCUGAAUUGUUAUAAAAGAAUUAUCGUACAGUGAUAUGAAAAGUUAUGACUAAAAAUACUCUAAUCGAUUUAUUAUAAAAGAAAAACAUUAUUAGUGAAUGACGGCAGACAAACUAAUUCAACUGCGAAAACUGCUGCGUAAAUACACGUUCAUAUCACGCCAAUACAGAAGACGGAUUUCCUUCCUCUCAGAUUUUUUCCCCCUACACCGGGCCUGCACCGUCGUCACUGUGCUGCAGAAACCCGUCGGCGUCUUGCUGGUGAUCAAAGCUUACACUCGCCUGUAUGGCCGUCUGGGGCUGUUGAGCAGCACCUUCUCCUCGAUGGGGAGCCUGUACGGGGACACCUUGAACCGCUCGCUCUCCCGGCGCCGCCGGCGCUCCCGGGCGUGCACCACCGACGCCGCCGCGGCGAGCAUCGCGGCCACCGACGCCGCGAGCAGCGCCUGGUACACCCGGCUGCUGUCCCGCCGCAGCGGCGGGCAGCCGCGCUGGCUCACCGUCUGGAACGCGCGCCGCACGGUCGCGCAGCUCGCGAUGUCGGCCAGGGCGGGGGACUCCCGGCGCAGCCCGUCGCUGAGGCCGGCCACGGUGACCAUCUGGGAGUACAUCGCCGGCGUCAGGCGGCCCACCGUCGAGCACACAUCCUGCCCCGACGACCCCGUCGCGCUGCACACGUAGCGCUGCCACACCUGAUGCGAACAAACGGCAGUGCAAAAGCGCGUCAGACAUGACGCGACCAACGACGACGCGCCAUGGCGAAUUGGCGAUAGCGCUUCUCAAUUCUCACGUACCUGUUGCGCGUUGUCGGCGGUGACCUCGCCGGCGGCGCAGGGUCGGUCGGAGAGGUCGGAGUUGUAGGGGCUGCAGAGGAGUGGCACGAGAGGCCCGGACUGGUUGUAGUAGAGCGGAGGGCCGACCUGGGCAGGCACGUCGCGGUUGGACACGUUGGAGACCAGCUCGUUGAGCUUGGAGACGAGCUGGAAGUCGACCUCCUUGCUCCGGCGCAGGGCCUCCGCCGUCACCGCCGCGUCGGCGCAGGGGAGGAUGUCGUCCAGCGCGGUGUGGCUCUGCCCCUGCGGCUGGACCACCCACUCGUCCAUGGCCACGCAGGUGUCCCCUAUCACGCUGAACACAUGGCCAAAUUCAGAGGUUGCAGUAUGCUCUGUUAACUUGUACAGUACUAAGCAUUUGAAAUGAGUUUUUCAAAUUUGGACGAACUGGAACAGAAACAUCCAGAUUUGUUCAGAAUCGUUCUAAAUCCAAUCAUAACAGGCGGCAACAGCUUACUUGUGCAGGAGAAGGAAAGUGCCGGACAGUAUUAGUGUCGCAGUGAUUAUCAUCCAUCCAAGAAACACCACUCUGCCAAAAUUCAGAAACUGAAACUUAGCACACCAAUAAUCUCUGAAAGAACCUGUUGCAUCAACUACUGUCAGAAUUGGAUGUGCAUGCAUGUUCUCUGUAUGCUGUGCUAGUGUGCUUACAUGGACACAAGCGACUUCUUCCCGGUCAACGAGAACACUGCAACAAAUUGUUGGGAGAAAUUGCGUAAGAAUCUGAAAAAUAUAAAUGAUGUCGUAAUUUCAAGCAGGUCAAGUAAAUACAACUAGUAUAUAUAUUUUUUUCUCUUUCUUAAGACUUGGUAAGAGCAAUUUAUCCUCACCCAAGCCAAGAAACACGAGGACGAGCAUCACGGCCGCGACGCCGAUCAGGACCUUCUUUCUGCAAUCCCGUAAGACAAAAAACCGAUCAAGAUAAUCAAUGGAUGGUAUUACUAAUCAUGAACCAUGCAGGUGGAAGACGAUGAAUCAGAGUCAGCGGCGACGCUUUUCCGCACGUACAUGGUGUCCAGCGCCGUCCGGAUCCUGCGGGAGUUGCUGGCGGCGCGAGCGGUGAGCUCGUCGGAGGCCGCGUCCACCCGGCGCGCGACGUCGUCGAUGCCCCGCGCGACGUCGGCGGGCAGCGAGGCCACGCCGCCGCCCGCCGUCUUCGCCGUCUGCAGGAGGCCCGUGAAGUUGCGCAUGGUGGCCGCGGCGCCGUCGGCCUGGCUCACCACGUAGUCCAGCGUCGCCGUCGUGCUGCCGUUGAACUUGCCCUGCCCGUCGUACAGAAUCGCGCACCCGAUGCUGCAACACCACCACCAUGUCACCAUCGAUCCAUGAUCGCCGCCGGCCUAUCCGCACCGCACACAGGUGCGUCGAUUGAUUGGUUGAUGGAGCUAGGAGGAUCGGUUGCUUUUGCUUACACGGCUGCGGCAGUGAAGACGAGCAGGAGCAGGAGCGAGAGCGCGAACACCCGGCGCGAGUAGGAGUAGCUGCUGCUGCCGACGCCGCGGCAGCAACAGCUGCAGCAGCAGGCGACGAGCGCCGCCGCCGCGACCGCGACGAACCAGAGCGCCGCGAACGCGAACACGGGCGCCGCGCUGAAACCUGCCGACUGCACGCGACACCACACCGGUCACGCUCACCCGGGACGCCAUGAAUCACCAGCUGCGGGCAUCAUGCUUUGAACUGGCAAGCGCCAAGCGGCAGCCGGCCGGAGGCCACAGCAAGAAACGAGGAACUCACCGCCAGGUAGUGCCGGUUGCUGAUGUUCCAGCCGCCGGUGUAGUACCUGAGCCCGUCGAGGGGGUCCUUCCGCCGCGUCCGCUCCGCCGCCAACACCGUCGUGUCGGACGCCGCUGCUGCGACGACGGCCGAUUCAUCUACGUGUCAGCUCACCGAUCUUUCUUUCUUUUUUUUUUGAAUGAAACUUGGAACCUCACCGAUCUUGGUUCCCACAAGAAGUUCUUCAUGUGAAAAAAAAAGAACAGGCUACCUGAGACAUGGGCGCACAGGGUUGCACAGACGAGGAGGACGAGGAGCCAGCUUCUGCCAGACGGUCCCAUGGCUGUGCCCUGCCUACGCAAGCGAAGCUCACCGAGCUGAUCAAAUGAACUGCGAGAUGUGCACAUGACCGAGUAUAUGCACUCAGCAAUCGGCGAACUGGUCGCGCGAAAAUUGUAAUGUUUUCUUUGUCGUCAGAGAGGUGGAUGCAUGGGCACAAGGUGUUAGGUGUGACCGUGUCCGUGUGCGUCUGGGAGAUGGCAUGCAAACGCUGCUGGGUGCUGGCCGGGUCUUCAUCUGUUGCCAAGUAAUGCACAGCUAGAGCAAGUAUAAUAGCAGACCGUAAACUGGCUAAAUGCUGAGACGGAGGAGAAAGAGAACAAAAACGGACUGCCGGCUUACACAUAACAACCAAAAAAAUUUAUGAGAGAGACAAAUAAAUCAUAUAUUAUUAAUAAUGGGCUAAAUACUAUACCAGUGGAUUAAGUGAAAGUUGCAAAGAAAUCUAACAGUUAGCAACUGGUUGUAUCAUUAUGAGGCGCUGCGAAAAAGCUCAGCUUAAAAGAUUCAGGUCAUUUCGCAGUUUCGUCACUGCCGUUGCAGAAAGAAAAAAAAAAGACAAUUGUUUAUAUAUUUAUGUAAAUAUGUUGAGACCAGAUGUUCGUCUCCUGGCUUUUUUAAUAACCAAGAAAAAAGUGACUAGCUUUCCUUGUCCAGAUUAGACGAUCCAAGCGCCAUCGUACGUAUCUAGGUUUCUGAAACUUUCCUUAGCCGUGUGGAACUGCCAUAGAGCAUCUCAAAUUGAACCUUUAGGAGUUAUUACUGAUAGUUUAGAGCUAAGGACCUGGAUUUCCACCUCUAAACUUAGAGCUCUAAAUUUUAGCCUUCUAGCUAAAGUGCUCUAAAGCUUUUAGAGCUCUGUAGUUUAGAUAAGAGGAUCCAAACAGAACAUUAAUAAUACCUGGGUUGUCUAUCCUCUAAUAGUUUGUGUAUAUCAUUCUAGUUUUUUAAAAAAUCUCUCUUUGUGCAAUAAGGAGACACGGGACUACGCGUAGCACAUUGUUUAAAACGACGAAUAGUUGCCCGGUUAGGUUAACAUCCAUGGGUAACAUCCAGAUCACAUCGCCAUGAGUACCCAGUCAAGGCCAGCAGUGCACAUCAUUAAACGUCGUGCAAGUUAAGCAAAAUGACACCACGUUAGAUGCCAAUAGAUGCAUUUUAUAUACUAACUAAUUGCGUAUUUAUAUCAGAUGGUUCAGACUCGAGGCCUGAGCUGACCUUGGCCAUUUCGGCAUGACUGAAACUUGCCCAUCAGCUUUGUAGUUCAGGGUUCAAUGCGUACACCUCCAGAUAAGAAGUAAGGUUGAAAUAAGACCUAGAAAAGUUCGAAAGCGUGCACACAGGCACGUGCUGCACUCUAUUGAUUCAUGCAGCACUUGGUCGCCAUUCAUAUUACAUCAAAUACUGCAAGACAAUCAGAUUAUUGGACCGAUAUAAGCCAUGUAUAUGGACAGAUUACAUUCUACAUUUUUACAACAUGAGGCCUAUUGGUUACAGCGGACUCUGAGUGACUAACCUAGAUCUUUUGUACUUCCACUAACUCCCAACCCUAUACCAACAGUAGGUAAAAACAGCUGGAUUUUGGGAUUGCACUGCUAGGACCCAAAAAAUAUACAACCUUUUCCCUCCUACAGAUCAGCAAAUACAUCAUCUAUGUUAGGAUAUAGCAAGAUCCACAUGCUAAAUCUAAUUAUUAUAUUGCUAUUCAAUAGCAUCUUCCGCCUCGGUGAGCAGAUCUGCGCUUUCGUCAAGCAGAUGAUCACAGACCUCCAUGAGCUCGUCAGCAAGCGGAGGGAUGUGAGGAUGGCGACCAUCAUUGUAUAGAUGUGCGUUCAGUUGUAUCUGUGCUACAUCGUGCCUGAAUUCAUCACGGUUUCUGUACACCAUCUUUCUCACCUUGUCCCUGAUGGUACCAAGAUCCAUUGGGCGCUGUACGUAGUCAAGGUAAUCAGGAGCAUCUUUCUUUGUCACUGGUUUUAAAAAUAGCAGUGAUCCACUCAAACCCCGCAAGUGAUCAACUAUCUUUUCCAAUAUGUUGGAAAGCUCAACCUGCAUGACGAGGAAGCAAUUAAUCAAGCCCGAAUUCCAUUUCCAACAAAUCCCUCCAUGUGUAAUUUACUUUAUUCUCUUUUAACAGUUGCACAAUGCAAUUAGCAAACCCUACUGUAUCAAAUUAUCAGUUUGUAUAGAAAAAGUUGCAAAACAACUAUAAAAUAGUGGUACAAAUACUAAAACAAGUGGGUGGACAGUAACACUAAAACUACAGAAAUUUACUCCAUUUCAAAAUACAAGACAUGCUUUUGCCAUCUUGUUUCAAAAUCCUUUUGUGUUUUUUUCAAUAAUAUUUUCUCUUUUGCCAUUUACUGUUUAUCACACAGCUAUAUUCUCAACAGGCAAGAGGCAAGACAUCUAACACAGGCGAUCCUAUUGUCAUUUUCCAAAUCACUUGCCAUACAUAUAGCUGAAAGCUAAGAAAAUGUACCUCUCCUCCUCUGCGACGCUUAGCAGAUGAUGCAUAUCCAAUCACAUGAGCUGGACUAGAUCGUUUUACUGCUCGAUGUCUUUCAGGUACCCUUCUGUCAUUUCUGUAUGGCCUGUGAUCAAGUAAGUCAUCAUCUUUGAAUUCAUGUUUUUUCUUUUUCUUGUUUUUCUUUUUUGACUUUAGAUGAUCUUCCUCCCUUGAUGCAUAUAUCGUAGCAUCAAAGAGCCUUGGUUGUGGCAUUUCUCUUUGCUCCUCAAAAUCUCUCCAGGAUCUGUCAUUUUGCACUAUGGCUUUGCUUCUUUUUCCAUCCAGACCAAGCCUCCUCUCAUGUGAGGAAUUCAUCUGGCUGGGUUCCCCACCAAACCAAUGAUCAUCCUCUCUACUUUUAUCCUCAAAACUCGAUAAUUCUACAAUUUUUCUUAUCUUUCUGGUGGGCUCCUGACCACUCCUAGGUUCAACAUGUCUUUGCUGGUCUAUGCCUUUAGGCUGCUUGAUGGUGAUCUUUUUGCGAGGUACAUCCUUUUCUUCAGCGGGAGGCCGAAAUACAACAGAUGGCUUUGGAGUGUCAGGAGGGAAAUCAUCAGAUUUCAUCUUAUUAGGUAUCACUAUCUUAUUUACCUUUCCAGUAGAUCUACUGUCUGUAACAUCCAUGACACGUUUAUCAGAAACGAGUGAAACGGAGAGUGGCAUGUUCCUCUCCAAGGAUUUAUCCGGUGCCCCUACUUUAAAUUUUACUGGGACAGAUUUUGUCUUUUCGAUACCUUCUGGCCCUUCAGUUUCAGUAACUUCAGAGGAAACUUUUGUUAUUAAUCUUUUAGGUAUCUUUGCUUGCAAAUGGUUUAUAUCCGUAGGGUUGGGCUUAACUGAAUUAGCAUCCAUUUCUGACAUUUCUGGAUCCUCCCCAUACUUGGGGCACAGUUUGUUAGUCCGCAUAUGCCCAACCUAUACGACAACAAAGAGACAAAAAAAAAUAAGUCAUGAAACAUAUAAUAUUUUUCAGAAGGGCGCAUGCAAGAAGCUGCUUUACUGAGCCUACCUGACCACAGGCUCCACAUACAAGAGUAUCCCCCCUUGCACCCUGUUUCUUCUCCUGAAAAUAUGGAAAAGCAUGACACAUAAGACCCACAAUAACAAAGACCAGAUCAGCUUCUAUAUGUAUCGUGCGUUUGAGGAAAGAAAGCUUCUCUAUGAAUCAUCGAACCAACACGUAUUCAAAUUUUAGAAAUUUAGCAGCAUCCUUCCAACCUAAUACUUUUAUAGGCACAAUAGCAAACCAAUAUCCAGCGGCACUGAAUGGCAGCAAUACCUUAAAUUGCCACCAUAUUACAAAAACAAACUUAUACAUUUUGGUUUCCAACUUAGACAGCUACUUCUGCAUGAAGCCUGAUGGAAAGGAAAACACCACAAGUGCAACAUAAUUGAUGUACCGAAUAUCAUUAUAUCAUAUAUAAGUAAAAACAUUAUAUUCACACUUAGCACUGGUGCAGGUGUCUAAUAUUAAAAUAAGUAUAAUCGAGAAAAAGGCUGAUUCAAGUCGACACACAAAAUAUUCAUGUGGAUAGAACUUCACAUAUCAUAGUCAUCUUUUUCUGGGCUUACCUUAGGUCCAUCCUUUCCUAGAACACUUUUCUUUUUAACUAGAAGGAUCUCAUUUACAUCGAGUGCCAUCUUUGGUUUUAGUUUUGAGGGCAAACCACCCUCAGCAAAAGAAUUUUCAACCUGCACGGAGUAAGAUGAAUAACAUCAUUACAGAUUGUUUCUGCCAGAAUAACACUAAAUCAAAAGGACAGGACAAUGAAGACCAGGUCCAGAACCUCAGAUAGACUAAUACCUCUUUUCCUUCUCUUGGUGUGCUCUCCUUUGGGGUUAAUGCACCAGCAUAACCAGAUGAUUUGAUCAUUUGUCCACUCUUACUCUGCUUCAUUUUAUUGGCACUAGAGGUGCCACAAUUUGUCAACUCAGGCUGCUUUUUCCUCUUCACAUCAUUACCAUCAUCUGCAUAAUAAGAGGCCAUAAAUCGUAUGCACCAGCAGUUGUUUUUGCAAAGAACAUAGAAGAAAAUAACUACCUUCAAGUAGUUUCUUUGCCAGAGAGGCUUCUGUUUCAUCAUCUUCAAUUUCCUCGUUAAUUUGGGCAUGUGUAGAGCACCUUCUCAUUUUAAGUCCUCUCAUUCCAUCUGCUUUGUCAAUUCUCAAGUCUGCUGUACUAGUAUCCUCAUCAUCAAAUUCUUCUGCGUCUAGCAAGUUCUCAAGAUCCCCAGCAAAUGAGUCUAGAUCACUGUUAGCUUCUGUGUCACUGCCAUUGUCAUCGCCAUCUAUAGCUGAAAGUGACUGGACUUGUCUGUCCCAAAUUUCCUGACAUUUCUCCCUAGUUUGCUGCUGAAGUUGCAGAAAAGACAUCCUUUGUCCACGUGCAAACUUGCUAACAGGAAUUUCGUCAAUAGUUAUUCCCGAUGCAGCUUGUUCACUUGAUAGCUUCCUCACCAUAGCAAUCCGAUGCCACCUUGUUAAUUUAUCAAUUUGCUCUUCAGGUACGCCGAAUUUCAGCAGCAACUAUAUAUAGCAGUGCAUCAAUUAUUUACUAAACAAAGUAUAAAGGUGGAAUACAUGAAGGACAUGCAACACAUGCCAAGCUUUGGAGGUGGUCACUAUGGAUUUCCUUUUCACCAAGAAUGGGUGCAGAUUUUAGCAAUAUGCUUUGUGAUCAAUGACAAAUGAUACACCAUAUAUUCUAUUAUAGUUUGCUUCCUUCAAAUUCUCAGCUGUAAGCUGAUAUGAUGUAUCAAUGAACCAGGCUGUAUGCAAACUAUGCAAUGGCUGGAAUAAGUUUCUGUUUCCUAAAAAAAUUCACAAUUUUCAUUCUCAAAAGUAUUACACAUACAGUACAGGAAGCUCAGCCUAGCUCGGUUGAGGGUGUGAAUGUCACCUAGUUCAAGUCCUCAUCGAGAUGAAUUUGAGUGCCUACUUUCUUGUUAACAUAAGGCCACCUAGUUCCUCCUAGGUUGGUCCAGUUUUUUUAAUCACUCAUACACUAUAAUGUUUUAAAACACAAAUGCCAGGAGCUUUGCCCUUCAAUUAAUGUAGGAAAAGAAGACACUCAUACACUAUAAUGCAAUAAUGAAAGAGAUCAUAGAUGUCUGCUUCAACAGAGUGAAAGUCAGUAUGCCAAAAUGCCACUGAGUAUGUCAAUGGCGUAUGGGAGUAGGUCCCACCUGUUAUUGUAUAAGUCAACACUGCACUGGCAAAAUGAGAAUUGUUUUCAUUUUAUGGAGGCAAGUGUUCUUGUUUAGAGGACCUACAUGUGGCUUGCAUAAUAUAAUGAUCCCCUAAAUAAGAAUGCUAAAGACCAUCAAAUAUUAAUACAGACUCUAUAUGUUCAUACUGAAGCAUGUUCAAUGAUAUUAGGGCUUUUUUGUAGCCUCCCAGGCAAGAUUCCAGCCAGGCAUCGAUCCUAGCCCCAGGCCCCUGAAAUCAGACGCCAGGGGGCGAUGCCCAAGCCAGGCAGUCUUGCCUGGGAAACGCACCCUUAGGCAUGCCAAUAUCUCCAAAGUCAGGCAAUGUUUCCUAUGUUUAUUAUUACAGAAAUUAGUACAAUGGUACCUCACGGGCUGCAUCCAUGCUCAACCUGCGGAGAUCAGCAUCAGUCCCAGUUACAGUGGUACCCUUUGCAGCAGCUGACUUCUUCUUGAGCACUGAAUUGGAGGCAGGUGCUUUUGGUGCUACUCGCACAUAGCUGAAUCCUAACCCACGACCAGAUGGAUCUCCAACACCAGUGAUUUCUAAUCUUUCUAUAUUUUCUCUGUCCUGCACGCACCAAAGGAAAUUUGAUUAAGGAAAAUGUAUACCAAGAAACUAGGGAGUAAGGAAAAUUAGCAUCAUAUAUUACAUUUCACAUUUAGAAAAAAACGCACAGAAAGACAUGCAUACAUAACCCAACCAAACAAGGACUGCCAUCCUUUAACUUUGCCUGGAUAGAAACACUACCAAUAUAUUUGUUUAAACAGAUUAUUCUAGUUCCUUGAUUCUCUUAUCUCCUCCACUUAGUGUCAUGUUUCUCCCACUCUUAACACACCUCAGCUGAAUUAAUCUUAAUUCUCUAACCUCCUAUCUAUCUUGCUGGGUACUAGGCACACCAACUUUCUGAUAUACAGGACAAUGGAGGUCCAAAACCGGCUGAUUAGAUGGUUUGUUUGUUGAUUGGAGAGCAUAUAUCCUACCAUUGGCAAACUGGCAGUUAUACACCCAAACAUAUAUAUAGUAGUUUAAUAAAAUCACCAAAGUUCAAAACCUCACCAAGAAAACUGAAUCUGGCUCACUACAGGACACAAAUUUAUUCAACCUUUAAGCAGGUGGAAUCGCUAUGGCUUCUCCAGAGCUUAAUUUAUAAUUCUAGUAACGCUAGAGCUCUAUUACUUCUCCAGUAGCUCAAGCCCAAAUGGAAUCAAAAGUACCCAUCCCACGAAGACUUAUUUAUCCCAGUGGGCUGAGGGGAAUCACCAUGGACUCGGCUGGGUUUUCUGGACCAUGUCACAUCCAAAGACCAACAGGUUGAGGGGGGACAAUCCAUGUAAAUCAACUAUCAUAGGAAAUGGACUGGGCUCCCAGCAUUCCUGCUCUCAUUCCCUGUACACCCAACAGGACCUAAUGUGAUCAACAACUAAUUACCCUGUACAAGUUUUCUUUCUGUUGAUACCAAAUACUGACCCUUAUCUCCCAAUAUUAAUCGAGAACGAAUAAAUAUGAAGGUUAUCUGCAGUCUCUCUAAAGCAUAGAGCACAUCAAGUAGCACUCGGCAGUUUUUAUGAACAAUACAUGGUUUUAGGUCAAUGAACUGAUAUUGAAUAAAACUAGUGAUGUUCCAGAUCAGAUUACUUGAGUAAAACACCAUAUAUGAGACAAAGAGUAAGGUACCUGAUUAGUACAAGCAACAAAAUUACUUGUAAGAUUCCAGCUAGUGAUUUGCAGUUCCCUCUCGAUAUGUGAUGCAGCAGCAAGCUCAAUAGCCUCAUCAGGAAGCUGAUUCAUGGCAGAAGCCAGUCCAACAGGCUGAGUAAGCUUCAGAAUUCCUAAGCGCUUGAGACGAUAAAGACCAGCUUGCAUACUCUCAUAACAGCAAACCUGGAUAAUGAUGUUUUAGUUGAGUCAUCGUGAUAUUUCGGAUUGAAAAGAGAACUGUAAUUAGACACCAAGGCAACAAGGUAAGGCAACCUUCAUUAUUUAGGUAUUUUUGCUUUAUAUAGAACUUUCUACAAGAAAAAAUAUUUGCAGUCAGCUUACUCUGAUAGUCUGAUGACCAAAUUUUUAAAAACAUUUCACCCUAUAUAUUUGGAAAUGUGGGAUUGGCAUAAUAGCCAGUGCUUGUGGUCCAUAUAUAGCCAGCACAAUGUGAUAAGCACUCACAUUUCCACGAGAAUUUCUGUGCAAAAUAAAGCAUUUCUUCGAAUAGCUUGUCAUCCAGUUCUGUUGUUGUAUUGGCGAUUGGCAAAAGACUUGGCCGGUUUUUAGUGAAAGGAGCAUUGAAAAUGUUUGGAGAGACAGCAUGCAAGACCUUUGAAGCCUGAUAGUUGUUGUCCAAGUAGGUGCCAUUUUACCUUGGUAGAUAUUUGGUUAUUAGUUGUGAUAGUUGUUUAGUCAGUUUAGCUGGAGUGUGAGUUGUUUAGUGGUUUGGCUGUUUCUUUCUAGUUGGCUCAUUGAUUGUCUUUCCGAGCAGUUAGCAUUGUUUUUGAGGCGUCGCCUAGGCGACAAGGCGUGGUAGAGGCUCUGGGCGUCGAGGGCGCCAUGACCUGCACUCGUAUGGCGUCCGCUUAAUCGAAUUUGGCGUCGCCUAGGCGUACAAAGGCGUCAGACGGACGCCUAUAGCCUUGCCAUGGACGCCAGAUACUAAUUAGCAGGGGGAGGGCAUGAAAAUCGAGCGCGUGUCCACGCCGCGGGGAAGGGCACGAAAAUGACUGUAGCCAGCGGGAAAUCGACCGCGCAUCCGCUCCUAGCGCGGGAACCGUGACCUAGAUAGGCUAUUCGCGUGCGGCAUUUACCGUGAGUGGGGGCGAGGGGAGAGGAAGAGAGAAGGGGGCGGAUGGACCUUGAGCUCUGCUUGGCUGCUCCUCUGCUCAACAGCUCGAGUCCACCGGCCAGCCACCCCUUCCGAGGAGCCGCCCCUGAAUCUCUGCUUGGUCGUCCGCACCUUCCGUGGAGCCACUCUGGCAUCUCUGCCGCUGGAGGCAUCGGCCAUCCGCAUCUGCGCGUCUGCCGUCGGCUGUCCCCCUGUCCACAGCUGCCCGUUCGUCUCAUGUCUCUGCCUCCGCCUCCGCCGGUCGUCUGUCAUCCGCCUAGUAUGCCCCUGCCUCCUCUCUGUUCCCUCCGCCUGGUAUGCCCCUGCCUAGUGCCUGGUAUCCCGUCUAUGCUCUGAGUAUUGUAGUAUAUUUAUUAAUGCCUCGUGCUCUGCUUUUGCUCAUGCUAGGUGCCCUUUGCUCUGAAUAUUAUAUGUUAAUGUCUGCUUGUGCACUGAAUAUUGUAUGGUAAUGUCUGCUUUUGUUCAUGCUUUACGCCUUACAAUGUGUAUAUGGUGUCGCCUAGGCGUUGUGAAGGGGAGGCGCGGCGCCUCAAAAACAUUGGUACUUAGUGGUUGAAUUUGUCCGUGGAGAACUUUUGCUCUUUUGUUGUUUUAGUAGUUGUGUUUGGGGGAGGUGUUGUUGGGUUUUUGGGCCCGGUUUCCCUAAAAAAACUGGGCCAAUACUUGUUUCUUUUUCUUCUAAUAAAAUUUGUGGCAAAGCUUUUGCCAUCCUUUCGUGGAAAAAAAUUGUCAUCAAGAAACAAUUGAUUGACACAAGGGCAACAAUAAUUUGCAGAAACUCACACUUUCUGGCGUCAAUAAUCUCCUCAGUUCUUCCUCUGAUGGAACUCGGAAAUCAGGUCUCUGUGUCCAGAAAAAAUGCCCCUUUGGUCCUUUCUGUAAGGAAGUGCAGCAGAGCAUUAAAUAUGGUUGAAUAAGAGUCCAGAAUUAGUUAAAAUAUAAAAAUGUACAGAUAAAGAAACUAGAGACAGAUACCUUCAAAUCUGCACAAUGCUUCAAUCGUUUUUUCACUAUAGCUUCUGUCAGAGGACUUUGUAUGGGUAACUCAUCAGCUCGAAUCUGAGGAAUACCAUCAGGCCUCUCUCUGGCACGAAACUCACGAUAAACAUAUGCAAGAACUCGGUUCAGAAGAUAAGUCUGCGCAUUCUUAGUCCCUGGUGAAAAGACUUCCAUAUGAGGUUCCUGCAGGAAACCAUGACUAUUAAGUUAUGGAUGAAAUUGUUAAAGUUCCAAGACAGAACAGCUCCUAAACACUAUGAUUUAUUUUCAAUGUACUGGUCUAACAACAGCAGAAAUUGAAUGGAAACAAGAACUCGGGGAGUAUUCUUGACACACAAAACAAAGAACUCAAGGAGUGUUACAUUUGUUUGACAAAAGAAGUGAAUAUGGAACAUAAUUUCUUCAGACUUUUUAUGCAGAAAUUAAUAACCAUAUACCAGUCAUAUUUGUAACGUUCAUGUUGAGAUGUUCUCAUGUACUUCUGUUCUCACCUGCUGGCAACAAACUGCCAAUGUGUAGGGUCAUUCAACAAGUGCAAUGCCAUGCUAAAACUGCAGCAAAGAAGCUUCUAAACAUGCAACACACUACAUUACUGAACUUCGUAGCAGACCCCUAUCAAUAAAACAAAUUGAAUUUCCCUGCUAAGCAUAACGAGAGCAAUCUCUACCACUGUAACAAAGGAAUAUCCAAUGUUUCAGCUAUGUUCACUAAGGCCUUGUUUAGAUCCAAAAAGUUUUUGGAUUUUGAUACUGUAGCACUUUCGUUUUUAUUUGACAAACAUUGUCCAAUCAUGGAGUAAAUAGGCUUAAAAGAUUCAUCUCACGAUUUACAAGCAAACUGUGCAAUUAGUUUUUGUUUUCAUCUAUAUUUAAUGCUUCAUGCAUGUGCCGCAAGAUUCAAUGUGACGGGGAAUCUUGAAAAGUUUUUAGUUUUUGGGGUGAACUAAACAAGGCCUAAAUCAGUAAAGCCUAAAGGUCCCACAAAGAAAAAGCAAAAGCUCAACCUAAGAUGAAAUAAUGAAUAUUUUGGAACAUGGUCUGCAGUGUAAAGCUUGGAAAUGCACCACAGCAGAGAAUUCAGCAAGGGAAUCCUAUACUUGACAAUAUAAGGAGAAACUUCAGAUAGGAAAGGGUUGGAAACAUUGCACAUCCUACUUAUACAGAACAUAGUAUUUCAGAUACCAGAGCUUACUUGUUGGCCAACAGCAUAUAGCUUGUCAAUGCGACGGAGGGAAAGCGCCCCUUUGGCUGAACGAACUAACAAGUAAUCAGUUGGUGCAACCUUAUGAGGAAAUACAGGUGAUCUGUACAUGUUUGUUUCAAGACAAGAUUGGUGGGACCCAGAAUGUAUAUCUCCUAGAAAAGGGGAUUUGUCAGAAGGAUCAAUUGCAAGCACUGUGCCCAGUCCAUCACUGUUGUUUCGCAGUGAUGCAGCUGCCUGAUCAGUAGGGGAAGUUUUCUGGUAAUAUGUACAGAGACGGGCUCCCAUUCCAGCAUUCGAGAGAAGCAAAGGUCUCUCUUCACAAUAUCUGCACUCAGGGCAAUAAAUGACAGAUGAAUUACUAUAGUGGGGAAAAAACAUAAUCAAAAUUUGCCAAUGUGCAUAACCAACAGUCUUUCACAUAUAAACAUAAUGAUAAGCACUUGGCCAAAAUAUAGAGGUAAAAGGAUAAAAAAAUCAUUGUAAAGUAUCAGAGCUCUCUAAUCACUGUAUCUGCAUUCAUGUGUCACUAACACAUGUGCUACCAUGAUAGGAAGUCCAUAAUAUCGACAAGCAAAUCACAAGCACAAAUACCUACCCAACAAGCAACCUCACACAUACACCCUCCAUUAGUGUAAGGUACAUAUCUAAAAAUUCAAACAUUGUAAUUCCUCCAUCCAGAAAUAUAGGCCAUAUUUUGACUGUCUAAGUUCGAGUUUAAUCGAUAAAUUAAUAUAAGAAUCUACGAGGUAUGUGAUCAAAUCAUAGAAAAUUGAUAUCAUUGGAUUCGUAUUCAGAGGUACAUAGAAUUGUGAUUUUGUAACUAUUAAUAAAAUAUUAUAAGAGAAAUCUCUGGCCAAAGUUCGUAACACUAUCAAUAAAGCUAUGUGAUGGAGGAAGUAACUUCUAGAUAAUAAUUCGGUCGACUAUAUAUGAGUUCAGUGAGAUGUACUGGUAGAAAAAUAUCCCCAUUUCAAUGUGCAUUCUUACAGUUACAAUUUUGUAGCUCAUAACAACAUAAUUCAAGAGAUAUCUAUGGUCAAAUUUCAACUUAACAGAUCAUGCCACAUCAAAAUGUAAUACCAGUUAGUUGAACUAGCAACUGACAAUCAAAAAAUCAGCACUUAUACAAAGUCACAAACAUUAAAGUUCAUUGAAAUUAAUACUUCAAGAAACAAUAAGGGGGAAUAAAUUGGACUUACUCCAUUAAAAAAACAUGUCCAUCCUUGACAGACAAGUCAGUUUUUUUCCUGAAAGCCCCAGGAGGGCGUAGAGGCUUGUCCUCACCAGGUAAUUUCUGUGCUUUUGGCCAUAGAUACACUUCAGUGCGAACAACAUGCACAAUGGAGUUUGGUCGCACAUUUUGCAUCGCUAGUGAGAUGUCAUCCUGAAGCUCUUUCCCAGAACAGAACAAUGUGAUCUUCUCGGAAGGCUUCAAUUCUGCAAAAAGCUAAGGCAGUGAGAGAACUAAUUAAACUGGAGGAAAUGACCAUUUGUCUUUCCUUUUGGGGCCUUAAAUUACACAGUACAUGUAUUAGCAACCAACUGCUCAACAAAAAGCAGAUAGCAUAACAAACAUUUUCCAAAUAAAGAAAAAUCAAAACCAAUGGGGUAGUAAACGGAUACCAACCAAACUUCUUUGAUGCUUUUAAUUUGAUAGAGACCGGAGUGUCCUCAGCAUUUACCAAAAUCUUGACUCCUUUUCCUCCCAAUGACAUAAGUAAAACAGCCAUCCUCCCAUGGCUACAAGCAGUUCCUUGUAACUGAGCAGCAAUUUUAUUUUCAUGUGGGUACCACUUAGCUCUUGGUCUAUGAAAGUUUGCAAUUUCCUUACUGCGCAAAGUUGACAAUCAGAGAAGUUAUUAUUUAUAGAGAUGAAUUGGCCAAAAAUCAAUAAACACUGUAGUGCAGUUCCCUGUGCAAAGAAAAAAUAAAGAUGCAGUGGGUGACAUAAGCAUGACAACAAAAUGUGACUUGAAAAACAACCUAUGAUCUCACUUUCGUUAAGCAGUAGAUUUAGCUUCCACUUAACCAAAUGUGACUUGAAAAACAACCUAUGAUCACACUUUCAAGUUCUGAAAGUUUUCUUUUAUAGGUUAAGAGGAAAUAUCAGGUGCACAAAGAGUCUCUGAACACACAUAAAACUAAAUCUUUUGCUUUGGUGGGAGGUGGGAGCUUAUUCAUAUUUCUCAAGACUGAGGAUUCAGUCGGACAGAAAGCUGAGGGAUGGCGGAAUUUCCACCUCCGAGAACAAGAACGAGUUGGUGCAUAUGUUUCCAAUACCUACUCUCAUGCGUCUUAUACUUUAUCUUUAUCUUGAACAGGGGCAUAACUAUCUCCAUCAAACAGCCAUGCAGGCUAAAUAAUAUUCAUAGUAACAGAAAUAUUUCCUCGGAACAACAAACCACUGCUAGUUGUUCUCUUGAUUAGAUAUAGAUAAAGGCUCAUAAUGAAAUGAACAUUCAGUUAAAAGGAAUAUGUUACCAAAAAAAAAAUUAUUCACUCUUAACGUCAAUGAAGUAACAAUGUAACAGUUGAAAACAUGACAAAUUCAUUUGAGUACAUGCUUGUAAGACAAUAGAAGAUGAGAAAUCAUGGAUGCACAUAAUCAGAAUUUGGCAGGAAGGGAUGGAGGCCUCAUACUUGCUCAAUACUGGCUUCAUGGUUUGCAGCUUAUGAGCUGGAGCAGAAUGCACCACCUUUAUGCCCAUUAAAGCACGUUUUUUAGUAUGAGAUUUAGCUUGCUGUGGAGUCUUCCUAUUUGAAUAAAACUUGUCAUUGGAGAUGUUGAAUCUUCCACUCAAUGUCUUUGCUUGAUUGUCAAAAUUAUCAACUGUUGGUGUUGAAGUCUUGGUUGACUGACUAACAAUCAUAGCACGAGCAUGAGACCUGAUAUGACCCACAUUCUUUUCAUCUAGGAUCUCAAAAAGCAUAUGAUCAUCUUUAAGGUCAAAGAUCAGUUUAGGCUUUGGGGUAACCUCAUUAGGAUCCCAAAUUAUGUUGUCCAACCAUGAUCCUUCUAAUAAUUCCCUAUUCAGUAAACUAAGGUUAUUUAAACGCAUCGUGGUGUCAAUUUUAACUGCAUCAUCUAAGUUAUUUGGCGUUAUGUGAUCUAAGUUAUCUUCAUUUGUCAGUGGAGGGAAACUUUUCCCAGGGGAACAGUAGUUAGCUGGAGCAGGCAUUUCUGUACAACCAAAAGUCUCUUCAAUUACUGGGGACCCAUUGCUUUUACUCCGUACAUCCCAACACCUGGAGACCUGACCAUAAUCCUUACCCUGGUCUUCACCAUGGGUGUCCACACUCUCUUCAGAUUCACAGAUUUUUGCAUAAGGCUGCUGAUCAGUUGCUGGUGAAUUGUUCCAAAUGAUAUCAUUUUCCCAAUCAUCAUGCUCAAGUGGAUAAAAAUCAGGACAAAUUGGAGAUCGCUGGACAGUACGAAUAUCCUUAUGCGCAUCUUUCAUUGGUUGUUCUGAAAGACAUGAAUCCUUUAGCCUUAAAGUGACAUCAGAAAUAGACUCAUCACUGUCACUCUCAACAAAAUCUUCAUUCAUCUGGUUGUGCUUCAAUGUUGAGAAAUUUUGGAUAGUGCUCCGGAGAAUUAGUUCCUCAUCUUCUUCAACAUUGUCAGCAACAUUUGUGAUAUGAAGCUCUGGAAGUAAUUACAACAAUACAAAUAUGAUAUUAGAUGUAUUCAAAUGUUUUGACCGGGAGUAACUGCGAUAACAAGCUAUUGACUUGCGGCACAUAGGAGCAACAAAGGCUUGUGGUAGUUUGAUGUUAUGAAAAUCAAGUACAUAUAUACAUUCAUAUAGCAGUAAAGAAAAAGAUCAAAUACAUUCCUUUUGUGGAAAUCAGCAAAAAAAUAAAGCAAUUGUAAACAAUGGUUAUGCUGCAAAAGGAUCAAUAGAUCAAACUAGAAGUCAUACAGAUGAAGAUGAGGUUCACAUAUUAAUAAUUUUUCUUAACACCAAUCAAUUAGAAGACCUGAAAGAAAUAAGCCAACAACCUGAAUGCCUUUCCAUAUAGUUGGCCCUUUUGAUAGGCUAUAUUGUUUUACAGUAAUCGAACGAUGAGGCGAAUUAGACCUCACAUGCAGCAUUUGUUUUUGGCUUAGUUUCAAAACACUGUAAUAAUAACUAGGCCUAAUCAGAAGAGGCAGGAGCCAAUUUCUAUAGAACUACUGUUUCAUCAAAUCAGAUACUUGCCCUUAGACAGAACGAACAUAUUGGAAAUCAGAUUUUUUGGAAAUUAUAGGUAUAAACUGUUGACAUAGACAGUGGCAGUUAAAUUUCUUCGUCUCAAAUUGAAUACAUGAGCAGUAAGGAUAACUAUGUUCCCAGUAACAACUGCUUUCAGGUAACAACCUCCAGCUACCAACUAUCUAUCAAGACCAUGCAUACACGGGGGAGGGUGGUGCUUCUUGGAUCUUUUUGUUGCAACAAGCAGAAUACCUUUAUUCACUGGACGUUUGUGGUGAUCUGUUUUCACUUUUCUUACAGGCUCUUGGAUACCAAAAAUUUCAGAGAACCUCAGGAUCGCAUUCCCAUCCUCUAUGCAUAAAACAGGGAGGGAAGUCGCACUUUCAGGCGCAAGAUGACCUUCCCCAGUGCCCUUUUCAUUCUGCUUAAUUAGAGAUGAAUAAGAAAAGUGCUAUAAUUAUAUAAAUAUGAUACAGGACAAUGCAAUGUUAAUUUCUUGGUCCAGGCUUCACAUACCUCCAAAUCUUCAUAUUCAAAGUCCAUGCUUUCUUCUGGAUGUGAUAACAAGCCAAGCUUUUCCGUGGCAAGGUUAUCGCUUGAGGUUGCCAUAUCUGCCUGCUCGAUAGAAACUGUAUUGAAAAGAUUACGAGAAACGAGAAUCAAGUCAGUUGGCUAUAACAAAUAUUUAUAGAUAAAAAGAUUGAAACUUGAUGUGUUAGUGCUGACAGAUGAAUGUUCUAGUUGUUUCAAUAAAAAACAAAAGAAUGCUCUAUUUAUUUUAUAAAAUGUACUCAGCAAUUAAAAUCAAGUGUGUUUGAACAAAAAGGUUGCAUAACAUUUUCACAAGUUUUCAUCUUCAAUAAUUAAAAGUGAAGUUUAUGCCAAACUAGAAUCUAUGUUCACAAAAUAAAAAGGUGAAAAAAGAUGAUCAAGUCUUCAGUUCAGAUUUUAUUAUAGUUAGACUGGAACAGACUUGAUCGCUACCACCAACGCUUACCCAAGCCAGAAGGGGAAAGUUGGACAUGCAAAUAUGAAGACAAAUACAGAUGCAGACCAAAAAGGAGGUGUCAAGCUACAAAUGUUUAACCACUAGAUGGAAGGAACAAAUAACAAGGGUAGCAUGGGAACCAGAAAGUAGCAAGAAAUGGAAUGAACAUAACAUAAAUGGAACUUGAAAACAUUAGACACGUUAUCCAGUAUCACCUGAAGAUAAAUUUUGGGCAGCACUAUCACCAGGAGGUUCUUCUUUUUCACUGGGUGGUUCUUCUUCCUCAUCGUAAUUCUCAUCGUCAAACACUGAAACUGUACUAUUGACCGAUGCAUACACUGUAGAUGAAGAGAAGUAAUCCUUUUUUGACAGCACAUUGUCUUCCUCUGUAGCUGCUUCAACUUCAGGUCCAUCAUAUUCUUCAUCAAUAUCUUCAUAAUCAACAGCAUCUUCUGCCUUCUCAUCAUAGUCUACAUAACAGCAAAAAGAUGUGUUAUCAAUUAUGUGUAUAGUUUGACAUGGAAAAGAAGAAUAAGGUCUUCCUAAGCAAUGGCAAAGUUGGCUUGAUGAAUGACUCUCAAAACUGUAGGUGCAGCUUAUAUGAAAACAGUAACAUGUCACUAACCUUGUUCAGAAGGAUCAGUUGGUGCUGGAGAAGACUUGAUUAGCUAAUUAGCAAACAACACAGUAUUAACUUGUUUGGUAAUGAAAUAGGUAAGUAAAAUUAACUAUAUGCAUAAGAUAACAUACGUCAAUGUCUUUGAGAGAUGGACCAAGCUUAUCUGCCAGUGCAAAAAGGUGUUCCUUUGCAUCCUGAAUUAAGUAAAAUAAAAGUAAUAAAGAAAUGCAACAUCCAAAUUACAUUAUAAACAUAACUAAAUAGUGACUUGGUUUCCUGCAGAUACUCAAUGGGAUAACAAUAAAACAAAAGUACCCUAAGGCUGCGCAACUAACCUUUGUUCUGGCUAAAAUUUAGUGAGUUCUAACGAAGACUCUUCAGAAAAUAUCCAACUUACGAGAAAAUUACAGUGCAUGGACUGAGAAAAAUUUUGGUUCAUAGCAUUGAUUUUCCCUAUCUCAUCAUUUUCAGAACUCAAAUCAAGUCAAUUUAAUCAGUGGAAUAUGGUUCUUUUAGUAAUGCUGGUUCCUAUAAAGCAACUGAGCACCCUAAAAUAUAAGUUAUAUGGAUCAAAAUGUUAAGAAAAAGAGCACCAACAAAGAAGUUAAUCUGUAUCAAAUCAUGACCAACUGAGAAUGCACUAAGCCACUAAGAUCAAAAACAGAUAGAGAUGCAUGUCAUCUGCUAGAGGCAGACAUGUGAAUUAAAAUAAUCAAAACAACAAAAAACAGGACAUUGGCAUGCCAACAAAAUCAGAUAUUAAAAGUCUGUACCUCAUCAAGAUAGUCAGCAUCUAAGUCACCAGAAUCAUCUACAUUGCCAAACAUAAACCCCAAGAAGUGAUUUCCUCCACCAGGCUCCUCAUAAUCCUCGUCGUCAUCGUCAUCUGUAAGGAUGACAACAGUAAUCACUAAUAAAUAAGGUGGGGUUAUUCAAACAAACUCAUUGCUAGUUUCAACCAGCAUUUCAUCAAUUGUACUUAGCUUAAAAUAAAUCCAGUUUUGGAGCAACCUUAGGAAAUUGUUAGGAAAACUAAGAAUCUGGGGUUAAUGAUGACAUGAUGCAUUCCCACACAGAGGUUUACAUGUUUUCAGUAUUUUGGAGAAUCUCAAUGCUAGUUUCAACCAACAUUUCAUCAAAUUAAGUUUCAAGACAUCACAUAAAAUACAGAAGAUCAUCAUGGAACAGUUAACCCUUCAGACAAUCAUCUUCAUACUCAUAACAUCAUUUUGCAGUUUUAUGAUUCUCACAGCCAACUCUAGAGAUUGCAACUUCACAAUUACAAGCCCAUAGCAGAUCAGCAUGCCAACCACCCCAUCUUACAUGGGUGCGUGUAGCUGCCGCAACUAAAAUCUCCAAACGCGCAAAAAAGAACAUCGAAUUCUAUAUAGCACCAGACAGCAUGCCAUCGGCUUAUCAAAUCCCAUUUAAACAGGCACCACAAACAGUUGCACAAAGCCCAGCAAAUACACUAGUUAACAUAGCACACCCAACAGAUCAGAAACCAGCUAUCUGACAACCCCUGGGGCCGCCCAUCUGCUCUUGCACCAACACCAAACCAAAAGCAUAACGUGGCUAUGAUGAAGUCCUGGGUGUCGUCGAGCUCACCUGCGGCACUGUUGGUCGGAUUCUCCUCUUCAUGGAGCUCGCCGUCGCUCAUGGCUGCAGCCUGCAGCUGUCACUGUCCUCUACCGCCUCCCCAGGCCGCGACGGCACCAGUAGCUACAAACCCUAGGCCGCCGCACCCUCCUAAUCGGCGCCGUAGCUCGCAAAAUCUAGAAUCGCAGGGCCGGGUUGGAUCGAGUGGAUAAAAAAUCUCAAGGUGUAGCGUAAAGGGCGAGGCCAAACCAGAGGCCGGGGAGACCCGAGACCGGGCGAUUUCCGCCAGGUCUCCGCAGGAUUUUCUGCACGUAGGGAACUGUGUCCGCGGACUGAUUGACCUUCAAGCGCAAGAUCAGCGGAGUAGCGGGGGCGUCCUGCUUCGUUUCUGGCGACGACGAGAGAGGCGGCGCGGCGCGGCGAUGGCGGUGGCCGUGGCGGUGGCGGACGGGCGGAGAGGAGGGUCGUGGGGGGCUAGAUGGGGAGCAAAGCGGAGGGCAGGGAGGGGCUGGGGCGCCGACUGCGGCCGCGGCGCGUGCCGGGCGCCGAGAGGCGGGCCAGAUCGGGCCGAAAAAAAAUGCGGCCCAUAAUGGAUAUGCACGAGCACAAUCAGGCAAAUCAGGCGCGAUGGCAGCCCAUGAGCGUAUAUAUAAAGGAAAAGAUCCAAUUGGGCCCUUGACUAUUUUCCAAGCCCGAUUUGCCUAAAACCAGAUUUUUAGACUCCUCUAAUUUUUUAAAUCAUCCAAAUUAUCUUUUUUGGCGGUUUUAAAUGUGGUUUUAUCCGACAUAGCCCGACGUUAGCCGUCCUACAUGGUACCACGACAUUCACAAGGGAAAUCAAUUAAACUUACACGAUAUUUUAGAGAGAUCAACUAAUCUUCAUCAGAAAUUAAAGAGAUGUUUUUCUUAGAAAAAGUUAUCCAAACAAUUUUCUAAAAAGUAUGCAUUUAAAAAUACUUAAGUCUGAUUAACCUAAGAAAAAUGAUAGACAACUUGUCUUAUUAACUCAAAAAAUAUGAAACUCGAUUUCUCCCUAAAAUUUAAAAUUGGACCAAAUAUGAAAUAGACAAUGCAGACCAAGACAAAUCCUUGCAGACUAAAGCAUGAAUCAACGUGCAACCCAGUGGUCAUGUGGUUUGUAUUUGUAGCAACACUUUCUUCUCCUAGCAAUACCACGACGAUGAUGUGUGCUGAUGCACCCUAAACCCUAGGCCAUAUGUGGGAAGCCACCCAAUGGCUUCUCCAAGUCCCUAAUAGACAUCUACAACUUGGCUAACAUCCGGAUGGACGUGGUUGCUUCCUUGUCUAUUGUCAUCGUCAUAGUUUGCGGACACACUAGGAGCACAUGAUAGAGCAAGAAGGUACUUUGGACGGUCUUACGAUGCCAAACUUCAUGUGUGUUUUUAAAAUCAUGUUUUAUAUUAUGGUUCCUAGCUCAAAAUAUCAUAGAUCAUGCUUUUAGAAAAAAACAUAUAACUGGUUCCAUAUUUUCUAAGAUAAAUAGAUUUUCUAUAUUUUUCUAGGGUCAAAUUAGUUUAGUUAGUAGUUUUAAAAUACAUAUUUUGAAACAAAAAAUGAAUCUUUUUGAAAAAAAUAAUUAUAUAUUUUUAAAUGUUUAGUUGACCUCCCUAAACUACCGCGAAAGUUUGUUUUACCUCCCUUAUGGUUGUGAUGGCACCAUGUAGGACGUUGAUAUCAUGCCAUGUCAGCCAAAUUACUUUUAAAACCACCAAAAUUUUUUAAUUGUGUUGUUUAAAAAGUUGUGGUAGCCUAUAAAUCCAGCUUUACGACUAGGGGAGGUAAAUCGGACUUACACAAUGAUUAAGGAGGUAAAUAUGAUUUUAAACUGGUAUUUUUUAGCAUUAGUAAAUAAUAAAAGAUUGUACUUGUAACUUGCCUAACCUGUUUGUUUAGGCCAUAUAAGUGGGAAAAAUUGUCAGUCUUAAAUCUUAAUCCAUAAAUUAUUGUCAUAGUCUAAUUUUCUUGCUUCAAUUUCAAAAUACUCCUAAACUUUCAAAACCAUCCAAAUUAUCUCAUAUCGUACUUUGGAGUUGUUUUAAAGGUGGUAUCGUCUUUUAAGUUUAAAAAUUAAUAAAUACUUGACACAAUUGUUAACCCAAACAUAUAUAUCUCUACUCUUUCAAAAAUCCUAAAAAAACAAAAAAUAUAUUAGGAUAGAAAAACUUAAAUAAAAAAUUAGAGCUCACGAAAACAUCUUUAGAAACUAAAAAAAUGUUUAACUAUAGAAAAAAUCAGAAAUAUCUAUAAAAUUAUAGAAAUGGCCCAAAACAUUAUAAUUGAUAUACAAACAUGCUUUAAAAACUUGCCUAGCAAAAGUAUGCCAUGCAACCAGCAUGAAUGUAAUAUUCAUGUCAAGCAUACGUACUGGUAGUGUAUUAUGUCUUCUUUGUUGCAAAAAAAAAUCAAAACUCAACUACAUAUAGAUUAAAUUGUUUUCGGAUUUUUUUCUAUAUUUUUCUAGAUAUUUUCACAUUUAUGUAGAUCUAAAUCUAAUUUUAAAGCAUAUAGAGAUAUUUUCAUGAGCUAUAAAUAUUUUAUUUAGAUUUAAAAGCAUAUAGAGAUAUUUUCAUGAGCUAUAAAUGUUAUAUAAAUUUCAAAAGCUUAGAUGUAUUUUCUAUGGUUUAAAAACCUUAUCAAGUACUUAGCAAUUUUUUAAAAUAAAAAAAGAUAAAUUUGAUUUUGAAACCACUCCAAACAGUUUGUUCGCUUGGCUGAGAAGCCAUGGUUGAAAAAACUGUUCAUUGAUUUGUUGUGAGAGGAAAACAUUGUCGAAUUCACUGAUUUGUUGUGAAAGGAUAAACACUAUUGAAUGACUAACAGAUUCGGCAGAUAAUCUCAAACGAACAAGCUGAUAUGGAGGUAGUUUAAAAGGUUCUAAGAGUUUGGGGAUAAGAUGUAUGGAUUUGGAGUUUAUAAGAAGGAAAAUCGUACUCUAAAUAUAGUUCGAGAAGGUAGAAAGGACUUUUUCCAAUAGGAGAAGGGAUGACAGAUGAAAGGCGACCGGCUUGACCAGAUGUGGUGGCAGAAAGUGAAUCUCGUCGAUUUACUUUAUCAUUCAGAGUCGGUUGUUUGUAUACACUAUCCAGUUCCAUAUACGAUUCCAUAGAUACAUACCAUAAAUUCAUAUACAAUUCCAUAAAUACCAAAUUUGUUGUAAUUCUGUGACAAGGUUCUCUAAAAAUCUAUAUGCGCAAGAGAAACCAGAGGAGCAGUUACAGAAACAGAAAUGGACUCCGAAUCUGUAUCGGCUUGCGGUAUUAGUAUAUGUGCAAUUUUGGGAGAGCAACACUGCAACAGAAUUCAAGCAUUAUUCCAGGCUUGUAGCCCAGGAAAGAACAAAGGGUGUGUUGAUUCACAGAAACGUAGAGCAAUUUUUUUUUCUUUUUUCAGAGUCUGCAGCAUGCAUUUUUUUGUGCAUUUUUGUACUGAAUACGAUCAGGAACAAUGUACAGAAAUUAAGGAACCUAUGCACAAUAUGGCACAAAUAUAUGCAAAUACUUUUAAACGUGUUUUACAAGGAAUCCUGAAGAAACAAAAGAGCUUGGACUUGGACAGAGUUCUUCAAUAUGGCUUUUGUCCAGAGAACAUUAUAAACGAUCUCUGAACUUUGCUGCUGUAGUUGACAAGGCCACAGGAUUUGCACAAGUCUUCGAGCUCUCCUUCAGUAAAAUAGUUGUAGCUGGUGUUAACUGGUCCAACAAUCUGCACCAUAAAGUGGUAAAAGGCGGAACAAAUUAGAUAAGCUUAGCGAAAAAGAGAAUAGUAACUAGAAAAGAUGGCCAAAUACCUGUCUAAGUGGCCUUAGUGCUUCAACAGAGAAUGGGUUGUUCCUGGGAGAGGAUAAAAAGGUGGUUCCCACAAAAACUCCACCAGGCCUCAGGACACGGCUUAUUUCAGCUACCUGAUAAUUAGACAUCAGUAAAUAUUUCAUGAUAAUGAACGGAAGGACAGGAUUGCCAUUAUAUUGUUGGUUGGCAGUGAACUAAUGAUACAAUUUAAGUUCUGAUUUAUCUUGUUGGCCAAGAUGCAAUGUCGUAUUCAGAUUUAAACAUGAAUAGAAUCAGAGAAGCCAUACUGGAAACACACAGGGGAAAAUGUUAUCACUAUUUAAUAUCAAAUAAUGGCCUUUAGCGAUAUACUUUUGUUAAAAUUUCAGCAUGGUCCCAAUGGUGAAGGUAAGAGUAUGAUUUAUAAGCAUCCCAGUUUCAUCAGUUGUUUUGUUUAAUACAACAUAGAUCUUAUGAAAUGAAAAGUUAUGGUUUACUACGAAAAGCUUUUAUGCACCAUAUGUAACUAUGGGCAGAUAUUGUGCCGUUACAUGUUGUAUAACAACAUAAAUCUGAAUCUUUUUUAAUAAAAAAAUAUUAGCACAACUGCACAUGUCAAAAGUGAAAAUGAGAAAUUGUACCGCAUUAGAGGGUGAGGGCCAACAAUGGAUAGCCGCUCCAGCAUGAAUGGCAUCUACUGAACAAGAAGCGAAAGGGAGCCUUGAAAUAUCUGCUCUCACAAGUGCUAGAUUCCUGCAGAACCAAAAGAGGAAAAUAGUCACCGGUUUGUGUGGCUUGAUCUUGGAAUAAAGAUAACAGAAGUUAUCAAUUAUUGCUUAACUUAUAUAUAUUGUUCAAAGCUCAAUUGGGGGAAAAUUUUCUUGGGAGGCAUACAGUAACAAAAUAGUGGAUGCACUGUUGAUUACAAUCCACUAUAGUGUUUAUGAUAAUAGAUAUUCGUAUCAUUGGUAUUAAACUAGAAAAAAUAUUAGCUUCCAACAAACAUCAUUAGUGACCCCCCGCCCUAAUAUUUCGUUCAUAAUAUGCUUGGUUUGUUGCAUCGAGAAAAUGCUUUGACCUGCCCCCAACUUCUCAAUACUGAGCAUGAAGUGACUACUGGAUUGGAGAAUUAUGGCUCCUAAUACAACCCCAAAUCCCCUGUUAAUCUGCAUCCAUGAUCCAACAGAAACUUUUCCUUCAGUGCUACAGGGGAAGCUCACCACAAAUGAAAAAAAGAUUCAGAAACAGGACAGAGAGCUUACGCAUUGAGGAGAGUAUCAUCUUGCUUAAUGAACUCAUAGCAUUGGCGGAGCAUAUUCUCAGAGAAGUCCAAAGCAAUCACAGCUGAGUAUGUCCCAGAUUUUGCAAACUUCCUAGUAAACAAGCCACUGCCACAGCUGACAUCAAGAAGGAUACCACCAGCAACGGGUUGAAAAUAGUCUUGAGCCAUUUCAAACUGACAAUGCCAACAGAUCCGAAGAGGGACAUGCAUAAGAGAGCGAAGAGUUGAGGAUCUUUGCUAGAUGGACAAUUUUUGAAUCGCGGCGACUUAAAAAGUCUUUUGUUGCAACACGAAAACAACAGGCGCAACAUUUGUAAUAAUUAUUCAAUCAUAGAAAGACUUUAAAACUAUGGUGUCAAAGAUGAAGUUAUCCAGCAGAAAAGCACCUCUUCAUCAAGACCAGGGAAACCACUCCGAUUAAAGUUUUGUCGCCACCCUCUCUCAUAAAGAAAUGAGACAAGUGGACUCCGGAACAGCUCAGUUCUAGCGGGCUUCUGUUCACUAUAUUCUUUUGUCCCUGCAGUUACAGUGAGGUCCAAGAAGAUGUCUUUGCUGGUAAAUGACUUGUUGCACUUUGAACACUUGAAUCCCGACCUAUAAAUUGCUGGCCUGGGGCAUGCAUAUAUAAUCCAAAAGAACAUAAAUGUCAAUCAAGCCAAAAACAUUUGCUGGAAAGAGGAGCAGAAAUGUACUAGGACAUACAAGUUUAUGCCUGGUGGCCCUUUUCUCAUCAGUGGUUCGUAGCAGACAGGGCAGGCAAACACCUCAGUUUCCAUAAUGCUAUUUUGCUGCUGCUCUUUUGUUUCCUGUAAUCACGAAAAAUUACGAGAUCUUCAGAGGAAUGCCAACUCCUAGAGAAAUGGAUAGCAGGGUCUGUUAGGAAACAUUUUGCUAGUAACAAACAAUUGACCCACAUCACAAAGUCACAAAUCCCAGAGAAAUUCUCAGAGGCAACCAGCAUCUACCAAAAUUUAACAAAGCUACCAUAACAUAGGCAUACAUGGGUGGACAGAAAACGACUCUGACAAUCGGAAGUAGGUCACUAUAGUCUCUGCUUUCCGCUUAACUCUUCUCAAGGCACCACUUUACCCGUGAUUUGGAUGUACCCAAGAGCAGAGCAAGGUGAUUGUGGAAGAUGCGUAGGUUCAUCUGUACAGAUAAACCUGUCAGAUGAUUAUCCAAUGGGGCAGGUCUUUGGUGUGAUGGCAUCACCAGUAAUAAGUUCGCAGAUACCAGGUGCAGCAACUGAUACCAGAAAGACGGACUAGGCUGCAGGUAAGAUCUCCAUUACCAGCACUCCAGCAGCACUGAAUCGAUCAAGCAACAGAGCCGAGCAUAACAAAGAACACGUGGCGGGCAUCGGGCAAGAUAACAAGUCCGUUGACUACAACAGUAACAACCUGUAACUGCAAACCCGACGAGAAAGACCACGUACCGGCUCCGCGGCGAUCGCCGCGGCUGCGGCGGCGGCGGCGCGGAGAGUAGGGAACCCGGGCCGACGGGGACGGGAUGGGCCCGCGGCAGGGGCGGGGAGCCGCAGCGAGGGUCGCGCUCGCGCGGAGGAGGGCGCGGUCGCCGCGGGUCGUACCAGCAGCUGCAGCUCCAUGGCGCGCAGCACAGCGACCGAUCUGAGACGGAGCUGCCUGCGGGCUUGGAUUGGUGUCUUGGCGAACAGCGAGCGCUCGCCGCGGAGGGGGUCGGUGUGGUGGUGGGUGGCAGCGGUUACGGCGUGCUGGCGUGGCGCGACGCGCGCCCGUUCGCCAACAAGGGGGCGACGCGGGCGAGUCGGCUCUGAUGGUCUGAUCCUGCGUCGGCCGCGUGGCGAGCCGCUGAUGAAUCCGUGGUUACCACUCGCGCCCGUCGCAGAUUUUUCGUUGUUUCCUCGUCUCCGGCACUGGCAACAGCGUGUCACAAAACAAAUUAUUCUACUUUUUUCCGUACUCUCUCCGUCCCAAAUUAGAAGUCGUUCCAAAAAUCUUAGAGAGUUCAAGUUUUUUAAAUUUAACCAAAUUUAUAUAGCAAAAUAAUAAUAUUUUUGGUACCAACCAAGUAUCAUCUUUGUUAGUUAUAUUUUCAUAGUGUACCUAUUUUAUGACAUAAAUUUUUAUAUUUCUCUUUAUAUUUUUGGUCAAACUUAAAAAUACUUUAACUCUUCAAGAUUCUUAGAAUGACUUAUAAUUUGGAACGGAGAGAGACUAAAAAAGAGGCCGUCAUCGUCAGAUGAAGUGCUGGAGGGAGACGUUUUAGCUUGUCAAGCUGGGGACGGCUUGUGCGUGCAGAGAUAAACCUGAUGGAGUGUACUUAAGCGUCUCCCGGUCGAUCAUACAGUAUUUUCGGUUGCGUCAGACAUCCCUCCAUCAUUUCCAAACGAAAAGGGUAAAAAAAAAGCUCAUUGAAUCAAUGUCAUGUGAUCAUGGCCGUGUUUAGUUCGCGAAGCGAAAAAUUUCGCGACAAUGUAGCACUUUCGUUUGUUUGUAGUAAUUAUUAUCCAACGAUGAACUAACUAGGCUCAAAAGAUUCGUCUCGUCAAUUUUAACUAAAUUGUGCAAUUAAUUUUUAUUUUUAUCUUUUUUACUACUUCAUGCAUACAUCUAAAGAUUUGAUGUGAUGGAGAAUCUUGAAAAAUUUUAGAUUUUUUUGGUGGAACUAAACAAAGCCCAUGCCUCGCUACAUCGCUCGAAAUCUGCAAGCGAUCAACGGAAUUAUUCUCAGCAAAGCAACAACUGGUGCUGGAGGCUCGAGCCACGGCUGCUGGCCUGCUGUGCCGCUCUGUGCCACUCCGUUGUUUGGUGCUGGUUAUCUGAAGACUGAAGCUUUAGUGCAAGCUGCAAGGUCUGUGCGGCACACCCCUUUGGUCACCAACAGCGACGGGCCACAAGCCCACGAGCAAUUGUGUUCGUGUAAAUCUCACGGCUACCUUAAAGGUAUUGUCUAAAGUUUAGUUGAUGAAAGUUAAAAUUUUAAAUUUUAGAUCACUUUAACUUGUGUAGUCUAAUGAAAUAAUGACACUUUUUUGUGAGUCUGGCUAAAUUUAUAGAAAAUAUUCGCUUCCGCCCUAAAGAGAGCCGCACGAGGCUUUUCGCUUCAAACUUUUGACUAGGUUUGAAAAUAUUAGAACGUUUGUAUUUUUAAAUAAGUUUAUUAGGAAAACAUAUUUAAUAAUUAAUGUAAUCAUACCUAUCAUGUAUCAUAAAUGUUAAUAUUCUCUUGUAUAUAUUUGAUCAAAAUUGAAAAUGUUUGACUUAUUAGAAAAUAAGAAUGGUAUGUUUUAUGGGACGGAUGGACUUGUUUGGAUAAAUUGAUUUAUAGUGAUAGUUAUGUGGAGUACUCAUUUUACCCUGAAUAAAUUAAUUUGUAGAGUUGUCUUAUUUCAAACUUCUUUAUGCUUUGACCAUACUUAUUAAAAAAAACAACAAUAUCUCUGACACUAAAUAAAUAUAUAUAAAAAUUUAUUUCAUGGUCUAUCUACCUAAUGUUAGUAAUUCGGUGGUAUAGAUCUUGACCUUUUUUUAUAUAAAUUUGGGUUGUUUUUUUUUAAAAAAAAUAUUUAAAACAAUUUUAGAAAUUAAUUUAUUCAUGAACGAAAAGGUAGACUUUGUACUAAUCUGUAUUAGACAUUUUUUUACAACAAUAUUAGACAUUGUAGAGCCCAAAAAUUAACACAGCAACCAAUCCAUCACUGCGGUUAUGCUGGAAAGUCGCAACGAUAAACGACGCCAUUUCUAUACGGGCAACAACUAGUAAGAAUAAUAAAGUUGUACUACUCACCAGAUGGCGAUAGCAAGGGCGUCGGCAGGCCAAGCUCCGGAUAACGUACGUUAACCCCGGGCUAGCUAGUCCAAUAGCCCAUGCAAUGAUCCUUGUUUUCACUGGGGAGGUCAAGCCCAAACGGUGCGAUGUGAGUCAGGGGGCACGCAGCGAGAAUUGGCAACGUUUUACUCUCUCUGUUAUUAGCUGAUUGGAUUGGAUUGUACCUUUUGUGCGUCAUCAAAUGAAAAGUGCAAUCAGACUACCCGCUUCUAUUUCUGAAAACCAAAAGGAAAGAUCGACUAUACUCCUUCCUAGCUCGUAGAGCACUGACCACCACUGAUUAGGCGAUGGACUAUUACUAUAUACUCGUAUUCACUUUACUAGCUUAUCGGACAUGCAUGGUGGGAUGUAAUCUGAAUCGAUCCUUAUCUUCUAGCCGAUGAUGAUGAUGAUAAGGAACGAUAUCGCACUUGGCAUCGCUCGCCUUUUUCGAUCAGGUGCAAGUUUAAUUAAAGCGCUUGAUCAUGCAUGAGUCACGACCUGCUCCUGCUGUCUCUCCGAUAAUCUCGAUCAAACUCUAUCGUAGUUUUACCUCUAUUUUUUUUCUCUCUCUCUCUCUUUCCGCACAACUGCCGUGCGUCGUCAACGGCACAACCGCUUUCUCGGCAAAGUCGAGACUCCAGAGCAAAGCGAUGCCAGCGGCAGCGAAACCAGCGUGCCUUGUCAGUCCUCACCCAACGUCGUCGGCCGUCGGCCGUCGGGCUCGCGCCGCGCAGGCGCCAGCAACCGCUGCCGCUUUGCGAGCUGCAUGGAGAGGGACCAGCAGGGUAUCUCAGGCCGACCACGGCUCCACCACCGGAUCCCCUGGCCGCCUGCCCGCCUCGCCUCCGCCGCCCGAUGUCUCGGCGGAGCAUCCAGCAUCCGAUCCGGUUCCAGCCGCCCCGCGCGCGUUCACAUCGACGGAAGCAUCAAACCAGCCAAUCCCUUUUUUUUUUUUUGCUUUUGAUCUGAGGCCUUGUUUAGUUCAAAAAAUUUUGUAAAAUCGACACUGUAGCACUUUCGUUUGUAUUUGACAAAAAUUAUCCAAUUAUGGACUAACUAGGCUCAAAAGAUUCGUUUCGUCAAUUUCGACCAAACUGUGCAAUUAGUUUUUAUUUUCAUCUAUAUUUAAUACUCAAUACAUGUAUCUAAACAUUCGAUGUGACGAAGAAUCUGAAAAAUUUUGCAAAUUUUUUUGGAACUAAACAAGGCCUGAAGGCCCUUUUUGCCUGAACGCGGACAUGCCGCAGCGGGUGCUUUCCCCUCCCUCGCACGGCUUUCCUGUCUGUGUCUGGCACUCUGGCGCCCGCCCGUUCCGUCCCUUUCGGCUGCGCGCGUACCGUAUCUGCUCUGCUGGUGCUGCUGGCUGGGUCAUCGAACGGAACAAUAUCCAGUUUGCCGCGACUGCGAGGCCGGGGGCGUCCAAAGCGUCAAAAGCGUGUAGUUUUCUAUUGCGGUUGGCGGCAAAAGGCCGUGUUAAGGCACUUACGAAUUAUUAUUACUGAGGCUUUAUUUAGUUGACGCAAAAAACAAAAAAAGUUUCAAGAUUCAUCGUCACAUUGAAUUUUGCGUUACAUGCAUAAAACACUAAAUAUAGACGAAAAUAAAAACUAAUUAUAUAGUUUACUUGUAAAUCACGAGAUAAAUCUUUUAACUCUAAUUAGUUUAUAAUUAGAUAAAAUUAUCAAAUAAAAGUACUAUAAUAUCGAAAACUAAAAAAAUUUAGCAACUAAAUAAGACCUAACAAGACCUGAGUACGAUCGAUCGGUGUGGGAUGUUUGACGACGUGGGUGCGCCGUAGCCGUGGAACGGCACCUACGACGAACUAGGGGUGCAAAGGGUAACCUUUAGGUGCACCUCCAAACCUCUUUAGUUUAAAUAUUUAUACUAUUUCUUAAUUUUCUUGAAGAAAUAGUAUAAAUAUUUGAACUAAAGAGAUUUAGAGGUGUAUCUAAUCAUCACUCAUUUGCACCCUACGGCGAACUAAUAAGCUGCCAAAAGUAAGGUCAAACCUGGUCGGCACUCUCGCCAGCCAAGGCGUCUAGUGUUACUGUGCUACUGUGCCAACAAGAACGUACAGAUUCUGUGUUGUAUACUUGCUCAGUUGCUCUUGCUCUCGGUAAGAUUUUUCUCAAGAUCACGCUGCCGCAGUUCGCCGCACCAUCCGCGCCGCAACUUGAGCAUGUGUUUGCUUCGGGGCCGCAGCCUCGCCACCGGCUUCUAGUCCAUUUGGGACGCCAAAACGCGCCAUAGUUUGGGCGGCUGAUUUCAUCGCCGUAUUUUUAGCGGGGCCGCGUACUAUGCAAAUUACCUCAUACCCAUUACUACAUGAAAUUAUCCGCCGAAUUAUCCAAAUCCGAGGUACUCUAUCCUAAAUUCGAAUAGCAAUUUUGAUUACCCAAAACUAGUUUAGGUAAUUCAGGUAAUAUCCCCCGGUACCUGACUACCCGAAUUACCUAAUUUUUUGUCUAUGUCUUUGUAUUUAUCCUGUGUUGUUAGUUAAACAUUAGAACUUAUUAAUUUAUUAGAAUAUAAUUUUCUUUGUUUAAACAAGUGACCGUAAUAUAUUCUCUACAAAAUGCUAUUGAAAUUCUAUACAAAUUGCUGCUGAAAUUAUAUAUGAAUUGUUAUUGAAAUUUUGUGUAGUGUGUUGUUUUUUGAAAAUUCGGAUAAAUUGGGAAUAUUCGAACCUGAAUUAUUGGGUACCCAAAAUUGCGAGUAGUGUUUUUUCAAGAGUAAUAUCGGGUAAAAAUUUUCAUUACCUGAAUUUUGAAUUACCCGACUCGAAAAAAUCAGAUAACCCAAACGCCCAAGCUUAGCCAUCAGCCGCUGCAGAUCCGUCCUUGGAGAUGAACCGGGCAUAGACUCCUGCUUAGCUUAUUCGCUGAAUUUCAUUCAAUAAUAUUUUUCUCUCACAAUAAAUCAGUAAAUAGUACUUUAGCUAUGACUUAUCAGCUAAACGAAUAAGACGUGGCCAUGAGACGCGCGGAAACAAAUAGGACUUAACGUGUAUUACGUUGGACCGAACCAAACGCUUUGCUAUUGUCAUUUGUGUCGUUAGGCUGGCGGCUGGCCACCACGUAUACCUAGGCAUGCAGCCCGAGCCCAUGAGCACGGCCUGAAGCCCGUCCUUUUGGCCCGGCCCGGCCGAAGUUCAUUGGGCCCGGGCUGGCACGGCACGGUGGUGUAGGCCGUGUUUGGGCCGCACUCUAGGCCCACAGGCCGGCACGGCCCGGCCCGCCAAAUAAUGGCAGGCCCGGUACCGGCCCGCACCCCAACGGCUAGCAGUAGCAGGCCAGCGGCAACCCACCUCCCCUCUCCACCGGCUCCUCGGCUCCCCGCAUCCCCCCAUAUAAAUUCCCCCCCCGCGCGUCCCUCACCCUCACCAAACCCUAACCCUAUUCCCCACAUCCCCACCCGUAGCCGCCGUCGCCCACUCGCUCUCGCAGUCGGCCAGUCGCAGUCUCGCUCUCGGUCUCGGAUCGGAUUCGAUCAGCGCCUCCUCCUCUCGACUCCUUCGUCGUCGUCGUCCUUCGAUCCGGUGACAUCGUCGUCGCCGUCGGCUCUCUCCCCGAGUUCCCUGCUCCCUGCCUCCCUCUCCCUAUCUGUCUCCCUUCUUCUUCCUCUAUCCUGUCCAUGAGCAUGUGAGUCCGCCUCCCCGUCUCUGUUCCGUGUCGCUCGUCGUCCUUCUUAAUCUCAUCUUCUCCGGCGCCAGGCUCCGGUUGCGUAGGUAAGAUCUAACCCUAGAUCUCGUCUUUCCUUCGUUGUUCCAGAUCUCAUCCUUCUUAAUCUCGUCUUCUUUGUCGUUUCUCUUUUCCCCCCAUUCUAAUCUAACCCUAGAUCUUUUCUUUCUUGCAGGUCUGUUGCCGAUGCCUCGUCGUCAACUAGCCUUGGUGGCGUAGACGGACGACGGGCUAGGGCAAUGGCACCAUGGCCAAGCCGUGGCCACGCAUCGUUGAGGAAUGGUGCUGGAGGAGUUCAGCCGUCCGCGGCCGAGGGCCCCUUGGCGACGACGUGCGAC